rnacentral:lncRNA from 1 species
CCUGCUGUUUAGUUUAUUGUUUCCUUUGAUGGAGAUGCAAUUUUCUUGCUCACACAAUAAUACAAUGAAUGAUAGCAUCUCUAUCUACUUUGAACCAAAUUAUAUUAUAUUCCCCCCUCUGUUAAUUAUUUUUCUGUUUUGGGUAUUCAUUUUGUUUAGUUGCCUAUCAGUAUAAAUACAUGGCUGGAUUGCUUUCACUUCAUAUUAAUAACUAUUCUGUCGCACAUUGCAAAUAUAUAUAUGCUGUCCUAACUAAUUAAGUAGAAGCUUGGAUUGGUGCUGUAUGGUCUCUAACUGACAUUAAAUUCUCCUCUGUUUGUGCUGUACUGUUCUGCUGCUGCAGCCUUCUUCGCCGCCAAAAGGAAAUGAUGCUCUACAAAAUCCACUCCCAUGCCCAAAUCCAAGACCUGCAGGCCCGCUCCGAUGAGCUGGGCCACUCCAAUGAGCACAUGGAUGUGAAGCUUUUCUCUCUGGAGUCGGUGCGCAUAGCGCUUGAGUCGUAUGCACUCCUCCGCCCGCUGAUCAUGGAGUCCAGGAUGUGGUUUUGCCCGGAGCUGGAAAUCCUCUCGGAGGUGGCAGGCUUGUCGCUGUAAAUCCAAAAGCUCGAGCAUGAUGUGUUACCCCAGCUCACGGUUUAGGAGGCUAAGCUGGAACCGGGCGCCCUGGAAGCCCUCCUACUCAUGAACAACUCAGCUGUUGCGCUCUUACAUAUGAGGAAGUGCUUUAAGGAAGCCUUGGGCUUUUUUCUUCGCGAGGAUUAUGUGGUCUCAGCCAAAGUCAAAAAGCUGAGCAAAAUGCUAAAGGAUAUUGCUGUCCCGUUGCUUCAGGAGCAUGAAUGCAACAUUGUCUGGCUUCAGGAGCGUGUCCCGUUGCGGGUCCAGCUGGUCACCGAUGUGUUGGAGACCCGGUUAAUUUCUGUGAUUCUGAUGAGUCUUCUGAUGAUGAGUCUUCUGAUGAGUAUUCUGAUGAGUAGACUUAUCAGCCAGCUCGAGGCUGUUGUGAUGAGUAUUUCUUAGGGGCAUGGCAAACAGUUUAGAAUCAAAUGUUGCGAUGUAUUUCUUGGAACCUCCUUUAUGUUUGGAUGUGUUAUUAAUGGAUUUUAAAUGAUAUGUAUUUUGGGUAGUGUUUUCUCAUUCUGUCCUAGUAGGGUACAACUUGCAAUUACUUUCAUUUUUUUUAGAAACAUCCAUUCUGUGUUUUACAUGGAGGUAUUCGCUCUUUUUAGGGAAUAUAUGCCAAAAGAAUAUAGUAUGUUAGAAAAGAAAUCCCAAAUUUAAGUCUUUUAAGAGGUUUAACUAAAAGACUACAUACGGAUGAAUAUAGACAUACUUUAGAAUGUGGGUUUACUCAUUUUGCUCCGUAUGUAGUUUGGAUGAAUAUAGACAUACUUUACAACGUGGGUUUACUCAUUUUGCUCCGUAUGUAGUUUGGAUGAAUAUAGACAUACUUUAGAACGUGGAUUCACUCAUUUUGCUCCGUAUGUAGUUUCCUAGUGAAAUCUCUUAAAAGCUUAGUCCCUGUUUGUUUAAAAAGUCCUAGGACUUUUUUUAGUCUCAAGUAAAAAGUCUCUAGUCCCUAUCUGUUUGUUUCAAGGAACUAAACAUGGACUAGAGGAUAAUAAAUGACAUGCUAAAAGAUCAUGUUGCCCCUAAACAUGAACUAGAGGAUAAUGAACUAGUAGUUGCGGGGGCAGAUCAGGGAAAAGUCUCGAAAAGACUCUCAUAUAGGAUCUUCUUCUUUUUAGUCUCAAAUGCCUAGUUUAGUCCCUAAAAGUCCCUCUCAUUUGGUUAAAAAGUCUCUAAGAGGGACUUUUUCUAGUCCCUACACCAAAAAGUCCCUGGAAACAAACACCCUCUUAUAUUUAGGAACCGAGGGAGUAGUGCUUAUCUGUGAGUGUCCAUGAUUAAAGCUUUGCAAAUACCAUAAACAAAACUUCACCUUGUACUUGAAGCUGAAUUGAAUUGAAAUGUGAUUAGCCUUCCACUAGCCAGCCAAGGAGGAAGGAGCCCACCGUUCCAUCCUCCCUAUCUCUAUUUCCUCUUGUUGCGCCCACCUUCCCCUUCUCCUGACACGUAAAUCUAGUUGAGGACUGCAGCAGAUCUAGUUGCGUUGGUCACCGCGCAACAACCCUAGCCACGACGAGCUCCACCACCGUGCGGUCCGAGAGCCACGUCGCAGUCCUCAACUAAACUAGGCUGCUCCACCUUGCCGUCACCAGCCCCUUCUCCGCCCACCUCCCCCUUCUCCUAACACGUAGAUCUAGUUGCAUCGGUCGCCGUGCAACAACCCUAGCCACGACGAGCUCCACCACCNNNNNNNNNNNNNNNNNNNNNNNNNNNNNNNNNNNNNNNNNNNNNNNNNNNNNNNNNNNNNNNNNNNNNNNNNNNNNNNNNNNNNNNNNNNNNNNNNNNNNNNNNNNNNNNNNNNNNNNNNNNNNNNNNNNNNNNNNNNNNNNNNNNNNNNNNNNNNNNNNNNNNNNNNNNNNNNNNNNNNNNNNNNNNNNNNNNNNNNNNNNNNNNNNNNNNNNNNNNNNNNNNNNNNNNNNNNNNNNNNNNNNNNNNNNNNNNNNNNNNNNNNNNNNNNAACUAGGCUGCUCCACCUUGCCGUCACCAGCCCCUUCUCCGCGCACCUCCCCCUUCUCCUUGACACGCGGAUCUAGUUGUGUCGGUCGCCGCGCAACAAGCCUAGCCAUGACGAGCUCCACCACCGUGCGGUCCGGGAGCCGCGCUGCAGUCCUCAACUAAACUAGGCUGCUCCACCAUGCCGUCACCAGCCCUUUCUCCGCCCACCUCCCCCUUCUCCUGACACGCACUAAACCCCCUCGAUCUUAAAAGCCUCGUAUCUUUAUUCUGUUAGGUUUUUGGGGAUUCUAAAAAUCUCCAACGCGGUUCCCCCAGUAGAAUUCGAACGUAACUUUUCGAGUAGAUGAUUUUUCAUAUAAAAAAAUUUUUAAUCCGAGUUCGUAUGCAAAAGUUAUGCCCAUUUUACUAAAUUCCAGAGAGAUUUUGUAAAUAAAGUCGAAAUUCAUAUUUGUAAAUUUUCCCAACAACUAGACCACAUAUCACAUGGGAAACUUAUUUUCUUUUAUUUUUUCGACAUUUCCAUCAUUUUCUUUUAUUUUAUUUUUUUUAACUGAAAAGGCGGUCCACAAGGGGGUGCAUUUAGUAAUGACGCACCUUCACAAAGUGCGCCAUUACUAUGUGUAUGACUUGGUCAAACCUUGGUCAAAGUUAGUAAUGGCGCACUUUGUAUAGGUGCGCCAUUACUAAGUUUGACAUAGUAAUGGCGCACAUAUGCAAAGUGCGCCAUUACUAAGUUUGACCAAGGUUUGACCCAGUCAUACACAUAGUUAUGGUGCACUUUGUAAAGGUGCGCUAUUACUAUGUCAACUUAGUAAUGGCGCACGUAUAAAAAGUGGGCCAUUACUAUGUGUAUAACUGGGUGGAACCUUGGUCAAACUUGGUAAUGGAGCACUUUUCACCUAGUGCGUCAUUACUGUUUUGGUUACUAAUGGCGUACAUACACAUGACGCGCCAGAUGUAUAGUGUGUCAUUAGUGUCCAUAUUAGCUAUAGCUGUUUUUCUAGUAGUGUGCUAUAUGCCUAGACUCAUUGCAGCCUCGUCGAUCAAACUAAGCUGCCAUCCAGAGGCUACGGAUUCAAGUACACAGGUAGGAAGAACAUAUUGCAGAGAAUCAAAUUAAGCAAGUGGCAAGUAAUGAUGAAUGAAAUUCAGCAAUCUUACCCUAAACAUAGCUACGGCCGCCGUUCAGACGAGGAGAGCGGCGAGGGAAGCGUGGAGAACGGCGGGGAAGCGAUGUCGCAACCAUUGUCCUCCUCCUCUUGUGCUUCGGAGUCAUCUUCGACUCGGUUGGAGGCUCCACAAUCUGCAACGGCACCUCGUGCACCGUGGGUUCCUGAUCUAGUGGAUUCUCUACCUUGGAUCUGAACAUCCCACCACCUUCGCCAGGUCCAUGGGCUGGACGAAUCGGCCUGCUUCAUCGCCCAGAGGAGGAUCUCGACGAAGUGCAUCGGUUGUGCGGGUGGGGGGAGGAAGCUUUGCCUUCUCCCUACUCGUCAUUUGCUUCAAAGUGGCCAUUGCCGUCCAGUGCAUCUGACUUGUGUUGUGAAACCAAGAACGGAUCUCCGUCAACCUUCUCAUCUUGACCUGGUCGCCGCAGGCGAUCUCUAUGAAGUCAGCGUUCUCGCUGCCGGCGAUCUGCUCGAUCUGCUGCUCCAUCGAGGUUUUUGCGUGGAUGGAAGAGGGGGAUGGAUGUGGAAACUGGGAAGAGCAAAGUUGCGGCCGCGAGAAGGAGGAGAAGGGUAGGAGAUGGUCACGGUUGUAAUGGUGAUGGAAGAGGGGAAGUUUCACGGCGGUGGCCAUUUGCAUUGGACGAGAGGGGCGGCGGUUUUGAAUUGGACGAGAGGGCCACCUUAUCAUAUUUUUCCUAGGACUAAAAUGCCCCUAGAUUAAAAGGUGUCCCCACCUUGUCAUUAGUACUUUCGAAUACUUUCAUCUGCGUACUUUCGAGUACCACGUAUGUAUAUAUGCACUGUUAGAUCGAGGCAAACGAACGGCUCCAAAAAACGCCAACUACUGUAAAAGUUGUACUGAAGUAAUUAUCAUAUCUCAUGUUCAUGUACCCUUUUGUCCCAAAAUAAGUGUCAUGGUUUUAGUUUUAAAUUUAAACUAAAAGCACGCCACUUAUCAAGGAGUACUUAGUACAUAGUUAGUACAGAAUAUUUACCUGCAAAAAAAAAGUUAGUACAGAAUAUAAGCGUCAGCAAAGCUUUCUCUUCUUGUGCUUGGAGGUUUUAGUACAUGCGCUCACCAGCCUCUUCUUAUAGGCAGACAGGUGCGCUACCUUGUCAGUGAGAGUAGAAGAGUGGGCCGCGAGCUUGGACAUCAACUCCUUCAACAGAGCAGGGCAGCUUCUGGAGACAUGAUCGAUCGAAGUCGUGUUCGAUCGCCAUGGCCUCGUCUAGCUUUUUUUUUUUGAGGGGGAGGCCUCGUCUAGUUUGGUNNNNNNNNNNNNNNNNNNNNNNNNNNNNNNNNNNNNNNNNNNNNNNNNNNNNNNNNNNNNNNNNNNNNNNNNNNNNNNNNNNNNNNNNNNNNNNNNNNNNNNNNNNNNNNNNNNNNNNNNNNNNNNNNNNNNNNNNNNNNNNNNNNNNNNNNNNNNNNNNNNNNNNNNNNNNNNNNNNNNNNNNNNNNNNNNNNNNNNNNNNNNNNNNNNNNNNNNNNNNNNNNNNNNNNNNNNNNNNNNNNNNNNNNNNNNNNNNNNNNNNNNNNNNNNNNNNNNNNNNNNNNNNNNNNNNNNNNNNNNNNNNNNNNNNNNNNNNNNNNNNNNNNNNNNNNNNNNNNNNNNNNNNNNNNNNNNNNNNNNNNNNNNNNNNNNNNNNNNNNNNNNNNNNNNNNNNNNNNNNNNNNNNNNNNNNNNNNNNNNNNNNNNNNNNNNNNNNNNNNNNNNNNNNNNNNNNNNNNNNNNNNNNNNNNNNNNNNNNNNNNNNNNNNNNNNNNNNNNNNNNNNNNNNNNNNNNNNNNNNNNNNNNNNNNNNNNNNNNNNNNNNNNNNNNNNNNNNNNNNNNNNNNNNNNNNNNNNNNNNNNNNNNNNNNNNNNNNNNNNNNNNNNNNNNNNNNNNNNNNNCGCGUGGGGCGCGGCGGCUCGCCGGCGCUGGCAGGCCUUGGGGCGGGCCACCGUGGGGGGGGGCGGGGCAGGCUGGUCGGGACGCGGCUGUUUCGGCCGGCGUCUGCAGGCACGUGGCGGCGGCGGUGUGCCACGAGUGAGGACGGCGACGCUGCGGCGUCGCACGGGACGGGCGGCGCGCAGCUUCUCUUCUGCGGCCGGUGGAGGCGUGGCUGCACUUCCUCGAGGGAGGCUGUGUGGUGAUGCAUGGACGAGCCUGCCAGCCCUGUGGUGCGGGGGUGGGCUCGGGCGGCGGCUUCGGCCGCGAGGGGCGUGGCAGGACGUCGCGAGGACGCCCUGGUGAUGCACGGGUCGAGGGCCCGGGUUGUCGGCGAAGAGCGCCCCAGCUCUGGGUGAUGCUGAUUCGUCGUUGGGCAGCUCCGAUGGUGGUGGUGGUUGGUGGGCUCGCUGGUGCCGGUGCAGGAUGAUGUGUGGCUGAGGUGGUGUGGGAGCUUCGGUGAAGACCCUGUCCCGGUCUUGUGCCGUGACCAAUGAUGGCGGCGGUUGUGGCCGUCGUUGACCUUCCUGGAGGCAUCGCUGUUUUGUUGCCGCUCCCCUCCUGCACGGAUCCGGCCAUCUCGGCCUCUUCGGGGGAAACCCUUGAUCUGUGAUCGGACGAUGGCGGCGCCUUGGCGUCGUUUUCCCUCUUGGGGGCUUCGUCUUGGGAGCCCGGCAUCGGUGGGCGGGACCCGUGGAUGGCGGCGGUUGUGGCGACCAGGCUUCUGUAGCAACGAUGAUGGUGGGAGCGAUGUCGACGACGCGGCAAUGGUUGCGGUAGUCGGCUCUUCUCCGGCGUGUCCGCAGUUUUGCCUCGGGUUGUUUGUUGCUGCGGAGUUGAAGCUGUAGUGGCGGGGCCCUGUGGUAUACGAUGACCGGCUGCAGGUGGCCCGUUCGGCGAUCUCCCGUGGCGCCAGCCGUGCAUGGUUUUGUUCUUCAGAGUUCUCCGUUAGAGUCGGAGCUGCGCUGUCUGGCCGCAGGUGGCUGAGAUUUGGUGCAGAUCUUCAUGUAGCUUCACACGUCCGCUUUGGUGUGGGUUGAGUCGACGAUCGCCUGCGGUGAAGUCGAAGUCGUUUGCUCAGAGUGUAGGGAUGGCGAUGACGCCUCUAGGGGAGGAGUGAUGACGAUGAUGCCUGCGUGCUGUCUCGACGAGACCCUCUUUGGAGUGGUGUGUGUGGGUAUCUUAUGUGUGCAGCUCAGCUGUUGUGAGGGUUUUCGAUCGGUUCUCCAUAAUUAACCGUGCAAUCUGGUUUUCGCUCGGUUUUCCUUAAUUAACCGAGCAACUCUCUUCUGCUUAUUUAAUCGAUGAGGCAAAACUUUUGCCUCCGUUUUAAAAAAAAAGCACGCGUCCUUGAGCCCUUGGCCAGUGAUGCUGCUCAGCGUGGUUGCCACGGUGCUCACGUCCAUGUGCGGCCCAGUAGCCCAAUAAGCCAGGGUAGGCCAACAUAAAAAUAUAUUUUUUCGUAAUAUUUUUUACCAUUUUUCCUAUGCUAUAAAGCUUUUCAAAAAAUCCCAGGGUGGGCCUCUACCUCCGCCACUGCAUGUGCCUCCACAAUCUAUCCUCGCAAACCAGCUUGAGACUCUCCAUGUCCGCGACCUCCAUGAGAUGCUGAGCCAUGGCGACCCCAUCCCCUUCUUCCUCUGGCUGACAGCGAGUGGGUGUACACGAAAUGCAGCAGAUGCCUGAAUACCUCUCCUCGCAUGCCGUCGAUUUGCACGCCGCUCUCUUUCAUUGCGCCAUAAAGCUCCGCCCUGAGGACCGUGGACCGUGCCGCGAGCACGCACCGAAGGUCUCCCAGCCGAUCACGUUCGCCGCUCCGGAGGAGGCCACGGAAAUGGUGAGGCCAAUCAAACGGCCACGCCGACGACGGACCAUUCGAUCGUAUUCAUAUGCGAGGACCUCGAUGACCGUGAAGCAGUCGUCCUUGAGGAGGUGUGGCGCUCCACCUCCAGGUCGGCCCUCUCGACCAAGUCGUCGCAGCUCCAGUAGGCGCCGGCGCCCACCAAGUCGCGCACCUCGCCGCUGGUCCUAGCGUAGCGCGGCACCGGCCGGGUUGGCGUGGUGGUCGAGCACGUCGAACGCGACCACGGCCUUUGUUAGAGUUGUGUCGAAUAUAGUGUACAAGGUAGGUUACAAUUGGACUUGUAGUUGUAUUGUGUUUAGAUAGGAUAUGAAGUUGUGUCGUAAUAGGACACUUGUAUCCUAGGCCUCUAAUAUAUAGCGGGGCUAGACACACGAUGUAACCUAUGCCAACAUAAUAGCACCGGAACGCAAGGGAAGCCGGCGGCAUGUGUCGGUGUCCAGGGCGACCGGGUGCGGUAUUGUAGCGGUGUCAUGGGGAGGAGCGCCCAUAGUCAGGCCCCGGGGAUGUAGCCAUAUCGGUGAACCUCGUUAACAAAUCUCGGUGUCGCGCUCGUGUGAUUGCUUGGUCCUCGGAUGAUCGACGGUAUGCCUCGAAUUUAUUCUAACAAGUGGUAUCAUGAGCAAAGUUACGAGGAGGCUGUGGAUUGUUGAUCUGGAGGAAGGUUUGAUGUGUUGAUCGGUAUCAUGAAGUCGCCGUAGAGCAAGUGGUGUGCGCGUUGUGAAUGAUUGGAAAAUAUGUCAGACGAAGGCAAUCUCGACGAGUUGUAGAGAUCGGAUUGUGAGUUGUCAGCAGACGCAGGAGGCAACGCUAGACAGCGUGUACGGCUCGAUCGCAAGGUGAUGCGUUGCGUUCCAGAGGCGCGCGACGCUCGACAGGCCAAGCGGCCGAAGUCGUGGCGCGCGCGGUGUGGGCUGGCCCAACGGGGCUAGCUGGUGCACGUGGUGUGCCGGCGGACGUGCGGAAGGCUGCCUAGCGCUAAGCGGCAGGGCUGCAAUGCAGGUUCGAUCGACUCACCAGAUUUGUUAUGAAGAAAAGGAGGACACGGACGGAGGCAGCAUCAGAUCAAAUCGAGCAGAAAAAUAAUUCAUUGAUACACAUGCAUCGGGAAGGCUAAGGCGAGGCAAAAGCAAUUAGCUUAGCAUUGAAAGUUGUGCCUGGGUGCUAAUACAUGUGAGUACUGGUAGGAAUUUGUUGCUCGUGCACCUCGUGUACUUGAGCACGUGUUGGAAGCUCGUGUAUUUUUCGCAAGGUCAGCCGUACAAAGAAUCAUGGCACCAAUAGGUACCAGGUUUGAGGUGGAGAAGUUCGUUAAAACCGAAAACUUUGGGUUAUGGCAGACAAGAGUGAAAAAUUGUUGGCACGAUAGGGAUGCUUGAAGGAGUUGCGGGAAGUCAGUUUAGCUAGGAUGGAAUUGUGAUGUGAUGGAUGGAAAUUCGCAGAAGACGAUUUGAGAGCCUGAAGUGUGUCAUGCAGCCGAACAAGUACGGCUGGGUCGGACUAGAUAGUCUGACGGAUCGACGUGAGUCGGUUGGAACAGAAGACGGUGGUGGGAUCAGCGACAGCGACAUAGGAGCGUGAUGCUGAUGGUGACCGACUUCUGGGGUGUGGAAACACGUGGCGCGGGCCCAAGGGCUUGUGUGGCUUCGACAAGACUAUGGCGCGAGGUUGAUUCAAGGUGGUGUACACACGGAGCUUGAAGUCGACGGGGCGCGAGGGUGGACUGAUCAUCUGCUAUGGAGCCAUGUUGAAGGUGGAGCUGGAUUGAGGGGCUACGGUGUAAGGAUCCAUGGAAUCGAAGCCUAUUCAGCAAGGAGGAAAAGCGAGUGACAUGCAGUUCGAACUGGAGCCCAGUGGUCUGAUGGAAGCGUGAAACUCGUCAUCGGUCGGUGAUGAUCGGUGGUACUCUGCAGUGGGGGUCGAAUGGUGUGGGUUCGCGACCCUUGAGACUCGAACGGGACAGCGGAGGUCGACGCGGUGAUAGCGGCGAGGUGUGCGGUACGCACGGGACAUGGAGACGGGCCAGGGCUCUGGUGGUCAUACAUGUGGUGAGACAACUGCGAAUUUGACUCGGGAUGACUACAAGCAACGGUGAAAUUCUUUCAAGUUUCAGACAGGCGGUCAAGAAAGGAGCGGUGAUGUUGAGUUCAGGUAACUCUUAUGUGUGACAUCCAACAUGUGAGUUGUUCACUUUCAUGCAGGUCAGUGAUCGGUGUGUGAUGGCGUUGACGGAUACUCUGGAAGUUGGGAGCACACACUAGAGUAACAAGGAACUUAAUUUUGCUCGAGUGUUGACUGUAGUCAAGAAAAGAAGGGACUACAAGUUGCAGGUGGAGUCACAUGGAGUCUUUGGAGUAGCAGCGAUACUCACGGAAUAAGCUCAAGUCCAAUCUACAUGGAAGUUUGAUGCAUGGACAAAUGCAGGAUGGUGGAGUAUAUUCGCCAAGGUGGAGUUUGUUGGAGUUGUGUCGAAUAUAGUGUACAAGGUAGGUUACAAUUGGACUUGUAGUUGUAUUGUGUUUAGAUAGGAUAUGGAGUUGUGUCCUAAUAGGACACUUGUAUCCUAGGCCUCUAAUAUAUAGCAGGGCUAGACACACGAUGUAACCUAUGCCAACAUAAUAGCACCGGAAUGCAGGGGAAGCCGGCGGCAUGUGCCGAUGUCCAGGGUGACCGGGUGUGGUAUUGUAGCGGUGUCAUGGGGAGGAGCGCCCAUAGUCAGGCCCCGGGGAUGUAGCCAUAUCGGUGAACCUCGUUAAUAAAUCUCGGUGUCGCGCUCGUGUGAUUGCUUGGUCCUCGGAUGAUCGACGGUAUGCCUCGGAUUUAUUCUAACAAGAUAGGCGGCGUCGAGGACGGCCUUGACAGACACGAAACCAGUGGUUUCCGGGGUGGUGCCGCUGGGGUAGAAGCCGCGAGGUGCCGUCUCCGACGCGGAAGGAAGGAGAUGAGACGCCACAGCUGUUGGGGUUGCUCUUCCUCAUCCACGUACGAGUAGCCUUGGAUCUUCAUCAUGCAUGUGGAUGUGGAUGUGGUGCGUCGUCGGCGUCGUAGCACAGAGAAUGGAGGCCGAGUCGCCGUUCGCAGCAGCCAUGACGGCGUACCUGGGUCCGGUCCGGCGGCCGUCCAGCUCUGACGACCUAGGACUAGGAGCGAGUGAGACAGCUUGAUGAGGUCGGACUUGUCUCCGAUCGAAGAGUCUGUAAGAUGAAAAGCGUUCCCUACCCCUUGAGGGGGAGUCGCAGGCUGUAUAUAUUGAUGUGGCCGAAGCCAGCCUUGGCGUACAAGGAAGAUUUACAAGAGUUUGAGUAGAACAAGUAAAGGAAGGAGUUGGAGACUACUACGGAAACUAUAUUCGCUAACACCCUCCCUUAAUCUUAACUACCCUAGAUUAAGAUUACUCUUGAACUCCUCAAACGGUCUUGCUGGUAAAGCCUUUGUAAAGCCGUCCGCCAUUUGGUCCUUAGAGGGAAUAAACCGUAUCUCAAAAUUCGUUGCUGCAACCCUCUCUCGCACAAAGUGAAAAUCAAUUUCUAUGUGCUUUGUUCUUGCAUGAAACACAGGGUUUGCAGACAAGUAUGUUGCUCCCAAGUUAUCACACCAUAAACAUGAGAUACGAUUUUUCUUGAUCCCCAAUUCCUCAAGAAGUGAUUCAACCCAAAUGAUUUCAGCAGUUGCAUUCGCCAAGGACUUGUAUUAAGCUUCUGUGCUUGAUCGUGACACAGUUGCUUGCUUUCUAGCACUCCAAGAAAUAAGAUUGGACCCAAAGAACACUGCAAAGCCUCCAGUUGAUCUUCUAUCAUCACUGCAUCUUGUCCAAUUAGCAUCAGAGAAUGCACUCACAAGAGAGGAGCCAGAACAUUUGAAGUGAAGUCCUGUUCCCAUAGUAUGCUUCACAUAUCUUACAAUUCUCCUUACAGCUGACCAAUGUGCGGAAGUGGGAGCAUGAAGAUAUUGACAAACUUUAUUAACAGCAAAUAAGAUAUCUGGACGUAUGAGAGUUAUAUAUUGUAAUGCUCCCACAGUACUUCUGUACCUUGUGCUCUCUUCUUCUUGAAGUGGCUCACCUUCAUAUGCUGAGAGUUUUUCUGAGGAAGAUAAAGGUGUAGGUACUGGCUUGCAAUUCUUUAUUCCCAUGCGAGACAAAAACUCAAUGAUGUAUUUCUCCUGAUUUAACACAAUACCAUCUUGAUGAAGGAAAUAUGCCCUAGAGGCAAUAAUAAAGUUAUUAUUUAUUUCCUCAUAUCAUGAUAAAUGUUUAUUAUUCAUACUAGAAUUGUAUUAACCGGAAACAUGAUACAUGUGUGAAUACAUAGACAAACAUAUAGUCACUAGUAUGCCUCUACUUGACUAGCUCAUUAAUCAAAGAUGGUUAUGUUUCCUGACCAUAGACAUGUGUUGUCAUUUGAUUAAUGGGAUCACAUCAUUAGAAGAAUGAUGUGAUUGACAUGACCCGUUUUGUUAGCCUAGCACUUGAUCAUUUAGUGUACUGCUAUUGCUUUCUUCAUGACUUAUACAAAGUUACUACAACUAUGAGAUUGUGCAACUCCCGAUUACCGGAAGAACACUUUGUGUGCUACCAAACGUCACAACGUACUGGGUGAUUAUAAAGGUGCUCUACAGGUGUUUCCGAAGGUACAUGUUGGGUUGGCAUAAUUUGAGAUUAGGAUUUGUCACUCCGAUUGUCGGAGAGGUAUCUCUCGGCCCUCUCGGUAAUACUGAUCACCUAAGCCUUGGAAGCAUGUAACUAAUAAGUUAGUUAUGAGAUGACGUAUUACGGAACGAGUAAAGAGACUUGCCGGUAACGAGAUUGAACUAGGUAUUGGAUACCGACGAUCAAAUCUCGGGCAAGUAACAUACCGAUGACAAAGGGAACAAAGUAUGUCGUUACGCGGUUUGACCGAUAAAGAUCUUCAUAGAAUAUGUAGGAACCAAUAUGGGCAUCCAGGUCCCGCUAUUGGUUAUUGACCGAGAAUAGUUUUCGGUCAUGUCUACAUAGUUCUCGAACCCGUACGGUCCGCACGCUUAAUGUUUCGAUGAUAGUUUUAUUAUGAGUUUAUAAGUUUUGAUGUACCGAAGUUUGUUCGGAGUCCCGGAUGUGAUCACGGACAUGACGAGGAGUCUCGGAAUGGUCGAGACAUAAAGGUUGAUAUAUUGGACGACUAUAUUCGUACACCAGAAAGGUUCCGGGAGUUUUCGGAGAAAACCGGAGUACCGGAGGGUUACCGGAACCCCCCCGGGAAGUAAUGGGCCUUAAUGGGCCCUAGUGGAGAAAGAGAGGGGCCGGCCAGGGCAAGUGGCGCGCCCCCUCCCCUUGAGUCCGAAUAGGACAAGGAAGGGGAGGCGGCGCCCCCCUUGCCUUCCCCCUCUCCUACUCCUUCCUUCCCCCUCCCUCUUGGAUCAGGAAAAGGAGGGGGGAAACCUACUUGGAGUAGGUUUCCCCCUCCUAGGGCGCGCCUCCCCUUAGGCCGGCCCCCUCCUCCCUCCCUCCUUUAUAUACGGGGGCGGGGGGCACCCCAUAGACACAAGUUGAUCUACGGAUCGUUCCUUAGCCGUGUGCGGUGUCCCCCUCCACCAUAUUCCACCUCGGUCAUAUCAUCGCGGAGUUUAGGCGAAGCCCUGCACCGGUAGAACAUCAUCAUCGUCACCACGCCGUUGUGCUGACGAAACUCAUCUCCGGAGCUCGGCUGGAUCGGAGGCCGGAGAUCGUCAUCGAGCUGAACGUGUGCAGAACUCGGAGGUGUCGUACGUUCGGUACUUAGAUCGGUCGGAUCGUGAAGACGUACGACUACAUCAACCGCGUUGUCAUAACGCUUCCGCUUACGGUCUACGAGGGUACGUGGACGAACACUCUCCCCUCUCGUUGCUAUGCCAUCACCAUGAUCUUGCGUGUGCGUAGGAAAUUUUUUGAAAUUACUACGUUCUCCAACAGUGGCAUCCGAGCCUAGGUUUUAUGCGUUGAUUUUAUAUGCACGAGUAGAACACAAGUGAGUUGUGGACGAUAUAAGUCAUACUGCCUACCAGCAUGUCAUACUUUGGUUCAGCGGUAUUGUGAGAUGAAGCGGCCUGGACCGACAUUACGCGUACGCUUACGCAAGACUGGUUUCACCGUUACGAGCACGUGUGCUUAAAGGUGGCUGGCGGGUGUCUGUCUCUCUCACUUUAGUUGAACCGAGUGUGGCUACGCCCGGUCCUUGUGAAGGUUAAAACGGAGUCUAUUUGAAAAACUAUCAUUGUGGUUUUGAUGCGUAGGUAAGAACAGUUCUUGCUAAGCCCGUAGCAGCCACGUAAAAUUUGCAACACCAAAGUAGAGGACGUCUAACUUGUUUUUGUAGGGCAUGUUGUGAUGUGAUAUGGUCAAGACGUGAUGCUAUAUUUUAUUGUAUGAGAUGAUCAUGUUUUGUAACCGAAGUUAUCGGCAACUGGCAGGAGCCAUAUGGUUGUCGCUUUAUUGUAUGAAAUGCAAACGCCCUGUAAUUGCUUUACUUUAUCACUAAGCGGUAGCGAUAGUCGUAGAAGCAAUAGAUGGCGUAACGACAACGAUGCUACGAUGGAGAUCAAGGUGUCGCGCCGGUGACGAUGGUGAUCAUGACGGUGCUUCAAAGAUGGAGAUCACAAGCACAAGAUGAUGAUGGCCAUAUCAUAUCACUUAUAUUGAUUGCAUGUGAUGUUUAUCCUUUAUACAUCUCAUCUUGCUUUGAUUGACGGUAGCAUUUUAAGAUGAUCUCUCACUAAAAUUAUCAAGAAGUGUUCUCCCUGAGUAUGCACCGUUGCCAAAGUUCGUCGUGCCGAGACACCACGUGAUGAUCGGGUGUGAUAAGCUCUACGUCCAUCUACAACGGGUGCAAGCCAGUUUUGCACACGCAAAAUACUCAGGUUAAACUUGACGAGCCUAGCAUAUGCAGAUAUGGCCUCGGAACACAGAGACCGAAAGGUCGAGCGUGAAUCAUAUAGUAGAUAUGAUCAACAUAGUGAUGUUCACCAUUGAAAACUACUCCAUCUCACGUGAUGAUCGGUUAUGGUUUAGUUGAUUUGGAUCACGUGAUCACUUAGAUGACUAGAGAGAUGUCUGUCUAAGUGGGAGUUCUUAAGUAAUAUGAUUAAUUGAACUUAAAUUUAUCAUGAACUUAGUACCUGAUAGUAUCUUGCUUGUCUAUGUUUGUUUGUAGAUAGAUGGCUCGUGCUGUUGUUCCGUUGAAUUUUAAUGCGUUCCUUGAGAAAGCAAAGUUGAAAGAUGAUGGUAGCAAUUACACGGACUGGGUCCAUAACCUGAGGAUUAUCCUCAUUGCUGCACAGAAGAGUUACGUCCUGGAAGCACCGCUGGGUGCCAGGCCUGCUGCUGAUGCAACUGACGACGUUAAGAACGUCUGGCAGAGCAAAGCUAAUGACUACUCUAUAGUUCAGCGUGCCAUGCUUUACGGCUUGGAACCGGGUCUUCAACGACGUUUUGAACGUCAUGGAGCAUAUGAGAUGUUCCAGGAGUUAAAGUUAAUAUUUCAAGCAAAUGCCCGGAUUGAGAGAUAUGAAGUCUCCAAUAAGUUCUACAGCUGCAAGAUGGAGGAGAAUAGUUCUGUCAGUGAACACAUACUCAGAAUGUCUGGGUAUAACAAUCACUUGAUUCAACUGGGAGUUAAUCUUCCUGAUGAUAGUGUCAUUGACAGAAUUCUCCAAUCACUGCCACCAAGCUACAAGAGCUUUGUGAUGAACUAUAAUAUGCAAGGGAUGAACAAGACUAUUCCCGAGCUCUUCGCGAUGCUGAAAGCUGCGGAGGUAGAAAUCAAGAAGGAGCAUCAAGUGUUGAUGGUCAAUAAGACCACUAGUUUCAAGAAGAAGGACAAAGGGAAGAAGAAGGGGAACUUCAAGAAGAACGGCAAGCAAGUUGCUGCUCAAGAGAAGAAACCCAAGUCUGGACCUAAGCCUGAAACUGAGUGCUUCUACUGCAAGCAGACUGGACACUGGAAACGGAACUGCCCCAAGUAUUUGGCGGAUAAGAAGGAUGGCAAAGUGAGCAAAGGUAUAUGUGAUAUACAUGUUAUUGAUGUGUACCUAACUAGAGCUCGUAGUAGCACCUGGGUAUUUGAUACUGGUUCUGUUGCUAAUAUUUGCAACUCGAAACAGGGACUACGGAAUAAGCGAGCACUGGCCAAGGACGAGGUGACGAUGCGCGUGGGAAACGGUUCGAAAGUCGAUGUGAUCGCAGUCGGCACGCUACCUCUACAUCUACCUUCGGGAUUAGUUUUAGACCUGAAUAAUUGUUAUUUGGUGCCAGCGUUGAGCAUGAACAUUAUAUCUGGAUCUUGUUUGAUGCGAGACGGUUAUUCAUUUAAAUCAGAGAAUAAUGGUUGUUCUAUUUAUAUGAGUAAUAUCUUUUAUGGUCAUGCACCCUUGAAGAGUGGUCUAUUGAAUCUCAAUAGUAGUGAUACACAUAUUCAUAAUGUUGAAGCCAAAAGAUGCAGAGUUGAUAAUGAUAGUGCAACUUAUUUGUGUCACUGCCGUUUAGGUCAUAUCGGUGUAAAACGCAUGAAGAAACUCCAUACUGAUGGACUUCUGGAAUCACUUGAUGAUGAAUCACUUGGUACUUGCGAACCGUGCCUCAUGGGCAAGAUGACUAAAACACCAUUCUCCGGAACUAUGGAGAGAGCAACAGAUUUGUUGGAAAUCAUACAUACAGAUGUAUGUGGACCGAUGAAUGUUGAGGCUCGUGGCGGAUAUUGUUAUUUUCUCACCUUCACAGAUGAUUUAAGCAGAUAUGGGUAUAUCUACUUAAUGAAGCACAAAUCUGAAACAUUUGAAAAGUUCAAAGAAUUUCAGAGUGAAGUGGAGAAUCAUCGUAACAAGAAAAUAAAGUUUCUGCGAUCUGAUCGUGGAGGAGAAUAUUUGAGUUACGAGUUUUGUUUACAUUUGAAACAAUGCGGAAUAGUUUCGCAACUCACACCACCCGGAACACCACAACGAAAUGGUGUGUCCGAAUGUCGUAAUCGUACUUUACUUGAUAUGGUGCGAUCUAUGAUGUCUCUUACCGAUUUACCGCUAUCGUUUUGGGGUUAUGCUUUAGAGACGGCCGCAUUCACGUUAAAUAGGGCACCAUCUAAAUCCGUUGAGACGACGCCUUAUGAACUGUGGUUUGGCAAGAAACCAAAGUUGUCGUUUCUUAAAGUUUGGGGUUGCGAUGCUUAUGUGAAGAAACUUCAACCAGAUAAGCUCGAACCCAAAUUGGAGAAAUGUGUCUUCAUAGGAUACCCAAAAGAGACUGUUGGGUACACCUUCUAUCACAGAUCCGAAGGCAAGACAUUCGUUGCUAAAAAUGGAUCCUUUCUGGAGAAGGAGUUUCUCUCGAAAGAAGUGAGUGGGAGGAAAGUAGAACUUGAUGAGAUAACUGUAUCUACUCCCUUAUUGGAAGGUAGUUCAUCACGAGAACCAGUUCCUGUGACGACUACACCAAUUAGUGAGGAAGCUAAUGAUAUUAAUCAUGAAACUUCAGAUCAAGUUUCUACUGAACCUCGUAGGUCUACCAGAGUAAGAUCCGCACCAGAGUGGUACGGUAAUCCUAUUCUGGAAGUCAUGUUACUUGACCAUGAUGAACCUACGAACUAUGAGGAAGUGAUGAUGAGCCCAGAUUCCGCAAAAUGGCUAGAGGCCAUGAAAUCUGAGAUGGGAUCCAUGUAUGAAAACAAAGUAUGGACUUUGGUUCACUUACCCGAUGAUAGGCAAGCCAUUGAGAAUAAAUGGAUCUUUAAGAAGAAGACUGACGCUGAUGGUAAUGUUACUGUCUAUAAAGCUCGACUUGUUGCGAAAGGUUUUCGACAAGUUCAAGGGGUUGACUACAAUGAGACUUUCUCACCCGUAGCGAUGCUUAAGUCUGUCCGAAUCAUGUUGGCUAUUGCUGCAUUUCAUGAUUAUGAAAUUUGGCAAAUGGAUGUCAAGACUGCAUUCUUGAAUGGAUUUCUAGAAGAAGAGUUGUAUAUGAUGCAGUCGGAAGGUUUUGUUGAUCCAAAAGGUGCAGACAAAGUGUGCAAGCUCUAGCGUUCCAUUUAUGGACUGGUGCAAGCAUCUCGGAGUUGGAAUAAACUCUUUCAUAGUGUAAUCAAAGCAUAUGGUUUUAUAGAGACUUUUGGAGAAGCCUGUAUUUACAAGAAAGUGAGUGGGAGCUCUGUAGCAUUUCUAGUUUUAUAUGUUGAUGACAUAUUAUUAAUUGGAAAUGAUAUAGAAUUUCUGGAUAGCAUAAAGGGGUACUUGAAUAAAAGUUUUUCGAUGAAAGACCUCGGUGAAGCUGCUUACAUAUUGGGCAUCAAGAUCUAUAGAGAUAGAUCAAGACGCUUAAUAGGACUUUCACAAAGUACAUACCUUGACAAAAUUUUGAAAAAGUUCAAAAUGGAUCAGGCAAAGAAAGGAUUCUUGCCUAUGCUACAAGGUGUGAAGUUGAGUCAAACUCAAUGCCCGACCACAGCAGAAGAUAGAGAGAAAAUGAAAAAUGUUCCCUAUGCUUCAGCCAUAGGCUCUAUCAUGUAUGCAAUGCUGUGUACCAGACCUAACGUAUGCUUAGCAAUAAGUUUGGCAGGAAGGUACCAAAGUAAUCCAGGAGUGGAUCACUGGACAACGGUCAAGAACAUCCUGAAAUACCUGAAAAGGACUAAGGAUAUGUUUCUCGUAUAUGGAGGUGAAAAAGAGCUAGUCGUAAAUGGUUACGUCGAUGCAAGCUUUGACACUGAUCCGGACGAUUCUAAAUCGCAAACCGGAUACGUGUUUUUAUUAAACGGUGGAGCUGUAAGUUGGUGCAGUUCUAAACAAAGCGUCGUGGCGGGAUCUACAUGUGAAGCGGAGUACAUAACUGCUUCUGAAGCAGCGAAUGAAGGAGUCUGGAUGAAGGAGUUCAUUUCCGAUCUAGGUGUCAUACCUAGUGCAUCGGGACCAAUGAAGAUCUUCUGUGACAAUAUUGGUGCAAUUGCCCUGGCAAAGGAAUCCAGAUUUCACAAGAGGACCAAGCACAUCAAGAGACGCUUCAAUUCCAUUCGGGACCAAGUCCAAGUGGGAGACAUAGAGAUUUGCAAGAUACAUACGGAUCUGAAUGUUGCAGACCCGUUGACUAAGCCUCUCUCACGAGGAAAACAUGAUCAGCACCAAGACUCCAUGGGUGUUAGAAUCAUUACUAUGUAAUCUAGAUUACUGACUCUAGUGCAAGUGGGAGACUGAAGGAAAUAUGCCCUAGAGGCAAUAAUAAAGUUAUUAUUUAUUUCCUCAUAUCAUGAUAAAUGUUUAUUAUUCAUGCUAGAAUUGUAUUAACCGGAAACAUGAUACAUGUGUGAAUACAUAGACAAACACAUAGUCACUAGUAUGCCUCUACUUGACUAGCUCAUUAAUCAAAGAUGGUUAUGUUUCCUGACCAUAGACAUGUGUUGUCAUUUGAUUAAUGGAAUCACAUCAUUAGAAGAAUGAUGUGAUUGACAUGACCCGUUCUGUUAGCCUAGCACUUGAUCGUUUAGUGUACUGCUAUUGCUUUCUUCAUGACUUAUACAAAGUUCCUACAACUAUGAGAUUGUGCAACUCCCGUUUACCGGAAGAACACUUUGUGUGCUACCAAACGUCACAACGUAACUGGGUGAUUAUAAAGGUGCUCUACAGGUGUUUCCGAAGGUACAUGUUGGGUUGGCAUAAUUCGAGAUUAGGAUUUGUCACUCCGAUUGUCGGAGAGGUAUCUCUGGGCCCUCUCGGUAGUACUCAUCACCUAAGCCUUGCAAGCAUGUAACUAAUAAGUUAGUUAUGAGAUGACGUAUUACGGAACGAGUAAAGAGACUUGCCGGUAACGAGAUUGAACUAGGUAUUGGAUACCGACGAUCAAAUCUCGGGCAAGUAACAUACCGAUGACAAAGGGAACAACGUAUGUUGUUAUGCGGUUUGACCGAUAAAGAUCUUCGUAGAAUAUGUAGGAACCAAUAUGGGCAUCCAGGUCCCGCUAUUGGUUAUUGACCGAGAAUAGUUUUAGGUCAUGUCUACAUAGUUCUCGAACCCGUAGGGUCCGCACGCUUAACGUUUCGAUGACAGUUUUAUUAUGAGUUUAUAAGUUUUGAUGUACCGAAGUUUGUUCGGAGUCCCGGAUGUGAUCACGGACAUGACGAGGAGUCUCGGAAUGGUCGAGACAUAAAUAUUGAUAUAUUGGACGACUAUAUUCGGACACCGGAAAGGUUCCGGGAGUUUUCGGAGAAAACCGGAGUACCGGAGGGUUACCGGAACCCCCCCCCCCCCGGGAAGUAAUGGGCCUUAAUGGGCCCUAGUGGUGAAAGAGAGGGGCCGGCCAGGGCAAGUGGCGUGCCCCCUCCCCUUGAGUCCGAAUAGGACAAGGAAGGGGGGGCGGCGCCUCCUUGCCUUCCCCCUCUCCUACUCCUUCCUUCCCCCUCCCUCUUGGAUUAGGAAAAGGAGGGGGGAAACCUACUUGGAGUAGGUUUCCCCCUCCUAGGGCGCGCCUCCCCUUAGGCCGGCCCCCUCCUCCCUCCCUCCUUUAUAUACGGGGGUGGGGGGCACCCCAUAGACACAAGUUGAUCUACGGAUCGUUCCUUAGCCGUGUGCGGUGCCCCCCUCCACCAUAUUCCACCUCGGUCAUAUUGUCGCGGAGUUUAGGCGAAGCCCUGCGCCGGUAGAACAUCAUCAUCAUCACCACACCGUCGUGCUGACGGAACUCAUCUCCGGAGCUCGGCUGGAUCGGAGGCUGGAGAUCGUCAUCGAGCUGAACGUGUGCAGAACUCGGAGGUGCCGUACGUUCGGUACUUAGAUCGGUCGGAUCGUGAAGACGUACGACUACAUCAACCGCGUUGUCAUAAUGCUUCCUCUUACGGUCUACGAGGGUACGUGGACGAACACUCUCCCCUCUCGUUGCUAUGCCAUCACCAUGAUCUUGCGUGUGCGUAGGAAAUUUUUUGAAAUUACUACGUUCCCCAACACUUGAGUUUUUCUAACUUCAAUCCCAAGGAAGAAAUGCAAGUCACCCAGGUCUUUCAAGGCAAACUCUGAGAUCAAGUCAUGCAGAAGUGCAUUAGUAGCAUUUUGUGAAGAACUUGCAACUAUGAUAUCAUCAACAUAUAUAAGCACAAAAAUGACUACUCCAGCCUUGUUAUAAAUAAACAAAGACAUGUCAGCUUUAGAGGCAAUGAAACCAAGAUAUUUCAACUGUAAGCUUAAUCUGGAGUACCAUGCUCUGGGUGCUUGUUUUAGACCAUAGAGUGCUUUGUCAAGCUUGCAAACAUAAUGUGGUGAUUCCUUAUCCUCAUAUCUAGGUGGUUGUCUCAUGAACACUUCCUCUUCCAGAACACCAUGCAAAAACGCGUUCUGUACAUCUAGCUGUCUUAGGCUCCAACCCUUAGAUACAGCAAUGGCUAGCACAAGUCUGAUAGUUGCAGCUUUCACAACAGGACUAAAGGUAUCCUCAUAAUCAAUACCAUAACGUUGCUUAAAGCCCUUUGCAACUAGACGUGCCUUAUACCUGUCAAUGGAGCCAUCUGCCUUCUUUUUGAUUCUGUACACCCAUUUGCAAUCGAUGAUAUUUUUGCCUUUUUGGUUUGGUACAAGAUGCCAGGUCUUGUUCCUCAUAAGUGCAGAAUAUUCCUCAUCCAUUGCCUUCUUCCACUUAGGAUCGUCAAGUGCACUACUCAACGUUGUUGGCUCUCCUGAAAUACACAAUAUUCCAUAUGGUAUAGUUCCAUCUUUUCUUAUUUUAGGAUUCCGUAUACCUUUCUGUAGACGUGUCAUAACCCGUGAAGAAGCUGCUGGCUGAACCUCAGGAAUGCUGGCCACAGAAGAUCCUGACGAGCCUGCAUGUGCUGACACAGGGGAAUCUGCCGCCUCCUGCGCAGAUGAUCCUACAGCCGAUGGUGUGGCCGCCUCCCCAGUGCGCACAUGAGAACCAGCCGCCCGGUCCGGCACAGCAGAUCCGCAGCCCGACCGCGGUUGCAGGCGCACGCGGGGCGAGGGGGAUCCGGCCCCGCUGCUGGUCCCGCCUGUUGCUGAGGUGGCGGCGCGGGAGUGGCCCUCCCUUGAUUCGUUGCCGCAGCUGACAGAGGCGCGAUCCGAGGCGGAUCUGCUUGCGCGAUCCGAGGUCUGCCCGCGCACAGGAGUUCCAGGCGCCGCCGGAUCACCUUCGUUGUCCGUGCCAGGUUCGUCUUCUUCCUCAACAUGCAAUAUAGGAUCAAUUUGAGCUAUAUUUUCAGGGUUUUGAUCAAGUUGAGCCCUGUUUUCUCCAGAGACCUGCACAGGCAACAGAAAAGAGCAAGUACCAGUAGAAAUAUCGUCACUUUGAUUAGUACAAUUGUCGCCCCCAUGAUCAAAAGACCGAAGAUGUGGAGGAAGAAGAAGAAUUUCCUUGCGAAGAAGUGCACCGGCAUUGGGAUGAAGUGAUGCAAACGGAAACACGGAUUCAUCAAAGACAACAUCUCGGGAUAUGUAGACCCUACCACUAGGAACAUCAAGACAUUUGACCCCUUUAUGCAUGGGACUAUAGCCUAAAAAGACACAAUUUUUUGAGCGGAAUGCAAGUUUGCGUGUAUUGUAGGGUCUAAGAUUGGGCCAACAUGCACAACCGAAAACACGAAGAGAUGUGUAGUUUGGUAUGACACCAAAGAGUCGUGUAAUAGGAGUUUCAAAUCUGAUAACUUUGCUUGGAAGCAAAUUGAUAAGAUAUGUAGCAGUUAAGAAUGCUUCAUCCCAAAAUUUAAGUGGCAUCGAUGCAUUUGCGAGGAAUGCAAGCCCCAUAUCAACUAUGUGACGAUGCUUUCUUUCAGCAGAUCCAUUUUGUUGGUGAGCAUGAGGACAUGAGACAUGAUGUGAUAUGCCAAGUUUUUGGAAGAAAGAGUUCAAUUUUUCAUACUCACCACCCCAGUCACUUUGGAUAGCAAUGAUUUUAGAGUUCAGUUUGCGUUCAACAAGAUUUUGGAAAUUGAUAAAGACUUGGAAAACAUCAGACCGUUUCUUUAACAAAUAAAUCCAAGUAAAUUUACUAUUUCCAUCAAUAAAGCUUACAUAAUAAGAAAAUCUCCCAGCUGAAGUAGGGGCUGGCCCCCAUACAUCUGAAAAUAUGAGUUGUAGAGGAGCAGUAGACACACUAGUAGAGAUGGAAUAAGGUAAUUGAUGACUUUUUGCUUGUUGACAUGGAUCACAAACUGACUCAACACUAUUCUCAUAAGAGAGUUUAUUUUUGCUAAGAACGUAUUUAACUAUGACUGAAGAUGGAUGACCUAAACGACUAUGCCACCUUGAUGAUGAUGGCUUGGUGACAAUGUUGGCUUGCUUAUUUGACCAUGAAGAUGAUGAUGAUGAUAUAAGUAGAUAGAGGCCUCCCACGCACCGUCAUCUAAGAAUGAUUCUCCUUGUUCUCAAAUCCUUAACCAAGAAAAAAUAAGGGUAGAAUUCUAUGAGAACAUUGUUAUCAAGGGUGGAUCGAUGAACGAAAACAAGAUUUUUUGAUGUUUGAGGAACAUGCAAGACAUCUUUCAGGUGCAAAUUUUUCAUGGGGUUUUUAACAAUUGAACUACCAAUGUGAGUGAUGUUCAUACCAGAACCGCUUGCCGUGCGAAUUUGGUCGCCUCCAUUGUACUUCUCCCGUGUUGUCAGCUUCUCAAGUUCACCUGUGAUGUGAUUUGUUGCUACACUGUCGGCAUACCAGUUUGUAUCUACGCCAUAGGAGACAGCAUGCGCCUCCUUCUCUUCCUGAUCGUUCUCUUCAUAGCGCCACCAGCAAACACGUGCGCCUCCUGGAUGGUGCCUAUAGCAUAUCUGACAUUUAGGGUAAUCGUGCUGCUGUUCGCGCACUUGCUGUUGCCGUUGUUGUCGAGGGCGUCCUCUGAAUCCGCCGCCUCUGUUUGCAGGAGAGGGCUGGCGGUCACCGCGGUCACCGCGAUCACCACGGCCGCGCCCCCUUCCUCCUCGCCCACGGGGUCUGCCGCGGGACUGGCCACGGCCUCUGUAAACUGCGCUGGCCGAUGAAUGAAAUCCUCCUGAAGAUGAAUCACCCAGCAUCUCCAUCCUCUGAUCAAAAGCAGAAAUCUGAGCGAAGAGGUCGUCGGCGGUGAUAGUGUUCUUGACAGCACCAAUCGUUGCAACCACAGAGUCAUAGUCGCGAUCAAGUCCCGCCAGGAUGUAGUCCACCAUCUCCGGGUCAGAGACAGGGCGCCCAGCAGCAGCAAGUUCGUCCCCAAGGCUCUUCAUCUUUGCCAUAUACGCCGAGCUCGACAUGGUGCCCUUCUUGGUGUUGGUGAUUGCGAUCCUCAGAUUGGUGAUCCGGGAUAGUGAUUGUGAGGCGAAGAGAUUUGUCACCGUCGUCCAGAGCUCGUAGGUGGAGUCCUUCCUGAUGACUUGUGCAAGGAUUUCAGGAGACAUGGAAUUGAGUAGAUAUGAUAGGACCUAUUGAUCUUUGGCGAUCCAGGGCCCGUAGAGGGGAUUCGGCUCUAGGGUCGUGGUUUUAUCCGCCUUCGUGAUAUCCACCACCCUCGAUGGAGCGGCAUCGGAGUUGUCCAGGAGCCCAGUAACCUGCGCACCUCGCAGAGCUGGGAGAACCUGUGUCUUCCAGAGGAUGAAAUUUCCUCUUGCGAGCUUCUCUGACGGUGGCGAUCCAAGGUUAAGAGCAACGCCGGCUGAGGAAGCCAUGGAGACAAUGGUAUGUGGUUUAGGGUUUUGAUCUUUGGCUAGAUGUUUUGGGAAGAGGUGGCUCUGAUUACCAUGUAAGAUGAAAAGUGUUCCCGACCCCUCGAGGGGGAGUCGCGGGCUGUAUAUAUUGAUGUGGCCGAAGCCAACCUUGACGUACAAGGAAGAUUUACAAGAGUUUGAGUAGAACAAGUAAAGGAAGGAGUUGGAGACUACUACGGAAACUAUAUUCGCUAACAGAGUCUCCCUUCGCUUAUAUGGAUGGAGAUGGACCUCAGCUCAGCACCUACUCCCUCCCAAUCCGAGCAAGGGAACUGAGGUCAACACGGACUGAGGCCCGGGGCAAGAAGGGCCAAGCCUGGCCGCUUUCCCCUGAAAAAAUGGAAAACUCGUUUGCGGCAAGUUGUCCGGACUAGGCCCACGACAGAGGAGAAAGACCAGUAAUGCUAAACAUACAAAGGUUUACAUGCUUUUACAUCAUGAUUAGGUUCUUUUCAAACUAACUAAUCACUCCCCCGAUUUUCAUGGGGAUGGGCCCCUUCUCUUCCUUAAUCUUCAAUCAAAACCCACCUUUAUGUACAAGCAUGUAUCCUUUUGUAUAUUUUUUUUGGAGAAAUCUCGCCCACUUUCAUUGAUUUGAUAACUAUGUUCAUAGGUACACGGUUCGGCUUAUAGGGGUUACCCAACCACACAUGUCUACCUACUCCUAAAUUACAAGCAAACUUGGUGAGAGUAUGAGCCUCGAAAUUAAAAUUCCUACACUCAUGAAUAAAAGACCAAGACGUACAUAUAAGAAGAUAUACGCGCCGCAAUCUCUUGGAUGAUAGCCGCAUUAGGACCUCCCGUCCCCUUGUUGAUAUCUUUUACCACUUCUAGGCAGUCUGAUACUACUACCAUAUUCUGAAUAUGAAGAUCAUUUGCUAGGGCAAGAGCUUCACUGCAUGCAAAAGUUUCGAGCAUCAUUGGAUCACCAGUUUCUUUUUGUACGUGUAGCAUUACUAGGAGAAAGACGAGCGUUUCAGGAUGGGCUGGCCCGUUAAACAUUUCAACCAUUCCGGUUUUGGGAAGGUUUAGCCGAUUUUUUCCCCGGUUUGGGAAUCUUCCUUCUAGAAGGUUCCUGAAGCGGUUUUUUUUUCUGUUCCUUUUUCUUUUUUAGUUUUUUUCUGUUCUUUUUCUUUCUUUCGGCGCCCUGUAUCUUCAAAAAAGAAAGCUAUUAAUGACUGUUUCGAUCAACAAGCACGGCGGCGGCUAUCACUUCCAUUUUCUUCUUUUUUCAUGUUUAUUUUCUUUUUAAAAAAGUUUACUGAGUUUAUUGAAAAAAAGCGUAAGUUUUAAAAAAUGUUUGUGUUUUUCUUAAAUUGUUGAAAACUUCAAAACAAAUCCUGUUUUGCAAUUUUGUUAACAAAUUUAGAAAAAUUGUCGCCUUUUCCCCAAAAAACAGGGCUUCAAAAAAAUUAGCAUUUUCAAAGCUUUUAUUUAGAGUUUAAAAAAAAGCUCUCUUUUUUUCCAAAAAUGUCCGUUCUUUCAAUUUUGCUCAAAAAUCUCCCCUUUCCCAAAAGUUGUUUAAGAUUUAAAAAUAUAUGAGUUUUCCAAAGAAUGUUGGUGUUUUCAAAUAAAUUUCAAUUUUUUAAAAAAUUAUUCAAAAAAAUUGAAAUGAUUUGAUUUCAAUAAACAUUCUAUUCUCUCAAUAAAAUCAUGUUCAAAAUCCAAAAAAUAUUUAGAUCUGUUGCCACUCAUAGGUGUUAUGCACCGCAAUGCAUAUUUAGACACCAAUAUUAUGCGGCUUUCCAUUGGCGGCUAUGUAACAGCGUUGACUGACAGGAUGUGUGCCCGACAUUUUCAGGAAUUUUAUGCCGCUGGAGUUGGUCCUUACAAGUUUGCGCUGCUUAUUAUUAAUAAAAUUUAUUCAGCUCUUGCGUCUUAGGACGCCGGGAGUUCGGUCCCACUUUAUCACCAAGUAUAUAUAUUUUUCGGAUGUUUUUGGGGAGUCGCUACCAACUUUGGGCAAUGCGACGUUAGUUCGGCACCCCAAGAAAGAAGGCUAUCCGUGAAAUGAAGAACUAUUGUACAGACAUGGGGAUGAACACGAAUUAAGCGAAAACUUUGCACCCGUUCUACCUUAGCAUGGAAGCGAACUGUAAAUAUGAGACGAAAAUUAAUUUAGGGAACAAAAUUUGCGGAAACGAAAAUGAAAUUGGGGAACAUAAUUUUCGUAUCUGCACAUGCAUAUUGUGUUUUUUCAUGUAUAGCCAAAUCUAGACCAGCCUAGAUACCUGGGCUAACUCAAAUGUCCUUGAACUUAACUAUACUUGUAUAUGCUGCCAAAAAUAAAAAUCACGCAUAAUAGUAUACAUUAUUGUGAUAUAUCAUAAUAGUUACAGUCACCUUAGCAAUUGUCUUUUUGGAUUUUAUUCUAUAUUUCUUUGAAGUUCAAUAGUUUUUUGAGUUCCAGCGAUUUUCCACUUUUUAUUUGUGCCCCCACGGUAGUAUCUUCUUUCCUAUUCAUUUCCACACAAAUUUAUACUCCCCCCUAUCCAUAUCUCAAUUAGCGAAAGGUAGUUUCGCUCCCGGACGCCGUCCAAGCUUGAGGAUCUGGCCGUCUAUUUCGAUAGAAGAUGGUGGAUCCAAGCAGUGGCAGAGCAAGACAAAAACCACUGGGGGGCAAAGGUAGAUUACAAAGAUCUGGGGGCAAAACACUGAUUUUCCUCUCAUCUAGGCCCUUCAAAAAAUCUUCUCACUUUUCUCCAAAAGCUGGGAGGGUGGGUCCCCCUGGCCUCAACAUAGCUUCCCCACUAGAUCGAAGACCUGUGGUCGUCCAUGCAUCCUUUGGUCACCUUUCCCUGGAAGAAGUUGUGGUAACUGCUCCAGGGCGUUGGUUCGUCCAUAGGUGGUUGACUUCCUGACCGCAAGAUAAAAAGUCUUGCCGGCUCUACAGAGGAGCAACGUCGGCACCGGCGCGCCAUCCCCUUGUCCCGAAGGUUGUUGUCGGAGAUACCCCAGAUGUUUGUUUUUGAUUUCUUGUUUGUUUGGGUUGUUUUUUUUUGUAAUGUUGGUUCUUUGAAUUUAUUGAGCUAGGCUUUUUUUCACUAGUGCUAACUUUUUUGGUUCUUAGAUUAGAAUAAUUUGCUUUUUGAGACAAUAUAAUUCUCUGCUAAAAGGCAUGAAAAUGAAGGUAAAAUAUGGUAGAAAUCAGCCCACUCCGUUUUCACCCAGUUGACAAUGGAUUGCUCAAAUGCGGGAGCUAUUUCUCGCAUUCAGCGAGCCAAAAGAUUUCUCUCGCUGAAGGAUUCCGACUAGGCUAUCGCGCCGGCCCACUAUCGCACAACAAAAUAGAAAACCCUAUCAAGAAAACGAGGGCGCAAGCAAACUUGGCCAAAAUGGGCCGGCCCGGCCCGGCCUGGGUCCAACGAGCCAGGCAUGCUAAGUACGCGUGCCGGCCUCUUUGGCCCAGGCACGACCCCUUCACUACAUGGGUCGGCACGUCGGCCGGUUUGUCCUGAGUAGGCACGUCGAGGCAUCUAUCGUUAUUGCCUCAUUGGCAUUGCUGAAGAAAAAAUGAUGGUUGGCGUCUACAGGAAUAAUGAAUAAAGAAUUGCAGUGCGCUCUUGAGCUUGUGUCGCGCUAAAGGCACAUCGAUUUGCAGGAAUAAGGUUACAAAAAAAAGAUUUGCAGGAAUAAAGAAUUGCAGGCAGGCACGUCCCCCUGGUCCCUGCCUGGCUGCCUCCCUGUCCCUGGUAUACGUAGUUUUUUUUUUGUUGAGAAAUUGGUAUACGUAGGUAGCAGUAGGUUUUGCUCAAGAGAAAAUGUGCUAGUCGUGCCGUGCCGGGCUGGCAAGGCAGCCCAGGCACGACCUAGCCGAGCCACGUGCCAGGCACGGCCCACUAAGUCGCGUGCCAUGCCGGGCCGGGCACAUGGGCUAUCGUGCCGGCCCGACAAUACCGGCCCAUUUGGCCAGGUUUGGGCGUGAGGGGGAAUCGAACCGUGGUUUUACGAACGAGCAUAGAGCCGGUAGCCACUGCACCACUUAUGACUUCAUGUAAAAUACACACUACUUGAUGUAAAAUACCAGAGGUUUUUUUAUUUCUUCAUUUUUCCUUUCUUUCGUUUCUUUGGUUUUUUGUUUGGUCUUCUUAUUUUUCUCCGGUUUUGUUUUAUUCAUCAUUAUAAUUCGAUUUUCUCAAUUUUUUUGCUUUUUUCAUUUCAUUUUUCUGUUUUCAAUUUUUUUUCUUCUCUGUUUUUUGUUUUGUUUUCCUUUUUUAUUCUCGAUUUUUUGUUUUCCUUUGGUGCUUUCUUAUGUUGUAAUUUUCACUCUACACUUACACACAUGUCAAAAACAUUUUUUGUAACAAGUGAUCAACAUUUUCUGUGUACAAGUUCAACAUUGUCCCAAUGCUAUUUCAACAUUUUUCAAAUACUUGUUCAACAUUUUUAAUAGUUAUUCAAUAUUUUAUCAUAUACUUGUUCAACAUUUUUAAUACUUACUCAACAUUUUCAAAUACUUGUUAAACAUUUUUAUAUACCCAUUCAACAUUUUAAUACCUUUUUCAACAUUUUUAAUAGCUAUAUGAAUGAGUCUUAAAAGGAGAAAUCAAUGGCUCACAAAUCGACCGAGCCAAAUUCAUUUUUCAGGUGACUUGCAUAUAGCUGAACUAAAGUGAGAGUUUGCAGAUUUUAUUGUGUAAUAAGAAUUUCUUUAUGGCACAAUAGUUUUUUGAGUUUUGGGGAUUUUUCACUUGAUGAAUGUUUGUGGCCGCUUCGUAGUGUCUACUAUGUCGUAUUCGUUUCACAAUGUGUACAUUUUUUUUGAGGGGUUCACAAUUUGUACAUUUUUUAGGGGUACAAUUUGUACAUUUUUUUUGAGCAUGGUACAAUUUGUACAUAGGAGUAUUUGUUUUCACUUCCCGUAGAAGAUAGUAUGAAAACAAGACAAACAUGGCAGACAUGAGCUCAGACAUGCAUUAUGCCCCCACAAGGAACGAGGAAGCAUCCGAUCAACGGUUAAUAAGAAUCAAAAGCUUUGCUCUGAAGCCAGGUCUGACAAGAUUGAAGCAAGGUCCCAGAAGAUUGAUGCGGCAUCCAAGGUGGUGAUAGAUGCGGCGUUGGACAAGAUUGAUGCAUCAUCCAAGGUGGUGAUAGAUGCGGCGUUGGACAAGAUCGACGAUGCAUCCAAGGUGGUGAUAGAUGGGCGUUAGAGAAGAUUGAUGCCGCAUCCAAGGUGAUGAUCAAUGCAUCAUCCAUGGUGAUGAUAGAUUCGGCGUUGGAGAAGAUCAAUGCAUCAUCCAAGGUAAUGAUAGAUUCAGCAUUGGAGAAGAUCAAUGCAUCAUCCAAAGUGAUGAUAGAUUCGGCGUUGGAGAAGAUCAAUGCAUCAUCCAAGGUAAUGAUAGAUUCGGCAUCCAAGGUGAUGAUAGAUUCGGCGUUGGAGAAGAUCAAUGCGUCAUCCAAGGUAAUGAUAGAUUCGGCAUCCAAGGUGAUGAUAGAUUCGGUGUUGAAGAAGAUCAAUGCAUCAUCCAAGGUAAUGAUAGAUUCAGCGUUAGAGAAGAUCGGCGUUGAACAUUUUUUAAAAACAUGAACAUUUUUUAAAACACUGACAUUUUUUGAAAUUAUGAGCAAAAUUUAAAACAAGAACAUAUUUUGAAAUUCCUGAAAUACUUUAUGAAACACGAACAGUUCUUGAAAUUGUGAACAAAAUUUGGAAGCAGGAACAUUUUAUGAAAUUUCUGAACAUUUUUUGAAAUUGAGAGCAAAUUUUGAAAACAAGAGCAUGUUAUAAAAUUCCGAAUAAAUAUUUGAAAUUCUCAAACAAAAGAAACAUGACUAAAGAAAAAACGAAAGAAUAAAGAAAAGAAAAAAAAAAGAGAAAGAAAAGAAGAUGGUGGAUAAACCAGAUCUGGUGGUCUACUCGGAUAGAAGAUGGGGUCGUCCACGCGUCCUUUGGUCACGUUUCCUCUUUGGAACCAGUAGCGGUAACUGCUCCAGGGCGUUGGUUUGUCCAUAGGUGGAAUACUUCUCGGCCGCAAGAUAGAAAGUCAGGCUGGCUCUCGAGAGGAACAGCAGCGGCACCGGCGCGCCAUCCCCUCGUCCCCAAGAUUGUUGUCGGAGUUUACCCCAAAGGCUUGUUUUGUGAUUUGUUGUUUGUUUGGGUUGUUUUUUGUAAUGUUGGUUCCUUUAAUUUAUUGAGCUUAGGCUCUUCAGCAUAAAAAAACGACAAUUAAUAUGUUCUCCCUCCGUCUCGAAAUGUAAGAUGGUUUUUGGUACUAUGAUAGUGUCGAAAACCGUCGUCUUAUAUAUGUAUUGACCCCUUCUUUAAAUUAGAUCUGGCAGAUGCAGGAUGAACUCCUACCACAUGAUCGCAUACGAGCAAUUCAAGAGGAAUUGGCGGGAUUCUUUCUUGACCACGUCAUACCUGAACAAGGAGAAUACCAUGUGAAAUUGAAAUUGUUGUAAGGGAUGUUAUAUAUUGUACAUUUGUAGCAGCGUCACCAAGCACGAAGAAAGAGAUGUCACUUCUCUCUAUAUAUGUUCAUGGCGAUCUUGUGUAAUUAAUGGUUUCCUUUAUUUGCUUACUAGCUAGCGUCGAGUUCUCUCUAUAUGUGUAGUAGCUAGAGUCGACCAAGCACGAAAAAAGAGAGGUCACUUCUCUCUAUUAGCUCGCUAACACAAUAUGAAACCCCUAAAUUAACCCUCCAAAACUCCCAAACCCCCCCUUCCAAAAAAACAAAACCCCCAGCGACUGCGAGCUGCUGACGCGUGGCCGCCUUUUGGUCCCAGCUGGUGUUACCAACCGGGACUAAAGGUCCUCCCUCCCCCGCCCCAGGCAGCGCCACGUGGAGGGCCUUUGGUCCCGGUUCAAAAGCAAACCGGGACUAAAGGUUUUGGCUAUUAGUCCCGACCCUUUAGUCCCGGUUCCAGAACCGGGACAAAUGGCCCUCUGGAACCGGAAAAAAUGGCCCUUUUUCUACUAGUGAAUUCUCAUAGGAGAUACUUUCAGAUAGACAUAAUCUCCUACUUCGAAAAUUAAUUCUCUUCUUCGAUUAUCUGCAUAGCUCUUCUGACGAGUUUGUGCCACUCUCAAGUUCUCUCUAAUCAACCUGACUUGUUCCUCGACAUUCCUGAGCACAUCUAGUCCAAAGACUUAACUUUCACCCAUUUGAUUCCAGAACAACGGUGUUUUACACUUACGUCCAUACAAUGCUUCAAAGGGUGCCAUCUUUAGACUAUUCUGGUGACUGUUGUUGUAAGAGAACUCCGCAUACGGUAAACUUUUAUCCCAACUAGUACCAUACUGCAAUGCACAAGCUCUCAACAUAUCUUCAAGAAUCUGAUUGAGCCUUUUUGUCUGUCCAUCAGUCUGAGGAUGAUGUGCCGUACUGAAAUUCAACUUUGUUCCCAAAGAUUUAUGCACUUCCUGCCAAAAGAUGGAUGUGAACUGCGUACCUCUAUCAGACACAAUCUACUUAGGAAAUCCAUGCUGACAUAUUAUUCUUUCCAUGUAUAGAUCUGCCAAUUUUGCCCCGCUAUAAGUAGUCUUGACAGGCAAAAAGUGAGCGACUUUAGUGAGACAUUCCACUAUUACCCAUAUAGAAUCAUAACCUUGUUAAGUAUGUGGUAAUCCCACUAUAAAGUCCAUUCCGACUUCUUCCCAUUUCCACUCAGGAAUCUUCAUUGGUUGCAACAAACUAGCGGGUCUCUGAUGCUCAGUAUUUACCCUCUGACAAGUGUCACAUAUAGCUACAUACUCAGCCACAUCUCUUUUUAAUCCAUACCAGCAGUACUUCUCCUUAAGAUUUAGAUACAACUUAGUACUUCUAGGAUGAAUAGAAUAGGCUGACUCAUGUGCUUCACGCAAAAUUGUAUCAUGAAUGGCUUUCACCUGAGGAACACAUAUCCUUUUUCCAAACCAUAAGGUUCCAUUCUCAUCUAUUCUGAAGCCAGGUGCUUUACCAAUCACCACAUUCUCAGCUAUCUCCUUUAACUUUUCAUCUUCUAGCUGACCCUUACGUAUUUCUUGCUCCAACGUAGGAAUCCAUUUUAUCUCCAUAGCACUAGCAACAACACCAAGGUUCAGAUGUUGCAACCCCGCAUACAACUCUUCUGCCUCUGGUCUCAACUUAUGAUUGUUGUCAUAUUUCUUCCUACUGAGAGCAUCAGCUACUACAUUCGCCUUACCUAGAUGAUAAUGUGCCUCCGGUUCAUAAUCCUUGAUUAACUCUAGCCAGCGACGUUGUCUUAAAUUCAUACCUGUCUGAGUGAAUAUAUACUUCAAGCUCUUAUGAUCGGUGUAGAUAUCACUCUUGUGACCAAUCAGAUAGUGUCUCCAGAUCUUCAAUGCAUGUACCACAGCUGCUAACUCCAGAUCAUGAGUAGGAUAAUUUAACUCAUGCUUCCUCAACUGUCUUGAUGCAUGCGUUGGUGGUGGUAACCUCAUGUCCGCUUGCACCGUGUUCGAUGAAACACCAAGGAGGGUCAAAAGCUUCAAACUGCAUCGGAGUCGCUCGGAGUAGCAGCGGGUACACGCUGGAGUGCUGGAUGUGAUGCUUGGCCUGAAGGAAAUAUGCCCUAGAGGCAAUAAUAAAGUUAUUAUUUAUUUCCUUAUUUCAUGAUAAAUGUUUAUUAUUCAUGCUAGAAUUGUAUCAACCGGAAACAUAAUACUUGUGUGAAUACAUAGACAAACUAAACGUCACUAGUAUGCCUCUACUUGACUAGCUCGUUGAUCAAGGAUGGUUAUGUUUCCUAACCAUAGACAUGUGUUGUCAUUUGAUUAACGGGAUCACAUCAUUAGGAGAAUGAUGUGAUUGACAUGACCCAUUCCAUUAGCUUAGCACCCGAUCGUUUAGUAUGUUGCUAUUGCUUUCUUCAUGACUUAUACAUGUUCCUAUGACUAUGAGAUUAUGCAACUCUCCCGUUUGCCGGAGGAACACUAUGUGUGCUACCAAACGUCACAAUGUAACUGGGUGAUUAUAAAGGUGCUCUACAGGUGUCUCCAAAGGUACAUGUUGGGUUGGUGUAUUUCGAGAUUAGGAUUUGUCACUUCGAUUGUCAGAGAGGUAUCUCUGGGCCCUCUCGGUAAUGCACAUCACUUAAGCCUUGCAAGGAAUGCAAUAAUGAGUUAGUUGCGAGAUGAUGUAUUACGGAACGAGUAAAGAGACUUGCCGGUAACGAGAUUGAACUAGGUAUUGAGAUACCGAUGAUCAAAUCUCGGGCAAGUAACAUACCGAUGACAAAGGGAACAACGUAUGUUGUUAUGCGGUCUGACCAAUAAAGAUCUUCAUAGAAUAUGUGGGAGCCAAUAUGAGCAUCCAGGUUCCGCUAUUGGUUAUUGACCAGAGACGUGUCUCAGUCAUGUCUACAUUGUUCUCGAACCCGUAGGGUCCGCGCGCUUAACGUUACGAUGACAGUUUCAUUAUGAGUUUAUAUAUUUUGAUGUACCGAAGGUUGUUCGGAGUCCCGGAUGUGAUCACGGACAUGACGAGGAGUCUCGAAAUGGUCGAGACAUAAAGAUCUAUAUACUGGACGGCUAUAUUCGGACACCGGAAACGUUCCGGGUGAUUUCGGAGAAAACCGGAGUGCCGGAAGGGUUACCGGAACCCCCCGGGGAAGUAUGGGGCCUUAGUGGGCCUAAGGGGAGAGAGAUGGCAGCAGCCCAGGAGGUGGCGCGCCCCCUCCCAUGGGGAGUCCAAAUUGGACUAGGGGAAGGGGGCGCGGCCCCUCUUUCCUCUCCCUCUCCCUCUCUUUCCUUCCCCCUUCUCUCUUCUUAGUUGGACUAGGAAAGGGGAGUCCUACUCCUACUAGGAGGAGGACUCCUCCCUCCUUGGCGCGCCCCAAGGGCCGGCCGGCCUCCCCCCUUGCUCCUUUAUAUACGGGGGCAGGGGGGCACCUCUAGACACACAAGUUGAUAUUCGUGAUCGUUCUCUUAGCCGUGUGCGGUGCCCCCCUCCACCAUACUCCUCGAUAAUAUUGUAGCGGUGCUUAGGCGAAGCCCUGCUACGGUAGAACAUCAAGAUCGUCAUCAUGCCGUCGUGCUGACAGAACUCUUCCCCGACACUUUGCUGGACCGGAGUCCGGGGUCGUCAUCGAGCUGAACGUGUGCUAGAACUGGGAGGUGCCGUAGUUUCGGUGCUUGAUCGGCCGGGUUGCGAAGACGUAUGACUACAUCAACCGCGCAUAACGCUUCCGCUUUCGGUCUACGAGGGUACGUGGACAAUACUCUCCCCUCUCGUUUCUAUGCAUCACCAUGAUCUUGCGUGUGCGUAGGAAUUUUUUUGAAAUUACUACGUUACCCAAUAGUGGCAUCCGAGCCUAGGUUUUAUGUGUUGAUGUGAUAUGCACGAGUAGAACACAAGUGAGUUGUGGGCGAUAUAAGUCAUACUGCUUACCAGCAUAUCAUACUUUGGUUCGGCGGUAUUGUUGGAUGAAGUGGCCUGGACCGACAUUACGCUUACGCUUACGCGAGACUGGUUCUACCGACGUGCUUUGCACGCAGGUGGCUGGCGGGUGCCAGUUUCUCCAACUUUAGUUUAACGGAGUGUGGCUACGCCCGGUCCUUGCGAAGGUUAAAACAGCACCAACUUGACAAAGUAUCGUUGUGGUUUUGAUGCGUAGGUAAGAUUGGUUCUUGCUUAAGCCCGUAGCAGCCACGUAAAACUUGCAACAAACAAAGUAGAGGACGUCUAACUUGUUUUUGCAGGGCAUGUUGUGAUGUGAUAUGGUCAAGACAUGAUGCUAAAUUUUAUUGUAUGAGAUGAUCAUGUUUUGUAACCGAGUGAUCGGCAACUGGCAGGAGCCAUAUGGUUGUCGCUUUAUUGUAUGCAAUGCAAUCGCCCUGUAAUGCUUUACUUUAUCACUAAGCGGUAGCAAUAGUCGUAGAAGCAUAAGAUUGGCGAGACGACAACGAUGCUAUGAUGGAGAUCAAGGUGUCACGCCUGUGACGAUGGUGAUCAUGACGAUGCUUCGGAAAUGGAGAUCACAAGCACAAGAUGAUGAUGGCCAUAUCAUAUCACUUAUAUUGAUUGCAUGUGAUGUUUAUCUUUUAUGCAUCUUAUCUUGCUUUGAUUGACGGUAGCAUUAUAAGAUGAUCUCUCACUAAAUUUCAAGAUAAAAGUGUUCUCCCUGAGUAUACAUCGUUGCCAAAGUUCGUCGUGCCCAGACACCACGUGAUGAUCGGGUGUGAUAAGCUCUACGUCCAUCUACAACGGGUGCAAGCCAGUUUUGCACACGCAAAAUACUCAGGUUAAACUUGACGAGCCUAGCAUAUGCAGAUAUGGCCUCGGAACACUGAGACCGAAAGGUCGAGCGUGAAUCAUAUAGUAGAUAUGAUCAACAUAGUGAUGUUCACCAUUGAAAACUACUCCAUUUCACGUGAUGAUCGGUUAUGGUUUAGUUGAUUUGGAUCAUGUGAUCACUUAGAAGAUUAGAGGGAUGUCUUUCUAAGUGGGAGUUCUUAAGUAAUAUGAUUAAAUUGAACUUAAAUUUAUCAUGAACUUAGUCCUGGUAGUAUUAGCAUAUCUAUGUUGUAGAUCAAUAGCUCGCGUUGUUGCUUCCCUGUGUUUAAUUUUGAUAUGUUCCUAGAGAAAAUUGUGUUGAAAGAUGUUAGUAGCAAUGAUGCGGAUUGGAUCCGUGAUCUGAGGUUUAUCCUCAUUGCUGCAUAGAAGAAUUAUGUCCUUGAUGCACCGCUAGGUGACGGACCUAUUGCAGGAGCAGAUGUAGACAUUAUGAACGUUUGGCUAGCUCAAUAUGAUGACUACUUGAUAGUUUAGUGCACCAUGCUUAACGGCUUAGAAUUGGGACUUCAAAGACAUUUUGAACGUCAUGGACCAUAUGAGAUGUUCCAGGAGUUGAAGUUAAUAUUUCAAGCAAAUACCCGAGUUGAGAGAUAUGAAGUCUCCAACAAGUUAUAUAGCUAAAAGAUGGAGGAGAAUCGCUCAACUAGUGAGCAUGUGCUCAGAUUGUCUGGUACUACAAUCGCUUGAAUCAAGUGGGAGUUAAUCUUCCAGAUAAGAUAGUGAUUGACAGAAUUCUCUGGUCACCAUCACCAAGUUAGUAGAACUUUGUGAUGAGCUAUAGUAUGCAAGGGAUGACGAAAACGACUCCCGAGCUUUUCAUGAUGAUGAAAUCGAUGAAGGUAGAAAUCAAAAAAAAGGAGCAUCAAGUGUUGAUGGUUGACAAGAUCACUAGUUUCAAGAAAAGGGCAAAGGGAAAAAGGGGAACUUCAAGAAGAACAGCAAGCAAGUUGUUGCUCAAGUGAAGAAGCCCAAGUCUGGUCCUAAGCCUGAGACUAAGUGCUUCUACUGCAAAGGGACUGGUCACUGGAAGCAGAACUACCCCAAGUGAUUGGCGGAUAAGAAGGAUGGCAAAGUGAACAUAAGUAUAUUUGAUAUACAUGUUAUUGAUGUGUACUUUACAAGUGUUUCUAGCAACCCCUCAGUAUUUGAUACUAGUUCAGUUGCUAAGAUUAGUAACUCGAAAUGGGAGUUGCAGAAUAAACAGAGACUAGUUAAGGGUGAAGUGACGAUGUGUGUUGGAAGUGGUUCCAAGAUUAAUAUGAUCAUCAUCGCACACUUCCUAUACUUUCGGGAUUAGUGUUGAACCUAAAUAAGUGUUAUUUGGUGUUUGCGUUGAGUAUGAAUAUGAUUUGAUCAUGUUUAUUGUAAUACGGUUAUUCAUUUAAGUAAGAGAAUAAAUUGUUGUUCUGUUUACAUGAAUAAAACCUUAUAUGGUUACACACCCAAUGAAAAUGGUUCAUUGGAUCUCAAUCAUAGUGAUACACAUAUUCAUAAUAUUGAAACCAAAAGAUGCAAAGUUAAUAAUGAUAGUGCAACUUAUUUGUGGCACUGCCGUUUAGGUCAUAUUGGUGUAAAGCGCAUGAAGAAACUCCAUGCUGAUGGGAUUUUGGAAUCACUUGAUUAUGAAUCACUUGGUGCUUGCGAACCAUGUCUUAUGGGCAAGAUGACUAAAGACUCCGUUCUCCGGAACAAUGGAGCGAGCAACUGACUUAUUGGAAAUAAUACAUACUGAUGUAUGCGAUCCGAUGAGUGUUGAAGAUCGAGGCGGGUAUCGUUAUUUUCUGACCUUCACAGAUGAUUUAAGUAGAUAUGGGUAUAUCUACUUGAUGAAACAUAAGUCUGAAACAUUUGAACAGUUCAAAGAAUUUCAUAGUGAAGUGGAAAAUCAUCAUGACAAGAAGAUAAGGUUUCUAUGAUCUGAUCGCGGAGACGAAUAUUUGAGUUACGAGUUUGGUCUUCAAUUAAAACAAUGUGGAAUAGUUUCACAAAUUCAUGCCACCUGGAACACCACAGCAUAAUGGUGUGUCCGAACGUCAUAACCGUAUUUUAUUGGAUAUAGUGCAAUCUAUGAUGUUUCUUACCGAUUUACCACUAUAGUUUUGGGGUUAUGCAUUAGAGACAGUUGCAUUCACGUUAAAAAAGGGCACCAUCUAAAUCCGCUGAGACGACACCGUAUGAACUGUGGUUUGGCAAGAAACCAAAGUUGUCGUUUCUUAAUGUUUGGGGUUGCGAUGCUUAUAUGAAAAAGUGUCAUCCUGAUAAGCUCAAACCCAAAUCGGAGAAGUGCAUCUUCAUAGGAUACCCAAAAGAAAAUGUUGGGUACACCUUCUAUCACAGAUCCGAAGGCAAGAUAUUCGUUGCUGAGAAUGGAUCCUUUCCAGAGAAGGAGUUUCUCUCGAAAGAAGUGAGUGGGAGGAAAGUAGAGAACUUGAUAAGGUAAUUGUACCUUCUCCCUUAUUGGAAAGUAGUUCAUCACAGAAAUCUGUUCUUGUGACUACUACACCAAUUAGUGAGGAAGCUAAUGAUGAUGAUCAUGUAACUUCAGAUCAAGUUACUACCGAAUCUCGUAGGUAAACCAGAGUGAGAUCCGCACCAGAGUGGUACGGUAAUCCUGUUCUGGAAGUCAUGUUACUAGACCAUGACGAACUUGCGAACUAUGAGGAAGUGAUGAUGAGCCCAGAUUCCGCGAAAUGGUUUGAGGCCAUGAAAUCUGAGAUAUGAUCCAUGUAUGAGAACAAAGUAUGGACUUUGAUUGAUUUGCCCGAUGAUCGGGAAGCCAUAGAAAAUAAAUGGAUCUUCAAGAGGAAGACGGACGCUGAUAGUAGUGUUACUAUCUACAAAGCUAGACUUGUCGAAAAAGGUUUUUGACAAAGUUCAAGGUGUUGACUACGAUGAGAGUUUCUCACUCGUAUCUAUGCUUAAGUCUGUCCGAAUCAUGUUAGCAAUUGCCGCAUUUUAAGAAAUCUGGCAAAUGGAUAACAAAACUGCAAUCCUUAAUGGAUUUCUUAAAGAAGAGUUGUAUAUGAUGCAACCAGAAGGUUUUGUCAAUCCUAAAGGUGCUAACAAAAUAUGCAAACUCCAGCAAUCCAUCUAUGGACUGGUGCAAGCAUCUCAGAGUUGGAAUAUACGCUUUGAUAAGUUGAUCAAAGCAUAUAGUUUUAUAUAGACUUACGAUGAAGCCUGUAUUUACAAGAAAGUGAGUGGGAGCACUACAACAUUUCUGAUAAGUAUAUGUGAAUGACAUAUUGUUGAUCGGAAAUAAUGUAGAAUUAUUCUGCAAAGUACAAAGGAGUGUUUGAAAGGAGUUUUUUCAAAGAAAGACCUCGGUGAAGCUACUUACAUAUUGAGCAUCAAGAUCUAUAGAGAUAGAUCAAGACGCUUGAUAAGUUUUUACAAUGAGUACAUACCUUGACAAGAUUUUGAAGUAAGUUCAAAAUGGAACAGUCAAAGAAAGAGUUCUUGCCUGUGUAACAAGGUGUGAAAUUGAGUAAGACUCAAAGCCCGACCACGACGGAAGAUAGAAAGGGAGUGAAAGUCAUUCCCUAUGCCUCAAUCAUAGGUUCUAUAAAGUAUGUCAUGCUGUGUACCUAUUGUAUACCCUACACUGAUUUUGGCAAGGGAGUACAAUAGUGAUCUAGGAGUAGAUCACUGGACAGCGGUCAAAAUUAUCCUUAGUUGAAUAAGGAUAUGUUUCUCUAUUAUGGUGGUGACAAAAAGGUUCGUCGUAAAGAGUUAUGUCGAUGCAAGCUUUGACACAGAUCUGGAUGACUCUAAGUCUCGAUCUAGAUACAUAAUGAAAGUGGGAGCAAUUAGCUAGAGUAGCUCCGUGCAGAGCAUUGUUGACAUAGAUAUUUGCAAAAUACUUACGGAUCUGAAUAUGACAGACCCGUUGACUAAAAUUAUCUCACAAGCAAAACAUAAUCACACCUUAGUACUCUUUGGGUGUUAAUCACAUAGCGAUGUGAACUAGAUUACUGACUCUAGUAAAACCUUUGGGUGUUGGUCACAUAUCGAUGUGAACUAUGGGUGUUAACCACAUAAAGAUGUGAACUAUUGAUGUUAGAUCACAUGGCGAUGUGAACUAGAUUAUUGACUCUAGUGCAAGUGGGAGACUGAAGGAAAUAUGCCCUAGAGGCAAUAAUAAAGUUAUUAUUUAUUUCCUUAUUUCAUGAUAAAUGUUUAUUAUUCAUGCUAGAAUUGUAUUAAACGGAAACAUAAUACUUGUGUGAAUACAUAGACAAACUAAACGUCACUAGUAUGCCUCUACUUGACUAGCUCAUUGAUCGAAGAUGGUUAUGUUUCCUAACCAUAGACAUGUGUUGUCAUUUGAUUAACAGGAUCACAUUAUUAGGAGAAUGAUGUGAUUGACAUGACCCAUUCCAUUAGCUUAGCACCCGAUCGUUUAGUAUGUUGCUAUUGCUUUCUUCAUGACUUAUACCUGUUCCUAUGACUAUGAGAUUAUGCAACUCCCGUUUGCCGGAGGAACACUUUGUGUGCUACCAAACGUCACAACGUAACUGGGUGAUUAUAAAGGUGCUCUACAGGUGUCUCCAAAGGUACAUGUUGGGUUGGCGUAUUUCAAGAUUAGGAUUUGUCACUCCGAUUGUCGGAGAGGUAUCUCUGGGCCCUCUCGGUAAUGCACAUCACUUAAGCCUUGCAAGCAAUGCAACUAAUGAGUUAGUUGCGAGAUGAUGUAUUACGGAACGAGUAAAGAGACUUGUCGGUAACGAGAUUGAACUAGGUAUUGAGAUACCGACGAUCGAAUCUCGGGCAAGUAACAUACCGAUGACGAAGGGAACAACGUAUGUUGUUAUGUGGUCUGACCGAUAAAGAUCUUCGUAGAAUAUGUGGGAGCCAAUAUGAGCAUCCAGGUUCCGCUAUUGGUUAUUGACCGGAGACGUGUCUCGGUCAUGUCUACAUUGUUCUCGAACCCGUACGGUCCGCACGCUUAACGUUACGAUGACAGUUUCAUUAUGAGUUUAUAUAUUUUGAUGUACCGAAGGUUGUUCGGAUUCCCGGAUGUGAUCACGGACAUGACGAGGAGUCUCAAAAUGGUCGAGAAAUAAAGAUCGAUAUAUUGGACGGCUAUAUUCGGACACCGGAAGCGUUCCGGGUGAUUUCGGAGAAAACCGGAGUGCCGAAAUGGUUACCGGAACCCCCCGGGGAAGUAUUGGGCCUUUGUGGGCCUAAGGGGAGAGAGAGGGAAGCAGCCCAGGAGGUGGCGCGCCCCCUCCCAUGGGGAGCCCGAAUUGGACUAGGGGAAGGGGGCGCGGCCCCUCUUUCCUCUCCCUCUCCCUCUCUUUCCUUCCCCCUUCUCUCUUCCUAGUUGGACUAGGAAAGGGGAGUCCUACUCCUACUAGGAGGAGGACUCCCCCCUCCUUGGCGCGCCCCAAGGGCCGGCCGGCCUCCCCCUUGCUCCUUUAUUUACGGGGGCAGGGGGCACCUCUAGACACACAAGUUGAUCUUUGUGAUCGUUCUCUUAGCUGUGUGCGGUGCCCCCCUCCACCAUACUCCUCGAUAAUAUUGUAGCGGUGCUUAGGCGAAGCCCUGCUACGGUAGAACAUCAAGAUCGUCACCACGCCGUCGUGCUGACAGAACUCUUCCCCGACACUUUGCUGGAUCGGAGUCCGGGGAUUGUCAUCGAGCUGAACGUGUGCUAGAACUCGGAGGUGCCGUAGUUUCGGUGCUUGAUCGGUCGGGUCACGAAGACGUACGACUACAUCAACCGCGUUGUCAUAACGCUUCCGCUUUCGGUCUACGAGGGUACGUGGACAACACUCUCCCCUCUCGUUGCUAUGCAUCACCAUGAUCUUGCGUGUGCGUAGAAAAGUUUUUUAAAAUUACUACGUUACCCAACAUGGCCAUCUCCAACUCACGAGCGUGCAAGAGAGAAAUCAUGAGACAGUAAUGAUUUAAUUUGGUUUUGCAAUGUUUUUAUUUUAAAAAUAGUUGGUUUAUCUUUGUAAAAUAGUUAUUUACAUGAGAAUUAUUGAACAAAAUAGUUUUUAAAGAGAAAUUUGCAUUCAAAAAGUCUUCAUUCGUAACCAAGCUACGAGUUCACAUUUGCUCUUUUUCCGCGUUUGAAAAUUGAUUGCAGUUUUACUUAACAAAGCAAAAAAAUUGUUCAUUUUUACCACAGCAAAAAGAAAAGAAAUAUCAGGGUGUUUUCUUUUUUUCAUUACUAGCCUUUUUAUUCAUCUUUUUGGGCUGUUAGGGGCUGGGAAGGUGUUCAGGCUAGGGCUUUUAUCAUUCCGAACGAGUGGGUUCGACCGUUACCCCUCCCAUACCGAACGAAACAUUCGAUCUGGGGUGCUCCCAAACCCCAUAUCGGGUCCUAAAUUUAAAUAUAUUUUUUGCCAUCGCAAUCCUCAAUUGGCAUGGCAAAUUUUAGCUAAAUAUAAUGGCAAAUUUUCACUUUUAUUGCCAUGGCAUUUCUUAAUCUUUUUUAUUUUCCAUGGCAAUUUUACAAAUUUUCAUGCCAAAAUUACCUAUAUCUAAAUGGAAAAUAUUUAACUAUUAUUGCCAUGGAACUUUCACAUUUAUUUGCUUACCAAUACUGCCUUGGAAAAUUUACUUAAACCGCCUUGGUAAUUUUUACUCUUUAUUUUCCAUUGGCUAAAUUAUCUAUAUCAACAUGGGAACAUGGAAAAUUUCACUUUCAUCUUUUUUCAAGGGAUUUUUACUUACAAAGCAACUUGCCAUGACAUUUUUUCUGUGCCAUUGCGUCUUUUUGUCCAUGGCAAAAUCUAUUUUGUGAAAGACGAAUGUCAUUCUCUGGUUUGCAUCAAUGGGAUUUUUUAGUUCUCAAUUUCCCCCUUUUUAAUGGCAAUUUUUUUUUGCAUAGCAUAGCAAAGUCUGGUCUUUAUUUCACAAGCUUAAAAUAUGUCUUUUAGUCACAGUACAAACUGGGCCAUAUUGGGCUCUGUGCUUUUACCCCUCUUGAUAACCCCUCUUGCCCUCCCUCCUAUAUCAUAAAAGCCGCCCGCACUCCAUCGCCUCGCCGCCGUUCCCCGCAACCCCCUGUCCUCUGUCGACCCAAUCUCACAUCGAUCACCCGGUGCUUCGUCCUCCUCUCCAGAUCAAAUCUUACGCCCGCUCGCCCGAGGUGAGCACAUGCUUGUACAUCCCGAUCAGCCUGGAGUUCCGAUUGGUUGGUAGGCGCUGGUUCGUAGGUCUCGGAUCCAGCCAGCGUGGUCUCCCUCCGCCUCCGGAGUUGCUCGUUCCGAUUGUGGUUGGUAGGCGCGGCGCGGCGCCGUCUUGUAUCCUGCCUGCCUCUGGCUUUGAGUAUUCAUUCGUAUGAGGAGGAACCUCGACUAGGAUAGGAUUUAAUUAGUUAGGGUUUGUUUGUUUGGUAACACCACCUAGUUAGGGUUUGUUCGGUUAUCCGUAAUAAGGAAUCAAUCUGACGUUUUAGGGUUUAGGGUUUGCUUGGUUGUGGUCAGAUUUUGGUUUCUCAAAAGGUGUAUGAAUUCUUCAACUGUGCCUGUACAGGAUAGCUGGAUAAGGUAUUAAUUUGGAUGGAAUUCAUGCUAUGUUGUUCGAUUUCAGUUUAUGCCUGCCAGAAUGUUAAAUUUUUUGUUUUAUCAACUGUGUUUGAGCGUACUAGAUUUUUUGUUGCAUAUUCAUCUUCUUGCUCUGUUUGGAUAGGUAACAAUUAAUAUUUGGGAUCCUAAAAUAUCUAUGCACUGGCAGCACUUAACCUGCAGCUGCUGAUUAAUGUUGUAGUCAUAUGUGCUGCUUUCCAGCUCUCUUGUUUGGAUAGGUAUUUGGUUAUCGUUUGUAAAUGCUGGUUUGGUUUUCUGUGCUCACUAUGCCCUUGCACAUGGGAUGCAAUUUUUUUAUUUCCCUUCUGUUUAGUUUAUUGUUUCCUUUGAUGGUGAUGCAAUUUUGUUGCUCACACAAUAAUACAAUGAAUGAUGGCAUCUCUAUCUACUUUGAACCAAAAUAUAUUAUAUUCCCCCCUCUGUUAAUUAUUUUUCUGUUUUGGGUAUUCAUUCAUUUUGUUUAGUUGCCUAUCAGUAUAAAUACAUGGCUGGAUUGCUUUCACUUCAUAUUAAUAACUAUUCUGUCGCACAAUGCAAAUAUACAUAUGCUGUCCUAACUAAUUAAGUAGAAGCUUGGAUUGGUGCUGUAUGGUCUCUUCCUGACAUUAAGUCCUCCUCUGUUUGUGCUGUCUGUUUCUGCUGCUGCAGUCUUCUUCGCCGCCAAAAGGAAAUGAUGCUCUACAAAAUCCACUCCCAUGCCCAAAUCCAAGACCUGCAGGCCCGCUCCGAUGAGCUGGGCCACUCCAAUAAGUCCAUGCUUGUGAGUCUUGUCUCUCUGGAGUCGGUGCGCAUAGCGCGCGAGUCGUAUGCACUCCUCCGCCCGCUGAUCAUGGAGUCGAGGUCCUGGGAAUGCCCGCAGGUGGAUUCCCUCUCGGACGUGGCAGGCUUGUCGCUGGAAAUCCAAAAGCUCGAGCAUGAUGUGUUACCCCAGCUCAAGCUUCAGGAGGGUAAGCUGGAACGGGGUGCCCUGGAAGCCCUCCUACUCAUGAAGAACUCAGCAAGUAAGCUCUUACAUUCGAGGAAGUGCUUUGAGGAAGCCUUGGGCGUAUUGCUUGCCAAGGAGGAUCUGGUCUCAGCCAAAGUCAAAAGGCCGAGCAUGAUGCUAAACGAUACUGCUGUUCAUGUACUCAAAGCUAACAACACUCGCUUGUUUAAGGAGCUUGUCCAGCUGGUCACCGAUGUGUUGGAGACCCCGGUUCGUUUCUGUGAUACUCGUAAGCAUAAGUAUUCUGAUGAGUAGACUUAUCAGCCAGCUCGAGGCUGUUGUGAUGAGUAUUUCUUAGGGGCGUGGCAAACAGUUUAGAAUCAACCCUUUAUGUUUGGAUGUGUUAUUAAUGGAUUUUAAAUGAUAUGUAUCUUGGGUAGUGUUUUCUCAUUCUGUGCUAGUCGGGUACAACUUGCAAUUACUUUCAGUUUUUUUUUUUGAGAAAUACAGUCACAUGGAGGUAUUCGCUCUUUUUGGGAAUAUAUGCCAAAAGAAUAUAGUAUCUUAGAAAAGAAAUCCCAAAUAUAAGUCUUUUAAGAGGUUUCACUAAAAGACUACAUACGGAUGAAUAUAGGAACGUGGAUGGAUUCACUCAUUUUGCUCCGUAUAUAGUUUUCUACUAGUGAAAUUUCUUAAAAGACAUAUAUUUAGGAACGGGGGGAUCUGUGAGUGUCCAUGAUUAAAGCUUUGCAAAUACCAUAAACAAAACAUCACCUUGUACAUAUAAAGUGAUGAUUAUUUUUACACUAACCGGUUUGGCAAGUAGUACUUCCUUCGUAAAUAAAGAAACAUAAGAGUGUUUGGAUUAUCAUUUCUUUAGAGAGGGAGUAGUAUAUAUAUAGAAUUGAAUUAAUAAUCUCUACUCCUAAAGUAUCAGUUGGUCGUCUCUGUUCAUCGGUUAAUUUUCGUCCCACCAACACCGAUUUUUUUUCGUGCUCCCUCCCACCCAACCCCCGGGCCAUCGAACAAAAAAAAAAGGGUUGGCUUAGCUAUGCCCCACGAAGUCAAGGGGCCAAACAUCCGAUUGAAACAGAGAGAACCGGAUGAAAAAAAAUCUACGAAAAAAGACCUACGAAAUUAAACCAGCGAAAAAAAUGAAUCGCACGCAGGUAUACGAGCGAUUCCUCCUUCCUUCGAACCACUCGCACGCUCGAUCCCUUCGCCGCCGCCGCUCCAUCCCUUCGCCCCCACCGCUCGAUCCCUUCGCCGCCGCCCUCCCACAUCAAAGCCGCCACCGAUAUGCCCUGCCGGAUCUCGCCUCAGCCCCGCCGUCUUGUGAUCUGGAGUUCACAGCCUCUGCCGCCGAUAUCCUCGCACGCGUUAGGGUUCCUGCGCCGCCGCCACACAGGAGCUCGUCGACCAGCCCAGCGUGCUGCUGCUCCGCGCUCGCUUCCCUCGUCGGUCGCCUUUGGACCCCUCGCUUCAGACUCCGCGCCAAGCCGCCGCCUCUUUGCCGAGAAAGAGGGCUCCCGAUCUCCGCCGUGGUCGACCAUCAGCGCGAUUGGCAGAGCACCCAGCCCGUAGGCUCAUCCCCUUCUUGGAUCCACUCCGGCAGCGGCCAUCAUCGGUACGUUCCGCUCGUGAUAUAUUGGUGUAGGAUCAUCCCCUUCUCUUUAUCUAAAAAGGCUAUUCUACAUACGCCAAGGAGAAGAUGCUCACCUUCUCGCCCCUGUUGGAAAUAUGCCCUAGGGCAAUAAUAAAUUGGUUAUUAUUAUAUUUCCUUGUUCAUGAUAAUCGUUUAUUGUCCAUGCUAUAAUUGUAUUGAUAGGAAACAUAGAUACAUGUGUGGAUACAUAGACAACACCAUGUCCCUAGUAAGCCUCUAGUUGACUAGCUCGUUGAUCAAUAGAUGGUUACGGUUUCCUGACCAUGGACAUUGGAUGUCGUUGAUAACGGGAUCACAUCAUUAGGAGAAUCAUGUGAUGGACAAGACCCAAUCAUAAGCCUAGCACAAAGAUCGUGUAGUUCGUAUGCUAAAGCUUUUCUAAUGUCAAGUAUCAUUUCCUUAGACCAUGAGAUUGUGCAACUCCCGGAUACCGUAGGAAUGCUUUGGGUGUGCCAAACGUCACAACGUAACUGGGCGGCUAUAAAGGUACACUACGGGUAUCUCCGAAAGUGUCUGUUGGGUUGGCACGAAUCGAGACAGGGAUUUGUCACUCCGUGUGACGGACAGGUAUCUCUGGGCCCACUCGGUAGGACAUCAUCAUAUGCGCAAUGUGACCAAGGAGUUGAUCACGGGAUGAUGUGUUACGGAACGAGUAAAGAGACUUGCCGGUAACGAGAUUGAACAAGGUAUCGGAUACCGACGAUCGAAUCUCGGGCAAGUACAAUACCGCUAGACAAAGGGAAUUGAAUACGGGAUUGAUUAAAUCCUCGACGUCGUGGUUCAUCCGAUGAGAUCAUCGUGGAACAUGUGGGAGCCAACAUGGGUAUCAAGAUCCCGCUGUUGGUUAUUGACCGGAGAACGUCUCGGUCAUGUCUGCAUGAUUCCCGAACCCGUAGGGUCUACACACUUAAGGUUCGAUGACGCUAGGGUUAUAAAGGAAGUUUGUAUGUGUUUACCGAAUGUUGUUCGGAGUCCCGGAUGAGAUCCCGAACGUCACGAGGAGUUCCGGAAUGGUCCGGAGGUAAAGAUUUAUAUAUGGGAAGUCCUGUUUUGGUCACCGGAAAAGUUACGGGUUUUAUCGGUAACGUACCGGGACCAUCGGGAGGGUCCCGGGGGUCCACCAAGUGGGGCCACAAGCCCCAGAGGGUUGCAUGGGCCAAUUAUGGGAGGGGACCAGCCCCAGGUGGGCUGGUGCGCCCCCCCCCACAAGGGCCCAAGGCGCCUAAGGAGAGGAGAGGGGGCAAACCCUAAGGGCAGAUGGGCCUUAGGGCCCAUACCUGGUGCGCCUCCCUCUCCCCCUCCACCUGGCCGCCACCCAGAUGGGAUUGGGGCUGGCUGCCGCCCCUAGGGUGGAACCCUAGAGGGGGCGCAGCCCCCUCCCUCUCCCCUAUAUAUAGUUGAGGUCUUUGGGGCUGCCAACACAAGAGUUUUGACCUCUCCCUGGCGCAGCCCUGCAUCUCUCUUUCCUCCUCUCCCGCGGUGCUUGGCGAAGCCCUGCAGGAUUGCCACGCUCCUCCACCACCACCACGCCGUCGUGCUGCUAUUGGAUGGACUCUUCCUCAACCUCUCCCUCUCUCCUUACUGGAUCAAGGCGUGGGAGACAUCACCGGGCUGUACGUGUGUUGAACGCGGAGGUGCCGUCCGUUCGGCACUAGGAUCUCAGGUGAUUUGGAUCACGACGAGUACGACUCCUUCAACCCCGUUCUCUUGAACGCUUCCGCUUAGCGAUCUACAAGGGUAUGUAGGUGCACUCUCCUUCCCCUCGUUGCUGGUUUCUCCAUAGAUAGAUCUUGGUGACACGUAGGAAAAUUUUGAAUUUCUGCUAUAUUCCCCAACAGUGGCAUCAUGAGCUAGGUCUAUUGCGUAGAUUCUUUGCACGAGUAGAACACAAAGUAGUUGUGGGCGUUGAUUUUGUUCAAUAUGCUUACCAUUACUAGUCCAAUCUUGAUUUGGCGGCAUUGUGGGAUGAAGCGGCCCGGACCGACCUUACACGUACACUUACGUGAGACAGGUUCCACCGACUGACAUGCACUAGUUGCAUAAGGUGGCUAGAGGGUGCCAGUCUCUCCCACUUUAGUCGGAUCGGAUUCGAUGAAAAGGGUCCUUAUGAAGGGUAAAUAGCAAUUGACAUAUCACGUUGUGGUUUUGCGUAGGUAAGAACCGUUCUUGCUAGAAACCCAUAGCAGCCACGUAAAACAUGCAAACAACAAUUAGAGGACGUCUAACUUGUUUUUGCAGGGUAUGCCAUGUGAUGUGAUAUGGCCAAAAGGAUGUGAUGAAUGAUAUAUGUGAUGUAUGAGAUUGAUCAUGUUCUUGUAAUAGGAAUCACGACUUGCAUGUCGAUGAGUAUGACAACCGGCAGGAGCCAUAGGAGUUGUCUUAAUUUAUUUAUGACCUGCGUGUCAACAUAAACGUCAUGUAAUUACUUUACUUUAUUGCUAACCGUUAGCUAUAAUAGUAGAAGUAAUAGUUGGCGAGACAACUUCAUGAAGACACGAUGAUGGAGAUCAUGAUGAUGGAUAUCAUGGUGUCAUGCCGGUGACGAUGAUGAUCAUGGAGCCCCGAAGAUGGAGAUCAAAAGGAGCAAAGUGAUGAUGGCCAUAUCAUGUCACUAUUUGAUUGCAUGUGAUGUUUAUCAUGUUUUUGCAUCUUAUUUGCUUAGAACGACAGUAGUAAAUAAGAUGAUCCCUCAUUAAAAUUUCAAGAAAGUGUUCUCCCUAACUGUGCACCGUUGCGAAAGUUCGUCGUUUCGAAGCACCACGUGAUGAUCGGGUGUGAUAGAUUCUAACAUUCACAUACAACGGGUGUAAUACAGAUUUACACACGCGAAACACUUAGGUUGACUUGACGAGCCUAGCAUGUACAGACAUGGCCUCGGAACACAAGAGUCCGAAAGGUCGAGCAUGAGUCGUAUGGUAGAUACGAUCAACAUGAAGAUGUUCACCGAUGAUGACUAAUCCGUCUCACGUGAUGAUCGGACACGGCCUAGUUGACUCGGAUCAUGUAAUCACUUAGAUGACUAGAGGGAUGUCAUUUCUUUAGAGAGGGAGUAGUAUAUAUAUAGAAUUGAAUUAAUAAUCUCUACUCCUAAAGUAUCAGUUGGUCGUCUCUGUUCAUCGGUUAAUUUUCGUCCCACCAACACCGAUUUUUUUUCGUGCUCCCUCCCACCCAACCCCCGGGCCAUCGAACAAAAAAAAGGGCUCACUUAGCUAUGCCCCCACGAAGUCAAGGGGCCAAACCUCCGAUCGAAACAGAGAGAACCGGAUGAAAAAAACCUACGAAAAAAGAUCUAUGAAAUUAAACCAGCGAGAAAAACGAAUCGCACGCAGGUAUACGAGUGAUUCCUCCUUCCUUCGAACCACUCGCACGCUCGAUCCCUUCGCCGCCGCCGCUCCAUCCCCCACCGCUCGAUCCCUUCGCCGCCGCCCUCCCACAUCAAAGCCGCCACCGAUAUGCCCUGCCGGAUCUCGCCUCAGCCCCGCCGUCUUGUGAUCCGGAGUUCACAGCCUCUGCCGCCGAUAUCCUCGCACGCAUUAGGGUUCCUGCGCCGCCGCUACAUAGGAGCUCGUCGACCAGCCCAGCGUGCUGCUGCUCCGCGCUCGCUUCCCUCGUCGGUCGCCCUUGGACCCCUCGCUUCGGACUCCGCGCCAAGCCACCGCCUCUUCGCCGAGAAAGAGGGCUCCUGAUCUCCGCCGUGGUCGACCUGUUAGGUUGAUCUCUCCACCAAUGGGCCCAACGGCUCAUUGCGCCCUUGACCCACGCCCUGAUCGGGAGCGUCCAGCCCAAGCAAGGCUGGUGGGCCCCUAUCACGCAGUGCUAUAAAGAGGAGGUGGGGACCAGGGGCACAGGGUACGAGGUUCGUCGCCGCCACUGUUCCCCACUCCUAACCCUAAUCCGAUCCAGAGGGAGGCACUGAAGCGAUGGGAAGCGCCACCAGCCACUUCAUCGUCACCCUCUACACCAACCGUCGCUGCCCGUGCGCAGACCAUCACUGACGAACCAGCGAUGGCCGGAAGGCUAAGGUAGACACCCAAACAGAGAAGAUAUGCCACCGAUCUACUCCUAGUCGAUCCAGUAAGUCUAUCAAUGGUAUCAGGCCAUGUAGGCUAAGAAUUUUGGUACAAAGUGCAUACACAGAAAGAACAUCCCUCUCUCCCCACCCCUCCCCAAAGAACCCUAGCAGGGCAGAGACAAACAACAAAAAGAAAGCAAAAAGUUCACCGGCAGAGGGCCCAGGCCCCCGCCGGCAAAGUGCGCCGCCACUCCGGCCGCGCCAGUUCCUCUCGAUCCGAACGGGCAUCGGCUAGCCGAGCCGUCCGGACGAAGAACAACCCCGCAAGGGGCAAAGGGCACUGCGACCAAUCCGCUCGACAGCGGCGCGCUCACCGCAAGGUGGACGCGCAGCCGGCGAGGGGGAAGGCCACGGCGCCGCUGCCGUUCGCUCUGCCGUCGUCGAACUCGAAUGGGAGCAAAGGAGGCAGCAGGAUCUCUCUCUCUCUCGCCGGGGUGGUGGUGGAUGUAAAAAAGAGAACGGGAAAGGGAAGGGGGGGCUCGCGCAGCCGCAUCCCUCUCUGCCACUAGAUGCGGUGGACGGAGGGAGAAAAGGAAGAAGGAAUGAAAGGGGAAAAAGAAGGCAGCCAGGCUCGCGCGACGCAGCGCAGUGGUCGGUCGACACCGUUGCCGGCGUCCAGGGCACGGCACGGUGGCCCGGCGUUCGGGAUAGAGCGAGAGUCACGAGAGGGAGGUGAGCGGCGCACACGGGGGAAAUGAGCGAGGGUUUUCCCCUCGGCAGCGUCGCCAGCUGGUUUUAAUCCAGCGAGAUGCACGGGCCACCGUCAGAUCGCGUUUGACGACCAAGAUAGAAAACCUAAGGAGGAGCGGGCCUUUUUGGGCCAAAAGAGGCUGAGGCCAGCAGCAGUAUGGGCGUUGCCGCGCGAGCUGGGCCGAGGCCGCAGCCGCGCGCUGGGCCAGCUGCAAUUUUUUUUAGUAGUUUUAUGUCCAGUUAUUUUUGGGCAGAUUUACUAUAGCUUUUCUAUACAAAUUUUUCCAACGAAAAGUUUGUUUUGGAAAAUAGAAAAAAAAGGGUAAACAGAAAAGUUCUGAAAAUGAAAAUAGAAAAUUUUCAGAAAAAGAAAAGUUCAUGAAUUUUAUAAAGAAAUUUAAAAGUUCAUGAUUUUUUUAUUUGGUCAAAUAAAAGUUUCUAUAAAGAAUAUAAAGUCCAUGAAUUUUUUAUUCAUGUUUUCCGCUGCAAAAUAAAGAAAAGUGCUCUUUUAAGAGAAAAAGAAAAUUCUUAUGAAUAGAAUAUUGUAAAGUUUCGCUGCAAAAUAAAAGUUUUAUUCUCCAAUUAAAUUGGAACCAACAGGAAAAUUUAAUUAGAAGAACGGUUUUGAGAGAAGUUUUUUCACUUGUGGGUGAAAUCAGAUUCAUAUAGUUUCUGCUAUGACAGUAGAAAGAUAUUUGAUUAAAGGUUAAUUAUGGUAUUGUUAUUUUCUGACCAACGGUGAUGAUGACGAUAUUAUAAUUCUAUGAGUCUUAUGUUCAAAGCUUAAAUCUCUGAUAAAAGUUGUAUCAAAAUUUUCAGAGAACAGAUAAAAGAUCAAGAAAUGCUCUUGAACAAGAGAACUGUAUAUUUAUUGUUCCCGCUGUAAUAAAGUUGGUGAUGAUGGUUAUUUCUUAACAAAGUUGUUUAAUAGACAUACUAUGAAAAAAAAGUUUAUACUAUCAUCACAUUGUUUAUGAGUUAUAUGCAUUAUUUUCAUUUCCGCCCAACGGUGAUAUGGAAUUAAUGUAGAAGGAUGAUGUUUUGUUCUAAUUCUGCCCAACGGUGAUUUAGAAUAUAAAAGAAAGUUUUAAAAGUUUAAUGUGCAUAUUUUUUAACUAGUAAACAUGGGGUUAUUUUUAUGCUCAUUAUUGUUGAUUAUUGGUUAAGUUUUCUCAGACUAAAAGUUUUCCAUGCCUUCAUUCGUGAAAGCGAAUGGCUGGGUACUUGUGACCCGAGAGAUGACCAAGAAAGGUCAACGUAAGGGAGUAUGUUCUCUCUAGAGAAUGGCUUCAAAAGAAAAGAGAUAUAUAAUUGAGAGUCUUGCUCGACGAUGUCUUCAUGUACUCUCCAUGGAAAAAGAAUUCUCAUCUUCUAUGAGAUGCAAUAAGUGAGAUGCGUGAUUAAUUUGACCAACGUCGGAUUAAGCAUGUGUAUUAAAGAAUAUUCGGAUUUACUCCUAAAUUUGAUGAUUUAAUAUGUAUUCAAAAGAGCCAAUUCUGGCAUUUAUGUCCCUUACAGGGAAUUACCCGCAUGGCGGGAAAAGAUGAUUAUGAUAAAACCAGCAUGGCAGGAAAAGUCUGGGAAAAUCCCUGCGUAACCCGUAUGGCGGGAAAUUUUCUCAGACUUAUCAUGUAUGACAGGAGAAAAACAUGAUGACUCAUGUGCUUUUAAUGUGUCCCAUUCUGGGAGAAAAGUAUGGAGUAGCUAUUAUGCCUUCCUCGUAUCGACCGUACAUCUUAUGUGUAACGGUCAUUAAGCGCUCAAUAAAUCCGAAGAGAACAAAAGUUACAGACGAACCUGAAGAUAAGAAUGAUAUGCAAGUGUGACUUGCAAAAGUACUAAUGAUAAAGAACUCUGUUGAGUUUCUGAAAUGGAAUAAGGAAAAGGUACUCCCAUACCAGUUAACAGAUAACUUCAUUACAUAUGAAGUAAUCAAAUAAAUGAAGUAGAUACUCAAAGUUUCCUCAAUUCACAAGAGUUGUGAAUGGUUUUUCGAAAUUGUGGCAGAAAAGUUCUUGCCACAUUUCGAGGGGGAGAAAGAAAUAUGAGAUACCCAUUAAUGAAGAAUGUGAUCGUCUGGGGGAGUACGAUGAUCAUAAUAAUACCCCUAAAGAAAAGAAAUAGUUGUAUUCCUGGAUCUUUUGCAGUUCCGAAAGCAGACUAAGGAAUACUAAGACGAUGCUUAAAGUGCCAUAAAGAAGAAAAUUUUAACAGAAUAAACCCAAAUAAUAAAUUUUAAAGAUACGCCAUUCUUAGUGAAAAUGGAGUAAUCUGGAGGAGCAUGGUAUGAAGAUACCAAGACUCAAAUAGAUUGUAUCUGGGGGAGCAUGUUGUAUGACCUAUACAACACCCGUUGUUAGCUCUAUAAAGGAGGAAUGAUUAAACAUGGAUCUUGUGAUAAAGGUCCCUGUAAAACCUAUUGCCUCUUGGAAAUGAAAGACUAUAAAAUAAUUUGCCUCUUGGCAAUGACAGAGCAACAACAGCCCCAUAUGAAAGAAGUGCUAGUACCUGAGACUCAGAUGGUCUCAAGGAAUGAGAAAAUCAGAUACUUCUAAUUACUAUAAAGUCUAUGUUAGUGAAAUUCAAAUGGAGGUUGAUCCCACCUCAUUUAAAGCGCUCAAUCGAGCUUUGAGAAGUGUCUGCUUAUCUAAAUGAUAAGAGACUAUGUGAGAUGAAAAUUGGUGAAUUCUGACGAUGUUCGGGACUCAUAAGUAAUUUCCUAUGGAGCCAAAACAGUAGGCUGUUAAGAGUCAACAAGGACAAUGUGACUCCAAAGUAAAUACGUAAAGGUGUAAAACACGACUUAAAUCGAAAGGUUUUUGCGGGUUUACACUGAAUAGAUUACAAUAAGUGUUGGUAGCACAUCAUGAUCUGAGUUACAUCAGAUGAAAGAUAUUAUAAUUUGAGUUAUAUCAGAUGAAAAAGUAAAGAACACAGGGGAUACUGCCUGAAGAAGUCUUUUAUGGACUAAAGCAAUCAAAUGUUGUUUUGGGUUAAAGAAAAUGCGAGGACAAUUGUAUUCGUGCAAAGUUAUAGAAUGGGAAAUUCAUUUCCUAAUCAUGUGCAUGUGGAUGACAUCCUACUUGCUAGUGGUGAUGUCAACCUACUGCAGGAGGAGAAAAGAAGUUCUUGUCCUCAAAUUUCAAAAGAAUGUUCUCGGUAGAGUGUCUCUCGUUAUAAGUAUCGAGAUUCACGAAGAAAAGAAUAAAAGGGGGUAUUAGGGAUGUCGAAUGGACAUGCUAAGAAAGGUCUCUAAAGUAUGCAUGCGAGAAAACCUACGCCUGUUCUUACAGUCAAGGGUAAUGGAAGUGGAAGCUAUGGUGUUCCAAAAGUUGACGAGAAAAGAUUCAAACAUAUAUGGUACCAUAUGCUUUAGCUGUUGGAAGCUCAAUAUAUUGCCCUGACACAGUUCACAUAUCCGGGUUGUUUUGGCAAUGUCCAGUCCAUAUAUAGAUCACUGGAAUGGAGACAAAGAUAUCGGCCUCAUGCUGAAAGAAAUAAGUGCUCUCAAAAGAUUGUGAGUACAAAGACAUGACUUGUGAAAUGUAUAGCGAAAUCCACAAUUGUCGCUAACUUUCAUACUUGGAGGUUUUUGUGUGGAAAAGCUUCAAAGAAUGAAACAAUUAUCUUCAAUGUGAUGCAAAGAUAUUUUAUAGCUUGAUAUGAGGCUGAGGGACAGGCAAAAUGGUUAAGGAGACCUGUACCCGAAGUUGAUAAUGGUUGACAACAGUGAUAACUAUUAGUCUUUCGCUCCUGUGACAACGGGUCAAGUGUUGGUGCCAAACACAUUGACACAAAGUUAUACGUUGUUAAGGAGAAAGUCCGGAAUUAUGUUGAAAUGCUUGGAGCAUGAAAGCAACAGACAAGUAUUUGCAGAUCUGCUUAUUAAAGGCUUACCGCCCAGUGUGUUCGGAGAACACACAGUCGACAUGGGUUUUAUGGUAUAGUCUAACAUUUCCGGACAAUAAAAGGGCCCAAGGUUAAAGAAACUGUUUCAAAACAGAAGAGUGUGUUGUGGGUGUUGAUUCUAUCGGGAUAGACCGUGAUGAUGAGACAUGCUCUACAUGCAAAUCUGUGAUGGAACGAGUACUUUGAAAAGAGUUAUUUCGAAGUACAAAGUUAAAAGUAUAUGAUGAGAUCAAGGGGGAGAAUGUUAGGUUGAUCUCUCCACCAAUGGGCCCAACGGCUCAUUGGGCCCUUGACCCACACCCUGAUCGGGGGCGUCCAGCCCAAGCAAGGCUGGUGGGCCCCUAUCGCGCAGUGCUAUAAAGAGGAGGUGGGGACCAGGGGCACAGGGUACGAGGUUUGUCGCCGCCACUGUUCCCCACUCCUAACCCUAAUCCGAUCUAGAGGGAGGCACUGAAGCGAUGGGAAGCGCCACCAGCCACUUCAUCGUCACCCUCUACACCGACCGUCGCUGCCCGUGCGCAGACCAUCACCGACGAACCAGCGAUGGCCGGAAGGCUAAGGUAAACACCCAAACAGAGAAGAUAUGCCACCGAUCUACUCCUAGUCGAUCCAGUAAGUCUAUCACGACCAUCAGCGCGACGGGCAGAGCACCCAGCCCGUAGGCUCAUCCCCUUCUCCGAUCCACUCCGGCAGCGGCCAUCAUCGAUACGUUCCGCUCGUGAUAUAUUGGUGUAGGCUCAUCCCCUUCUCUUUAUCUAAAAAGGCUAUUCUACAUAUGCCGAGGAGAAGAUGCUCACCUUCUCGCCCCUCCCCCUACCGUGAUGUACGUGGAUGAAUCCGACGGCAACGAGGACGACCUCGUAGGAUCCAGCCACGGUUGUGCGGAAUUUCGCGGGGACGGAUCUACCCGGCCUCUCGUCCUAUCUGCCGCUGGUAGAGGCAUCCAUGUCCGAUGGUGUGAAUUUUGGCUGGUUCCAUGAGCACUUCGUUCCCUGCCGUGUAGUCUUCGUUGAUUCGGGAAGAUGGUGGUUGUCUGUUUAGCCAUUUCAAUCUGCUAUUGAUCAUGCUCAUUCUUGUUAUAUUCAGUUAUAUUGGAAACACCAUCUGAUUCAGUUAUAUUCUUGAUCAUGCUCAUGCUCAUCCUUAUUCAAAUAAGAAUACUUCUGUUUGGAGAGCUCGGGCGUCAGCUGUGUGGAAGCACCAGUUGAUUUGUAACUGGUCGGAAGGUGAGCUUCUCAUACUCGCUGCCGUCGAAGCACGGCACCUCGCCGCCACUUAUGUUGCGUGUUGUUGUGCUGUAGGUCCUUGGGGUUGGUUGCGGCAACUCGCGACUCGAAGACAUUUCGUGCAUGUGCUCCCCUGCGCUUGGUGACCAAUACAUCUACUCCGUCGUGAACAUGUGCUUCGUGUCAUACAGGUCGCCGCCAAGGGUGAGCUCGUGCAGCGGUACAGGUAUAGAUGUGCAUCCCAUAAGGGCAGCUACAGUUUCUUUCAUAAAGUUAUUUGUGUGAGUGCCCUGCAUAUUGAAGUAAACUGGAUCGGCUAAUCUUGAGUUCCUCUACCAAGUUAUAUUACUUCGACAAGAAAAGGUGCAGAAAGACCAUAUAAAGUACUCUGGUGACUCUCUCAAUUGAAAUAGAAUUUUUUUAGAUGCGUGAAACAUGCACAACGAUUUGCUCUAUUGAGUCUAUGUAUGUUGAACUAGCACUCGAAUUAUAGCUCAUGCCGGUAUACUAAUUUUCUCUUUCUCAUAUCAGCUCUCCUUCCUUUUGUCCAUUUUUCUUCACUACUACCUGAAGGAAACUGUACUGGAUAGCAGCCUAUCAUAUAUAGUUACAUGUACCGAGUGAUUUAGCUUCAUUUUAAUGAUACUAUCAACAACUAACUACUGCUGCGACAUAUUUGAUGCAACCUGUAAAAUAUUUUUUGUUUAAUUUCAGCAUAUCAUUUAUAUACUGAAGUCUCUUCUGGACAUGUUGUCUAAUUGCGUCAUGUAUGUUAGAUAUUUGUUCUAUAAUACUUGCCAUUGACUAUUUUCUUUUAUUUAGGUUAUGUGCAUUAUUGAUCAGCCAAUCUUGAGAGAGAGAUGGGUUGGCGUGAAUGGGAAGAAAACUACAUUGAAUGGACAAGAAGUAUGCCCUCAACUUUUUCAUGGUACUCCCUCCGUCCGGAAAUACUUGUCAUCAAAAUGGAUAAAAGGGAAUGUAAUCUCUUUUUAUCCAUUUUGAUGACAAGUAUUUUCGGACGGAGGGAGUAUGUCUUACUUAUUGUUCUUGUGAUUUUUCCAUCAGUUUCACUUUACAUUUCUUCUUUGCUUUUUCAUGGCAUCGGGAUGCCCACUGCCGACGGCGCUGCGUUGCUACCAAAGGGGCACCCUGCCGCGGCCGGGGACUCGCUGCCGUCGAAGCACGACACAUUUCCGUCACGUAUCUUGGGUGUUGUGGUGCUGCAGGUCCUUGGGCUUGGGUGCGGCAACUCGAGACUCGAAGAUGAUCUUCUGUGGUAGGGCGUCGCCGGCGGCGGCGGCACCUGUAUAGACCGUCUCGGUGUGACAGAAGAGUUCGGAGUUCACUCCGAGAAAGAAUUGCUUUGCAUGUACAUUUGCUGAAAGACUGAUGUGCUGAACUUUCGAUGAUUUCGAUUGGUCUCUAACAUAACCUUUCCUCUUUUUGUUGAUAUGUCCAAAAGAGAUCCUUAUUUCACCUUUUGUUUAUAGGUAUUCAACUUGAGGAAUUUCAUACUUUUGGAGUGGAGCUAUCAAAUAUAUGUGUGCUCGAUGUUGGUGUUUUAAUCCGGAUCUCUUGCUGAAGGUGCUCGAUGUUGGUGUUUGAAUACUGCUACCGUACUUCAAGGUCUGUAGCAGCUCUUACAAUGGAUUCUUUUUAAUGAUAGUACAAUUUAUUUUUGUUUCGAUUUGGUAUUGUUGUUCUGUUCACUUAACCCAUUCUGUAGCAGCAGCUUUUCAUGUCGUUUCCUCGCCAACAAAUGUCAUAAUUUAUCACAUACGUGUGCAAAUGGUUUUUUGGCUAUAGUAUGAGUAUAUGGUUCAGAGAAGUUCGGUCAGAUGCAAAGCAUGCUUAGCAUCUCAUAGUCGUAGGCUAUUCCUUUUAAAAUUGAAGCCAUCCAGGUUUUCAAUUAUGGAGAUGAUUUGGAAACUCAGCAUAGAAAAUUAUUUACUCUAAUGCAAAUUACACAUAUUAAGGCCUUUAUUCUUUUAUAUUAAGGAAUCCAGUGCAAGCAUUAGCCCAUCUUUAGCUGCUCAUAAGCAGUAUCAGUGAUAUAUAUAUAUAAGUACACUCUUGCUAAGAUUAAUCUUUGAUAUAUAUAAUUCAUUGCCUGGAUAUAGUUUGCUUUGAAUGUUUUUUUGCUCUUUAGUCUAUGAAGAAUUGCAAGGAGGAGGAUAAUAGAGCAGCAACCAGAGCUGACAAUUGGCCUGUAAAUGCAGCAAAGUUCUCCUAGAGGUGUGAUGUUGGUGGUGAUUUUCUUAUAUGGGGAUAUGGAUGUGGCGGGUCUAUGGGCACCAUGCUGACGCAGAGAAGGAGGUGCAGGUAGCGGGGCGCUUGAGGUGAGGUGGCUGCAGGGUCGCUCGAGAAGAACAGGCUCAUAAGCACCACCUGGAUGCCUUCGUCAUCAGCAAUGUGGACAAGGUGCAAAAGGGAUAUCUCCCUUACCUCUUAUUCAGCCUGGAAAAUUAUGCAAUGUUUGGUUUGGCAGAUUUAACAGUCGCUGGUUUGGAAAUUUGUUACGUAUAGAAGUAUAGGAAUAACAUGACUAAUAUUUAUUGAAUUUAUAGAGUUAUUGUUUUUUUCUACAAAGUCAGUUGUCACAUUAGAAGAACAUCGUCUAAAAUCUUGACAACAUAAAGGAGCAUAGAGUUAAUAGAUUAUGAAAUCCUGUAGUGCAUCAGAUGCACCCUUCACUAAUUUUUGAACACAUUUAUAUUAUCCAGGUUCCGACCUCAUUCCCUGUGAUGUUUGUCUUUUUUAUGUGGGCGAGGAAAACAUUUUUAGGAGUGAUACUCCCAAACUUUGAUUUCUUGGUUGUCGAAUCAUGGUGCUGAUUAGAUUUUACUUAACCUUAAUUAAUCUAUUUAUAUUGCGGCUUUGUCUUUUAGCUCAUCUUUUAGUUUCUCUUCUCCACUUAACACAAGAUUUUAUUGUAGGCUACCAAGUACAGUUAUACCACUUAUACUCUUUCUUUCUGAUUAUGCAAAGCUUGAUCUAUACUCAUUGAACUUUGUUAGAUAGUAGGCCCCCCUAUUAGUGUGCCUGAAUAUAAUUGUUUCUCCGUGUUUAUAGUAUCUUAGUCCAGUAGAAUGAAUGUUCUCGAGUAAUUAGAGGUAGUUGGAUCAAGUGAAUGUCUGAAUACCACUAAAAUCGAAAUCAUAAUUAAAAAAUACUGACCUUUUUCUUCAGGGCGUCUGUUCCUCCUCCCAUGGUCAGCACCACCACCUACUCUGAAUCUCCGAUCAGAAUAGUAUGAACUAUUAAAUAGGGAACUUAAUGCUUAUCAUUGUUGAUGUACAUAUGUACAACUAACAAUGUGUGUGCUGCAACCAGCUUACUUUAUUCCUUACUGAAAUUUAUCUUGAUUUAUUUCACAUCAGAUAGUUCUGAACCUAGAUGAUCUCAAUUAAGGUCAUUGAAAUUUGUUAAAUUAUUUUUAUCCGCUCUUCUGAACGAGCGUAUACUAUGAUCUGAUUUGUAUAUCAUAUUACUGAGGCAGCGCUGGGCCAUGUUGUGGUGAGAACAUACGAGAGAUAAUUGGGGUGUGUGGCUGAUUGCUUCAUAUGCUGCUAAUCAUAUAUGUAGACUGCUGAUUGCUCCUGAUAUACAGUGUCGAUUGCAGCUGAUAGUAGGAUUGUACUCAAUUUGAUAGGUAAAGUGGGAUGGCGGGAUUGUAUAGUGCUCAUAAGCCAGUCCGGGCAUUGUCCUUCCUCGAAUGAAUCUGAGACUACUCCUCAUAUGUUAAUCAGUUGCUCCUCCCUAGCUUUGGUUUGGUCUGAACUUCAAAGUUUUCAUCCAUUCAACGUUGAUUCAGUCAAAGAUCUCUUGGAAAAAUUAUUUCGACAAGAUUCACUCUAUAAUGUUGUUAUCAUUGUCCUCUGGAAUAUAAGGAAGCGCAAAAACUCCAAGGUCUCCUGGGAUGUUUUUGAGGAAUUGCACAUUACUGCUAGCAAGAUUGCUGCUGAUUGAUACCAUGGUCCAACAGGUAUUCACACGAAAUUAAUAAAUGGCACCUUACGGAUUGGAGUACUCCACUGUAUCACCUAUCUGGGAGAUUUUAAUUUUUUCCUUCUAUUAUUUCUCUUAAUCCCUGUGUACUCAUUGGACUUUGUAUAGUUCUCAGUUUUAUGAAGUGGUUCAGGCUGGCGUAAGCCGCCAUAGUCCCAGUAAAAAAAGGCUACAAGCUUCGCUUCGGCCUUUCGGAACUGAAUAUUAUGUAGUUUUAUUGAGAUUAUUGAUAGUGCUUCUCUACUAUCAAAGAAGGUAAUAGUCUCUUAUGUGUUUCUUUUUGUCCAUUUGAAUGCACUCCAUUUUUUAGUGUAUUAAUUAACAUCAAACCUCCCAUUCUUUCUAGAGUGCUGAUGUAUUAUUAUUUUCAGCUUAACACAUUUAACUUCCUAUAGAUUUCAUGGUUUAUGCAGAUUAACCGAGCUAAGAACUUUUGUGAAGCUAAAGCUGGUGUUAAGAUGAACGCCGCUAUGUAUAUAUUUGAAACAGUUAGAUACAUGCUUGACAGACUAUAUAGGGGUGAUCAAAACCAUGCAAAGCAUUAUGGGACAAGUUUCUCUACCUUAAAUAAGUGUGCGUUCUCUCGUGUUUACUAUUCGUUUAAGGGUCAUCAACCCGUGUAUUUAUUUUCAUUGACCAAGUUUUAAAUUUUUCUUCAGUAGUGUUCAUUGUGCAGUUCUAGAUUGUUAAGAGAGUAGAGUUUAUUGAUUUAUUACAUGGAGAGACCAGAAGUGUCGUAGUGGUCUUGACAUAAUUGCUAACAUUUUCUACUAGACAAAGUUUAAUUGCACUAAAUACAAAUUAGAACAUGCAUAGACAUUUAUCUUCUUUCUACAGAAUGGUUAGUGUAAACGUACUUUGAGUUGUACAUGAUUCUGUAUCUGACCAUUUUAUCUCAUAUGUUGAUGUGGUUGCAGAUAUGAACUUCAAAUUAUCCUGCAAUGUAUUGACUGCUCAGAGCUAACUUGACUACGCCAGUUUUCUUUUAUGGCUCAAAGUAGUUAGUGUCCCCCCUUACUAUGAGAGAGGUACUACUUCAAACAUCUCUUCUUAAUGUUUUAUGUCAUGGCAUACAGUAUGAGGGAGUGUUAGUUGGCUUGACUUUCGUGGCACUCAUUUCGAGACUAGUCGUCCAAUAUAUCAAUCUUUAUGUCUCGACCAUUUCGAGACUCCUCGUCAUGUCCGUGAUCACAUCCGGGACUCCGAACAAACUUCGGUACAUCAAAACUUAUAAACUCAUAAUAAAACUGUCAUUGUAUCGUUAAGCGUGCGGACCCAACGGGUUCGAGAACUAUGUAGACAUGACCUAGAACUAUUCUCGGUCAAUAACCAAUAGCGGAACCUGGAUGCCCAUAUUGGUUCCUACAUAUUCUACGAAGAUCUUUAUCGGUCAAACCGCAUAACAACAUACGUUGUUCCCUUUGUCAUCGGUAUGUUACUUGCCCGAGAUUCGAUCGUCGGUAUCCAAUACCUAGUUCAAUCUCGUUACCGGCAAGUCUCUUUACUCGUUAUGUAAUGCAUCAUUCCGUAACUAACUCAUUAGCUAUAUUACUUGCAAGGCUUAUAGUGAUGUGCAUUACCGAGAGGGCCCAGAGAUACCUCUCCGACAAUCGGACUGACAAAACCUAAUCUCGAAAUACGCCAACCCAACAUCUACCUUUGGAGACACCUGUAGUACUCCUUUAUAAUCACCCAGUUACAUUGUGACGUUUGGUAGCACCCAAAGUGUUCCUCCGGUAAACGGGAGUUGCAUAAUCUCAUAGUUUCAGGAACAUGUAUAAGCCAUGAAGAAAGCAAUAGCAAUAUACUAAAUAAUCAAGUGCUAGGCUAACGGAAUGGGUCAUGUCAAUCACAUCAUUCUCGUAAUGAUGUGAUCCCAUUAAUCAAAUGACAACACAUGCCUAUGGUUAGGAAACAUAACCAUCUUUGAUUAAUGAGCUAGUCAAGUAGAGGCAUACUAGUGACGUUAUGUUUGUCUAUGUAUUCACACAUGUAUCAUGUUCCCGGUUAAUACAAUUCUAGCAUGAAUAAUAAACAUUUAUCAUGAUAUGAGGAAAUAAAUAAUAACUUUAUUAUUGCCUCUAGGGCAUAUUUCCUUCAUCUCCUCCCCUGCUCGGUCUACCCCACAUGCAUGGCGUAUAACAUCCUCUAGCCCCAACUGCCGCCAAACCUCUCUAGCCUUAUGGCAUCAAAAUAGUACAUGACACACAUCUUCUGCUCCUUGUUUACAUGCAGGACACGGCGGCCGGACUGGGAUGUGUCUAUUAGCAAGAACCAUUUUGCAUGGCAGUGUUCCGUGUAAGGUUCUCCAAAGAAAUUUUUUAACUUUCGCCAGACAAUUCAGUUUCCAAACCUUUUCCCAUGUUGGGUUAGCACUAGUGGCUCCCAAACCAUGUGUCCUCUUCAAUUUACGGCCAUGCUGAAAGUACCAUAGAGCAUGGUAGGCCGAUUUCACUGUAAAAAUUCCAUGUUUAUUCAAACUCCAUGCUACAAAGUUACUCAUAUCAUGUGUAGGUAGUGGUAAAGCAAGGACCCGUUCCACAUCAAUCGAGAUGGUUUGCUCCACAAGUGGCACAUCCCAGUGACCUGUAGCUGGAUCAAUUAAAUCUCUCACCUUUGAUAGUAACUGGUUACCUCUUGGGGUAAUAAUCAUUCUGGAUGGUGAGUUAGGAAUCCACGCAUCCCUCCAAAUAUUUAUUUUUUCACCAUCCCCUACUCUCCAAAUGUAUCCAUGUUUCAGGGUAUUCACCCCUUGCAUAAUGCUCUGCCAAGUGUAGGAGGAAUUAUUUUUCAGCUUAAUUAAUUUACCAGCACAAGAAGCGGCCGUGCUGGGAGUGAAAAACUUCCAUGACUUGAUGUCCACUUGCUGCUGGUACCUUUGGUGGGAGAGGAGAAAGCUUGUGCACAAUGAGCCGGUACAAGAUGCGAAGAGAGUUGCGCAAGCGGUAUGUGCUUUAGCUGCUAACUAUGCUAUUGCAUGUGACCCAAAGGCCUCGUUAAAGAGGGGAGGUUGGUGCAAACCCCCUAGUGGAUAUGUUAAUUUAAAUGUUGAUGCGGCCUUUGAUUGGGAUUUGCUUCAGGGGGCGAUGGGAGCAGUCAUCCGAGAUGAUAGAGGACAUAUGGUUGUAGCUAGAAACAAGCUCAUUGAUUCCUGUUAUGAUGUACUAACUGUUGAGGCAAUGGCUCUGAAGUUUGGGUUGAAUAUGGCGCUCACAGCUGGGUGCAAUAGACUGAUUGUCAACUCGGAUAAUCUGGAACUCAUGGAAAUAAUGAAUAAGGAUGGCCAAUAUGUUGGAGAUGCCGCGACCAUUGUCGAUGAUUUUUAUCAUCUGGCUUGCGAAUUUAGCUCUAUUGUCUUCGAAUUUUGCCCCAGAGAGUCGAAUGGGGUUGCACAUGAACUAGCUAGGAUUGCUAGAAGUUCGCUUUGUAAUGAGUGGUUAGAUAAUGCUCCUUCUGAGCUUCUUCCCCUACUACUUAAAGAUGUAAGUCUGAUCACGAAUGAAUAAAGAGGAAGUAAAGUUGUCAAAAAAAAGAGCAUGGCAAUUUUAUUUUUAAUGGCAUGUCAUUCUUACCUUUAUUUUUGAGAAAAGCAUGUCAUCUUUACUAUGUCCUUCUCGCCUGAUGUAUGAAGUAGGCGGACCCUAGAUGGGCUUUCCCAAUAUGGGUUCCUGGGACCGGGUUCCUGCAGAGUUUUUUUUUCUUUUCGUCUUGUGUGUUUCCUGGGCCAAUUUUCAUCUUUUUGUUUGGUUUUCUGUCUUAUGUGUUUCUUUAUGGAUUUUAUUCUUUCUCAAUACAUGUCCAUUUUUCUAAAUACACACUGUAAAAAUUUACACAUCUUGAACAUUUUUUAUUAAUUGGCAUAAACCUAUUUUUGGAGUGUGUGAGCAUAUUUUAAUUGUCAUGUACAUUUUUCUGAAAGGCAGUAUUUAUUUUGCUGAAUUACGUGAGCAUUCUUUACACAUCUUGAACAUUUGUCCAUAUUUUUUUGAAACACAUGAAAAUAUUUUUGAAUGCUAUAAACAUUUUUUAUAUCAUGCUGCAUUAGGUCUAUAUUAGUUUAAACUAAGUCAGUGACAAUUAAUAUGGAUCAUAGAGAGUACAAUUUUGUACAUGAUGUUUAUAAUUUUAUAUUUCACUUUCCACAUUUUUUAUUUAUUAAACUCUAUUGUGUUUUUGGAAUAAGUGUAUUUAGAAUAUUUUUUAAAAAUGUAAAUAAAAUGGAGCGAAUGAAGAAGCAGAGAAGAAAAACGAAGGCCGGCCAAAUGUAUGGCUUUCCCUGCCUCAUACCUGCAAAUCAAGCUAAGCAGCGGGUGAUAAUUUUUUACACAAUGUUUAUAGUUUUCUAUUUCAAUUUGAACAUUUCAAAAUUUUAAGGAAAUUAUUAUUUUUAAAUAAAUGUUUUUAGUUUUUUUUAAUAAAAAGGUGAAAAAAAAGGAAAUUGAGCGAAUGAAGAUUGAAGAAGCAGAGAAGAAAAAUGCCCUUUCUUUCAUUAACUGAACUGCGUGCGUGCAUGGAAGGGCUAUCAUCUUUACUUAAGAGGAGUGACUUACCUAUCAUUGUGGAGAUGAACUCUAUUCUUGUAGUCAAACUGAUCCAAUCGAGGGAUUUGGACAAAUCUAUUUAUGCUUGGAUAGUUAAGGUGAUCAAGUAUGUUUUGGGGAUUCGUGGUUCUUGUAUUACUCAUGUAAAUCGCUCUCAAAAUAAAGUUAGCGACUGCUUAGCUAGAUUUGCUAAAUUAGAAGGACAAACCAUGACUUGGGUUGGUUCUGGUCCAGAUGUUGUUGUUGAGCUAGCUGUUGCUCAAUGUAUGGACACCAUGAGUUGAGUAAUGCAAAAAAAAAAGUUUGCGCAAAAUUAUUUUCAAUUUUUUUUUGAAAAUUUUAAAUAUGGUUUUUGUUUUUUUUCUUUUCAAAAAAAAUACCACACAAAUUUGGCAUUCGUUCCAUGGCUCAUAUCUCUACUCCUAAUGGACGACUUGGUGAAUAGUCUUCAUGGUUUAUUUUCGCUGGGUUUUUUCAUCAUCCUCCCACCUCACGGUUUCAAAAAAACCAACCAAAACUAGAGGCCCGUCCCACGAAACGAAACCCAAUUUGCCCUCGUACCACCACUCCUCCCUCUCCCUUGACCUCCCUUGUCUAGGGUUCCCCGGCACCACUGCGGCAGCCGCCGCCGAAUCCUAGGUCGCCGCACAUCGUCGCCGCCGCCGCGAAUCCCCAGGGACGCCGCACGCCACCGCCGUUGCGAAUCACCAGAGACGCCGCACGCCGCCGCCGCACGCCGCCGCCGCGGAUCCCUAGGGAUGCCGCCGCCACCGCCGCGGAUCUCCAAGGGCGUGGUCACGUUGUACUAGACAAAGUGUGUUCGUCGCCGGCCUCUCCUCGUCCGACCUUGACUUCACCCCUUCGACUCCGGUGACUCCUCUGUGGCCCGGUGGGCGCCAACUGUCGUGGAAUUUUCAUGGCAGAUGUCCUAGUGUGAGGACUUAGUCGUGAGGCCAACGCAUCUACGCGGUAGCUUGAAGGGAUUGGUCGGAAUCGAGAGAUGCGAGGCGGAUCAACACACAAGACAAGGAUUUAGACAGCUUCGGGCCCCAGGAAACAUCAUCCGGUAAUAGCCCUACAUGAUGUUUGUGGCUAGCUCUCAUUAUGCUCACGAGGGAGUCGCCGUAAACCGGCUCUCCUAGUUAUGUCUAGCCCUAGAGAUUGUUUCUUCUUGCUUGUCCCUCUUUGGGGAGCCUUGUCCCUCCUUAUAUAAGUUAGAGGGGCGGGUUACAUGUGGAGUCCUAUUAGGAUUAGGACUAGUCUACCUUCUAAUACAAACCGGAUACAAGUCCAGGUCUUAACUCCUUGUAAGACAAAUAUUUCUCACGCCUUUCCUCUUAAACCGGCCCACCAUAACAUGAGCCGGCCUUCUGGGCCUUGGGACUUGUCAUCCGUCUGUCCCGCCCGCCGGGUUACCAGUGAAUCAUAAUGUUCAGUCAGGUUGCUUGUAAACUGUCUGGUCAGUGCGGGUCGCCGGUGAAUCGCCAAGUCCGGCUGGGCUAUACUUCCGGCCGGGUUACGCCGCGGGGUAUAUCCCCGACAUCUCCCGUGAUAUCUGACGAUAUAUUUAUAAGUAAUGCGCAUGGAUGGUCCGUCCUUGAUUUUAGGGUGGCUUAGUCGGUUGGAAGAUUUGUUAGUUAGCCUAUUUAAAGGUAGCACGAUGCUCUGGUGCUAUUGUCAGGGCUUGCUAGCCCAGCGGAGGAGUCCCUAGUUCUUCUCUUACCCAAAGUAUUACGACCACCGUCUGUCAUUGCCGCAGUCGCCUGACACCAAAUCAACCAUGUCAUCGUCGAGCUCCAUUAGGUACGCGCUGAGGGGCCGAUCAGUUGAUGUGCCCCUGAUCCCUUGCCCUGACUGUGGCGAAACGGUUAGAUUCUAUCUCUCUAGUACCGAAGAGCAUGAUGGUUGGGUGUUCUACAAGUGCAAACACCACGAUGUACAAUCCCUUUACACUUUGGGUUGACAUUUACUGCAUGAGUAAUUUUUUCUACUGUUUCGUUAGUGCUGGUUUGAUUUGUGUUCACUUGAUUCAUAGGAUCCAUGUGAUUUCUGGCGCUGGGAACUAGAGUACGUGGAUCAUCUUGUUGGUACAAGUGUCCUUGUUGGUGCUUAUGCCCUUGACGCAAUGGCUGCGGCACAGGAUAGAAGGGAACAGCUACAGCGCGCAAAAAACAGUGGGAAAAGAAUGCAUGUACCAAGAGUGGCAACAUUGGAGGCAGGACAAAUUACAUUCAGAGCAAUGUGGCAACCAUUACGAAGCACCAAGCUUAUAUGAUGUUAGGACUAGGGAGACAAAUUGUUUUCAUGCUGAAGCUGUUGACGGCUAGUGUAAUGGUGUUGUGUGUGUUGUGUGUGAUGUUGAUUGUGAAGAAAUAAUAUAUUUGUGAUCGUAUCAAGGCGAUUAUCAUGGUUACAUGUAAUAACAACUUAAUAAGAAGGUGUGUUCUAACAUGAUAACUCUUAUACGCCCCCAACCCUAUUUUAACAUGACAUGUAAGAGUAAGAAAUAAAUCUUAUACGAUGAUUCCACGAAAUAGUUGUUUUGGUUAUUUCUUACGUUCUUGACUAUUAUGAGAAAAUAAGAGGUAAGACGGAGCAUGUUAAAAUUGUUAAAAAAUAAUGAAUAAACCGAGUUGCAAUGAAGGCAAUCGAAUGGAAAAACAUAAAUGACCAUUUAAAUUCUUGCCCACUAUGUUGUGCACAAACACAAGAGUACCAUGUUAACACCACAUACAAAUGAUUCCAACUUUUUUUCAUGCCCUCCCAUGAGCAAAUCAAGCAAACAUGCAAAUAUGGUUCUCAGUUUCGACAACUUCUCCACGUAUUGGGAUUUUUUUAUCAAAAAUGCCUGAAAACUGGCCCCACGUGACAUUAGUUGCAAACUUUACUAAGAAUACAUCAAACUUGGCAUGGAGGACUAACAUGACCAUGAGUUGUUACCCCAAAAUUUUUGUGUUGAUUUAAGAAAUGUCAACAAACCAGCAUGUGUCUUCUCAGAGGAUGCCAUGUUAGCCCAAAGGAAGGGCGCGUAUUGGAGCACCUCCGUCUUUACAAUAUCCACAAAUGAUGCCAACUUUAUUUCAUGAUCUCCCAUGAAAAAAUCAAUAAUGCAUUCACAAAGAUUUUUAAUUUGGCCAACAUUUAUAAUCCUUCUGCAAUUUCGAAACGAAAAAGAAACAUCGUCUGCAUGGUCUACCCCCCUAGCCACACAUCGAAAGCAUGGGGCACAUGAUGCAUUACACUUUGUUUGUCUUAUGGUGGACCUAGUUGACACACCAGGCCUAGUUGGAUCAUUGGCCUACACCGGAUUCCAUGUCAUGUGAAACCUCGGCCACAUCAACUGCUCCCGUCUAGAACCUUCGAACUGCACUUUCCACUUUGUGAAGCAAGUACAACAUGAAAUUUGUGAAAUUUCCCCAAGCUUUUAAAGUGCAUCUCAUGACAAAAUCAAGUAAGCAUGCAAAAAUGCUAUUCAGUUUACACAGAAUUUUGCAUGUACAGUAAUUUUUUCGGCCGAAAAUACUAGAAAACUGGCCACAUGUGAAUCAUAUUGCAAACUUUACAAAAAAAUGGUUCAAACAUGGCAUGGAGGCCUAACAUGGCCUUCAAUACUCACCCCAAAAAGUUGGGUCAAUUUCAUACAGGCCAGGAUAGUACUAUAGCAUCUGCUCUCAAAGCGCGCCAGGCUCGGCCGGAAGGGCUUGUGUUGGGGAACCUCCAUGAUCACACCAGCUUCAUAUUUGGUAAAAUAUAUUUCAUGGCCUCCCAUGACCAAAUGAAGCAUGAACACAAUAAUUGUAAGCUUCUACUAGAUUUUCCAUUUUCUUCCAUUUUUCGGUCAAAAAUGCCCGAAAAGUGGCCGCAAUUGCCAAAACUUGGAAAUUUUGCUGAAACUCGUUUUAAUGUUGUCCUAGAAGCCUGUAAUGUAACAUUUUCCUUUGCAUGUCAUAAGUUGGGUUCAAUCCACAUGAAACAUGAUCUACUUGGUUUGUACAUUCGACAGUGUAGUCGCGCUUCUGACCGGGAGCUUUACAAAGGUUCUCGACGGAGGCAGCGCGUGUACCGCAUCGACUCCAUGGAUGGAAUCCAAUUUGAACCAAUGUUCGCACUUGGUAUGGUAUCAAUUAGGUCCACCCUUAGGCAAAGAAGCUUGAAGGCAUCAUGUGCUACCACUUUCGAUGGUUGUCUAGGGGGGUAGACCGUCUGGGAGGAAAUGAAAAAAUCAUGAAAAUCAUGUGUAACCUUGAACGCACUGUGCAUGCAUGCUUGAUUUGGUUCAUGGGAUGGCAUCAAAAUAACUUGGAAUCCUAUGUACAUGGUAUAUUGAAGGAGAUGGCCCGAGACGGGCCCUUCCGGGCUAUCCUUGUACCCUCCGAAAGCACGUGUUGGUUUAUUGACCUAUAUUAAAUGAUCGUCAAGUUUGUAGGGUUACAAUCCAUGGCCAUGUUAGGGAUACAUAUGCCAAGUUUGAACCAUUUUCAUCUAAGUUUGCAAGUUUUUUCAUGUGUAAAUCUUAGUCUAAACUGAGAAGCAUUUCGCAUGGUAGCUUGUUUUGGUCAUGGGAUUCCAUGGGAAAUAGUAGACAUCAUUUUGUAUUGUAGAUGAUCUACUAUAAACAUGGGGGUGCCCCCAAACACGUCCUUGCGGCCUUGACAUGCACCCUCCAAAAUCACAUGUUGGUUUGUUGACCUACCUGAAAUCAACCCAACUUUGCAGGGUUGCAAGCCAUGGUAAUUAUUGGGGUAAGUACAAAUUUCAACCAUUUUUAGCAAAGUUGCAAGUUUUGUCACGUACGGACAAUUAUCGGGCAUUUUCAGAACAAACAACAUAUUUUAUACCACUUAAAAAAUGCAUUCCUUUCUCGAUGACACAUUUGUUUUUUCUUCAGAACAUUACAUUUGUUUUGGCCAAUUACAUGCUAAUGUUUCAACCUCCCAUAACUCACGCCACCCAGAUCUCCCGAAAUCCCAUGAUUACAGCUCCUCCCUCGUAACCACCCGCGGCAUCCAGGUCCCGUACCACCUCCCACGACUGCUGCAAGAUCAGAUUGUAGCCGCCGCCCACCAGGAACAUCGCCUGAGGGGUCGGACCACAGUGGUGUUGUCGCCGUCUCCUACGCGCGUUAACGCGCGCUGCUCCUGUUGCUGCCGUCGAGCGCCACACAUCCACAUCUAGUGUGGGACGCACUAUCCGCGUGGAGCAUUGGGCCGCCACCAUCGACGACAGAAUGUUACGUGAUCAUAGCUCUUUUGUAACCUUUCUUGGACACGCAUGUCUACUAGUAAAGCCCUAAUAGGUUUCCCACAAGUUAUUCCAGUCGUUAAGAUUACCUGAUCAUAUCUCUCAUUAAUAACUAUCAACAUGAUCAAUCUUGGCACACUACACGAACGUCCGAAGAGGUAAUACUACAACAAGGGUAUCUCUUUCAUGAAAUAACAUGUCGUAUGUUUAUGCAAUCCCAAAACCCUAGUUGAACUGUCCCAAUGUUAUGCAUGACCAAAAUCUGUGGUGUGCUUAAAGUUACAUGUAGUUCAUAUUAUUUAAUAAACUCAUCCAUGCUUGCGUAUAAGAAUCUAUUUUUGUUACACAUUUCUCAAUGUGAAGGUCAAAUAAAUUGAACUGGUUUUGCUUCUGUUCCAUAGGUGCAGUAAAAUGGAAACUACUGUUAAAAGUGCUAUUAAUGGAGAAAAAUACGUCUCCGAAAUGACCGAUGAGGUACAUAGUUGACAUUUCGUUUGAAAACUGUACUUGCAGACACUUCUUUCAUACUCGAUAAAAUUUAUUGCUACUUUUAAAGGAAAUCUUGAGGAAGCACGGCCAAACAAAGUUAGUGUGCUCAUCGUCAAGGCUCGCCAAAGUCAUGAAAUUGUUGUCACCAGAACACAUAGAGAAAAUCAUAAGCGAUACCGGUCUUGGGUGUCUAAACAUGAUUCGUGAAUUUAAACUCCGGCGCAUUAUGUGGUAAGACUAACAUAGAGCUUCAAUAGUGAGACAUCGUCCAUUACCAUAGGUAAAACACCCAUUCCUAUCACCACAAAAGACGUGCACCAUAUAUUUGGCCUUGCGAUAGAAGGGGAGGAUAUUGAUGAAAAGCUGCAAAGCACGCCGGAUCCAAAUUUGUUUAACACAUUUCAAAACAAUGGGAGCAUUGAUCUGGCUGACCUUGAGACAGCGGUCUUAAGUUCCAAACCUUCGGACAAUGAUUUCCUGGCGCGGUUCGUUCAAUUCGCUAUUGGCACAGUUUUAGCACCAACAGCACAAUGUUAUGUCGACGCGAAAUACCUUCAACUUGCUGCGGAUAUUAAAAGCCUUCGAAAAUUGAACUGGGGAUGUUUCACAAUGAAACACUUGUUGAGGUACAUACACAAAUUUAGCUCUCUUGAUCAAGUAUCUCUACAGGGAAAUCUACCUCUGCUUCAGGUUAGUGCAACAUCACUAGUUAACAUUGUAUAAUUGUUUUUCUUUUCUAUAUCUCUCUAUAUUGACGAAGUAAUUUAUUGUGAAGAUUUGGUACUGGGAGCACCCGCGUUCCGGCAAAUUGAUGUAUACUCCUAUACCCCCACCAUUGGUCACACGAUGGGACGAAUGCACGUGUGUAAUAAGAGCAGAAGCUUACACCUCAGGAGGUCUUCAUAAAGGACUGGUGUGUUUCUAGAUUUGACCCAUGUAUGUAUCCGGUUAUUUAUUUGCUACUACUGAUUCAUUGUACCUGAUUCAAAGGUUGUGAUGGAAAUUUGUGCUCGACAACCAGAGGCUAACAUUAGAAAGGAUCCAGGAAGCAAAAAAAUUGUACGUGAGGAUGAAGGUGAUUCAUCUCGAGCACAAUCACAAGGUCAAAAUAUGAGUAGCCACCAAGUAAGCCCAACAAAGACAAUUUUCAUUUUCCAAGAUCAGUAAAAGGUUGCAUCGAAACUCAUUCAUUUUGCUUUGUUCUGAACGGGGUGUUAUUUCGUUUGCACAGGUGCAAAUGAUAGUUGCAGCCCUGAAUGCACAUUGUGCUGAGCAAGAAAAGAAGAUAGACAGACAGUUAAUGGAAUUUCAGCAUAGAUUUGAUGCGAAAUUCCUCACCCUGAGCGAAGAGUUAAUCGACAUUAAGAGUAAAUCUGGCAUUAAUCCUAGGCUCUCGCUGCUCGAGGACGAAAUUAAGAACUUAAGGAGGGAACUGAAGGUAUGUCAUGUUGUGCAUUUUUUAUUGUUAUGAAUAUGUUCCUCCAUAUUCAUUAUUGUUAUAAUUGUUAUAGGAAUUAAAAAACCAAACUAAAGUCAGCCGACAAUCCGAGUCACAGAAAGCAGGCGUCGAGGUAAUAAUUAUGGCCCACGACAUAAGUAGUAUUACCAAACUAAUUAUAAUUAACCAUUUUUGUUGCUGUAGGAACAAGUCAAUGUGUGCAGUGAUCCCUUCAUGGCGACUCCUAAGUUCGACGCAUCCACGCCACGUACUUCGACUCCAACACCAAGUGCCAGACACGUCCUGCCAAACAAGGACGAUCCUCGAAUCACACCGUUGAAGCCUCUAUUUGAUAAUGAUUACGUGCUCACCGCUGAGGACAAAGAGGCAGCCAUUUUCAUCUGGGGAACACACGGCCCUGUUGAAGUCGUUCAAAUCGGAGACAUUCCCCUAAGAGCGGAACAACUGAAGCCAAUUUAUGAUAAAAAAUACAUCUGUGGUGAUGUAAGCCCCUUGUACUCCAUUGUACAUCAACUAUUUGAACUGUUGGCACAUCAUUAUAUGAUUACAAAUUUGGCAGGUUAUUAUGGUGUAUGCUCACAUCAGCGGAGUUGAGACUGAUACUACCUCAGUCAUAUCCCCCAAUGAAACCAGAAAGCUUUUACAAACAAAAGGGGUUAUUCCAAAGGGCCGUGGAAGCUCGUUGCUUCAACUUAUUGCAAAUAAAUUUGUAGGACGCCGGAAGGUACCUAUUUUCCUCACUUCCAUAUAUCGUAAUAGAUAGUGUAGAUGAAAUAUUUCAGGGGUCCCCCGAACCAUAAUUGUUACCUUAUAUACAUUAUUCCGUGGAAUGAGUCCUCUUUGACUUCAUGGCAGGUCCACACCCCGUUUAAUGUGAAUGAUAAUCAUUGGAUGGGAAUGGUGUUCAAUUUCGACAAAGAAGAGAUUCAAAUCCUAAACUCCUUGAAAAAUCAAUUUGGCGAGUCGAAGGAAACUGCUCUUGUAAGCUUUAUCUUGCUGCCUCUUUACUGUCGCAUGGCACAUUAACUCCAAAUCAUCGUAACCCUUCGUAAUACUCGUAUUAUGCUAGGUGGAGGCAAUUCAGGCCUGCAUGGACGGAGCGGUGAAGGAUGUCUUGGUAACACCAGAUAAUCCCAUCAAAUUUACCGACUUGGAAGUAGUACACUAUGACGACAUACCGCAACAGAAUGACGGGUACGUACGACCUCCUAAAUUAUUCCUUGCCGACACGUCCAAGUUUACUAAAACCUAAACUAAACACUGCAUGCAUUCAUGUGCGUUUUUUACACUGAAGUACAUGUUGACAUGGAACAGUGAAGUAUUUACCGACAAAGUGGAGUAGGUGAGCCAAACACUAUAUUUUCUUGUAGAAUAUCUUAUGACUGAACGAUGUGCUGACAUAUGUGUCGCUUAUCAAAUGUAGUCACAAAUAGAUAUAUUUAGCUGGAAAAUAGUUUCAAGCUUGCUGCGUCCAGAUUGCAAUAGUCUUCGCAUGGAAACAUACAAGUACCCCAUAACGGUUAGCGAAAAAGCACUGAUAUUUUAUUGUAUUCACAUGUGUCAUGACGCUACCGAAUGCACUGAUGUCUGCUGUACAGGCAGAGACGUAUGAAGCCCACGUUGCAUCGGAACCUAUCAAUUCACAAGACGAUGUCCAAGAAAUUAUCGGUACUGUUGAGUGCAAGAUAUCAGACACGUCGAGCUCCCCAAAGGAUCCCGACACCCCGAGCUCCCCAAAAAAGCGAAGAGCACGUGGACGCCCGAGGAAGCUUGUUGAUUAAGUGCAAGCUAAAAAAACAAAAACUAUGGAAGAGCUCAGAGUGAAAUUUGAUAGCAAGACCAUUUCUAAACAAGUGUCUUCUUCGAUAUCAAGACGAUCACGCAAGCCAUCACAUGCUAUAUCGAGCCCAUUCAAGUUAACCAAAUGGUAGUUUAGGUACGUACUGGGUAGCACUAUAGUUAGCACUACUUAUGAUACAUUUGUCAUUUACGAUUUGGUGAUUGAACUUUAUCAAACGUGCAUCGACGAGCGGUGAAAGAUGGCUUGCUAACAAGAGCUAAGACCGUAAAAAGUAGUGUAUGAUAACAUACCUCAAUAUAGCAAUCUAUGUUGUCGCAGUACAUACUUUUGGCAAUCACGAACAUUAUAUAAUUUCGGCAAUUAGGAUCAUGUGCAUGCUACAUUUCUGGCAAUUACUAAUGCAUGCUCAUUUGUUUUGCUUCAAAUGGCAGUAUGUACUCCUGGCGAACAUUUGUGUGCUCUACUUUUGGCAGCUAUUAAUACAGGAUCAUUUAGAAUGGUUUAACUGUCCAUAGAAAUAACUAGAAUGUCAUUAUUUCUAAACAUACCAAAUUCAGUGCAAGAUAUAGCAUUAGCAUCUUCAGUUAGAGUCAUAACAUAUAUGUACCAUAUAUCACCAUAGUGGAGGUAUUAGGCAAGGUUGACCGCAAUGCACUUAUUAGUACAGGGUAGGUGCUUACAAGAUAAACAAUAGUUUAAUGAAACAACAACGCAUAUUAGUACAUGGUAGACGCUUAAUUAGGCGCCUAUCAUGUACAAAUUGGCACUGCUGCUUCCAAAAACCAUGUUUAAUAUAGUUAGCAUGUACCUAAGCACAUAGCAUUGGUAGUUGGCCAUUACUAUAAAUGAUCAAUGUACUACCAAACACUUAAACAUAGCAUGUUAAACACUCGCAACCCAAAAGAUAAACCGGCACAUAAGUUCAAGCAGUACGGUGGGGCAGAAGUAUCACACGACAACCAUAACAUAAAAAAAGUCUUAACUAGGGUGGGCCUGUAGUAACAACCAAGUAGCGCAUUAGAUCCUCGGCAUCUUGGCCGGACGAGGAGGCCUCGGGAGGUAGAAUGGAAGAUGCCCCUUCGCGUACUUCCCGAGGAAGGCACCAAAAGCGGAAUGUUCAGCCCGGUCCUGGGGCUUGCGGUUCCUCCCAUUACCACGGCUGAUAUCGGUGCCAUGCAUGAUUAGGUUGUCGUAGUUGCUCUUGAUUCUCGCGCAGCAGAAGGGGCAGGCUAUGUUGCCGUAGAGCCUGUUGGAGCCGCUGAGGUAUGGGAUUUCCCCAUUCCGCAGCCUCCUGAGGACGUAGCGGCUCUUGCUUUCCCUCCUCUCCUUACUAUCAUCCACGUCUUCGUCAUCUUCCUGUGUGUUAGUUGAUCGACAGCUAUGUCAGAUUAGGAAUACAGAAAUGUAGCAUUUCAUAAGAGUAUCAAGUACAUUCCGAAAGUAGGAACACAAAAAUAUGAUCAAUCAGAUGAUUCACACAACAUGUACCUCAUGUAUUGCUAUAUAUGUUUAUGUAUUAUUUGUUAUCUUUCUUGUUCUUUUUUCUUUGCUUUGCAUGCGUACCUGUUCUCCCCUGUAAAGAUGUACUCCUAUUUGUACAAUCUAAGUUGACAAUUAACUAAAGGGUUCGGGUUUUAGGGUAUGAACAAAUCAUUUUACUGCAUUCAAGCACAUAUUUUAUUUCAUAUUGAAAAUAGAUAAUUCCAAAAAUAGGAUCAUUUCCUGCCAUUUCUUACAACAAUAUUUUGUAUGAUCUGGUUUUAUCAUAAAGAGAUACCAGACAAUAUCUAAUUUAAUUAUAUUCAAACUAGAUGAGUACAUACUACAAAGUAAAACUACUGCAUCAACAAAGAAAAGAUUGCCCUCACUUGAUAUUGUGAAGACAACAAAUUAUAUGAAUCAUGUCAUGAAUUAUGUAUAAAAAGAGAAAUUUUUGACUGAGGUACAUCGGUUGCGAACAUAAGAAAUUAUGGCUUUAAUUACUCCUUGUUGCUAAUAAUUACAUAGGGUUCGUACAUAAGAAACUCUACAAUGAAUUACUUACUGCAAUCAGAAAAUGUCUUCACAAUAUAGCUGUAAGGCUUCAUGAUUUUCAUCAAAUAAACUAGUUUUUCUGACAACUAAAUAAAUGUACUGUUUACUAGGUCUCAACAGAUUUGGCAAUCAGAUUGAAAAUAAGAUGCAUAGUCCACUUCAUUAUAUGGAAAUCAUGAAGCAGAUAGAAAAGGUUUGCACUGUUAAGGUAUGGAAGAUUCUAUAAGAAAGGAGAAAAUGUGGUAUCAGCUUUGUGCAUAUGGAGCAUUAUGAUUACGCUUAGUAAUGAAAAUUUUCUAUAUAGUAAGAAUGCAAAAGAAAAUCUUGUUGCUAGAAAUGUACUGUUGCAUGGACUUGACAUGCAUGAUUACUGAUGUGGCAUAGUUUCAUGGAUUGAUUUGUCCAAGAGAAGAACUAAUCCAUGUUUGUUGUUAAUGGCAGGCAGUGGCCGUAAAUUGUUACUACAUGCAUCAGUACUGACCAUAUGCAUAACUCGAUGAUGUGGCCCAGUUUCAUGCAUACCAAAACCAGAUAAUGGGUUGCCACUAUUGAAGAACGGAGCAUAGUUUCAUGAAUAGCAAAACCAGAUAAUGGGUUGCACAAUUGAGGAACAGAGCAUAGUUGUAACAGGGGUUCUCUGAUUUAAACUCUCAUCAUUGAUAGUAUUGUUGGUCACUAGCGAGGCACACGUGCAUUGGGCGUGAAAGCAAGAGUUAAUGUCAAUUAUUUUAGAUGCACUUUACAUUGCUAUGUUACUGUAGCAAUGGAUUUUUGUGUGUGUUUUCUUUAAUAAAGAGAUAAUGUUUGUGCAUAAUAUGCAUUCAGAUUCACAAAGUUCAAAGCAUUAGCAAUUCAUUUAGAAGGAAAGACUUUGCGCUGUUAAAGUAUCCAAGAUUCUAUAACAAUGGAGAAACAUAGUGCUAUGAGGUUGUUUGUGCAUAGGUAAAAUUGUGCUUAAGCUUACAAAUGGAAUAUUCUAGAUAGUACGCAUGCUUGGAAUUUUUCUUUUGUAGUAAAUAAGAUAUCGAAUGGCCAACAAUGCUGGGAUUUACCAUCUGUCCACCGUUGGAUUGGCUUCAUCCAACAGCAAAUAUUCAAAGUUGUUUCCAAAGUACAUGUUUUAAAAGUUACCAUUUAUAGAAGCUCAAGCACCGUUGAUAAAUAUUUACUGUUGCAUGUCAACUUUUCAAGUUCUAGAUAUUAAUCAUUGAUCCUCUUGUUGAUUGUCAUGAAAUAAACAAAUUUGUAGGAAAUUUUCCAUCCACUCAAACCUGUCUAAAAGAAUCCUACGUUUUUAGUAUGCACAAUCAAACACUCAUACAAUCCUGUAGGAUUCAAGAUGACAUGCCAUUCUAAUCCCACGUUUUCCCUAUUCCUGCAUUUUGGAAAUCGUACGAAUCAAAGAGGUGAUACCUAACAAAUACACCAUUUUCUACAGCAGAACUGGUUCAUAAUCAGUUUCUAAAUCAUAUUCUUACUCAUCUUCACAAAAUAAUUGCACGCACAGGGGGAUGUUAGGCCUACAUUACUACUGUUCCAUGCCAGGUUUCAGAUUGAAGGGGUUUCCUUCCAAAUGUAUGAAACAACUAGUACUAAUCCUAACCCUAAGGGAGAGAUCAAGAAACAUAACCUAUCUGGACGAAAUCUAAUCCGUGCUGCAUGCAAUUUAGGAGAAAACCCCAUGGGAGAAAACCCCCAAAACAGAGUAGGAGAAUAGAGCAGAACAGAGUAGUACCUCCGAGAGCUCGUCGUCGACCUCCUCGUCGAACUCGACUGCCUUGUCCUGCACUUCCUUAGUGUCGAGCUCGGCCUCCUCGUAGUACUUGUCGAUGAGCUCGUACUGCUCGCGCUUCUGCUUGGCCCUCUGCUCCUCCAGAUCCACCUCCACCUCCUCCUCCACCUGCUCCCCGACCGCAGGCUCGGACGUUGUGAUGGCGGCCAGAGCAGUCACAACAGAUGGUGCACCGCCUCUCGUCGCCGCGAUGGCGCCAUCGGCCACGCCAACCGCGGCGGCAAUGACCACAGCAGGCUUCUCCACUGCUUCUACCGUUGCAUCCUUCUCCACCGCCGUGUCUUCACGGCCGGCCUUCAUCUUCCGACGAUGAAGGGCAAGGGAGAUGAUUGCUGGCUCGUAGGAGGUAGGGUUCGAGGUGAGAGGAGAGGGUUUUUGCUGAUUUGGGGAAGAAAAGUAGCAGGGGUGGGGGAGUGGGAGAGACGGGGUGGGGGAGGCGGCUUUUAUUUAGCUUGUGGGUGGACGUUUGGAGUUACCGAGGCUAGACGCGUGGAGUCGUGCGCUCGUGCACGCCCCAACCACUUUAAUUUUUUUGUCAUGAAUUUGUAUUUUUUUGACCUGUGGUUUAGCGAGGAAAUUAUACAAACCACCUACUUUUGGUGUUACUCUUGCAUAGAACACCUACUUUACAGGUUUGUUCCAAAAAAACACAUAUUGGGGUAAUUUGUUGCAGCAAGGUCUAAUCCGCCAUUUUGGGUGGGUUGACAUGAUUUCUAACAAGUGAGUCCAUUUAGUAAGUGCACCGCAGGAAAAAAACAUUCCACAUCAGCACCCAACUAGAGUUGUGCAAAAUUUACAAAUAGGUACUCCAGAAAUAAUUCUCAUUGUUUCUGGGCCCACAUAAAUGAACUAUUGAUAGUUUUUUUUGUUCCCACAUAACAUGUUGGCACACAAGAGCAUGCACCAAACUUGUUCUCCUUCGACACACAGACGCUAUAACGACGGACAUGUACCAGUAAUAUUCACAUUGCACGUGUCGAUACCAUCUUGACCAACACGCAACAACAUUGGUCUCAUUGGACUCACACAAGCCAAAAGGGGUCCAAAUCAUUCACCAAUUCUUCUAGUCACAUUCCACUCCAAGAUGCGACAAUGGACCGACAUGUAUCAAUCUUGAUCUAUUUGCACAAAUAAUUGGUAUAAGGGCCAGAUGCACCAAUAGAGGUCACAAUGCACUGACACGUGUCACUUGGGCCAACACACACCAUGCCCACAUACAAGGAACAAAUAAGCCUAUAGGAUCCACAUGCACCGAUAAACUACGUCUCGACAUGCAACAACUUUUUGUAGUCACAUUGCACGCAAAGUGCAUACCAAGACACGCCAAUGGCCCGUCAUGUAGCAAUCUUCAUGUGUUUUCACUAAUCAUGGUUUCUUUGGCCUCACGGAUGCCAUAAGGGCCAAAUGCACCAAUAUUGACACGUUGCACUCAAAUGUGCCACUUGGGCCAACAUGGAUCAUGGUUUCUUUACUAGCAAGGAUCACAUAAGCCAUUAUAUAGUGUUGGUACUCUAGCAAAUAACAACAUAUAUCAACAUUGGUCCUAGUUGCAGCUACAUAGGACCACUUAUGCCACACAUGGAGCGCAGCCUCGGUGCAUGGUUUUCUUUCCGUGCGUCUAUGUCUGGAUAAAUGUCUUAAGGAGAGGCAAAUUGGUUCUGCCGAACACACUGCAUCAACCGAACUGGCUAGACCCUUUACCUCACACCCGCAUGGCCCUGGUUCAAAUCCCCGUGAGGCAGUUGGAAAUGCCAAAAAAAUUUCUGUGGGUACUAACACGUGGGGUUCCCUUGUCAUCCACACAAACGCGCCACCACAUGUACCACAUUUGGCUAAGUGCACCUACUAAUCCACAUCAUUUUCAACUUUCUUCUUCCCCUUCUCGACAAGCGCCGCCGCCGCCAUCUCCAGACGACGCCUCUCUUCGCCGCCGGAUCUGCGUGGCCGCUGCCAACUCCAGCAAGUAGGUGAGAUCUCUCCUCAUCCCCCUCGUGAAUCUUCUUCCCUUCCCCAACCGCGUGCGUCCCCCUCUGGACGCGGAUCCGAUCUAGAAAUUUUAAUUGGUACAUGCGGUAGAUGAUUUGUUGAUGGAUAUGAUGGUUCUUUCAUAGAUUGAUGGACGUCGUAGUGUAGGAUCUGAGUUGUACCAGGGAAAAGUGAGGCCCUAUGCAAAUCAAAAUGCGGCCCUAUGUGUGAAAAAAUAAAUCAAAAUAAUUCAUAUGUUCUUCACUAUAGUAUGUAGUACUGACAUUGGAUUGGAUUGGAUUGGGAUUUAUUAGGUAGAUGAUACUGGCAUUGCCAUUGUCAUUGGCAUUGCUUUUUUAGGUAGAUGAUAGUAAACAGAUUUAAUAGGUAUUGCAUUUUAUGUUAUCACUAUGAUUUAUUAUAUGUAUGAUCUUUGUAUUGUACUAUGGUAUCGUACAAUUCAACUUAGAGUUCAACAUGUUCUAUGUAGAAUGGAGGAAGCACCAUGUGGACGGUGCAAGUCACGGUGCCGGACCAGCCUUUGUACUGCCACGCUGUUCGGCAUCUACUUCCAGCCUACUUUUGUUUUGCAGCGGUAACAAUUUAUAUGAACCUUCUGACAGUUCAUUUUUUUCUAUUUCCACUAAUGCAUUGUGUUUGUUAUUUGUUUUUUCUUGCACAGAUUGUCCCAUGCAAUGUGAGAUUGACAUUCAAUGAGCUCAUCGGAGAUACCGUGAUCUUCGACGCUCUUGGGGGGCCGUACACUAUGCAGGUCGAUAAGGGGCGAACGAUAACCCAGAUUGGAGGAGAUGAAUGGGAUCGUUUCUAAAAGCACAAGUGCUCCCUAGGUGGUUUUGGUAAUUAAUGACAACAUAUCUCUUGUUGGACUAACACUCCUAUCUAGUAUAUUUCAGAUAAGUUCAACAAUGGAGUGGCAUGGACUAAAGGAUGUGGGAACUCCUUCAAGAUGCUAAGGACAAAGGAUUGGCUAAAGCUUCAAGCUCAAGACUCUUCAUUUUACAUUUUAGUGAUCCAAGAUCACAUUGAGUUUAUAGGAAAAGCCAAUACUAUCAAGGAGGGAUAAGGUGUUGCUUAAUGAGCCUCUUGCUUCAUGUGCUUAGUGAUAUGCUCCAAAACCCUCAGCUACUUUCUCACAUCCACAAAUGACCUAAACCCAAAGCCAAAAUCGGUCACACCGAUCCUUCCUAUCCGGCGCCACCGAUUCCAAAAGUCAUAGCCACUAUCACAAACCCUAAGCAAAUCGGUUCUACCAAUAGGGAUCUCGGUCUCACCGAGAUGGGAUUGUAAUCUCAAUGUGUAUAUCCAUUACCAAAAUCGGUCUCACCGAGUUUGUGCAAUCAGUACUACCGAGAUUACAAUGCAAAGUUUCUGGUUAGCCUAUUACCAAAAUCGGUCUCACCGAGUUUGGGUGAUCGGUCUCACCGAGUUUGCCUGACCAACUCUCUGGUUAGCUAAUUACCAAAAUCGGUCUCACCAGUUUGUGUAAUCGGCCUCACCGAGAUUAUGUUAUGCCCUAACCCUAACCAUAUCGGUCUCACCGAGAUGCAAGUCAGUCCCAUCGAAAACCCUAACGUUCACUAGGUUUACUAAAUCGGUCCGACCAGUUUAACAAUUCGGUCCCACCGAGUUUGGUAAAUUGUGUGUAACGGUUAGAUUUUGUGUGGAGGUUACAUAUACCCCUCCACCUCCUCUUCAUUCGUGGAGAGAGCCAUCAGACUGAACCUACACUUCCAGCAUCCUAUUUCUGAUAGAGAACUACCUACUCAUGUGUUGAGGCCAAGAUAUUCCAUUCCUACCAUAUGAAUCUUGAUCUCUAGCCUUCCCAAGUUGCUUUCCACUCAAAUCUUCUUUCCACCAGAUCCAAAACCUAUGACAGAGAGUUGAGUGUUGGGGAGACUAUCACUUGAAGCACAAGAGCAAGGAGUUCAUCAUCAACACACCGUUUGUUACUUCUUGGAGAGUGGUGUCUCCUAGAUUGGCUAGGUGUCACUUGGGAGCCUCCGACAAGAUUGUGGAGUUGAACCAAGGAGUUUGUAAGGGCAAGGAGAUCGCCUACUUCGUGAAGAUCUACCGCUAGUGAGGCAAGUCCUUCGUGGGCGACGGCCAUGGUGGGAUAGACAAGGUUGCUUCUUCGUGGACCCUUCGUGGGUGGAGCCCUCCGUGGACUCGCGCAACCGUUACCCUUCGUGGGUUGAAGUCUCCAUCAACGUGGAUGUAGGAUAGCACCACCUAUCCGAACCACGCCAAAAACAUCCGUGUCUCCAAUUGCGUUUGAAUCCUCCAAACCCUUCCCUUUACUUUCUUGCAAGUUGCAUGCUUUACUUUCCGCUGCUCAUAUACUCUUUGCAUACUUGCUUGAUAUGUAUCGUGAAUGUUGAAGUUGUGCCUAAACUCCACUUGAACUUCAAAAAGACUAAAAACUGCAACUUUGGUACUUAGUGUCUAAUCCCCCCCCCCCUCUAGACACCUCUUCUCAAGAUCAUACAGUUUCAUCGCCCGCUUGCGUCUUAGUGGGGGUGAACGGAUCCUCUUCUCCUUAAGAGGACAAAGGCCCAGGAUUUCUGUUAUCUAUCUGAAUUUGAUUGACGAUAGUGAGGAUGAGGUUCAUGAGGAGGACGAUGGUGAGGAUUCAGAUGAUGAUGAGAACCCACUUGAUGAAACCCUCUAUGUCCAAGGAGUGAGGCUGAGCGACAAGGAAACCAGCAACCUCUGGGACAUGUUUCCGCUACGUGAAGACUACGUCGGGAUGCCAUUCGUGACCCGCCUCACAAAGACGAAUGUUAAACAGCAUCUCAUGGUAUGUUACUUAGUGUGGUAAUUACAUGAUAUGCAUGCUUAAUUAGUGUAGUAUUUGAUAUGAUAUGCAUGUUGUAGUACUGUGAUGAUAUGCCUAGUGUAGAAUUCAUUUAGUGCAGAAUUUUAUGGUAUGCAUGUGUUGUAGUAAUGCGAUAUAUGCUUAUGUAGUGUAGUAAUAUGCGAUGAUAUGCUUAGUGUAUGUAGUAUAUAAUCUAAUGAUAUGCUUAAUUACUGUAGUAAUUUGAUGAUUAGCGUGUAUUGUAGUGAUGUGACGUGACAUAUGUGUCUUGAAGUGUAUGGUUUGUUGAUAAUUGCACGUGACAUGCUCAUAUAUCAUAUCAACUGUUUUCAGAAAUUACCUAAGAGGUUAUCUGAUAGCUGUGGCAUCGAGCCGGAUGAAGAAGGCAUGGCUGCUGGACUACGCCUUACCAGAACGGGCUCCAUCACCACCUGUGCAUAUGCAGUGGACACGCACGGUCGCACUAUCUUCAACCGGGAGGGGUGGAAGAAGUUCCUUCAUGGCAAGAAUCUUUCGGUAGGUCAGGGCAUCCUACUCACUAUUGCGAAUACCCGUCGCCGUGACUUGAGGAUGAUGAUCACCAUCAACCUCAUUUGGAACUGGCUGGGCCAUGUUUCGAUGUGAAAUGAACUUCGUAUGUUAGCUCUUGUUUCAGAGUACUUGUCGUGUAUUACUGUACCUAUAUAUAUAUAUUAUAUUAUAUAUAUAUAUAUAUAUAUAUAUAUAUAUAUAUAUAUAUACACAUAAACACUAUUCUGAUCACGGGAUCAGAAUAAUAUUCUGAUCACAACCUGAACUGCCUGAGUAACGCGCCUGAACUUCUCUCUGUACAAACCCGACCUUCGGGCUAUUUUCGCAACCGUGCCUUCUACCGCGAGUUUUUCUGGUUAGUCGUGUUCCAUGUGAUGUAAGUGUAAUCUUCAAACGAUUUUUAGCAACUAAAUACUCGUUUUAGAUAGCAAUCUCGCUCAUAGGCGGAUUUUGCACUCGGGUCGUGAAGAACUCGCGUUUUUUGCGAUUUUACGGCCUGAGUUGUUCGACCUGAACUUCCCCCUGUGCUAGGUUGAACUUCCCGCAACAUUGCCCAAAUAGGUCUUACUAUAUACCGUUGGAAAGCUAUGGACACGUGUAUCAUGACCCAAGUUAAAUUUUUCGCAAAAUGUAAGCGGUUUAAGAGCAGUUUUGAAAACCGUUUUUUCUUCACACAAAAAAUGUGAAUCGUAAUUUCGAUCGCAUUUCUAAACCGUUUAUCGGAAUGAGACAUAUAAUAUGGCGUUGAAAAGCUGCUGCAAAACCGCUCCUUCCACAUGUUUAAAGUUUUUUCUAAUUUCCUAUGGUUAAAGAGUAAUUUGAAAAAACGUAAAAUUUCGUAAACCGGACAGCUGAGUUCGUUUUUUCGAUGUAAUUUCUAAACGGCUAAUCCAAUGGAGGCAUAUGAUAUGGCGUCGGAAAGCUUAGAAAAAUGCUCUACUUUUUCAUCUUGACGGUUUUUUUCUAAUUUUGAAUGGUUUAAGAGUAAUUUAGAAAAUGAUCCAAGUCCUACCGAGUUCGUAUUUUCGAGCUAAUUUUUUAACCGUGCGUCCGAAUGCAGCAAAUGAUAUGGCGUUCGAAAGCUUGAACAAAUGCGAAACUUUUUGGUAUGUAUUGUUUCUCCCAAUUGUUUACGGUUUUAAGUCAGUUUCAAAAAUGGCGAAAAACGUAUUUUCGCCAUAAUUUCUACAAACUUUAUCGGAAUUGGGCAAAUAAUAUACCGUUGAAAAGCUACGGAAAAUGCGAAACUCUUUCGUGUUGAUGGUUUUCUCUGGUUCCUAGCGGUUUUUAUGUAAUUUCGAAAACGGCGAGAUCACUCGUUCUGCCUUUAUUUCAAAACAGAUUCUUCGAAAAUGCACCGCAUGAAGAACCUGAACUUCUCGGCGCGUGUACCUGAACUUCACUCUGUUUUUCACGUGAUUUUUUUGCUCAUAGCUCUCGAUCCACUGCUCGUACCUCUCCAUCCACUCACCGGAAUUGGGCAAGUGAUAUACCGAUGGAAAGCUGUUGUAAACACGCAACUUUCCCGUGUUGAUCAUUUUUUCAUACUCAUGACGAUUUUAAAAGUUUUUUAUCCGAAAUUCAUUUAGCGUAGUAGUUGAACUUCCUGCUAUUUUCACGUUGAACUUCUGUGACGUAUUUUUGUUUGUAAUUUUCUCAUCCACUCGUCGGUGACAAAUUAUAUUCCUUUUGUACAAACCGCUCUCAAAAUAAUUUUUCUAACUUUCUCCGACCGAGGACUUGAACUUAUGACAACAACAAAUUUGGACCUUACCUUUUUAUUCAUUUUUCUCAUAUUAAACACACACCAUGUAGUACAUGAACUUUUUCCAUUUUUAUAAUUUGAAUUUUUUAUUUUCUUUUUGAAAUCAAAUUGCUUCCAAAUAAUAACUGAACUUCUUUGUGGAUUGAGAUAAUUAUUUUAAAAAUCAAAAAUAUUUUUUUUGUGUUUUCGAACAUGGAAAUAUAAGGUGAACCUCUCUCGCAAGAAUUUUUGAACUUCCCCGGACAGAGCACGUGAACUUCUUGCAACAAACCUUUUAAGCUGUUAGUUUUCUAUUCUUUUCUGAAAUGCAUUCCGUGUAGUAGUUGAACUUCCCGCUGUUUUCACCUUGAGCUUCUGUCACGUAUUUUUGUUCAACUUCUCUCACAACAAUUUUUGAACUUUAUCGGGCCGAGCACUUGAACUUCUAGAAACAAAAUCAUUAGCCUUUGCUUUUUCAUUCUUUUUUUAUACAAAAUGCACACCGUGUAGUACGUGAACUUCUGGUAGUUAUCAAUCUGAACUUCUCUCGGUUACGUGAAAAUAUCUGAGUUUUUUAUGAAUAUUAAUCUGACUUUCUUAAUAUUUUUUUAUGAAUUCUGAAGCGCUCUAUUUUUAAAAGUUGAACUUCUUGUUAUUUUAUUUUUGAACUUCUUGUUUCCAUUCUUUAAUAACAAGGAAAAUCCGAGUUUUCUAUAAUCAUGGAACUUCUCCAUCUUUUUAAUUUGGACUUCCUGGUUUUAUUUCUUAACUUUUUUAUGAAUUCUGAAGCGCUCUAUUUUUAAAAGUUGAACUUCUUGUUAUUUUAUUUUUGAACUUCUUGUUUCCAUUCUUUAAUAACAAGGAAAAUCCGAGUUUUCUAUAAUCAUCGAACUUCUCCAUCUUUUUAAUUUGGACUUCCUGGUUUUAUUUCUUAACUUUUCUAUGAAAUUUGAAGCGCUCUAUUUUUAAAAUUUGUUGUCUUUAAAAUUUUCAAUUACUAAGUAGUUAUUCUACAUGACCCAUCCACAUAAUAAUAUAUGAACUUCUCAGGAACUUAUUUUUCAUUAAGCACAUUUAAGUACAUAAUAUACAGGAAGGAGGUCGAAGAUGUGAGCGCGGAUGCAUCUACAUGUAGGAAAAUUUUUGGGUGCUCUUCUUUUUUGAAUGUAGGGUGCUAUUUUUUUAAGAGUGCAAGGUCAGAACAAGUCUCAUAUCCAUUGAACAUCUACAAUAUUAACUCUCAAACAUCAGCAAAACAACUUGAAGAAAAACAGUACCAGUUCUCAUUUGGCAUAUCAACAAGCAUAUACAGAGCACGUAAUCAGAACCUACUCUCGGCAUAAAUUCACCAUGAUGUUUUUAUUGCAUGCUGGCCUGUUCUCCUGGAGCACAAGACAGAGGAGAGGCGAGACAUUGUGCAUGCUUCCCAACCAGUACUUUUUGAACUUCCAUAUUUUUUUUGGAACCAUGAUCAUGGGGAAGUUCUAUGAAAUUUGACGGGGAAGGUCGCUGAGAGAAGCGACAACAGGUAACACACGAGCGAUGGUGACCAUAUGGCCAGCUUGCGGCGAACCAGCAACCUGUACUCGAGAGAAGGAAGCUGCACUGCAGUUGAAAGUCCAAGAACCGAUGUCGCGUGAUGCCGAGCGUGGGGAAGAUGACCGGAGCUGGUGCAAGGGGGAGCAGGAGGCCGCCCCAUGCAUGCCUCUUCCCAUGCCUUGCCGGGGGUCGUGGCCGGCUGGAUCCAGCCGCCCGCUCGACUGGAUCGGCGAUAAGGUUUACGGGGGCGGCGUGAUCCGCGCGGUGGCUAGGUCCGCUGCACGGCGAAGGGAUGGUGGCGCUUGGAGGUGAGGAUGAGGGCGUGGCGGCGGGGUUCUCCGGGGAGGGCGUGCGCCGGCGUGGGGAUCGGGGAUCCGGGGAGGUGGCUCGGCUACGGGGGGAAGCGGGGGCGUGGCGGCUCCGCGGGCCGGGAAGGAGGCGGCGGUGGUUGCGAGGGCCGGGGAGGGAGGCGGCGGUGGCUGCACGGGCGGAGGGAGGCGGUGGCCGCGCUGGCCAAGGAGGGAGGCGGUGGUCGCGCCGGCCAGGGAGGAAGGCGGUGGUGGCCGCGNNNNNNNNNNNNNNNNNNNNNNNNNNNNNNNNNNNNNNNNNNNNNNNNNNNNNNNNNNNNNNNNNNNNNNNNNNNNNNNNNNNNNNNNNNNNNNNNNNNNNNNNNNNNNNNNNNNNNNNNNNNNNNNNNNNNNNNNNNNNNNNNNNNNNNNNNNNNNNNNNNNNNNNNNNNNNNNNNNNNNNNNNNNNNNNNNNNNNNNNNNNNNNNNNNNNNNNNNNNNNNNNNNNNNNNNNNNNNNNNNNNNNNNNNNNNNNNCUGUGUGGUGUGGUUCGUAGCAGAGGGCAGAUGGGAUCGGGGAGGGGAUCGUGGGGAUGGUGGGGGUGGGUGGAGAUUUUUUCCUUUUUUACCGAUUCGGGAGUUUGGAAGGAUCCCGUCACUCCAUAUAUAAGCACCCCGUGAUCCAAAUAGUUAUUUUGAUCCCAUGAUCAUAAUAGUGCUACUCUCUCUCUCUCUCUCUCUCUCUCUAUAUAUAUAUAUAUAUAUAUAUAUAUAUAUAUAGGUUCAAUAAAUGGGCCAUGUAUCGAUGUGAAAUGAACUUGUUAUGUUUGGGCUUGCUUUGCUAUUGCCCCAGCGGUUAUUUGUGACUUCCUUGAACUUGAAUCUGUCUUGAAAUGUUAUUGGAUGCUUGGUGAUGUUGCUUUAUAGUAUAAAGCUGGGGGCGUUGGGGGACCUUUUUAGUAGGUUUGGUUAAUGGAGUUUAGCUCUUAUUGUACUUAUUGUUUUCUUUUCCAUACAAUUCUGAACCCAAACUACACAUGGCACAACCUUCUGUGAUUAGUUCCUUUGAUAACUAGUACUCCCUCUGUAAACUAAUAUAAGAGCGUUUAGAUUACUAAAAUAGUGAUCUAAAUGCUCUUAUAUUAGUUUACGGAGGGAGUAUUGAAGAGCAGCCACAGAGUUCCAUUCACAAUUUACUUGAAUUUUUGUUUUGAUGGAUAAACAAAAUAGGAAGCUAGCAAACUUAUUUAACAAGAUAAGCAAACUAUGUACUUGAUUACAUAAGCAAACUUAUUCAACCCUGACAAACUAGACAUAAACAAACAGGUUCAACUAUGACACACAUGACAUAUACAAGCUGGUUUAACCCAAGAAAAGCAAACUACAAAUUUCAAACAAUAAGAUAAAGGACAAGCACAAGCGCAAGCAACACGAAGGCAGAUUUUGAUGUCUCCUCAUCCCGCAUAGUGGCAGUGGUAGGAGGGGUCCUCUUCCUGCUCUUUUGAAAUUUCCAGACCUCUUUUGAUGUUGUUGAUUAUCUUCCACGACUUGUAGGUGGCGUACGCAUCUAUUGUUGCGUACUCGAUGAAUUAAUCUGGCAGUGGGCUGACCCCCCACAGUUUAUGGUUUGCCUGCUUGUCGAUCUUGUUCUUCAUCUUGCUGUAGAAUGGGUGGAUGACGCUGGCUGCAACAUUAGCCAAGGAGUCAUACGGUUUUCCGUUGUAUGGAACUCUCCAGUUGCGCUGAAUGUCGAUGUGCUUGUUGGGGUUUAUCUCCAAACCAGACAUCUUCAACUUGUCCCUGUCAUUUUUAAUGCUGAAACCGGCAAAGGUGAACAACUUCUCCUCCUGUAGGAACUCUUUGAGGCGCUUUGGCCUGCUAGGGGAGAGACAAGUGAUGAAUACAUGGAGUACUAGUGUUUAUUUUCAAGAUUUAAUCAUCUGUUUUUUACGGUUUACAAGUGAAUAAUACAUGGAGUAGAUGCUUAUACAGUAUAAGUCAUGGAUGAAUGUAGUUCAGAAACUAGUACACAAAGUUCUGAAAUUAAAAUCAAGUACACCAUGUUAUUUUUCUUUUUGGAAUAUAUAGUUGAGUCAAUGAUCUAUUUGCUUUCUUAGUGCCAGUUUAGUUUUAUUUUGUUGAAUAAAAUAACAUAUACCUCUGCUUCACCAAGUUCUUAAGUUUUUUUGGUGGUGAAAAUAACACCAGACCAAGUUCAGAAACUACUUGACUACAUCAAGUUCAGAAAAUUAGACUAAUGAAUCAAGAUGAGAAACUACACUUGUACAUCAAGCUCACAAAUUAAUCUUGUGCAACAAUUUCAGAUACUAUUCAAGUGCACCAGGUUCAAAAUAUAUUCUAGUGCAUCUACUUUGAGGAACUGCACUAGUGCAUCCAUUUUCACAAACUACACUAGUACAUCUAGUAUGAAACUAGUCUAAUGAAAUUUUGAGGGAGCAGUAUUGAUGAAUGGAAGAGGGUGAAUGAGUAGGAUUUUUCACCAUUUUGUGGCCGCAGCAAUGUGGUACACGAGGCAGAGACCCUCCACGCAGAACUGCAGAACUGCUGCCAUCUGCGGAGGUUCAUCAUCUUUGGUAAACUCCACAUCAACACCGAUGAUGUGGGGAUACGAGCCGCAUGCGCUCCUCUUGAUCCAAAAGAUCAUCUCGUCGGCCUUGUCUGGUUCGCUAGUGCAGACGACCUCCAUCAUCUCCUUGCCGUGGAGCUCAACCCCUUUGAGGGUUACGGUGUACUUGCGCUUCUGACCGGGAACGUGAAUGACGUCAAGGUUGCCGCUCUGGUCGGACAUCUGGCCACAAUGACGCUUGGCAGACGCUUCCUCCGCCAUUACCCUCCUCCUACGACUGCGAUGUUUGUGGGUUGUUUGUAGAAGAGAUGGAAGCGGCAAUGGAGGUUCUCGGAAUGAGGCAGUGAUGUAGUCGAUUUGGGGCUUUUCCACGACUGGGAUGGGGACGUGGGGGAGGUGGUUCGUGUGUAGGAUGUGGGGUUAGUGGUGGUGGGGCGCAGUUGCAAUCCGACGUGGCAACUGCGCUCUAUGCACUGCUGGGUUUGCGUGCGUCUGAGUUUAGUCCCACCACGGGCCUGCAUCCUGGCCCAUAUCACUGGGUUUGUUGUCGUAUGCGAGCCGUGGUGUGCGAAAUAUCAUGUUAGGUAGGUGGGCUUUUUUCUAUAAAAUCUUUUUUUGCCUAUGUGACAUGUUGACUUAUACUAAAAUAACACUUCCUUUUUUUAGGUACACGUUACUUAUGUGAAAAGUUUAAGUUUGAUAACAAUUAAAAACAUUUAAAACCUUGCCACAUUGGCUUUCUUGGACAUGUCUAAAAAGUUUAAGUUUGAAAACAAUUGAAAAACAUGUAAAACCUUGCAUCAUUGAAUUUUAAUUUUAAAAUAAAUUUGAAAUAUUGCAGUUAAUUUGUAGACCAUCUCUAAAUCAAACCAAAUUUGUUUUACAUUGUCACAUACAUGUGACAAACAUUGUUAUUUACAGAUCAUGUGUGCAAAAACUAAGGUGAUUUAGAUGUGGUCGAAAAAAGGUGAUUUUUUUUCACCACCUCCAAAUCACCUAAAAUUUAUUCUACAUGCUCAAAUAGAUGAGCCAAACAUGUCUAUGACAGAAAUUUGAAAAAAAAUGUAUCCUACAAUUCCCGCUUAAGGUGUAGACCAUUGUUUUGAUCAGUCAGUCUACAAGGCAGAAUAAAUUCAAAACAAAUUAAAAAAUUAUAAAACAUUGAAAACCUAGCUAUGUUUGUGCAACAUAUCAAGUGUGCAAAAUUAGAGAUGAUUUAGAGGAGGUCAAAAAAAUCACGCUAAAACACGAGGGGCCAUUUGGUCUCACUUAAGCCAGUUUUUGUAUAAAAUGUGAUUUUUCUACCACCUCCAAAUCACCACAAAUUUGUUCUACAUGCUUAAAUAGAUGUGCCUAGCAUGUCUAUGAGAGAAAUUUGGAAAAAAUGUAUUCUACAAUGUCCGCUUAAGGUGUAGACCGUUGUUUUGAUCAGUCAGUCUACAGGACAGAAUAAAUUCAAAAAAAAUUAAACAAUUAGAAAACCUUGAAAACCUAGCUAUGUUUUUGCGACAUAUUAAGUGUGCAAAAUUAUAGGUGAUUUAGAGAAGGUCGAAAAAAUCAUGCUUAAACACGAGGGACCAUUUGGUCUCACUUAAGCCAUUUUUUGUAGAAAAUGUGAUUUUUUUACACCACCUCCAAAUCACCCCAAAUUUGUUCUAGAUGCUCAAAAUAGAUGUGCCAAGCAUGUCUAUGAAAGAAAUUUGGAAAAAAAUGUAUCCUACAAUGCCUGCUUAAGGUGUAGACCAAUGUUUUGAUCAGUCAGUCUACACGGCAAAAUAAAUUAGAAACAAUUAUAAAAUUUUAAAACCUUGAAACCUAGCUAUGUUUGUGCAACAUAUCAAGUGUGAAAAAUUAUAGGUGAUUUAGAGGAGGUGGAAAAAAUCACGCUAAAACACGAGGGACCAUUUGGUCUACACUUAAGCCAGUUUUUGUAGAAAAUGUGAUUUUUUUCCACCACCGCCAAAUCACCACAAAUUUGUUCUACAUGCUUAAAUAUAUGUGCCUAGCAUGUCUAUGAGAGAAAUUUGGAAAAAAAUGUAUCCUACAAUGCCCGCUUAAGAUGUAGACCGUUGUUUUCAUGAGUCAGUCUACAGGGCAGAAUAAAUUCAAAAAAAAUUCUAAAACCUUGAAAACCUAGCUAUAUUUGUGCAACAUAUCAAGUGUGAAAAAUUAUAGGUGAUUUAGAGAAGGUCUAAAAAAUCAGCUUAAACACGAGGUACCAUUUGGUCUCACUUAAGCCAUUUUUUGUAGAAAAUGUGAUUUUUUCCACCACCUUCAAAUCACCCCAAAUUUGUUCUAGAUGCUCAAAUAGAUGUUCCAAGCAUGUCUAUGAAAGAAAUUUGGAAAAAAUGUAUCCUACAAUGCCCGCUUAAGGUGUAGACCGAUGUUUUGAUCAGUCAGUCUAUAGCGCAGAAUAAAUUCAAAAAAAAUUAUAAAAUCUUGAAAACCUAGCUAUGCUUGUGCAACAUAUCAAGUGUGCAAAAUUAGAGGUGGUUUAGAGGAAGUCGAAAAAAUCAUUCUAAAACACGAGGGACCAUUUGGUCACUUAAGCCAGUUUUUGUAGAAAAUGUGUUUUCCACCACAUCCAAAUCACCACAAAUUUUUUCUACAUGCUUAAAUAGAUGUGUCUAGCAUGUCUAUGAGAGAAAUUUGGAGAAAAAUGUAUCCUACAAUGCCCGCUUAAGGUGUGGACCGUUGUUUUGAUCAGUCAGUCUACCAGGCAAAAUAAAUUCAAAAAAAAUUAAAAAAUUAUAAAACCUUGAAAAUCUAGCUAUGUUUGUGCAAAAUAUCAAGUGUGCAAAAUUAUAGGUGAUUUAGAGAAGGUCGAAAAAAUCACACUUAAACACGCGGGACCAUUUUCUCUCACUUAAGCCAUUUUUUGUAGAAAAUGUGAUUUUUUUUCCACCACCUCCAAAUCACCCCAAAUUUGUUCUAGAUGCUCAAAUAGAUGUGCCAAGCAUGUCUAUCAAAGAAAUUUGAAAAAAAAUGUACCUACAAUGCCCGCUUAAGGUGUAGACCGAUGUUUCGAUCAGUUAGUCUACAGGGCAGAAUAAAUUCAAAAAAAAUAAAAAAAAUUAUAAAACCUUGAAAACAUAGUUAUGUUUGUGCAACAUAUCAAGUGUGCAAAAUUAUAGGGUAUUUAGAGGAGGUCGAAAAAAAUCACGGUUUAAUUUGUGUGUGGGGGGAGGGGGGGGUAGACCUCCCGAGAGCCGUUUACUGGUCAUUUUCGUUCCGUAUAUGUGUAAACAUUCCAAAUUUUGCCCAACAUGAAAAGAAUAUUAUGCGUGCAUGCUCUAUGUGGUCAAGGGAUGCGAUGCAGCAAAAUUGGGAUCAUUAGUGCAUGUAUACGCAAGUAGGGUCUCUGAAACGCACUUUUUGGGGAUAGCCUGUCACCACCCCGAGAGCACUAGCUCGGUUUCUCACCUGUAUGAAACCAACCCAACAUUUUACGAUGACAAGUCAUGGCCAUGUUAGGGCUACUUGCCAUGUUUCAACCAUCUUCAACAAAUUUUGAAAGUGUCGUCACAUGCGGGAUUUUUUCGGUCAUUAGUACAAUGUGGACCAUUUUCAACAUUUAUUGCAUGUUUUGUCACGUAUGGCAUUUUUCAGGCAUAUGCGACAUGAAAAAACCAUUUUUAAUACUUAAAAAACAAGGACAAUAUUUUCUAGAUUUUUUGGGAUAUCAUUGUGAUAUGAUUGAAAUCUCACAUAACUCACGCGGCCCACCCCUCCCUAAAUCCCGCAAUUACAGCGCCUCAUUCUAACCACCCGGCCGUGCCAUCCACAGCUCCCACGGCUGCUGCACGAUCAGAUCGGAGAUGCCGGGCUCACACGGAUUACAGCAGUCGCCGGCCACCGCCCACCACCAUGAGGGGUCGGACUUCAGUGUUCUUCUCCCGCUCCCUCCGUUUAUCCUUGUCGCCGUCUACUGCACUAUAGGGGCACUUCUAGUUUGCGACGCACUGUCCACGGCCAUCAACUCGGCGCCGCCGUCUCCGAGAGAAGGUAUUUCCUGAUCGUAGCUUUUUUUAAUCGUUGUCGGCCGCUCCUUUAGUAGUUGAACCCUCAUAGGUUUUGCACAACUUCACGUGGUUAAGCAAUUGGAUACCCAUGUUAAACUACGCUUAUUUUAUGCACGACCAACUAGGUUGUGUGCUUAAAGUGAUAAGUGGAUCAUAUGUUAAAUGAUGCACUUAUUUUUUUUUAAUAUUAGUUGACUGCUAAUUUUGUUAUACAUCUUUUAAUUAUUGUCUUCAUAUUAAUUGACCCGGUUUUCAUCAUUGCAUACAAGCUAGCAAUGUCAGUUUUAGAUAAAAGUCUUUGUAACAGAGAAAAGCCUUGAAGAACUCAAACUAAAAUUUGACAGCAAGACCGUACGCAAACAAAUGUUUUUGUUAUCAUCACGGUCACGUAGAGCCAUGAGCAGCUAUGUUGAGCCCAUUCAAACACAAAUAGGUAGCAUCAAUUGAUACAUGAUCUUGCUCAUGCUCUACUUUUAGCAUCAUUUGAUACAUGUUCAGUUCUUAUCAUAAAGUGGAUAUAUGUACCUUUGGCAAUCAUGAGCAUCCUCUACUUAUUGCUAUAACUAAUGCAUCCUUAGUACAAAAAUUGAAUUGGCAAUACGGUUGUAUUGGCAAUGAUUUGCAUGCUUUACUUUUGGCAAGAACUAAUGCAUAGAUGAGUUAUAACUGGUCAUAGAUAUGGCUGGAACAUCUAGAGUUAUCAUCACGGUCACGCGGAGACCCUAAACCAUCACCAGAUAUGUUGAGCCCAUUCAAACACAAAUAAAGCAGCAAUUGAUACAUGUUCAUGCUCAUGCUUUACUUUUGGCAUAAUUUGAUACAUGUUCAGUUCUUACCAGAAAGUGGAAACAUGCACUUUUGGGAAACAUGAGCGUCCUCUACUUAUUGCAAUAACUAAGGCAUCCUCAGUACAAAGCUUCAAUUGGCAAUAGGUAGAAUUGGCAAUCAUUUGCAUGCUUUACUUUUGGCAAAAACUAAUGCAUAGUUCAGUUGUAACUGGUCAUAGAUAUGGCUGGAACAUCCUGAGUUAUAAACUGAACAUAAUCAUGCCAAGCUAUAACUACCAUAUUUAUAGUAAUAGAGUUCCUAGCAUGCAUCACCAUAUGAUUCAAGAACGGUUGAAUUAACACAGCUAACAUAACAUAGACCAUCGUACGAUACUUGAGUUGCUAUGGCCUUGUACAAUGCAAGGUGAUUAGGCGAGGUGUUUAGAGAGAUAAACCAGGCUUUUCUUAAGCACCGGUGCUUAUUUGUACAGGGUAGACGCAUAACUAGGCGUCUGUCCUGUACAAAUAGCCAAUGGUGCUUCAGGAAAAACCCAGUUUAUUUUUCUAAGCACCACCCUUAGCAUCUACCAUUGUAUAAUGCCUAACAUGCAUCAGCAAAAUAGUACUAAUAACAACUUAGACAACUUAAGCAGGUUAGCAGCAAACACUUAGAUAAACGGCAGAUUAACCACCGCACACCAUAAGUUCACACCCACCAUAGACCAUAGGACAUAAGUUCUUACACACCAUAGAUAAUAAGUUUUAGAGUCGACCAGUGAAUACCGAUAACAUAAAAGGACACGGCGGUCCUGGGGCAGCAGCAGUAGUCUAGCAGCACAUCACUUGUCUCCCAUGUUCAGCAGCGGCGCGGCGGGAUGUAGUAGGGCUCAUUGACUUUGACAAUCUUUAGGAAGCGCCCGUAGGCCGCAUAUUUGGCCAGAGUACUGGCCUUUUGCUUCCUACUGUAGGAGUUGCCAGUGGCAACAGCAUGCUGCAUCAAGCCAUCUAUGCCGCCCUUGAUCGCCUUGCCAUAGAAGGGGCAACCAAGCUUGCCAUAGAAACAGUACUUGAAUUUUCCAGCAAUCAGCUGCCUCAUGAUGUAGCGGCUCUUGUUGUGCCUGCUGUCCAUGUCAUACCCCACAUCAUCGUCAUCCUCCUGUGAAUUAGUACACAAAGAAGAAUUCAGUUAAUCUAUUCUGCUACAUUGCUCUUAAUUAGAAUGUUUGAAAAGUACAGACGUGUAACAUGACAACUAUCUAUUUGCUGGAAAUAAGGCGUAUAUGCACAUACAUACUUGACCCAAAUAAUUUGACAUGCAUAAAUAUGGAUGGUGGAAUAGUUGCAUUGAUAGAUUAGUGCACAAGAAGUACAUAAUUAACACAUGAAAGAAUUCAUGAUGUGGCUUGGUUUAAUGAUACUUGAUACUUGUUACAGGUGUAAUUCUGAUUGGAAUCAGAAAAAAGGCUUCAUUAUACUCCUCCAUGUUACACACAAGGGGGUAUUCUUCUAUCUACUAGAAUCAAGAAACCAAUAUUCUUUCUAAGAGCAGCAAUACUAAUUCUCCAACAUUGUUAGCCCCUGAUAACUUUUAGAAGGAAAUUGAUAAAGGAGCUAUGGGCUACUAUCUUUAUCCCUUAACUUGUGACUCUGAUGAUACCGGUGUGGAAAAUACUUUGGAGGAACUUAACUUGGAAAAGGAAAUUUUGUCAUGCAAAACAAAGUGUUUUUUGUCUAUUUAUUGGAAUCAGAAAUUGAAUUCCAGUUUUACAAAUAUAUGCUAAAAAAGAUUCAUUCCAGUGGUCUAAAAAAAGAUUCAUAAAUUGAAUUCUAGUUUUACAAAUACAAGUUGAGUAUUUAGGGCAUGUUGUCUAAAAAACAUUCAUUCCAGUGGUCAGAUGCUGAAAUUGAGGCCUUCACAACAUUGAAGAAUUGUCUGGUCACUGCUCUUGUUAUGGCUUUGCCUUAUUUGACCCUACCAUUUACUUUUUAAAUAGAUGCAUCAGGUGAAGGUAUUGGUUCUGUCCUCAUGCAACAAGGCAGACCAAUUGCUAGAAAAGGAAAUGUUGUCAUGCAAAACAGGGGUUGUCAAAGACAUAAUCAAGUGGUCGGAACAGGAUUCUUACUAAUUAAAUCUGAAUGUAGAUGCAUCAUAUGAUAGUUAAGAAGGAGAUGAGUCGACGGGUGGUGUUUUAAGAGAUCAGUAUGGCAACUUUGUGUCAAUUCAGUAAAUUACCAUUAUAUUGCAAAUGCAUCAUCUGCCUGCUUGAUGGAUUCAGUGGCAAUGAAAGAAGGCCUAUCUUUGGUAGCACCUGUAGGCUAUCAUCAAAUUAUUGUAGAAUGGGAUUUCUUACAAGUUGUUCAAGCUUUUACUCGAGGUAACACAUGGUGGAAUGAAGGAUCACGUAUUAUUGUUGAUAGUUUUGAUCUAGUUCUGGAGAUAGGAACUGCGCAUUUUCUCACUGUCCUCGGGAAGCCAAUGGUGUCGCACAUGAGAUCGCUAGAAAUAGCUAUGAGAAUCAUCUAUCUUGUAUUUGGGUUGAUUACCCCACUUCUUUCAUUCAUGUAUCCCUUGUGAACAAUGUAAGUUUGCUUAAUCAAUAAAACAUGCCGUGAUGGAAUCAGAUAAUGAAUCUCUGUUUUAGCUAUACUAGUGGUUUUUUCUUCUGUCUAUUCGAAUCAGAAAAUAAAUCAGAUUCUAAAACCAUCAUCCAACAAGAAAAUAUAUGCUGGAUCCCUAGCUACAAUCCUACAUGUACGCAAACAUUAUGGUUGGGCCAGUACAUGAGUAGAAAUACCUCAUCAACACGUGAAGAAAAUGAUUCAGAUUCAAAAACCACCAUUCAUUAUGCAAGAAAAUCUAUGCUAGAUCCUUUCAACUAGCACGCCCAUAUGAAAUUGAUGCUCAUGUACUUAACAAAAAAAAACCAAUGCCAUGAAAAAACAGAGUACUUACAGGAAAUAUAAAUCUAAUAAAAUCAGAUUAGUACCUCAGAUAGCUCGUCGAUGACAUCCUCAUCGUAGUCGCUGCCCUUCCUGGGAUCCGCAGCCAUCUCGAACUCUAUUUCCUCCACGUCAUUCCCCUCGUAGAACUCCUCGAUUUUGUCAUAGAGCUCGCGCUUCAGCCUCACCUUCUGCUCGUCCAGAUCUUCAUCGACCUUCUCCUGCAUAGGCUCGCCGUCGGAUAGCUCGCCGGCCGGGAUGACAGCGGGAGGAGGCACAACAGUUGCUGCACCGCCUCCAUCACCGCUACGGCGGACUCAGCCGCUGCAACUGCGGCGGCAGCCACGACAGCAGACUGCUCUCCACCGAUGGUUGCCUCCGGCUCUUCCAUCGCAUCUUCACGGCCGCGCUUCAUUGGCGGUCGAUGAGAGGACGAGGGACGUGUUGGAAGGGAGGAGAGGAGUGGAGUGGUGAGGAAGGGAGGAGGGUUUGGGAGAGGACGAGGUGGUAUGGCUGGAGUGGGAGAGGACGAGGGUUUUCUACCCGAUUUGUGGAAGAAAAUGAAUGCGGCUGCCUCUUCGAGUUACCGAGGGGUCGAGGGGGGUGAUUUGUCUCACAUACCAGGGCCUUCCACAGUGAGGACGCGUGGGGUUUGCCCUGCGCCAUGCACCUCGCGUGCGGUUUGCCCCGCGCCGCCCUUCAAACUGCUGACACGUGGACACCAGCAGUGGUUACACAUGAUAGAUAUGGUAAAUGAAUUUCUUAAAUCUGAGGGCACGUAAUUUGUAUCAAAAUGCAUCAUCAGCUUAGUGGUAAGACCCUCACGAUCACAUACUAAUGCCCUUGGUUCGAAACUCCGUCGUGCAGUUUAGUUCCCUCUUUUUUGCCUAUGUGGUUUUUACAUGUGUGGAUCCCACAUGUCAUUCACACACAUGGAGAACACGUACAAACAAACUUGCCGGACAUGAUGUAAAUGGACCCAAAAAAUUUCUACUUCUAUGUAUCAUUCUUGUAUGGAUUUUCUAGUACGAUUAAGUGCUUAAAAUACUUCUCGGAGGUGAUGCGACAAGCGCACGUUGUCGAUCCACUGGGGUGGCCAUGCCCACAACAAGGAAAAAUUUGGUGUCCUUCUUAACAUGGCCAAAAAUUCACCUCCUUCACCGGCGGCUGUUCGGGUAGGAGGUAAGGGUCCGUGUGGAAGGACAGUUUUUUCUCGACAUGCUUCAAAUGGACCUAUAUUCUUUCUACACCCUUGUACCAACAUGAGAAGCAUCCAUGACUAGUUCCAUUGAUUUUCGAUGUUUUUAUUAUUUUUCUAGGGUUAUCACGACGAUAAAACCCUAAAAUAUUUCCCACCAGCGCCACCCUUCCCUCUGAUCACUCUGACUAGCAUGUACUUAACUUAGCAUCAAGGCCAUGAAAACAGGAAUCAGAACCGUAUUAGAUUUUGAUCCCACACAUACAAAAUAGAUAACACAAAUCACAGAUUGCAGGUACUACAAUUAUCUGAGUGAACUUCUAAUGCAUAACAACUUCUGGUAUUCAAAUACAUCACAUGAAGUACUGGGACAACUAGAAAUGCAAAACAGCUUCUGAUGUUGAGAUUGAGCAAGGGAUUUUUAUUGUGAGGCGCAGCAUCUUCAGCAACCUAUCCAUGAUUCCACCUGUAGCAUAUAAGUAACUGAAAAUUUUAGAUUGAAUACAGUUGGUAUUGGAAAAAUGAUAGUACGGUAAUUUGAAGAUGCCAAGGAAAUCUGUCACAACAACUGUAGGAGGAUACAAAUUUGAAUACAAAGUUCAUAGAUGUCAAUGUUGAAUUAAUAAGACCUUUGUAAGAUGCAAAAUCACUGCUGUGAUGAGAGUAAACAGCAUGUAGGCCAUAGCACAUGCAAGAAGCACUUACAGGAAGUGAAGGAAAAGGUUGUACAGCACGGCAACAUGAGUAAGCCAACAUCCCUACUAAAAUUAUUUCACUGCUUAUGUCUAGUUUUUUUCUUGAAUCAUUAGGAAGCCCUAAAUAUUUUGAUGCAAGAUCACCGACAGGGCAUUAAUGAAAUAUUUCAAUGUCUACAUCUCUCUACUGAAAGGCGUUACUGAAAUAUUUCAGUGGCUACGUGUGUGUGUAGUGAAACAACACCACUGAAAUAUUUCAGUUGCUACAUGCGUGUACUGAAACAGCACCACUGAAAUAUUUUAGUUGGUACGUGUGUGUACUGAAAGUGAACCGCUGAAAUAUUUCAGUGGAUACGUGCGUGUACUGAAAGUGCACUACCGAAAUAUUUCAGCGGCUACUUGCUUGUACUGAAACAGCACCCCAGAAAUAUUUCAGUGGCUACGCGUGUGUCCUGAAACUGCUACACUGAAAUAUUUCAGGGGUUGCAUGCCUGUACAAAAACUACAGUAUUGAAUUAUUUCAGGGGUUGCGUGCGUGUACUGAAACUGCAGUACUGAAAUUUUUCAGUGUCUACCCGUGUGUACUGAAAUUGCAUUGCACUACUGAAAUAUUUCAGUGUGUACCCGUGUGUACUGCAAUUGCACUACUCAAAUCUUUCAGUGUGAACCGGUCAGUACUGAAAUAUUUCAAUGCCUACAACUAUCUACUGAACUUGCAGUAUUGAAAUAUUUCAGUGUCAACCCAGAGUCUAUCACUCUAAAACUGUGUACUGAACUUGUCUGGAGGCACUUCUUGCAGCCUCGAUGGUGCAAGUUCAAUUUACACAGAUUGCAUCACGUAAUUUGAACACAACUCUUGAGGUGACAGAAAAAAUUUCAUAUCAUGGAUACCACUCCAGAACAUCAAAACAUAGCAAUGAUGGUGAAUCAGAGUAUAGAUCUGAAGCCUAAAAAUAACUAAGUGAGGAAGAACAAGUUUCACAGUUUCACAUUAGAAUUUUAGAUCUACCGCAUGACAGGAAAAGGAAAAUAUUUAGACCUAAAGGUUGGUGCUUGAGCAGUUCAUGAAGUUCCAGAUCAGGUUUUUAUACACAAAAGAGAUGAUCUGAUGGCAAAAGAAGGAUUAUCAUUACUACUGCAUAAGAGUAUAUCACAUUUGGAGUCUAUCCUAUAGGACUUAAUGAAGAACAGGGGAAGAACACCAUGAAGCUUCGAGGAGCCCGUGCGAACCCUAAACAGAUCUAUGGAGGAAAGGAAGAAGAACUCACCAAAAACUGUUGAACAGCGGAGAGGCGCCGUGAUUUUCUGGUACUGGCAGGGUGAUGCAGCGGCCAAGGUCGGGGCAUGAUACGUCUCCAACGUAUCUAUAAUUUUUUAUCAUUCCAUGCUACUAUAUUAUCAACUUUGGAUGUUUUAUAUGCAUGAUUAUGCUAUUUUAUAUUAUUUUUGGGACUAACCUAUUAACCUAGAGCCCAGUGCCAGUUCCUGUUUUUUCCAUGUUUUUAACCUUUUUCAGAUAGGAAUAUCAGACGGAGUCCAAACGGAAUAAAACCUUCGCUGUGAUUUUUUAUGGAAAAUAUCAAAAAUACCAGAAAGAAAAGAUACCAGAGGGGAGUCCCGAGGAGAUCACAAGCCAGGUAGGCGUGCCCACCCCCCUGGGCGCGCCUGGUGGGCUUGUGACCCCCUCGUGGGUCCCUCCAACUUGUUCUCGAUGCCAUCUGGUCGUAUAAAUACAGAAACCUCCAGAAGCCUCUGUAGCCACCAAAAACCAAUCGGGAGCCCUUUCUGGCACCCUGCCGGAGGGGGAACCCAUCUCCGGUGUCCAUCUUCAUCAUCCCUGUGAUUUCCAUGACGAGGAGGGAGUAGUUCUCCCACGGGGCUGAGGGUAUGUACCAGUAGCUAUGUGUUUGAUCUCUCUCUCUCUCUCUCUCUCUCUCUCUCUCUCUCUCUCGUGUUCUUGAGAUGUAAUGAUCUUGAUGUAUCGCGGACUUUGCUACUAUAGUUGAAUCUUAUGAUGUUCUUCCCCCUCUCCCUUCUUGUAAUGAAUUGAGUUUUCCCUUUGAAGUUAUCUUAUCGGAUUGAGUCUUUAAGAACACUUGAUGUAUGUCUUGCACGUGUCUAUCUGUGGUGACUAUGGGAUAUUCAUGUGAGUACUUGAUGUAUGUUUUGGUGAUCAACUCGCGGGUUUCGUGACAUUGGGAACCUAUGCAUAGGGGUUGGCGCAUGUUUGACUCUCCUGUAGAAACUUUGGGACACUCUUUGAAGUUCUAUGUGUUGGUUGAAUAGAUGAUUCUGAGAUUGUGUGAUGCAUAUCGUAUAAUCAUGCCCACGAAUACGUGAGGUGACAAUGGAGUAUCUAGGUGACAUUAUGGUCUUGGUUGAUAUGUGUCUUAGGGUGUUAUUCUAGUACGAACUCUAUGAUAGAUUGAACGAAAAGAAUAGCUUCGUGUUAUUUUACUACGGACUCUUAAAUAGAUCGAUCAGAAAGAAUAACUUUGUGGUGGUUUCGUACCCGACAAUAAUCUCUUCGUUUGUUCUCCGCUAUUAGUGGCUUUGAAGUGACUCUUUGUUGCACGUUGAGGGCUAGUUAUAUGAUCCAGUUAUGUUAUCAUUGUUGAGAGAACUUCCACUAGUGAAAGUAUGAACCCUAGGCCUUGUUUCCACACAUUUCAAUAUCGUUCGUGCUCACUUUUAUUGUUAUUUAACUUGCUGUUUUUAUUAUUUCAGAUUACAAAAACCUAUAUCUACUAUCCAUAUUGCACUUGUAUCACCAUAUCUUUGCUGAACUAGUGCACCUAUACAACUUACCAUUGUAUUGGGUGUGUUGGGUACACAAGAGACUCUUUGUUAUUUGGUUGCAGGGUUGCUUGAGAGAGACCAUCUUCAUCCUACGCCUCCCAUGGAUUGAUAAACCUUAGAUCACCCAUUUGAGGGAAAAUUGCUACUGUCCUACAAACCUCUGCACUUGGAGGCCCAACAACGUCUACAAGAGAAGGUUGCGUAGUAGACAUCAGGGCAGAGGUGAAGGUCGACGGCGGCGGCAGCGCUCGAGUGCUGAGGCGACGUGAGGUGGAAGAAAGACGAAGAGGCAAGGGGAGAAAAGGAAAGGGACCCUCGGCCCUAUUUAUAAGGCGAAGAGAUAAGUGACAGGCGCAGGAAUCGAGGAGCCCAAAAAAAUGGAUAUGUCCCAGAGCUGUCUCCUCGAUUUUCGGAGGCUCAUUAAUAAAAGUAAGGUAUAUACAGUUUUUUAAUGAAUAGGUGAAGUCAUAGCGAUUUAUUAUAAUCCUGGAAGAUGACGUCAUGGCGGUUUAUUAUAAUCCUGUAAGAUGACGUCAUGGUGGAUUACAAGGUUUACUCGAAGGUACUAAAGAAGAAGUUUUUCUAAAGUGUUGAAGAUUGACAUGAACAGGUUCAAAUCAAUCCGGGGCCUAAUGUUGGGGAUAUAACUACUGAGUAUAAACCGCCCGGGAGGGGCCGGGUUAUACCUGUAAUGAGUUAUUCAUAUUGAAGCCCAUGAAGACAAGGUGUAUGAUGCUUUAAUAUAAGAGAUCUAAAAGCCCAAGGCCCAAAGGCGGAUUAGGGCCCAUAGACAUAAACCGCCAUAAGGUGUGUAACUUGUGUUGUAAGAUAGGAAAGAGUAGAAACUGAGCCGGACACGUUUAUGAGCCGGUCGGGAUUCUGUAAACCGCCGGGCGUCAAGCUGUGUAUAUAAAGGGAUGACCCAGCGGUGGUUCAAGGACAAGAAACAACAACUCGAGAGCCAGGCAAAGCGUAUUCGCUCCCUGGUCAUCGAAACCAUAGCAAUCCCAUCAUAACUGGAGUAGGCUUUACCUUCAUCGUAAGGGGACGAACCAGUAUAAUUCCUUGCGUCCUUUGUCCGCUUUAACCCCUUUAAGUUCACUACGUUGCAAUGGCUCCACGACUAAGUCCUCACACUAGGACAUCUGUCGUGCCAAUCCCACGACAAGCGGGGAAAUAUUUAACAGAGAAACAAUAAAUCAUAUCCUGGGGACUACGCACACAACCAGGAUCAAGAGAAUUAAACCAUGUUUUAGCAUCACCCUUUAAUCAGAACGGGAAUAACUUAAGGAUAAAGUAAUAGCGAGUUUUCUCAUCAUUAGUGAAUAGGGUGGCUAUAUCAUUUAAUUUAGUAAGAUGUGUCACAACAGUUUCAGAUUCAUAGCCAUAGAAAGGAUCAGAAUCAACCAAAGUAAUUAACUCAGGAUCGACAGAGAAAUCAUAAUCCUUAUCGGAAAUAAAGAUAGGUGAAGUAGCAAAAGCAAGGUCAUAUUUCAUUCUAGCAUUCAAAGACUUUUCUUUAAGCUUAGCUAAUAAUUUCUUAAGAUCAGAUCUAUCAUUGCAAUCUAAGAAGUCUCUAGUAGUUUCUUCAUCCAUAACAUAACCCUCAGGCAUAAUAGGCAAUUCAUAUCUAGGGGGAGAAUCUUCAUCAUCACUUUCAUCAAUAUUUUUAGUUUCAGUAAUUUCAUUCUCUCUAACCCUAGCAAGUUGUUCAUCAAGAAAUUCACCUAAUGACACAGUAUUAUCAAGCAUAGAAGUAGUUUCAUCAUAAGUGUCAUGCAAAGCAGAAGUGGCAUCAUCAAUAACAUGCGACAUAUCAGAAUGAAUAGCAGGAGUAGGUGUCACAAGUUUACUCAAAACAGAAGGUGAAUCAAGUGCUGAGCUAGAUGGCAGUUCCUUACCUCCCCUUGUAGUUGAGGGAAAAUCUUGGUUCUUUUAUCUUUCAAGUUCUUCAUAGUGAUCAGCAGAUAUAAAUCCCAAGUAACUCAAAGAAUAGAGUUAUGCUCCCCGGCAACGGCGCCAGAAAAUAGUCUUGAUAACCCACAAGUAUAGGGGAUCACAACAGUUCUCGAGGGUAGGGUAUUCAACCCAAAUUUAUUGAUUCAACAGAAGGGGAGCCAAAGAAUAUUCUCAGGUAUUAGCAGCUGAGUUGUCAAUUGAACCACACCUGGAAACUUAAUAUCUGUAGGAAAGUAUUUAGUAGCAAAGUAACAUGAUAGUAGCGGUAACGGUGGCAAAAGUGACGGUAGCAGUUUUGUAGUGAUUGUAACAGUGGCAGCGGAAAAGUAAGUAAGCAAAGAUCAAUAUAUGAAAAGCUCAUAGGCAAUGGAUCAGUGAUGGAUAAUUAUGUCGGAUGCGAUUCCUCAUGCAAUAGUUAUAACAUAGGGUGACACAGAACUAGCUCCAGUUCAUCAAUAUAAUGUUGGCAUGUAUUCAGAUAUAGUCAUACGUGCUUAUGGAAAAGAAAUUGCAUCACAUCUUUUGUCCUACCCUCCCGUAGCAACGGGGUCCUAUUGGAAACUAAGGGAUAUUAAGGCCUCAUUUAAUAGAGUACCGGGAAUACAUGAACUCCUCAAACUACGGUCAUCACCGGUAAGUAUCCCGAUUAUUGUCACUUCGGGGUUAACGGAUCAUAACACAUAAUAGGUGACUAUAGACUUGCAAGAUAGGAUCAAGAACUCACUUAUAUUCAUGAAAACAUAAUAGGUUCAGAUCUGAAAUCAUGGCACUCGGGCCCUAGUGACAAGCAUUAAGCAUAGCAAAGUCAUAGCAACGUCAAUCUCGGAACAUAAUGGAUACUAGGGAUCAAACCCUAACAAAACUAACUCGAUUACAUGAUAAAUCUCAUCCAACCCAUUACCAUCCAGCAAGCCUACAAUGGAAUUACUCACGCACGGCGUUGAGCAUCUUUAAACCUCGCCUCGGCAACUUGCAAUACCCGUCACGAAGCUUCAGAAGUAUAUCACCUCAGCGCAGGAAGGGAUGUUCAUUCCCGACAGAGAAAAGGACAAGCUGACUGAGGCCCUAGGGAAUGCUGAGCACCCUGGACGAACACGAGGCACUCCAGGCUCCAUUCUGUGGAAGUUUGGGUUUCCCGACGCAUGCGGUUACAAAAGCCGGGAGAGAAAGAGGAAAGAGGAGAUGAGCGACAUGUAGAAGCUCAAUGCAAGAGUACAAAAGCUAGAGGAAGCUGAGAGCAAGCGAGCUGCCGACCAACCAUCUCAGCGGCAUGAAGCUACCCCAGAAGCUACCCCGCCAUCUCAGCGGAGAAGCAGCGUGGCUUCCACGGAGCCCGUUCAUCCUGACUUCACGUCUCCUAGCUACCCCGUGGAUACUAUCACGGAGGCUCAACAUUGCGAGCUUAUGAAGAAAUGUCGGAACCUCACUUUCAAGGCGUCUACAGGUGAAGGGGAAAAUUGGCUGGUUCAUGCUCUGAGGAGUACAUGUCUAUGGCAGAAGGAGUACAUCAAACUUCCAAACUGGACGCCUCUGCUUCCUGCUCCUCCUCCGGCGAGUCAGGGCACUCCGCCUCCUCCUCCUCCGGCGAGUGAUCAGGGAACUCCGCCUCCUUCUUCGGCUCCUCCGACACGUGAGGGCACUCCACCUCCUCCUUCGCAUACUCCGGCGCGUCGGACUAGUCCGCCUCCUCCUUAGCCUCGUCGGCAAUGGCGGAAGACAAACGUCGUCACACCUGCUCCUUCGGUGCGUCAGAUUUCUCCGCCUCAUCAGCAACGACGGAAGAGAGACGCCGCCGGUCCGGCGGCUAGUAGUACAAGCAGAGGCGGGAGCCAAUUCAGAUACGGUCCAUCUCUCAAGCCUCUGGAAAGUUACCAUAUGAGAGGACCGAGUAGGAAAAUGAGGACAUAUGUCGUGCCCAACUAAGGGACCAUUUUGCAAAGAAAAAUCCACCUCUGAAGGAGAAGGUAGAUCCGGUGAAAGUGAAGCGCACUAUCAAUGCCCUGAAGCGACCACAACCGCCUCCGCCGGAUUCCAACUAUGGCCGCAUAAUUACUAAGACACAUGCUAAAGCGCAGCAGUCGGGAAGUACUUCUAGUGCUGCAAGAGCGAAAAAACGAAGAAGUGGGAAAACAAUUCCUCAGCUCAGCGAACUGGAGAAGCAAUCGUGCCCCCCGCUCAAGGUGUCUAGCGAUAUCGCUAAUCAUCCGAUGCUACUGCCCAGUACCACUCUUGAUGAUUACCUGCCCAAUGAUGUACAGUUUGAAACGGCUGAGGUAGUAGACGUCUUCAGAUACGAGCAUGGGAAGCCUCUCGUCAAACCUGAUCAUCCUCAUCUAACAACGAUGAUGCAAAAAUUGCAUGACUGGUACAUGGAAACCUACAGGAAGUCUGGGAAAGACAUUUAUUAGUCGGAAUUAAAAAAGAGCAUGACUUCCCUGGAAUCGACAUGCUUCCUGUUGAAUUUGUGGAGUUAUUUCAAUUAUACAAUCAAAAGGCCCUCGACAAACAACUCAUGACUUGCUACUGUCUGUAAGUAUUACUUCUAUAAUUAAGUCUCUAGCUCAGCUCGUUCAUUGCAUGUAUAUAUAAUUAUCCUCACUAUAUUAUGCAGAUUGAAGAUGGUCGAAUGCAAAAAAUAGGAAUCUUCGACGUUGGGUUCAUUAGCCCAAAUACCGUAAAUGAAUGGUCGGUACGAAAGGUGGCUGAAGAUACUGAGAACAACUUACUACAAACGUUCCUUACACAUCAAAACAAAAGGGAAAUACUCUUUCCUUACAACUUCAAGUGAGUGUUACUGUCUUCUGCAUAUUCGGUUCCACUUACCCGUGGUUAAAUAAUGUAAUUGAUGAGUUAUGCGUGCGUAGCUUCCACUAUAUUCUGCUAUCCAUUAACCUUGAUGGGGCAUUAGUAAUUGUCUUAGACUCGCUCCGUAAAGAUCCCAAGUAUUAUGCGGACAUGACUGCAAUGCUCCAGAAGUAAGUUCAAUCAAUACCGGGACCAUAUCGGCAACUUUUAUUCAUUUCCUGAUAUCAAGUAAUCAUUUUCUUUGCCUGCCAGGGUUUGGAAAACGUUCACUGCUAAGGUUCCGGGUCUGAAGAAGGAGCUGCGAUUUACACACCCCAAAGUAAGUAGUACAAGCUAGUUUCGCGCAUCUCUCAUUGAUUCUAGUUUAAUCAAUAUCAUUAUCAUGCUUGCUUAUCAGUUUGAUUGAACUCUAUUCUCGUAAAGUGCUUGUUGCAUGCACCCAACACUCAUUUAUGUGGAUACUACGUAUGCGAGUUCAUUCGCUACUAUACCUCUGAACGUGCCUCCUAUGAGAAACAAUUUGAAGUACGUAAACAAUAUUCACAAUUUUAUUUUAUAUAUUACCAUCAAUUGUGUUGAGUUUCAUUCAUAUAUAUGUAUUGACCCCUUCUUUAAAUUAGAUCUGGCAGAUGCGGGAUGAACUCCUACCACGUGAUCGCAUACGAGCAAUUCAAGAGGAAUUGGCGGGAUUCUUUCUUGACCACGUCAUACUUGAACAAGGAGAAUACCAUGUGAAAUUGAAAUUGUUGUAAGGGAUGUUAUAUAUUGUACAUAUGUAGCAGCGCCGGAUAGAUAUACGAAAACUUGUUGUUCGACCAAGCACGAAGAAAGAGAUGUCACUUCUCUCUAUAUAUGUUCAUGACGAUCUUGUAUAAUUAAUGGUUUCCUUUAGUUGCUUACUAGCUAGCGUCGAGUUCUCUCUAUAUGUGUAGUAGCUAGAGUCGACCAAGCACGGAAAAAGAGAGGUCACUUCUCUCUAUUAGCUCGCUAACACAAUAUGAAACCCCUAAAUUAACCCUUCAAAACCCCAACCCCCCCCCCCUUCCAAAAAACAAAACCCCCAGCGACUGCGAGCUGCUGACGCGUGGCCGCCUUUUGGUCCUAGUUGGUGUUACCAACCGGGACUAAAGGUCCUCCCUCCCCCGCCCCAGGCAGCGCCACGUGGAGGGCCUUUGGUCCCGGUUCGUAAGCAAACCGGGACUAAAGGUUUUGGGUAUUAGUCCCGACCCUUUAGUCCCGGUUCCAGAACCGGGAAAAAUGGCCCUCUGGAACCGGGACAAAUGGCCCUUUUUCUACUAGUGACUUCUCAUAGGAGAUACGUACUUUCAGAUAGACAUAAUUUCCUACUUCGAAAAUUAAUUCUCUUCUUCGAUUAUCUGCAUAGCUCUUCUGACGAGUUUGUGCCACUCUCAAGUUCUCUCUAAUCAACCUGGCUUGUUCCUCGGCAUUCCUGAGCACAUCUGGUCCAAAGACUUAACUUUCACCCGUUUGAUUCCAGAACAACGGUGUUCUACACUUACGCCCAUACAAUGCUUCAAACAGUGCCAUCUUUAGACUAUUCUGGUGAUUAUUGUUGUAAGAGAACUCCGCAUACGGUAAACUUUUAUCCCAACUAGUACCAUACUGCAAUGCACAAGCUCUCAACAUAUCUUCAAGAAUAUGAUUGAGCCUUUCUGUCUAUCCAUCAGUCUGAGGAUGAUAUGUUGUACUGAAAUUCAACUUCGUUCCCAAAGAUUUAUGCACUUUCUGCCAAAAGAUGGACGUGAACUGCGGACCUCUAUCAGACACAAUCUUCUUAGGAACUCCAUGCUGACAUACUAUUCUUUCCAUGUAUAGCUCUGCCAAUCUUGCCCCGCUGUAAGUAGUCUUGACAGGCAAAAAGUGAGCGACUUUAGUGAGACGAUCCACUAUUACCCAUAUAGAAUCAUAACCUUGCUGGGUGUGUGGUAAUCCCACUAUAAAGUCCAUUCCGACUUCUGCCCAUUUCCACUCAGGAAUCUUCAUUGGUUGCAACAAACUAGCGGGUCUCUGAUGCUCAGUCUUUACCCUCUGACAAGUGUCACAUAUAGCUACAUACUCAGCCACAUCUCUUUUCAAUCCAUACUAGCAGUACUUCUCCUUAAGAUUUAGAUACAUCUUAGUACUUCCAGGGUGGAUAGAAUAGGCUGACUCAUGUGCUUCACGCAAAAUUGUAUCAUGAAUGGCUUUCACCUCAGGCACACAUAUCCUUUUUCCAAACCAUAAGGUUCCAUUCUCAUCUAUUCUGAAGCCAGGUGCUUUACCAAUCACCACAUUCUCAGCUAUCUCCUUUAGCUUUUCAUCUUCUAGCUGACCCUUACGUAUUUCUUGCUCCAAUGUAGGAAUCACUUUUAUCUCCAUAGCACUAGCAACAAUGCCAAGGUUCAGAUGUUGCAACUCCGCAUACAACUCUUCUGCCUCUGGUCUCAACUUAAGAUUGUUGUCAUAUUUCUUCCUAUUGAGAGCAUCAGCUACAACAUUUGCCUUACCUGGAUGAUAAUGUACCUCCAGUUCAUAAUCCUUGAUUAACUCUAGCCAGCGACGUUGUCUUAAAUUCAGACCUGUCUGAGUGAAUAUAUACUUCAAGCUCUUAUGAUCGGUGUAGAUAUCACUCUUGUGACCAAUCAGAUAGUGUCUCCAGAUCUUCAAUGCAUGUAACACAGCUGCUAGCUCCAGAUCAUGAGUAGGAUAAUUUAACUCAUGCUUCCUCAACUGUCUCGAUGCAUGCGUCCGUGGUGGUGACCUCAUGUCCGCUCGCACCGUGUUCGAUGAAACGCCAACGAGGGUCAAAAGCUUCGAACCACAUCGGCAUCGCUCGGAGUAGCAACGGGUACACGCUGGAGUGCUGGAUGUGAUGCUUGGCCAUCUCCAACUCACGAGCGUGUAAGAGAGAAACCAUGAGACAGUAAUGAUUUAAUUUGGUUUUGCAAUGUUUUUAUUUUAAAAAUAGUUGGUUUAUCUUUGUAAAAUAGUUAAUUACAUGAGAAUUAUUGAACAAAAUAGUUUUUAAAGAGCAAUUUGCAUUCAAACAGUCUUCAUUCUUAAUGAAGCUACGAGUUCCCAUUUGCUCUAACCAAACGAUCUUCAAUUUUUGCCACCACAGGAGCCUUGUAUUAGCUCUUGCGGUGCGAGCGGGAGCUCGGAUGUCCGUGCGACGAAGCUGAUCUAUGAAAGUGGCCUUGGUGAUCCUGUGCCCCGGUUGGUAGGUUGGGAGACAGCAAGGAUGCAAACCAGCGCCAACGAUGGGCGAAGAUUGCACGACGGAUGAGCGGCGCUAGAGAUGGAAAGUCUGCUGGAGCAGUUUAGGUGAAAGGAUAAAGAUGUAGUUUUCAUUUUUUUUUCUAAUAAUGAAAGUCGGACUCAACUUUAUGGAACUGGGCCUUAUGACACGUAGGGCCCAUCUGAAGCUUCUAGAGUUGUUAAUCCUGUGGUUGAGAAUGUGUGUGACAAAGCCUGUGUUUGAGUAUUUACUAUCUAGGGAAGUAUAAACAAUUUACAAUCUCAGUGGACCCAUAAGCCAAUAUCCUUGAAUGUUUUUUUUUCUGUUUGUGUGUAUAUGUCGCAAGUUUUCUUGUUUUAUUUUAGGUUUGGUACUGUAGCUAGGUCUAGAAUAGUUUUUUUUGUUCUUUUUUUAAUUUCAAAAAAAUCGAGGGAUGUCUCAGUUUUUAUUAAAAGAAAGAAAUAUUUGGUCCAAAGUUGAAUGAGCGUGUCAUGCAGGGUUAAAUCACAAGAUAAACUGAUGAAACACAUGAUGCAUUAGUGGAUAAAUCACACGGGUGAUUUGAAGACAAAUUGAAAAACAUGAUGUGUUAGUUAAAUAAAUAAAUAUCAUGAUACAAUUAUAAGUAACCAUGCAAUAAACUAUAUGUCCAAUACUUGCACUCACAGGCAUUUUUGCUACUAUUAAUAAAUUGGUAAAAAUCAGAGAAUGCGAGGCGGAUACCAAACCUAGCCAAAUGGGCCGGCCUGGGUUAAACGGGCCCGAACCCCUCUUGCCCUCGCUCCUAGAAAAGCCGCCCGCCUCCGUCUCUCCCCCGCACUCCAUCGCCUCGCCUCGCCUCGCCGCCGUUCCCCGCAACCCCCUGUCUGUCGACCCAAUUCAUCUCAGGGAUAUCACCCGACGCCUCGUCCUCCUCUCCAGAUCAGAUCUUACGCCCGCCCGCCCGAGGUGAGCACAUGCUUGUACAUCCCGAUCAGCUUGGAGUUCGUUCCGAUUGGUUGGUAGGCGCGGCGCUGGUUCGAGGCCAGCGUGGUCUCCCUCCUCCUCCGGAGUUGCUCGGGCGCGGCGCGGGUUCAUAGGUGUCGGAUCCAGCGCCGUCUGUAUCCUAUUCGUAUGAGGAACCUCGGCUAGGAUAGGAUUUAAUUAGUUGGUUUUUGUAUUAGGGUAACACCACCUAGGGUUCGGUUGAUUAUCCGUAAGAAGGAAUCAAUCUGACGCUUUAGUUAGGGUUUGCUUGGUUGGUUGUGGUCAGAUUUUGGUUUCUCAUGAAUUCUUCAACUGUGCCUGUCGCGAUUUUGGGCGGAAAUUGAUGAUUGAUUUCGGGGGCAAAAUCCGAGGGAUUUUGUGGAUGAAAGAUGGGGAAACUUGGGGAAACCAAGCAAAUCCAUGGAUCAAAAUAAACAAACUUCAUCAUGCCAACAAAUCACAAAAAAAAUUUGGUGGGGAAAUUUCGAAUUAGGACGAAAAACAACAAGAUCAAAGCUAGAAAACGAAUAUUAAUUUGGAUGGAAUUCAUGCUAUGUUGUUCGAUUUCAGUUUAUGCCUGCCAGAAUGUUUUAAUUUUUUGUUUUAUCAACUGUGUUGGAGCGUACUAGAUUUUUUGUUGCAUAUUCAUCUUCUUGCUCUGUUUGGAUAGGUAACAAUUAAUAUUUGGGAUCCUAAAAUAUGUAUGCACUGGCAGCACUUAACCUGCAGCUGCUGAUUAAUGUUGUAGUCAUAUGUGCUGCUUUCCAGCUCUCUUGUUUGGAUAGGUAUUUGGUUAUCGUUUGGGUUUAUUUAUUAUCGUUUGUAAAUGCUGGUUUGGUUUUCUGUGCUCACUAUGCCCUUGCACAUGGGAUGCAAUUUUUUUAUUUCCCUGCUGUUUAGUUUAUUGUUUCCUUUGAUGGUGAGGCAUUAAUUCUGGAGAUAGAUGCAAUUUUCUUGCUCACACAAUAAUACAAUGAAUGAUGGCAUCUCUAUCUACUUUGAACCAAAUUAUAUUAUAUUCCCCCCUCUGUUAAUUAUUUUUCUGUUUUGGGUAUUCAUUCAUUUUGUUUAGUUGCCUAUCAGUAUAAAUACAUGGCUGGAUUGCUUUCACUUCAUAUUAAUAACUAUUCUGUCGCACAAUGCAAAUAUACAUAUGCUGUCCUAACUAAUUAAGUAGAAGCUUGGAUUGGUGCUGUAUGGUCUCUUCCUGACAUUAAAUCCUCCUCUGUUUGUGCUGUCUGUUUCUGCUGCUGCAGUCUUCUUCGCCGCCAAAAGGAAAAGAUGCUCUACAAAAUCCACUCCCAUGCCGAAAUCCAAGCCCUGCAGGCCCGCACCGAUGAGCUGGGCCACUCCAAUGAGCACAUGGAUGUGAAGCUUGUCUCUCUGGAGUCGGUGCGCAUAGCGCGCGAGUCGUAUGCACUCCUCCGCCCGCUGAUCAUGGAGUCGAGGUCCUGGGAAUGCCCGGAGCUGGAUUCCCUCUCGGACGUGGCAGGCUUGUCGCUGGAAAUCCAAAAGCUCGAGCAUGAUGUGUUACCCCAGCUCACGGUUCAGGAGGCUAAGCUGGAACGGGGUGCCCUGGAAGCCCUCCUACUCAUGAAGAGCUCAGCAGCUAAGCUCUUACAUAUGAGUAAGUGCUUGAAGGAAGCCUUGGGCGUAUUGCUUGCCGAGGAUGUCAAAAAGCUGAGCAUAGUGCUAAGCGAUACUGCUGUUCAUGUACUCAAAGGUAAGUUCAACAGUGGCUUGCUUCAGGAGCGUGUCCCGUGGCUGGUCGAGCUGGUCACCGAUGUGUUGGAGACCCCGGUUCGUUUCUGUGAUACUCGUAAGCGUAAGUAUUCUGAUGAGUAGACUUAUCAGCCAGCUCGAGGCUGUUGUGAUGAGUAUUUCUUAGGGGCGUGGCAAACAGUUUAGAAUCAACCCUUUAUGUUUGUAUGUGUUAUUAAUGGAUUUUAAAUGAUAUGUAUCUUGGGUGGGUAGUGUUUUCUCAUUCUGUGCUAGUCGGGUACAACUUGGAAUUACUUUCAGUUUUUUUUUUGAGAAACAUCCAUUCUGUUUUUUACUGUCACAUGAGGUAUUCGCUCUUUUUAGGGAAUAUAUAGAAGAAAAGAGGCAUACUUUAGAACGUGGAUGGAUUCACUCAUUUUGCUCCGUAUAUAGUUUUCUACUAGUGAAAUUUCUUAAAAGACAUAUAUUUAGGAACGGAGGGUUCUGUGUGUGUCCAUGAUUAAAGCUUUGCAAAUACCAUAAACAAAACAUCACCUUGUACAUAUAAAGUGAUGAUUAUUUUUACACUAACCAGUUUGGCAAGAAGUACUUCCUUCGUAAAUAAAGAAACAUAAGAGUGUUUGGAUUAUCAUUUCUUUAGAGAGGGAGUAGUAUAUAUAUAUAAUUGAAUUAAUAAUCUCUACUCCUAAAGUUGGUCGUCUCCGUUCAUCGGUUAAUUUUUGUCCCACCAACACCGAUUUUUUUUCGUCCUCCAGGCCGUCGAACAAAAAAAAAGGGCUGGCUUAGCUAUGCCCCUACGAAGUCAAGGGGCCAAACCUCCGAUCGAAACAGAGAGAACUGGAUGAAAACAAAUCUACAAAAAACACCUACGAAAUUAAACCAACGAAAAAAACGAAUCGCACGCAGGUAUACGAGCGAUUCCUCCUUCCUUCGAACCACUCACACGCUCACUCCUUCCCUUCGCCCCCGCCGCUCGAUCCCUUCGCCGCCGCCCUCUCACAUCAAAGCCGCCAUCGAUAUGCCCCGCCAGAUCUCGCCUCAGCCCCGCCGUCUUGUGAUCUGGAGUUCACAGUCUCCGCCGCCGAUAUCCUCGCACGCGUUAGGGUUCCUGCGCCGCCGCCACACAGGAGCUCGUCGACCAGCCUAGCGUCCUGCUGCUCCGUGCUUGCUUCCCUCGUCGGUCGCCUUUGGACCCCUCGCUUCGGACUCCGCGCCAAGCCGCCGCCUCUUCGCCGAGAAAGAGGGCUCCCGAUCUCCGCCGUGGUCGACCAUCAGCGCGACGGGUAGAGUACCCAGCCCGUAGGCUCAUCCCCUUCUCCGAUCCACCCCGGCAGCGGCCAUCGUCGGUACGUUCCGCUUGUGAUAUAUCGGUGUAGGCUCAUCCCCUUCUCUUUAUCUAAAGGACUGUGCUAACCACCAGUCGACUGGUGGUUAGCAACAGAUCCGCACGACCUUGGAUCGAUCCUUCCGCUGCCUCGUUCCUCCCGCUUCCACUAUUUUUUUUCCUUCUCUUAAAAACCGUAGUAAAUUGCUAGUGGUUUUUUCUGGUUUUUCGCUGCAUAAUAUGAAAAGAAAAUAAAAGUGCUUGAAAGAGGAUUUGAACCCAGGUCUAUGUAAUACCUAUCAAGCCUAAUAACCAACUAAGCCACCUUUUGUUGUUGUCUAUUAUAGAAUGGCAAUGUUAUUUGAAUCUUUCUUAUUUCUGCCAUAUCAAAAGAAAAAGGAAAGUUUGGCUUGGUAACUUUGGCAAUGACCAGCGUGAUAACUAUGGUCUGAGUAACAUGAUAACUAUACCAUGAUAAGGCUGGUAACUACAGUAUGAGAAGGUUAAAAGCAUGGGAAAGUAUGGUAAUUUAACAUAGAAAUUACCGGUGAAAUGUUUCAAAAAAAUUUUUCCCUUGGAUGAAAGACACCAUGGUGUUUAAACGUAAAAUAUUAGUUAUCAAGUCUGCGAUGAUACAUCAUCAUGUUAUUUACACAGAAAUUAUCGAGUGUAUGUUUUUCAACAAAAAAGUUUCAGGUCAAAAGUUAUAGUGGCGUUUGUAUGGGAGUUAUCAAUUUUGUAUGUUUCUGUUACCAUGUUAUUUACACAGAAAUUAGCGGGGCAUCACCCCCCCUCGCCACAGUCGCCAUAUUACCAGGAUCGGGUACAUAAGUUAUCAAGUCUGCGAUGUGUGAGUUAUCAUGUUAUUUGCAUAAGAGUUAUUGUGGUAUGGUUCAACAACUCCUCCCACCCCUACCCCCACCGACAAAGUUACCAGGACUGGGUAAAUAAUUUAUCAUGUCUACGAUGUGUGAUUUAUCAUGUUAUUUGCAUGGAAGUUACCGUGGUAUGUUUCAACGACUCCCCCCACCCCUACCCCCACCGACAAAGUUACCAGGACUGGGUACAUAAUUUAUCAUGUUUACGAUGUAUGAGUUAUCAUAUUAUUUGCAUAAAAUUUAUCAGGACAGUGAUGCGUAAACUAUCAUCAUAUUUAUACAGAAGUUAUCGAGAGUAUAUUUCAUCAAAACCCCUCCCUCCGGCGGAGGGAAAAGUUAUCAUAUUUGCGGUGCGUAAAUUAUUGGGGGUAUAUUUCAGCACCCCUUCUCGCCAAAGUUACCAGGACUGGGGUGCAUAAGUUAUCGGGUCUCUGAUGUCUGAGUUACCAUGUUGUUCACAUCAAAGUAACUGGGGAUAUUUCAUCAACACCACUUCCCUCAAAGUUACCAGGAUCGAGGUACAUAAGUUUAUCAGGUAUGUGAUGUGUGAGUUAUCAUGAUAUUCACACAAAAAUGACCCGGGAUAUUUCAUCAACGCCUCCCUCCCGAUCGCCAAAGUAAUCAGUACCGAGUACACAAGUUAUCAGGUAUGUGAUGUGUGAGUUACCAUGCUAUACAUACACAAAAAUUACCAACGGUAUAUUUCAUCAACCUCCUCCACCAAAAUUACCAUGGUAUCAUCAACUCGAGACGAGUUGGUAAAAUAAUCUACUUAAGUGCGGAAAAGAUCGGAUAUUGCAUUCACUUUUGUGCAAACAUAGAAAAGGAGACAUGUUAAAAAGCCUAUUUGCUUUCAUUUUUACAAAAGAGGAACGUAGGUGAGGUGGUUGGCUAGUGGGUUACCUUGUAAAAGUUACAAUGAUUGAAUCCUGUUGGCACACUAUUUUUUGACGAGAAAAAUUCAUGUCCCUCGUCACAAUUCUUUGAUUUUGGAGUUUGACUCUAGCUCCCAGCAAAAAAAUUCUGGAAUUAGCACAACUUUUAUUUUGAUGCUAUGAGGUAUAAAAGGUUAAGUUCUUAUGUUUUCCAGUUUGAACAACUAAGAUGUUGUAGCUUGUUGGUCGAAGGGAGCAUGCGGAGCCUGUGUGUCCUGGGUUCAAUUCCCAUCGGGUGCUUUAUCUUUUUCCUCGAAAAAUAAAGUAGCUAGUGAUCUAUCGGGAGGUCGAACGUGGAUCGUGCAUCGAGCGAGUCGUGCGUGCCUGCCACUAAUGACCAGUCGGCAGGUAUUUAGCUUUGUCGUUAUCUAAAAAGGCUAUUCUACAUAUGCCGAGGAGAAGAUGCUCACCUUCUCGCCCCUCCCUCUACCGUGAUGUACGUGGAUGAACCCGACGGCAACAAGGACGACCUCGUAGGAUCCAGCCACGAUUGUGCGGAAUUUCGCGGGGACGAAUCUACCCGGCCUCUCGUCCUAUCCGCCGCCGGUAGAGGCAUCCAUGUCCGAUGGUGUGAAUUUUGGCUGGUUCCAUGAGCACUUCGUUCCCUGCCGUGUAGUCUUCGUUGAUUCGGGAAGAUGGUGGUUGUCUGUUUAGCCAUUUCAAUCUGCUAUUGAUCAUGCUCAUUCUUGUUAUAUUCAGUUAUAUUGGAAACACCAUCUGAUUCAGUUAUAUUCUUGAUCAUGCUCAUGCUCAUCCUUAUUCAAAUACGAAUACUUCUGUUUGGAGAGCUCGGGCGUCAGCUGUGUGGAAGCACCAGCUGAUUUGUAACUGGUCGGAAGGUGAGCUUCUCAUACUCGCUGCCGUCGAAGCACGGCACCUUGCCGCCACUUAUGUUGCAUGUUGUUGUGCUGUAGGUCCUUGGGGUUGGGUGCGGCAACUCGCGACUCGAAGACAUUUCGUGCAUGUGCUCCCCUGCGCUUGGUGACCAAUACAUCUACUCCGUUGUGAACAUGUGCUUCGUGUCAUACAAGUCGCCGCCAAGGGUGAGCUCGUGCAGCUGUACAGGUAUAGAUGUGCAUCCCAUAAUGGCAGCUACAGUUUCUUUCAUAAAGUUAUUUGUGUGAGUGCCCUGCAUAUUGAAGUAAACUGGAUCGGCUAAUCUUGAGUUCCUCCACCAAGUUAUAUUACUUCGACAAGAAAAAGUGCAGAAAGACCAUAUAAAGUACUCUGGUGACUCUCUCAAUUGAACUAAAUUUUUUUUAGAUGCGUGAAACAUGCACAACGAUUUGCUCUAUUGAGUCUAUGUAUGUUGAACUAGCACUCGAAUUAUAGCUCAUGCCGGUAUGCUAUUUUUCUCUUUCUCAUAUCAGCUCUCCUUCUUUUUGUCCAUUUUUCUUCACUACUACCUGAAGGAAACUGUACUGGAUAGCAGCCUAUCAUAUAUAGUUACAUGUACCGAGUGAUUUAGCUUCAUUUUAAUGAUACUGUCAACAACUAACUACUGCUGCGACAUAUUUGAUGCAACCUGUAAAAUAUUUUUUGUUUAAUUUCAGCAUAUCAUUUAUAUACUGAAGUCUCUUCUGGACAUGUUGUCUAAUUGCGUCAUGUAUGUUAGAUAUUUGUUCUAUAAUACUUGCCAUUGACUAAUUUUCUUUUAUUUAGGUUAUGUGCAUUAUUGAUUAGCCAAUCUUGAGAGAGAGAUGGGUUGGCGUGAAUCGGAAGAAAACUACAUUGAAUGGACAAGAAGUAUGCCCUCAACUUUUUCAUGGUAUGUCUUACUUAUUGUUCUUGUGAUUUUUCCAUCAGUUUCACUUUACAUUUCUUCUUUGCUUUUUCAUGGCAUCGGGAUGCCCACUGGCGACGGUGCUGCGUUGCUACCAAAGGGGCACCCUGCCGCGGCCGGGGACUCGCUGCCGUCGAAGUACGACACCUUGCCGUCACGUAUGUUGGGUGUUGUGGUGCUGCAGGUCCUUGGGGUUGGGUGCGGCAACUCGAGACUCGAAGACGAUCUUCUGUGGUAGGGCGUCGCCGGCGGCGGCGGCACCUGUAUAGACCGUCUCGGUGUGACAGAAGAGUUCGGAGUUCACUCCGAGAAAGAAUUGCUUUGCAUGUACAUUUGCUGAAAGACUGAUGUGCUGAACUUUCGAUGAUUUCGAUUGGUCUCUAACAUAACCUUUCCUCUUUUUGUUGAUAUGUCCAAAAGAGAUCCUUAUUUCACCUUUUGUUUAUAGGUAUUCAACUUGAGGAAUUUCAUACUUUUGGAGUGGAGCUAUCAAAUAUAUGUGUGCUCGAUGUUGGUGUUUUAGUCCGGAUCCCUCGCUGAAGGUGCUCGAUGUUGGUGUCUGAAUACUGCUACCGUACUUCAAGGUCUGUAGCAGCUCUUACAAUGGAUUCUUUUUAAUGAUAGUACAAUCUAUUUUUGUUUCGAUUUGGUAUUGUUGUUCUGUUCACUUAACCCAGUCUGUAGCAGCAGCUUUUCAUGUCGUUUCCUCGCCAACAAAUGUCAUAAUUUAUCACAUACGUGUGCAAAUGGUUUUUUGGCUAUAGUAUGAGUAUAUGGUUCAGAGAAGUUCGGUCAGAUGCAAAGCAUGCUUAGCAUCUCAUAGUCGUAGGCUAUUCCUUUUAAAAUUGAAGCCAUCCAGGUUUUCAAUUAUGGAGAUGAUUUGGAAACUCAGCAUAGAAAAUUAUUUACUCUAAUGCAGAUUACACAUAUUAAGGCCUUUAUUCUUUUAUAUUAAGGUCUCCAGUGCAAGCAUUAGCCCAUCUUUAGCUGCUCAUAAGCAGUAUCAGUGAUAUAUAUAUAUAUAAGUACACUCUUGCUAAGAUUAAUCUUUGAUAUAUAAAAUCAUUGCCUGGAUAUAGUUUGCUUUGAAUAUUUUUUUGCUCUUUAGUCUAUGAAGAAUUGCAAGGAGGAGGAUAAUAGAGCAGCAACCAGAGCUGACAAUUGGCCUGUAAAUGCAGCAAAGUUCUCCUAGAGGUGUGAUGUUGGUGGUGAUUUUCUUAUAUUGGGAUAUGGAUGUGGCGGGUCUAUGGGCACCAUGCUGACGCGGAGAAGGAGGUGCAGGUAGCGGGGCGCUUGAGGUGAGGUGGCUGCAGGGUCGCUCGAGAAGAACAUGCUCAUCAGCACCACCUGGAUGCCUUCGUCAUCAGCAAUGUGGACAAGGUGCAAAAGGGAUAUCUCUCUUACCUCUUAUUCAGUCUGGAAAAUUAUGCAAUGUUUGGUUUGGCAGAUUUAACAGUCGCUGGUUUGGAAAUUUGUUACCUAUAGAAGUAUAGGAAUAACAUGACUAAUAUUUAUUGAAUUUAUAGAGUUAUUGUUUUUUUCUACAAAGUCAGUUGUUACAUUAGGAAGAACAUCGUCUAAAAUCUUGACGACAUAAAGGAGCAUAGAGUUAAUAGAUUAUGAAAUCCUGUAGUGCAUCAGAUGCACCCUUCACUAAUUUUUGAACACAUUUAUAUUAUCCAGGUUCCGACCUCAUUCCCUGUGAUGUUUGUCUUUUUUAUGUGGGCGAGGAAAACAUUUUUAGGAGUGAUACUCCCAAACGUUGAUUUCUUGGUUGUCGAAUCAUGGUGCUGAUUAGAUUUUACUUAACCUUAAUUAAUCUAUUUAUAUUGCGGCUUUGUCUUUUAGCUCAUCUUUUAGUUUCUCUUCUCCACUUCACACAAGAUUUUAUUGUAGGCUACCAAGUACAGUUAUACCACUUAUACUCUUUCUAUCUGAUUAUGCAAAGCUUGAUCUAUACUCAUUGAACUUUGUUAGAUAGUAGGCCCUCCUAUUAGUGUGCCUAAAUAUAAUUGUUUCUCUGUGUUUAUAGUAUCUUAGUCCAGUAGGAUGAAUGUUCUCGAGUAAUUAGAGGUAUUUGGAUCAAGUGAAUGUCUGAAUACCACUAAAAUCGAAAUCAUAAUUAAAAAAUACUGACCUUUUUCUUCAGGGCGUCUGUUCCUCCUCCCAUGGUCAGCACCACCACCUACUCUGAAUCUCCGAUCAGAAUAGUAUGAACUAUUAAAUAGGGAACUUAAUGCUUAUCAUUGUUGAUGUAUAUAUGUACAACUAACAAUGUUUGUGCUGCAACCAGCUUACUUUAUUCCUUGCUGAAAUUUAUCUUGAUUUAUUUCACAUCAGAUAGUUCUGAACCUAGAUGAUCUCAAUUAAGGUUAUUGAAAUUUGUUAAAUUAUUUUUAUCCACUCUUCUGAAUGAGCGUAUACUAUGAUCUGAUUUGUAUAUCAUAUUACUGAGGCAGCGCUGGGCCAUGCUGUGGUGAGAACAUACGAGAGAUAAUUGGGGUGUGUGGCUGAUUGCUUCAUAUGCUGCUAAUGAUAUAUGUAGACUGCUGAUUGCUCCUGAUAUAUAGUGUCGAUUGCAGCUGAUAGUAGGAUUGUACUCAACUUGAUAGGUAAAGUGGGAUGGCGGGAUUGUAUAGUGCUCAUAAGCCAGUCCGGGCAUUGUCCUUCCUCGAAUGAAUCUGAGACUACUCCUCAUAUGUUAAUCAGUUGCUCCUCCCUAGCUUUGGUUUGGUCUGAACUUCAAAGUUUUCAUCCACCCAAUGUUGAUUCAGUCAAAGAUCUCUUGGAAAAAUUAUUUCGACAAGAUUCACUCUAUAAUGUUGUUAUCAUUGUCCUCUGGAAUAUAUGGAAGCGCAAAAACUCCAAGGUCUCCCGGGAUGUUUUUGAGGAAUUGCACAUUACUGCUAGCAAGAUUGCUGAUGAUUGAUACCAUGGUCCAACAGGUAUUCACAUGAAAUUAAUAAAUGGCACCUUACGGAUUGGAGUACUCUACUGUAUCACUAUCUGGGAGAUUUUAAUUUUUUCCUUCCAUUAUUUAUCUUAAUCCCUGUGUACUCAUUGGACUUUGUAUAGUUCUCAGUUUUAUGAAGUGGUUCAGGCUGGCGUAAGCCGCCAUAGUCCCAGUAAAAAAAGGCUACAAGCUUCGCUUCGGCCUUACGGAACUGAAUAUUAUGUAGUUUUAUUGAGAUUAUUGAUAGUGCUUCUCUACUAUCAAAGAAGAUAAUAGUCUCUUAUGUGUUUCUUUUUGUCCAUUUGAAUGCACUCCAUUUUUUAGUGUAUUAAUUAACAUCAAACCUCCCAUUCUUUCUAGAGUGCUGAUGUAUUAUUAUUUUCAGCUUAACACAUUUAACUUCCUAUAGAUUUCAUGGUUUAUGCAGAUUAACCGAGCUAAGAAUUUUUGUGAAGCUAAAGCUGGUGUUAAGAUGAACGCCGCUAUGUAUAUAUUUGAAACAGUUAGAUACAUGCUUGACAGACUAUAUAGGGGUGAUCAAAACCAUGCAAAGCAUUAUGGGACAAGUUUCUCUACCUUAAAUAAGUGUUCGUUCUCUCGUGUUUACCAUUCGUUUAAGGGUCAUCAACCCGUGUAUUUAUUUUCAUUGACCAAGUUUUACAUUUUUCUUCUGUAGUGUUCAUUGUGCAGUUCUAGAUUGUUAAGAGAGUAGAGUUUAUUGAUUUAUUACAUGGAGAGACCAGUAGUGUCGUAGUGGUCUUGACAUAAUUGCUAACAUUUUCUACUAGACAAAGUUUAAUUGCACUAAAUACAAAUUAGAACAUGCAUAGACAUUUAUCUUCUUUCUACAGAAUGGUUAGUGUAAACGUACUUUGAGUUGUACAUGAUUCUGUAUCUGACCAUUUUAUCUCAUAUGUUGAUGUGGUUGCAGAUAUGAACUUCAAAUUAUCCUGCAAUGUAUUGACUGCUCGGAGCUAACUUGACUACGCCAGUUUUCUUUUAUGGCUCAAAGUAGUUAGUGUCCCCCCUUAUUAUGAGAGAGGUACUACUUCAAACAUCUCUUCUUAAUGUUUUAUGUCAUGGCAUACAAUAUGAGGGAGUGUUAGUUGGCUUGACUUUCGUGGCACUCAUUGAUAACCUUUCAGUUUAGGAGUUUUUGUGGCCUCUUAAUCCAUGAGAGUAUGCUCAUGUUGAAGAAGUUAGUCAUAAUGAGGGGCACCAUAAAUGUUUGUUAUCUGGCACAAAUUCCUAAUGAAUAUCACAUGUUAAUCAAAUUUCAUUGUACUAUUCAUACAGUAAAAUAUGAGUGCCAUGUCAGAAUAUGGUUCUCGAUCUGAAAGAUCAUAUUCGAAAUUGCAGGUUCUAUGGCAGUGGAGUAAUGUUCGUAAAUUAUAUAUUGCUUUCAAGUUUGGAGCUGGAAUAAUAUAUGUGCUGCAUUUAGUUAUAGUCUUAUAGAUAUACAUGAACAUCCAUUGUAUAUUUCUUGCAAGACAUGAUAACUACUAUUAUUUUGAUUGUUUCCGUGAACUAUUUUGACCUUGAUUAAGAAGUAAAAAGUUUUUAGCCUCGUAGGUUGUUUGAUCUACUAUAUCAAGUGGCACUUGGCUUCUCAUGGCUCUCCUCGCAUUUGACAAACAAAGUUAGUACACACUACCUAGAGCUCUGGAAAUUAGAACUGAAAAAUGGUCCUGCGGUUUAUUAGCUGAUAUAAAUCAUGCACAAUCCUCUACAUUUAAAAAUAACCGGACACAAAGCAGUAUACUUUUUUCCGAGUACUACCUUGAGAGAGCCAAGGGGUUCUGCAUUUUAUAAAGAAGAAGAAAGUUGCCUGGUUCAAUACAUGCUUAUCUAAGAAAUAUAUCUUAUCUAUUUAGUGGAAACCAGGCAAAAACCUACAGAUACAAAAGGCAUAAAGUCCCCCACCGGUUGUGACCGAACUACUGUUUUUGGAAAUAUCACAUGAGCUAGAUUACUAACAUUGAUGUAAUGCUUGUAUGGCAACCUAUUCCUUUAUUGGUUUAAUUACAGAGUUUUGUUAUUAUGUGAACGGAGUAAUGGAGAGCUAAGAAAAAACAAGGUAACAGUUAGUGUUACUCUUGCGAGGUAGUUUCAAUCAUAUCAUUGUUUGCUUUCCCUUUUCUCCUGCCUAGGUAUGUACAAUUAUUCCAACCCAGGUUUCUUUCAAGAAGGAUAUGGGUAUGUGUUUGAGGAAUGUCUACAUGACAAAACACACCUUCAAGUUUGGUGAUUGUUAUGCUAUCAAACUUACAAUGGGGGUCUUAAUUUGUAUUUUUAAUAGAGCACUGGGUUCAUUGGUGAGACUUGUGAGGAUGUGCCUAGGCUAAAGAUGGCUGCUAUGUCGGUACCAAGUGGCAUGUGUUUAAAUGGAGUAUUCUUGUCAGGAGAGCUGAUUUCUGAAAUACGGUACUUUAUGGGUGCAAGGAUUCACCAUGUUGCGGUCUUCGUCAGCGGAGUGGACUCCUAGGAAUUAGUCAAGGCCGCUAUGUUGUUUUAAGCUGAUAUUCUAUCGUACUUGUAUAUUUUUUUGCUUAUCUAGCUGUUUGCCAUGCAGUUCUCGUUGUUGGUGGGAACAUUUGUUGUCUAAGAUCGACCUCAAAUAUCUGGUGGCACUAUAGCAUGGCUUUUGAUAUUCUAAUGUAUAUCUCUUACAAAAUAUUUCAAGAGCCCGUGGCAACGCACGGGCAUUAUACUAGUGUAAGUAAGGAUGGAGAUGAAGAUGGUGUGGCGACAAGGAUAUAACAAAACGCCUGGUUCCUUCAGCCAAAAGUUGGCGACGUUCCUUGUUACACACGCUCCGCCCAACAAACGCUCCAAAAGCCAGAAUACAAUUCCUCAAACAAUGGCCAAAGACUACUUCCCCACAUGGAAAAGAAAUACGCACAUGGCCUUACAAUGUUAGCUACUCAUGUCUGAGUUCCUAAACCCUUGCAAAACAGAAAGAAAGGUUGUUUGCUAAACAAAAGAAAGGCCAACACAAUCCUAUCCAAACACUCCACAUUUUUACUCUGUGUCAAAAAUAUGCAACUUUUUUUUGGUUUUUAGGUACAUGCCAAUUUUUUAAAAAAAAACACAAUUUUUUUAUGUUCACACGCCAAGGUAUUUUGUACACAUGGCAAAAUUUUCCGAAGAAGAAAAAUCUCACGACCCCAUGGAUAAUUCAUAACUUUUUGUCUUUCAAACAGGGCAAUUUUAAGUCAUUUUGUAAUGCUAUUGUGGCAAACGAUUGGAUUUUUAAUCAAUUUUCAUGGCGAAUUUAGGAUUCUUUUCCCUACUUUUCCACAUGGCAAUUUUAUUAUAAUUAAAUGGAGAUCUUAUUAUUCAAAACAUGGCAGCUUUACUAUUAAGAGCAUGGCAAUUUAAGUAUGAUAGAAUCUCCUCCCCUGCUCGGUCUACCCCACAUGCAUGGCGUAUAACAUCCUCUAGCCCCAACUGCCGCCAAACCUCUCUAGCCUUAUGGCAUCGAAAUAGUACAUGAAACACAUCUUCUGCUCCUUGUUUACAUGCAGGACACGUCGACCGGAUUGGGAUGUGUCUAUUAGCAAGAACCACAUUGCAUGGUAGUGUUCCGUGUAAGGUUCUCCAAACAAAUUUUUUAACUUUCGCCGGACAAUUUAGUUUCCAAACCUUUUCCCAUGUUGGGUUAGCACUAGUGGCUCCCAAACCAUCUGUCCUCUGCAAUUUACGGCCAUGCUGAAAGUACCAUAGAGCAUGGUAGGCCGAUUUCACUGUAAAAAUUCCAUGUUUAUUCAAACUCCAUGCUACAAAGUCACUCAUAUCAUGUGUAGGUAGUGGUAAAGCAAGGACCCGUUCCACAUCAACCGGCCAGAAGGUUUGCUCCACAAGUGGCACAUCCCAGUGACCUGUAGCUGAAUCAAUUAAAUCACUCACCUUUGAUAGUAACUGGUUACCUCUUGGGGCAAUAAUCAUUCUGGAUGGUGAGUUAGGAAUCCACACAUCCCUCCAAAUAUUUAUUUUUUCACCAUCCCCAACUCUCCAAAUGUAUCCAUGUUUCAGGGUAUUCACCCCUUGCAUAAUGCUCUGCCAAGUGUAGGAGGAAUUCUUUUUUAGCUUAAUUAAUUUACCAGCACAAGAAGCGGCCGUGCUGGGAGUGAAAAACUUCCAUGACUUGAUGUUCACUUGCUGCUGGUACCUUUGGUGGGAGAGGAGAAAGCUUGUGCACAAUGAGCCGGUACAAGAUGCGAAGAGAGUUGCACAAGCGGUAUGUGCUUUAGCUGCUAACUAUGCUAUUGCAUGUGAUCCAAAGGCCUCGUUAAAGAGGGGAGGUUGGUGCAAACCCCCUAGUGGAUAUGUCAAGUUAAAUGUUGAUGCGGCCUUUGAUUGGGAUUUGCUUCAGGGGGCGAUGGGAGCAGUCAUCCGAGAUGAUAGAGGACAUAUGGUUGUAGCUGGAAACAAGCUCAUUGAUUCCUGUUAUGAUGUACUAACUGUUGAGGCAAUGGCUCUGAAGUUUGGGUUGAAUAUGGCGCUCACAGCUGAGUGCAAUAGACUGAUUGUCAACUCGGAUAAUCUGGAACUCAUGGAAAUAAUGAAUAAGGAUGGCCAAUAUGCUGGAGAUGUCGCGGCCAUUGUCGAUGAUUGUUAUCAUCUGGCUUGCGAAUUUAGCUCUAUUGUCUUCGAAUUUUGCCCCAGAGGGUCGAAUGGGGUUUCACAUGAACUAGCUAGGAUUGCUAGAAGUUCGCUUUGUAAUGAGUGGUUAGAUAAUGCUCCUUCUGAGCUUCUUCCCCUACUACUUAAAGAUGUAAGUCUGAUCACGAAUGAAUAAAGAGGAAGUAAAGUUGUCAAAAAAAAAGAGCAUGGCAAUUUUAUUUUUAAUGGCAUGUCAUUCUUACCUUUUUUUUUUGAGAAAAGCAUGUCAUCUUUAGUAUGUCCUUCUCGCCUGCUAUAUGAAGUAGGCGGACCCUAGAUGGGCUUUCCCAAUAUGGGUUCCUGGGACCGGGUUCCUGCAGAGUUUCUUUUCCUUUUCGUCUUGUGUGUUUCCUGGGCCAAUUUUCAUAUUUUUGUUUGUUUUCUGUCUUAUGUGUUUCUUUAUGGAUUUUAUUUCUUUCUCAAUACAUGUACAUUUUUCUAAAUACACACUGUAAAAAUUUGCACAUCUUGAACAUUUUUUAUUAAUUGGCAUAAACCUAGUUUUGGAGUGUGUGAGCAUUUUUUAAUUGUCAUGUACAUUUUUCUGAAAGGCAGUAUUUAUUUUGUUGAAUUACGUGAGCAUUCUUUACACAUCUUGAACAUUUGUCCAUAUUUUUUUGAAACACAUGAACAUAUUUUUGAAUGCUAUAAAAAAAUUUAUAUCAUGCUGGGUAUGUAUUAGUUUAAACUAAGUUAGUGACAAUUAAUAUGGAUCAUAGAGAGUACAAUUUUGUACAUGAUGUUUAUACUUUUAUAUUUCACUUCCAACAUUUUUUAUUUAUUAAACUCUAUUGUGUUUUUGGAAUAAGUGUAUUUAGAACAUAUUUUUUAAAAUGUAAAUAAAAUGGAGCGAAUGAAGAAGCAGAGAAGAAAAACGAAGGCCGGCCAAAUGUAUGGCGUUCCCUGCCUCAUACCUGCAAAUCAAGCUAAGUAGCGGGUGAUAAUUUUUUACACAAUGUUUAUAGUUUUCUAUUUCACUUUGAACAUUUCAAAAUUUUAAGGAAAUUAUUAUUUUUAAAUAAAUGUUUUUAGUUUUUUUAAUAAAAAGGUGAAAAAAAGGAAAUUGAGCGAAUGAAGAAGCAGAGAAAAAAACGCCCUUUCUUUCAUCAACUGAACUGCGUGCGUGCAUGGAAGGGCUAUCAUCUGCACUUAAGAGGAGUGACUUACCUAUCAUUGUGGAGAUGGACUCUAUUCUUGCAGUCAAACUGAUCCAAUCGAGGGAUUUGGACAAAUCUAUUUAUGCUUGGGUAGUUAAGGUGAUCAAGUAUGUUUUGGGGAUUCGUGGUUCUUGUAUUACUCAUGUUAAUCGCUCUCAAAAUAAAGUUAGCGACUUCUUAGCUAGAUUUGUUAAAUUAGAAGGACAAACCAUGACUUGGGUUGGUUCUGGUCCAGAUGUUGCUGUUGAGCUAGCUGUUGCUCAACGUAUGGACACCAUGAGUUGAGUAAUGCAAAAAAAAAGUUUGCGCAGAAUUAUUUUCGAUUUUUUUGAAAAUUUUAAAUAUGGUUUUUGUUUUUUUUCUUUACAAAAAAAAUACCACACAAAUUUGGCAUUCGUUCCCUGCCUCAUAUCUCUACUCCUAAUGGACGACUUGGUGAAUAGUCUCCAUGGUUUAUUUUCGCUGAUUUUUUUUCGUCAUCCUCCCACCUCACGGUUUCAAAAAAACAACCAAAACCAGAGGCCCGUCCCACGAAACGAAACCCAAUUUGCCCCCGUACCACCACUCCUCCCUCUCCCUCGACCUCCCUUGUCUAGGGUUCCCCGCCACCACUGCGGCAGCCUCCGCCGAAUCCUAGGUCGCCGCACACCGUCGCCGCUGCCGCGAAUCCCCAGGGACACCGCACGCCACCGCCGUCGCGAAUCACCAGAGACGCCGCACGCCGCCGCCGCGGAUCCCCAGGGAUGCCACCGCCACCGCCGCGGAUCCCCAAGGGCGUGGUCGCGUUGUACUAGACAAAGUGUGGUCGCCGCCGUCUUCUCCUCGUCCGACCUUGACCUCAUCCCUUCGACUCCGGUGACUCCUCUGUGGCUCGGUGGACACCAACUGUCGUGGAAUUUUCACGGCAGAUGUUGUAGUGUGAGGACUUAGUCGUGAGGCCAACACAUCUACGCGGUAGCUUGAAGGGGUUGGUCGGAAUCGAGAGACGCGAGGUGGAUCAACACACAAGACAAGGAUUUAGACAGCUUCGGGCCCCGGGAAACAUCAUCCGUUAAUAGCUACAUGUUGUUUGUGGCUAGCUCUCAUUAUGCUCGCGAGGGAGUCACCGUAAACCGGCUCUCCUAGUUAUGUCUAGCCCUAGAGAUUGUUUCUUGUUGCUUGUCCCUCUUUGGGGAGCCUUGUCCCUCCUUAUAUAAGUUAGAGGGGCGGGUUACAUGUGUAGUCCUAUUAGGAUUAGGACUAGUCUACCUUCUAAUACAAACCGGAUACAAGUCCAGGUCUUAACUCCUUGUAAGACAAAUAUUUCUCACGCCUUUCCUCUUAAACCUGCCCACCAUAACAUGAGCCGGCCUUCUGGGCCUUGGGCCUUGUCAUCCGUUUGCCCCGCCCGCCGGGUUACCAGUGAAUCAUAAUGUUCAGUCAGGUUGCUUGUAAACCGUCUGGUCAGUGCGGGUCGCCGGUGAAUCGCCAAGUCCGGCCAGGUUACGCCGCGGGGUAUAUCCCCGACAUCUCCCGUGAUAUCUGAUGAUAUAUUUACAAGUAAUGCGCAUGGAUGGUUCGUCCGUGAUUUUAGGGUGGGUUAGUCGGUUGGAAGAUUUGUUAGUUAGCCUAUUUAAAGGUAGCAUGACGCUCUGGUGCUAUUGUUAGGGUUUGCUAACCCAGCGGAGGAGUCCCUAGUUCUUCUCUUACCCAAAGGAUUACGACCACCGUCUGUCAUUGCCACAGUCGCCUGACACCAAAUCAACCAUGUCAUCGUCGAGCUCGAUUAGGUGCGCGCUGAGGGGCCGAUCAGUUGAUGUGCCCCUGAUCCCUUGCCCUGACUGUGGCGAAACGGUUAGAUUCUAUCUCUCUAGUACCGAAGAGCAUGAUGGUUGGGUGUUCUACAAGUGCAAACACCACGAUGUACAAUCCCUUUACACUUUGGGUUGACAUUUACUGCAUGAGUAAUGUUUUCUACUGUUUCGUUAGUGCUGGUUUGAUUUGUGUUCACUUGGUUCAUAGGAUCCAUGUGAUUUCUGGCGCUGGGAACUAGAGUACGUGGAUCAUCUUGUUGGUACAAGUGUCCUUGUUGGUGGUUAUGCCCUUGAUGCAAUGGCUGCGACACAGGAUAGAAGGGAACAGCUACAUCGCGCAAAAAAACAGUGGGAAAAGACUGCAUGUACCAAGAGUGGCAACAUUGGAGGCAGGACAAAUUACAGUCAGAGCAAUGUGGCAACCAUUACGAAGCACCAAGCUUAUACGAUGUUAGGACUAGGGAGACAAAUUGUUUUCAUGCCGAAGCUGUUGACGGCUAGUGUAAUGGUGUUGUGUGUGUGGUGUGUGAUGUUGAUUGUGAAGAAAUAAUAUAUUUGUGAUCGUAUCAAGGCGAUUAUCAUGGUUACAUGUAAUAACAGCUUAAUAAGAAGAUGUGUUCUAACAUGAUAACUCUUAUAUGCCCCCCAACCCUAUUUUAACAUGACAGGUAAGAGUAAGAAAUAAAUCUUACACGAUGAUUCCAUGAAAUAGUUGUUUUGAUUAUUUCUUACCUUCUUGACUAUUAUGAGAAAAUAAGAGGUAAGACGGAGCAUGUUAAAAUUGCUAAAAAAUAAUGAAUAAACCGAGUUGCAAUGAAGGCAAACGAAUGGAAAAAUGUAAACGACCAUUUAAAUUCUUGCCCACUAUGUUGUGCACGAACACAAGAGUACCAUGAAAUAAAAAUAAAGUACGUCAUUACACCAAUGACUUAAAAAUCCCUUAAUUUAUUUUCGCACACUACGUUUUGCCAAAACUACUCUAGAGGCACAUCAGGAACAUGGCAAACAAAUAGAUAAAUCCCAUGAUCUCCUAGGUACAGCAACAUCAGCACCUUCUGUCCUAACAGCAAGAGGUUUUCCUUCUUCAUGAACUCGUUCCAUUUGUUGACGCAUACAUGACCAUCAAUAUCAGAAAUGGUGUAUGUACUUGACACAACACUGUGUGGAUGAUAAACAAUGGUUAUGGCACCAUAUUCCUCCAUUUCUUCAGGGAAAACACGAUUAGGCAGUUUCUGUUUGAAAACAAUAUUUGUUACAUCAACACGUGGCAACUUAAUGUUAUGUAGUAAAGGAAGAACAAUUAAUUUGGAACAAAACUAAAAACAUAUUGAAAUGACACAAAGUGAAUGAAGUACCGAAAGAUGGUUACCGAGAAGUUCUUGUUGCAAUUUGACCAUGUCAACGUAUGGAGGAAUGCAUAUGCUCUCCCUGAUCAUAGUUUCCAGCAUCAUGACACUCCACUAACUUUUAAGGUCCAUCACUUGGCGUAUGACAUACUCCAUUAUUCUCCAGUUUAAGCUUGUCCCCUCAGUUACAACGACAUUGUCAAUAAUAUCUCUUUUCUCAUUGGACAAUUGGUAGUAUGCUACAAUAUUAUAGCAUAGACAAUUUAAUUUAUUAUAUAUGGAUAUGAUAAAGUUAGAGUAAUAAAACUUGCAGGAGCAAAAAAGUAUCUUACUCAGAUGUAUGAUAGGCAAAUUCCUAGUUGUCAAUACGCUACUUGGUACUUCUGAAUUGUCAGUACUGAACGUAAUCUCCUGACCCACAUGUAGCGUGUAAACUCUAACAAAUUCCUUCCAAUACUUCCCUGAAAUGUAUGUCAACUCAUUGUCAUUGGUAAUCACACAUGGGAAUUCAAACCCCUCAUUGGUACUGAAACUUGCUUCAAAGUUCCCAUAUUUUCCCAAGGACACGCCAAAUUUCUGUGUGAAACUGUAUCUGUCGUAGCAGGGAUUACCUGAGUAGCAUAUCUACGAUUGUUAAUAUAUAUGAACUGCCUGUUAAUCUAAAGAAUUUGUCCAAUCUUAGAUGACUAGCAUAGUAUAGUUCACUACUUCUUAGCAGUAUUAUCAUAUAACCCCAUAGAAGAUUUAAAUUAACAUGCACGUACACAAAACCAUUUUAUCAUCUAAGAAAUCAAGAUGCAAUAUAACUCUUUUUGCAGUAAACAUUACGAACAACUGACUGAGUACAAAGGGUCCGAGUACAAUAUUCGUUCAAUAUUACUGCCUCCGUCCAAAAAUUUGUGGACAAAAUUUUGUACAUACGGAUGUAUCUAUGCAGAAAACAUGACGAGAUAGGUGCGUAUCUACAUGGAUCUAACACAUUAAUUUUGGAUCGGAUGGAGUACUAAAUUUCUCAUGAUAUUUGCUACGGGUCAUGUCAGACUGGAUCUUACUGUCUUGUUUGCAAAUCCCUCGCGCACGGUGACGGUACAAAACUCCCUCAUACAAUGCUCACCGGGGCACAAACCCUUGGUGUCCAAACAAAUGCCACACUCCAAAUCGAGAUCAAUCUCAUUACUAGUACGUACAGUCUUAAAGAUUAGUGCUAGCAGUUGAAUUUAGAUCUGACAGAUUCUAUAGUGCAAAUACGUACCGCGCUGAUCUCCUUAACCAUUUUCACGAAGGUUCUCGACGGCGGCAGUGCGUGUACCGCAUCGACUCCAUGGAUGGAAUCCAGUUUGAACCAAUGUUCGCACUUGCUAUGGUGUCAAUUAGGUCCACCCUUAGGCAAAGAAGCUUGAAGGCAUCAUAUGCUACCACUUUCGAUGGUUGUCUAGGGGGGUAGACCGUCUGGGAGGAAAUGAAAAAAUCAUGAAAAUCAUGUGUAACCUUGAACGCACUGUGCAUGCAUGCUUGAUUUGGUUCAUGGGAUGGCAUCAAAAUAACUCAGAAUCCUAUGUACAUGGUGUAUUGAAGGAGAUGGCCCGAGACGGGCCCUUCCGGGCUAUCCUUGUACCCUCCGAAAGCACGUGUUGGUUUAUUGACCUAUAUUAAAUGACCGUCAAGUUUGUAGGGUUACAAUCCAUGUCCAUGUUAGGGAUACAUAUGCCAAGUUUGAACCAUUUUCAUCUAAGUUUGCAAGUUUUUUCAUGUGUAAAUCUUAGUCUAAACUGAGAAGCAUCACUACAAGAAAUAUGCUAUCUUGUGACCUCCACUAUUGGUCACUGAAAGGUCAUAGUUUUUCAUUUGCGACCUUUUUGUGACCAAAAACAGAAGGUCAAAAGCUGAGGGUCGUAAACUGACUAUAGCGACCUUCUCACAACGACCUUCUCUGUGAGAAGGUCGUGGACGUUUAUGACCAAAAUAUUCCUACUGUGGUGUUUUGGUCACUAGCAGCCUCCCCAGUCCACGUAGGCAUCCAGCGUGGCAAGCUGAUGUGGCACCAGAUUCAGCCCGGUCCAAUUCGGUUUUCUACAUGGACCUAGCCCAUUAAUUCAGCCCAUUUAGUAUAUUUAUUUUUGUUAAUUUUGUUCAGCUACAUGGGCCAAGCCCAACUAGUCAGCCCAUAAAUUUUUAUGCACGUUUGGCCUUUCAAGAAUAUAUAUACAAUUUUGUGCAGCCCAUUUCUGGUUUACAUUCAGCCUUUUUAUACAUUCAAAUAAUAAUUCAAUCCUGAUGUUGGUCCAAUACUCUUUUCAGCCCAUUCACAUAUUCGUACAAAUGAUCCUCAUUUUCGACAAAAUUUGCAAAUAAUUUCAUAUUUCAGCACUAAAUAUGUUUACAUCACAGGCCAUAAAGCCGUACAAACUAGUAUCACUUGUUCCUAUACAAAACUAUCAAAUGAUACAUACAACAAAACAGAAUACAGAAAAUUUAGUUCAACAAAAAUAUGUUUUCUUCCUCUUCCAUCUUCCAGGACAUAAAACACCUGUGAAAGUAAAUAUGCCACAACAAAAAUGGAAGGAUCAGCCAUUAGAAGCAUAUUGAGUACAAGGGAAACACGCACUGUGAAAAUUUUGACAGCACGAAUAUUUUUUAUAUUACAAUAACAAACAGAAAUGUAAUCUGAUUGCAUAAGACAUAUGGCAUUAUCAACAAGACAAAGCAAAAUUUAUAGUGCCAACUCGGGAAUAAGAUAAAGCAAAAUUUAUAAAUCUAUAGCAUCGCACACGAGGUCUAAAUUUAUACUAUGUUCCUUUAGAAGCAAGAGUUGGUUAGUGUCUAGCUUUUAUUGCAGAUAACUAGUAAAUUUCCACAAAAAAUAGGAGCGACAUAUGUUUUAAUCUCGUGUUUGCAGUAUAUAUUCACAGCAUGUAAGAAUACUUUGAUUAACAAACUAACCAACCAUCAACUAACACUUCACAGUACCAACUAACACUUCACAGUACCAAAAAGAUGGGGUGGCGCUCACCAAUUCAGAUGUGCAGCAGCCAUGAGGGCUUCUUUGUGUUCCACCUAUAGCAGCGGCAACUUCUACAAAUCUGAGACACAAAACAAACGCAUGCAGAAGGAAUCAGAGGGAGGGGAGAUGAAGAACAUGGCAGGCAUUUAUAUGAUCGCAGUACAUAUGGAACAAACAGCAGUCCAUACUUGCAUCAUCAUGUGUAUAACAAAAUCACGGUCGCCUCUACAGAUAGCACUACUAGAGUAGAGAGCCAAGCAUAAUAAUUCUACCAGGAGACAAUGUAAACACAGAGUCACACCAUUGACAGAUUAAGCCUUACAACAUGUUUGGUGGCUCAGUGGGCGAUGUAUGCAUGCACAAAAAGGGGGGCAAUUUUUCAAUCAAACUGAAGAAAAACACACAUCAUUUAGUAACCAGUACAAAUCCCGGUAGCUGUAGGUGCAUGCAUUGUGUAACAAUGAGUAAUCAAUAGCAUUUCAGAGUUGUGCAGUUACUAGUGUGUCGUCCUCUGUUUACCACACCACACAUGGGCAUGAGAAAAUUGCUAAAAACCACUGAUCGUGUGCUAAUCUACUUGGAAAAUUAUAUGUUUGAAAAAGAGCAGCUUGCAUCCUUUUUAUUAACCUACAAAGCAUAUGCGGUCACAGAAAGCAGUACUAAAGUAGAAAACACAAAGCAGUAGAAUAAACUAUGCACAUGUACUCGGCAGCCCACUCACAUUACCAGCUCCCUUAUAGAAAUAGCAAUCAUUUUAAAAGCAUCAUGACAGAUGUUAGCAACUGAACAUCUAAGGCUAAUCCAGCAGCAAAUGAACAUAGUGAAGAAUUUAUUUGCAAAGAACACAAAAGGCGGAAGAAAAAUUACAUGUUGAAGCAGCCCUGUUACUUGACGUCCUGCAACAGAUAACACUUGAUCAUUAGAACCACUAUAAUCCAAACAGAGAAACAAAAAUGCCAAACUUAAGCAUAACGAAUGCACUGACCCUAUUGCGGCCACAUUUUAACCACUAGUGUUGUGAUAUAGACAAGAUAGUCAGCCGCUUACAUGGUAAAAGGAACAUGGCAGCACUAAGUUACACAGGAAUGUCAAGUAGGAGAUAUGAUCUGAUAGAUCCACAGAAACAACUCAGACCAGAACAGCACUAAGUGUUCACUCACAAAUUGGUACUAGCAUAGAGAUUUUCGUAUGCCUAGAACCUGUGGCAAUACAGGUUGACGUAUAUGCAAGGGUAUAUAUAUACUCGUAUUUGAUAGGACUAACAACACAUGAAUCAAAGAUAAUCACGAUCAGCCGCGUAAUCUACCACAAACCCGUGGUAACAGACACCAUUACACAGCUACACCAACAGCCUACCGAAGCAAAACUCCAAAUCGGAUGAAAAAUUAACUAGGAUGGGAUCUGACACUGGCAUCAACUAACUAGGGAACAGCCUAAACAAACACCGCUGAGAAUGGUGCCGAAACGGAUCAGAUGACGAAAUUGGCUUACCCGGCCUCCGGGUGCUGCUGCUUGAACUCGAGGUGGUGGGAGGCGACGGGGCUGGCGUGGCGGUCGUAGAUGAUGAACCUGGUGCUGGUGGUGCCCUGGUCGAUCGAUGCCACGUACACCUCCUCUUCCUUCCCCUUCCCCGCCAUACUCCUUUCCCUUCCCCUUCCUCCACACGCCCCAGAGCAUGCUCGCCAGAAAAACAAGCGCCGAACCCUCUGCCGGCGGGCAAACAGAGGGGGGCGGCCGGAGCAGCGGACUGAGCCGGUGGAACAAGCGAGGAGGCGGUCGGCGUUGAAGUGGGAGGCAGUGGGACGCAAAUCCUGGUCGUCCUCCUCCUCAUUGUCGAUGUCGUCCAUGGAGGUCACCUGCCAGUUCAAAUCCAACCCAAUAAAGGGGAUCAGACAAGGAAGUAGAGAGAGGAUCUGGGCUGGGGAAGGGGAAGUAGAGACAAGGAAGUCGGCGUCGCGCUCGGCGUACUUGUCGGCCUUGAGGUAGCGCGCGAUGCGCCCGACGGGGAAUUGGAGCCCGGCCUUGGACGGCCGCGACACCGACUUGGUCUCCUUCGCCUUGCCGCGGCCUAGGUAGCGCGCGAUGCGGCCGACGGGGAACUGGAGCCUGGCCUUGGACGAUCGCGACACCGACUUGGUCGCCUUUGCCUUGCCGCGGCCGACGACGCCUCCGGUGGAACUCAUCGCCGAUUCGCCUUUGGGGGAGGUCCGGACGCGGUUGGUGACGACGAAGGAGAAGAUGAUGAAGACGCGGCAGGAGCAGCGCCUCCAGCGCGAUGACCGGCCGCUCCAGGAACCGCUCGCAGUCGGCGGCGGCGGCCCGGUGGCUCAGCCAGAUGCCGCCGCCGAGGACGACGAGAGGGACGAGGGGGAUCUGGAUCGGGGGAGAGGAGGGAGGGAGAGAACGAAAGAAAGAAAGGAGGCGGGGGGUGGAUGGAAGAUGCCAGCUAGGGUUUCGCCUCAGGCGGGGAGGCGAGGAGCGACGGCUACCGUAGGAUCCGGGAGGAUCCAAUGGUGUUUUGUGCAUGAUCCGUGUGCCUUGUCCACGGAGCAAUCAGAACGCAAUACAAUAUUAUGUCCAAUUGAAUUGGUCGUGAUAAAUUUAAAAAUAAGAUGUUAGAUCAUCUUAGCUAUUUACUUGACCUGAUAAAUUGGAAAAAAAUGAAACAAAUGAAAAACCUUCUCAUCAUGUCAUCAAAUGUGACCUAGUUUUUAGAAGAAAAAAAUAACAAAAUAGUAAUAAGGAACUUUUCAUUUUCUUUGCACGAAAAUUCAUUUUUCAUUUUUCGAGUGCUCAAAAUGAGUUUUUUUGUGAAGAACAUACCAAAUAUUUGUUGCAAAAUUGUAUCAAAUCAUUUUUCUAAAAUACUAGACCAUAUUUAAUGUACAAAUAACCAAAUGGUUGGCUGUAAAAACUUUUAAUCCACCUCUCGUGAAAAAGACAAAUUUCCGCCGAUUCAGUUGGAAGCUGGUCAAAUUUGAACUACAGCUGCUUCAUAGUUUGCUAUUUAUUUUUUCCAAAAAUAAUUUCUAGGUACAUAAGUACCUAUUUAAUCAGAGAAACACCAAAAAAAUUUCAAGAUUCAACCACUAGCUAGGAACGGUCAAGCCCGCCGUUUUGACCGCAUUUUGAAACGGACAUAAAAAAUUCAAAAAAAAAUCAAAAAAUUGGUAAACCUUCGCAUUGUGUCAUUAUAUGUGACCAAGUUUCCACGAAAAAUAAUAAACUUGUAAUAUGGAAAUUAUUUUAGAAAAGUGUUCUUAGAAAUGAGCUAUCAUGUGUGAAGAUUCAUGGAUUUCAACCCAAACGCUCAACCUCAUGGCCACAUUCAUGGCAUAGUUUGUUCAAAUGAUCUCAUAUUGUGCACAAGGGUGCAUCUUGGAAUUCCAAGCAAUGUUGCCAAAGGGAGUUUUCAUUUUCUUUGCACGGAAAAUUCAUUUUCCAUUUUCCGAGUGCCCGAAAUGAGGUUUUUUGUGAAGGACCUACCAUAUAUUUGUUGCAAAAUUGUACCAAAUCAUUUUUUAUAAAAUACUAGGCCAUAUUUAAUGCACAAUUGACAAAAUGGUUGGGUGUCAAAAGUUUUGAUCCACCUCUGGUGAAAAAGACAAAUUCCCGUCGAUUCAGUUGGAAGCGGGUCAAAUUUGAACUGCAGCUGCCUCAUAGUUUGCUCUUUAUUUUUUCUAAAAAUCAUUUCUAGGUACAUAAGUACCUAUUUAAUCAGAGAAACACCAAAAAAAUUCCAAGAUUCAACCACUAGCUAGGAACGGUCAAGCCCGCCGUUUUGACCGCAUUUUGAAACGGGCAUAAAAAAUUCAAAAGAAAACAAAAAAAUUGGAAAACCUUCGCAUUGUGUCAUUAUAUGUGACCAAGUUUUCAGGAAAAAUAAUAAACUUGUAAUACGGUAACUAUUUAAAAAAAGUGUUCUCAGUAAUGAGCUAUCAUGCGUGAAGAUUCAUGGCUUUCAAGCCAAAUGAUCAAUCUUAUGGCCACAUUCAUGGCAUAGUUUGUUCAAAUGAUCUCAUAUUGUGCACGAGGGUGCAUCUUAGAAUUCCAAACAAUGUUGCCUAAAGAAGUUUUCAUUUUCUUUGCACGGAAAAUUCAUUUUUCAUUUUCCGAGUGCCCAAAAGGAGGUUUUUUUGUGAAGGAACUACCAAAUAAUUGUUGCACAAUUGGACCAAAUCAUUUUUAUAAAAUACUAGGCCAUAUAUAAUGCACAAUUGACAAAAUGGUUGGGUGAAAAAAGUUUUGAUCUACCUCUGGUGAAAAAGACAAAUUGUUGUCCAUUCAGUUGGAAACGGGUCAAAUUUGAACUGUAGCUGCCUCAUAGUUUGCUCUUUAUUUUUUCCAAAAAUCAUUUAUAGGUACAUAAGUAUCUAUUUAAUCAUAGAAACACCAAAAAAAUUCCAAGAUUCAACCACUAGCUAGGAACGGUCAAGCCCGCCGUUUUGACCGCAUUUUGAAACAGGCAUAAAAAAUUCAAAGAAAAUCAAAAAUUGGAAAACCUUCGCAUUGUGUCAUUAUAUGUGACCAAGUUUCCAGGAAAAAUAAUAAACUUGUAAUACGGUAAUUAUUUUAAAAAAGUGUUCUAAAAAUGAGCUAUCAUGCGUGAAGAUUCACGGCUUUCAAGCCAAAUGAUCAAUCUUAUGGCCACAUUCAUGGCAUAGUUUUUUCAAAUGAUCUCAUAUUGUGCACGAGGGUGCAUCUUGGAAUUCCAAACAAUGUUUCCUAAGGAAGUUUUCAUUUUCUUUGCACGGAAAAUUCAUUUUUCAUUUUCCGAGUGCCCAAAAGGAGGUUUUUUUAUGAAGGAACUACCAAAUAAUUGUUGCAAAAUUGGACCUAAUCAAUUUUAUUAAAUACUAGGCCAUAUAUAAUGCACAAUUGACAAAAUGGUUGGGUGUUAGAAGUUUUGAUCCACCUCUGGUGAAAAAGACAAAUUCCCGCUGAUUCAGCUGGAAGCGGGUCAAAUUUGAACUGCAGGUGCCUCAUAGUUUGCUAUUUAUUUUUUCCAAAAAUCAUUUCUAGGUAAAUAAGUAUCUAUUUAAUCAUAAAUACAUGGUUUGAUGGCGAGACAUCAAGGUUUGGAGGUGGCCGAGGGCCCCAACUCUAGAGUGCAUAAGCUCGCAUGCCCGCCGCGUGGUCACCGCAUGACCGUGGUGUUGCCAUGCGUUCUGGGAGGCCUAGGCAUGUCUAGUGGGUUGUUCACUCCCCAGGUAGAUGCUAGGAAGAAAAUUAUAACAUAAGAUUCUCACGAGGAGACCAAUCGAUGCUCAAACAUGAAUAAGCAGCCAAGUGUUUGAUUUGCGGUACGGGAAAUGCACAUUGCUAAUGGGCAUGAGUUUUGGCUGAGGAUGAUCAGUUACUAAGAAGACCUCUUCACAAAUUUUUAGGGAAAUCAAGAAUAUAUAAAUAACACUUCCUUCACAAAGUGCUGCUCUGAACAGAAUAGGAAAAUGAAUAUUGUUGAGUUAUUUUUGAACUAGGCAAGGAAGGUUUUUGACAUAUUUGAUGAAGAUAUGAUCCAAACAAUUUAUGAGAUUUUUUUGGGAAUUUUUGGAAUGACAGAAAUAUAGGUUGCUUCACAACCUAGGGCAAAAACUGCCACAUGGACAUGACACAUAGGCAAAACUGAUGAGGUGGCGCCUAGUCAUCACAACCAACCACAAUCUACAAGGCUAUGACCAUCUAUUUUGGUCGUUAACAACUAGAAAUAAGCCAGUGGACCAGCCCUGUUUGCCUUGUGACCAUUUGGUGUAAGGAAAUUACGACCUUUCUGACCAAAAUGGUCGCAAUGGUUUAGGGUUUGGAGCCCCCCGAACAGCUUUUGACCAAUUGGUCUCAAAUGGUCAUAGAUCUAUGACCAAUUCUUCCAGGGUCACUGAUAGAAGGUCACUAGUUGACAUAUUUCUUGUAGUGCAUUUCGCAUGGUAGCUUGUUUUGGUCAUGGGAUUCCAUGGGAAAUAGUAGGCAUAAUUUUGUAUUGUAGAUGAUCUACUAAACAUGAGGGUGCCCCCAAACACGUCCUUGCGGCCUUGACAUGCACCCUCCGAAAUCACAUGUUGGUUUGUUGACCUACCUGAAAUCAACCCAACUUUGCAGGGUUGCAAGCCAUGGUAAUUAUUGGGGUACGUACAAAUUUCAACCAUUUUCAGCAAAGUUGCAAGUUUUGUCACGUACGGACAAUUUUCGGGCAUUUUCAGAACAAACAACAUAUUUUAUACCACUUAAAAAAUGCAUUCCUUUCUCGACGACACAUUUGUUUUUUCUUCGGAACAUUACAUUUGUUUUGGCCAAUUACACAUGCUAAUGUUUCAACCUCCCAUAACUCACGCCACCCAGAUCUCCCGAAAUCCCACGAUUACAGCUCCUCCCUCGUAACCACCCGCGGCAUCCAGGUCCCGUACCACCUCCCACGACUGCUGCAAGAUCAGAUUGUAGCCGCCGCCCACCAGGAACUCGCCUGAGGGGUUGGACGACAGUGGUGUUGUCGCCGUCUCCUACGCGCGUCAACGCGCUGCUCCUGUUGCUCCCGUCGAGCACCACACAUCAACAUCUAGUGUGGGACGCACUAUCCGUGUGGAGCAUUGGGCCGCCACCGUCGACGAUAGAAGGUUACGUGAUCAUAGCUCUUUUUGUAAUCUUUCUCGGACACGCACGUCUACUAGUAAAGCCCUAAUAGGUUUCCCACAAGUUAUUCCAGUCAUCAAGAUUACCUAAUCAUAGCUCUCAUUAAUAACUAUCAACACGAUCAAUCUUGGCACACUACACGAAUGUCCGAAGAGGUAAUACCACAACAAGGGUAUAUCUUUCAUGAAAUAACAUGUCGUAUGUUUAUGCAAUCCCAAAACCCUAGUUGAACUGUCCCAAUGUUAUGCAUGACCAAAAUCUAUAGUGUGCUUAAAGUUACAUGUAGUUCAUAUUAUUUAAUAAACUCAUCCGUGCCUGCGUAUAAGAUUCUAUUUUUGUUACACAUUUCUCAAUGUGAAGGUCAAAUAAAUUGAACCGGUUUUGCUUCUGUUCCAUAGGUGCAGUAAAAUGGAAACUACUGUUAAAAGUGCUACUAAUGGAGAAAAAUACGUCUCCGAAAUGACCGAUGAGGUACAUUGUUGACAUUUCGUUUGAAAACUGUACUUGCAUACACUUCUUUCAUACUCGAUAAAAUCUAUUGCCACUUUUGCAGGCAAUCUUGAGGAAGCACGGCCAUACGAAGUUAGUGUGCUCACUGUCAAGGCUCGCCAAAGUCAUGAAAUUGUUAUCACCAGAACACAUAGAGAAAAUCAUAAGCGAUACCGGUCUUGGGUGUCUAAACAUGAUUCGUGAAUUUAAACUCCGGCGCAUUAUGUUGGUAAGACUAACAAAGAGCUUCAAUAGUGAGACAUCGUUCAUUACCAUAGGUAAAACACCCAUUCCUAUCACCGCAAAAGAUGUGCACCAUAUAUUUGGCCUUGCGAUAGAAGGGGAGGAUAUUGAUGAAAAGCUGCAAAGCACGCCGGAUCCAAAUUUGUUUUAACACAUUUCAAAACAAUGGGAGCAUUGAUCUGGCUGACCUUGAGACAACGAUCUUAAGUUCCAAAACUCCGGACAAUGACUUCUUGGCGCGGUUCGUUCAAUUCGCUAUUGGCACAGUUUUAGCACCAACGACACAAUGUUAUGUCGACGCAAAAUACCUUAAUCUUGUUGCGGCUAUUAAAAGCCUUCGAAAAUUGAACUGGGGAUGUUUCACAAUGAAACACUUGUUCAGGUACAUACACAAAUUUAGCUCUCUUGAUCAAGUAUCUCUACAAGGAAAUCUACCUCUGCUUCAGGUUAGUGCAACAUCACUAGUUAACAUUGUACAAUUCUUUUUCUUUUCUAUAUCUCUCUCUAUAUUGACGAAGUAAUUUAUUGUGAAGAUUUGGUACUGGGAGCACCUGCGUUCCGGCAAAUUGAUGUAUACUCCUAUACCCCCACCAUUGGUCGCACGAUGGGACGAAUGCACGUGUGUAAUAAGAGCAGAAGCUUACACCUCAGGAGGUCUUCAUAAAGGACUGGUGUGUUUCUAGAUUUGACCCAUGUAUAUAUCCGGUUAUUUAUUUGCUACUACUGAUUCAUUGUACCUGAUUCAAAGGUUGUGAUGGAAAUUUGUGCUCGACAACCAAAGGCCAACAAUAGAAAGGAUCCAGGAAGCAAAAAAAUUGUACGUGAGGAUGAAGGUGAUUCAUCUCGAGCACAAUCACAAGGUCAAAAUAUGAGUAGCCACCAAGUAAGCCCAACAAAGACAAUUUUCAUUUUCCAAGAUCAGUAAAAGGUUGCAUCGAAACUCAUUCAUUUUGCUUUGUUCUGAAUAGGGUGUUAUUUCGUUUGCACAGGUGCAAAUGAUAGUUGCAGCCCUGAAUGCAUGUUGUGUUGAGCAAGAAAAGAAGAUAGACAGACAGUUAAUGGAAAUUCAGCGUAGAUUUGAUGCGAAAUUCCUCACCCUGAGCGAAGAGUUAAUCGACAUUAAGAGUAAAUCUGGCAGUAAUCCUAGGCUCUCGCUGCUCGAGGACAAAAUUAAGAACUUAAGGAGGGACCUGAAGGUAUGUCAUGUUGUGCAUUUUUUAUUGUUAUGAAUAUGUUCCUCCAUAUUCAUUAUUGUUAUAGUUGUUAUAGGAAUUAGAAAACCAAACUAAAGUCAGCCGACAAUCCGAGUCACAGAAAGCAGGCGUCGAGGUAAUAAUUAUGGCCCACCACAUAAGUAGUAUUACCAAACUAAUUAUAAUUGACCAUUUUUGUUGUUGUAGGAACAAGUCAAUGUGUGCAGUGAUCCCUUCAUGGCGACUCCUAAGUUCGACGCAUCCACGCCACGUACUUUGACUCCAACACCAAGUGCCAGACACGUCCUGCCAAACAAGGACGAUCCUCGAAUCACACCGUUGAAGCCUCUAUUUGAUAAUGAUUACGUGCUCACCGCUGAGGACAAAGAGGCAGCCAUUUUCAUCCGGGGAACACACGGCCCUGUUGAAGUCAUUCAAAUCGGAGACAUUCCCCUAAGAGCGGAAUAGCUGAAGCCAAUUUACGAUAAAAAAUACAUCUGUGGUGAUGUAAGCCCCUUGUACUCCAUUGUACAUCAACUAUUUGAACUGUUGGCACAUCAUUAUAUGAUUACAAAUUUGGCAGGUUACUAUGGCGUAUGCUCACAUCAGCGGAGUUGAGACUGAUACUACCUCAGUCAUAUCCCCCAAUGAAACCAGAAAGCUUUUACAAACAAAAGGGGUUAUUCCAGAGGGCCGUGGAAGCUCGUUGCUUCAGCGUAUUGCAAAUAAAUUUGUAGGACGCCGGAAGGUACCUGUUUUCCUCACUUUCAUAUAUCAUAAUAGAUAGUGUAGAUGAAAUAUUUCAGGGGUCCCCCGAACCAUAAUUGUUACCUCAUAUACAUUAUUCCGUGGAAUGAGUCCUCUUUGACUUUAUGGCAGGUCCACAUCCCGUUUAAUGUGAAUGAUAACCAUUGGAUGGCAAUGGUGUUCAAUUUCGACAAAGAAGAGAUUCAAAUCCUAAACUCCUUGAAAAAUCAAUUUGCUGAGUCAAAGGAAACUGCUCUUGUAAGCUUUAUCUUGCUGCCUCUUUACUGUCGCAUGGCACAUGAACUCCAAAUCACCGUAACCCUUCGUAAUACUCGUAUUAUGCUAGGUGGAGGCGAUUCAGGCCUGCAUGGAUGGAGCGGUGAAGGAUGGCUUGGUAACACCAGAUAAGCCUAUCAAAUUUACCGACUGGGAAGUAGUACACUAUGACGACAUACCACAAUAGAAUGACGGGUACGUACGACCUCCUAAAUUAUUCCUCGCUGACACGUCCAAGUUUACUAAAACCUAAACUAAACACUGCAGGCAUUCAUGUGCGUUUUUUACACUGAAGUACAUGUUGACAUGGAACAGUGAAGUAUUUACCGACAAAGUGGAGCAGAUGAUCCAAACACUAUAUUUUCUUGUAGAAUAUCUUAUGACUGAACGAUGUGCUGACAUAUGUGUCGCUUAUCAAAUGUAGUCAUAGAUAGAUAUAUUUAGCUAGAAAAUAGUUUCAAGCUUGCUGCAUUCAGAUUGCAACAGUCUUCGCAUGGAAACAUACAAGUACCCCAUAACGGUUAGCGAAAAAGCACAGAUAUUUUAUUGUAUUCACAUGUGUCAUGACGCUACCGAAUGCACUGAUGUCUGCUGUACAGGCGGAGACGUAUGAAGCCCACGUUGCAUCGGAACCUAUCAAUUCACAAGACGAUGUCCAAGAAAUUAUCGGUACUGUUGAGUGCAAGAUAUCAGACACGUCGAGCUCCCCAAAGGAUCCCGACACCCCGAGCUCCCCAAAAAAGCGAAGAGCACGUGGACGCCCGAGGAAGCUUGUUGAUGAAGUGCAAGCUAAAAAAACAAAAACUACGGAAGAGCUCAGAGUGAAAUUUGAUAGCAAGACCAUUGUUAAACAAGUGUCUUCUUCGAUAUCAGGACGAUCACGCAAGCCAUCACAUGCUAUAUCGAGCCCAUUCAAGUUAACCAAAUGGUAGUUUAGGUACGUACUGGGUAGCACUGUAGUUAGCACUACUUAUGAUACAUUUUUCAUUUACGAUUUGGUGAUUGAACUUUAUCAAACGUGCAUCAACUAGCGGUGAAAGACGGCUUGCUAACAACAACUAAGACCGUAAAAAGUAGGGUAUGAUAACAUACCUCAAUAUAGCAAUCUAUGUUGUCCAAGUACAUACUUUUGGCAAUCACGAACAUUAUAUAAUUUCGGCAAUUAGGGAUACAUGCUCAGUUCUUUUGGUUGAACUGCCAAUAGGUCAUUCUGCCAAUCAUUUGCAUGAUGUACUUUUGGCAAUAUAUUAUACAACCUAAGUGCAUGUCAAAAAUGGCAAUAGGUACUUUUGGCAAUCAUGUGCAUGCUACAUUUCUGGCAAUUACUAAUGCAUGCUCAUUUGUUUUGCUUGAAAUGGCAGUAUGUACUCCUGGCAAACAUUUGUGUGCUCUACUUUUGGCAGCUAUUAAUACAGGAUCAUUUAGAAUGGUUUAACUGUCCAUAGAAAUAACUAGAAUGUCAUUAUUUCUAAACAUACCAAAUUCAGUACAAGAUAUAGCAUUAGCAUCUUUAGUUAGAGUCAUAACAUAUAUGUACCAUAUAUCACCAUAGUGGAGGUAUUAGGCAAGGUUGACCGCAAUGCUUACAAGAUAAACAGUAGUUUAAUGAAGAAACAACACUUAUUAGUACAGGGUAGACGCUUAAUUAGGCGCCUAUCAUGUACAAAUUGGCACUGCUGCUUCCGAAAACCAUGUUUAAUAUAGUUAGCAUGUACCUAAGCACGUAGCAUUGGAAGUUGGCCAUUACCAGAAAUGAGCAAUGUACUACCAAAAACUUAAACGUAGCAUGUUAAACACUCGCGACCCAAAAGAUAAACUGGCACAUAAGUUCAAGCAGUACGGUGGGGCAGAAGUAUCACAUGACAACCAUAACAUAAAAACAGUCUUAACUAGGGUGGGCCAGUAGUAACAACCAAGUAGCGCAUCAGAUCCUCGACAUCUUGGCCGGACGAGGAGGCCUCGGGAGGUAGAAUGGAAGAUGCCCCUUCGCGUACUUCCCGAGGAAGGCACCAAAAGCAGAAUGCUCAGCCCGGCCGUGGGGCUUGCGGUUCCUCCCAUUACCACGGCUGAUAUCGGUGCCAUGCAUGAUCAGGUUGUCGUAGUCGCUCUUGAUUCUCGCGCAGCAGAAGGGGCAGGCUAUGUUGCCGUAGAGCCCGUCGGAGCUGCUGCGGUAUGGGAUUUCCCCAUUCCGCAGCCUCCUGAGGACGUAGCGGCUCUUGCUUUCCCUCCUCUCCUUACUAUCAUCCACGUCUUCGUCAUCUUCAUGUGUGUUAGUUGAUUGACAGCUAUGUUAGAUUAGGAAUAUAGAAAUGUAGCAUUUCAUAAGAGUAUCAAGUACAUUCCAAAAGUAGGAACACAAAAAUAUGAUCAAUCAGAUGAUUCACACAACAUGUACCUCAUGUAUUGCUAUAUAUGUUUAUGUAUUAUUUGUUAUCUUUCUUGUUCUUUUUUCUUUGCUUUGCAUGCGUACCUGUUCUCCCCUAUAAAGAAGUACUCCUAUUUGUACAGUCUAAGUUGACAAUUAACUAAAGGGUUCGGGUUUUAGGGUAUGAACAAAUCAUUUUACUGCAUUCAAGCACAUAUUUUAUUUCAUACUGAAAAUAGAUAAUUCCAAAAAUAGGAUCAUUUCUUGCCAUUUCUUGCAACAAUAUUUUGUAUGAUCUGGUUUUAUCAUAAAGAGAUACCAGACAAUAUCUAAUUUAAUUAUAUUCAAACUAGAUGAGUACAUACUACAAAGUAAAACUACCGCAUCAACAAAGAAAAGAUUGCCCUCACUUGAUAUUUUGAAGACAACAAAUCAUAUGAAUCAUGUCAUCAAUUAUGUAUAAAAAGAGAAAUUUUUGACUGAGGUACAUCGGUUGCGAACAUAAGAAAUUAUGGCUUUAAUUACUCCUUGUUGCUAAUAAUUACAUAGGGUGCGUACAUAAGAAACUCCACAACGAAUUACUUACUGCAAUCAGAAAAUGUCUUCACAAUAUAGCUGUAAGGCUUCAUGAUUUUCAUCAAAUAAACUAGUUUUUCUAACAACUAAAUAAAUGUACUGUUUACUAGGUCUCAACAGAUUUGGCAAUCAGAUUGAAAAUAAGAUGCAUAGUCCACUUCAUUAUAUGGAAAUCAUGAAGCAGAUAGAAAAAGUUUGCACUGUUAAGGUAUGAAAGAUUCUAUAAGAAAGGAGAAAAUGUGGUAUCAGCUUUGUGCAUAUGGAGCAUUAUGAUUACACUUAGUAAUGAAAAAUUCUAUAUAAUAAGAAUGCCAUGGAAAUCUUGUUGCUAGAAAUGUACUAUUGCAUGGACUUGGCAUGCAUGAUUACUGAUGUGGCAUAGUUUCAUGGAUUGAUUUGUGCAAGAUAAGAACUAAUCCAUGUUUGUUGUUAAUGGCAGGCAGUGGCCGUAAAUUGUUACUACAUGCAUCAGUACUGACCAGAUGCAUAACUGGAUGAUGUGGCCCAGUUUCAUGCAUACCAAAACCAGAUAAUGGGUUGCCACUAUUGAAGAAAGGAGCAUAGUUUCAUGAAUAGCAAAACCAGAUAAUGGGUUGCACAAUUGAGGAACAGAGCAUAGUUGUAACAGGGGUUCUCUAAUUUAAACUCUCAUCAUUGAUAGCAUUGUUGAUUACUAGCGAGGCACACGUGCAUUGGGCGUGAAAGCAACAUCUAAUGUCAAUUAUUUUAGAUGCACUUUACAUUGCUAUGUUACUAUAGCAAUGGAUUUUUGUGUGUGUUUUCUUUAAUAAAGAGAUAAUGUUAGUGCAUAAUAUGCAUUCAGAUUCACAAAGUUCAAAGCAUUAGCAAUUCAUUUAGAAGAAAAGAGUUUGCGCUGUUGAAGUAUCCAAGAUUCUAUAACAAUGGAGAAACAUAGUGCUAUGAGGUUGUUUGUGCAUAGGUAGCAUUGUGCUUAAGCUUACAAAUGGAAUAUUCUAGAUAGUACGCAUGCUUGGAAUUUUUCUUUUGUAGUAAAUAAGAUAUCGAAUGGCCAACAAUGCUGGGAUUUACCAUCUGUCCACCGUUGGAUUGGCUUCAUCCAACAGCAAAUAUUCAAAGUUGUUUCCAAAGUACAUGUUUUAAAAGUUACCAUUUAUAGAAGCUCAAGCACCGUCGAUAAAUAUUUACUGUUGCAUGUCAACUUUUCAAGUUCUAGAUAUUAAUCAUUGAUCCUCUUGUUGAAUGUCAUGAAAUAAACAAAUUUGUAGGAAAUUUCCAUCCACUCAAACCUGUCUGAAAGAAUCCUACGUUUUUAGUAUGCACAAUCAAACACUCAUACAAUCCUGUAGGAUUCAAGAUGACAUGCCACUCUAAUCCCACGUUUUCCCUAUUCCUGCGUUUUGGAAAUCGUACGACUCAAAGAGGUGAUAUCUAACAAAUACACCGUUUUCUACAGCAGAACUGGUUCAUAAUCAGUUUCUAAAUCAUAUUCUUACUCAUCUUCACAAAAUAAUUGCAUGCACAGGGGGAUUUUAGGCCUACAUGACUACUGUUCCAUGCCAGGUUUCAGAUUGAAGGGGUUUCCUUCCAAAUGUAUGAAACAACUAGUACUAAUCCUAACCCUAAGGGAGAGAUCAAGAAACAUAACCUAUCUGGACAAAAUCUAAUCCGUGCUGCAUGCAAUUUAGGAGAAAACCCCAUGGGAGAAAACCCCCAAAACAGAGUAGGAGAAUAGAGUAGAACAGAGUAGUACCUCCGAGAGCUCGUCGUCGACCUCCUCGUCGAACUCGACUGCCUCGUCCUGCACUUCCUUAGUGUCGAGCUCGGCCCCCUCGUAGUACUUGUCGAUGAGCUCGUACUGCUCGUGCUUCCGCUUGGCCCUUUGCUCCUCCAGAUCCACCGCCACCUCCUCCUCCACCUGCUCCCCGACCGCAGGCUCGGACGCUGUGACGGCGGCCGGAGCAGUCACAACAGAUGGUGCACCGCCUCCCGUCGCCACGACGGCGCCGUCGGCCACGCCAAUCGCGGCGGCAAUGACCACAACAGGCUUCUCCACUGCUUCUACUGCUGCAUCCUUCUCCACCGCCGUGUCUUCAUGGCCAGCCUUCAUCUUCCGACGACGAAGGGCAAGGGAGAUGGUUGCUGGCUCAUAGGAGGUAGGGUUCGAGGUGAGAGGAGAGGGUUUUUGCUGAUUUGGGGAAGAAAAGCAGCAGGGGUGGGGGAGUGGGGGAGACGGGGGUGGGGGAGGCGGCCUUUAUUUGGCGUGUGGGUGGACGUUUGGAGUUACCGAGGCUAGACGCGUGGCGUCGUGCGCUCGUGCUUGCCCCAACCACUUUAAUAUUUUUUGUCAUGAAUUUGUAUAUUUUUUGACCUGUGGUUUAGCGAGGAAUUACACAACCACCUACUUUUGGUGUUACUUUUGCAUAGAACACCUACUUUACAGGUUUGUUGCAAAAAAACACAUAUUGGGGUAAUUUGUUGCAGCAAGGUCUAAUUCGCCAUUUUGGGUGGGUUGACAUGAUUUCUAACAAGUGAGUCCAGUUAGUAAGUGCACCACGGGAAAAAAACAUUCCACAUCAGCACCCAACUAGAGCUGUGCAAAAUUUACAAAUAGGUACUCCAGAAAUAAUUCUCAUUGUUUUUGGGCCCACAGAAAUGAACUAUUGACAUUUUUUUUGUUCCCACAUAACAUGUUAGCACGCAAGAGCAUGCACCAAACUUGUUCUCCUUCGACACACAGACGCUAUAACGACGGACAUGUACCAGUAAUAUUCACACUGCAUGUGUCGAUACCAUCUUGACCAACACGCAACAACAUUGGUCUCAUUGGACUCACACAUGCCAAAAGGGGUCCAAAUCAUUCACCAAUUCUUCUAGUCACAUUCCACUCCAAGAUGCGACAAUGGACCGACAUGUAUCAAUCUUGAUCUAUUUGCACAAAUAAUUGGUAUAAGGGCCAGAUGCACCAAUAGAGGUCACAAUGCACUGACACAUGUCACUUGGGCCAACACGCACCAUGCCCACAUACAAGGAACAAAUAAGCCUAUAGGAUCCACAUGCACCGAUAAACUACGUCUCGACAUGCAACAACUUUUUGUAGUCACAUUGCACGCACAGUGCAUACCAAGACACGCCAAUGGCCCGUCAUGUAGCACUCUUCAUGUGUUUUCACUAAUCAUGGUCUCUUUGGCCUCACGGAUGCCAUAAGGGCCAAAUGCACCAAUAUUGACACGUUGCACUCAAACGUGCCACUUGGGACAACAUGGAUCAUGGUUUCUUUACUAGCAAGGAUCACAUAAGCCAUUAUAUAGUGUUGAUACCCUAGCUAAUAACAACAUAUAUCAACAUUGGUCCUAGUUGCAGCUACAUAGGACCACUUAUGCCACACAUGGAGCGCAGCCUCGGUGCAUGGUUUUUUUUCUGUGCGUCUGUGUCUGGAUAAAUGUCUUAAGGAGAGGCAAAUUGGUUCUGCCGAACACACUGCAUCAACCGAACUGGCUAGACCCUUUACUUCACACCUGCAUGGCCCUGGUUCGAAUCCCCGUGAGGCAGUUGGAAAUGCCAAUUUUUUUCUAUGGGUACUGACACGUGGGGUUCCCUUGUCAUCCACACAAACGCACCAGCACAUGUACCACAUUUGGCUAAGUGCACCUACUACUCCACAUCAUUUUCAACUUUCUUAUUCCCCUCCUCGACAAGCGCCGCCGCCGCCAUCUGCAGACGACGCCUCUCUUCGCCGUCGGAUCUGCGUGGCCGCUGCCAACUCCGGCAAGUAGGUAAGAUCUCCCCUCAUCCCCCUCGUGAAUCUUCUUCCCUUCCCCAACCGCGUGCGUCUCCCUCCGGACGCGGAUCUGAUCCAGAAAUUUUAAUUGGUACAUGCGGUAGAUGAUUUGUUGAUGGAUAUGAUGGUUCUUUCAUACAUUGAUGGAUGUCGUAGUGUAGGAUCUGAGUUGUACCAGGGAAAAGUGAGGCCCUAUGCAAAUCAAAAUGCGGCCCUAUGUGUGAAAAAAUAAAUCAAAAUAAUUCAUCUGUUCUUCACUAUAGUAUGUAUUACUGACAUUGGAUUGGAUUGGAUUGGGAUUUAUUAGGUAGAUGAUACUGGCAUUGCCAUUGUCAUUGGCAUUGCUUUUUAGGUAGAUGAUAGUAAACAGAUUUAAUAGGUAUUUGCAUUUUAGGUUAUCACUAUGAUUUAUUAUAUGUAUGAUCUUUGUAUUGUACUAUGGUAGCGUACAAAUCAACUUAGAGUUCAACAUGUUCUGUGUACAAUGGAGGAAGAACCAUGUGGACGGUGCAAGUCACAGUGCCGGACCAGCCUUUGUACUGCCAUGCUAUUCGGCAUCUACUUCCAGCCUACUUUUGUUUUGAAGCGGUAACAAUUUAUAUGAACCUUCUGACAGUUCAUCUUUUUCUAUUUCCACUAAUGCAUUGUGUUUGUUAUUUGUUUUUUUCUUGCACAGAUCGUCCCAUGCAAUGUGAGAUUGACAUUCAAUGAGCUCAUCGGAGAUACCGUGACCUUCGACACUCUUGGGGGGCGUACACUAUGCAGGUUGAUAAGGGGCGAACGAUAACCCAGAUUGGAGGAGAUGAAUGGGAUCGUUUCAUCGCCCGCUUCCGUCUUAGUGGGGGUGAACGGAUCCUCUUCUCCUUAAGAGGAGAAAGGCCCAGGAUUUAUGUUAUCUAUCUGAAUUUGAUUGCCGAUAGUGAGGAUGAAGUUCAUGAGGAGGACGAUGGUGAGGAUUCAGAUGAUGAUGAGAACCCACUUGAUGAAGCCCUCUAUGCCCAAGGAGUGAGGCUGAGCGACGAGGAAACCAGCAACCUCUGGGACAUGCUUCCGCUACGUGAAGACUACGUCGGGAUGCCAUUCGUGACCGGCCUCACAAAGACGAAUGUUAAACAGCAUCUCAUGGUAUGUUACUUAGUUUGGUAAUUACAUGAUAUGCAUGCUUAAUUAGUGUAGUAGUUGAUAUGAUAUGCAUGUUGUAGUACUGUGAUGAUAUGCCUAGUGUAGAAUUCAUUUAGUGCAGAAUUUUAUGGUAUGCAUGUGUUGUAGUAAUGCGAUAUAUGCUUAUGUAGUGUAGUAAUAUGCGAUGAUAUGCUUAGUGUACGUAGUAUAUAAUCUAAUGAUAUGCUUAAUUACUGUAGUAAUUUGAUGAUUAGCGUGUAGUGUAGUGAUGUGAUGUGAUAUAUGUGUCUUGAAGUGUAUGGUUUGUUGAUAAUUGCAUGUGACAUGCUCAUAUAUCAUAUCAACUAUUUUCAAAAAUUACCUAAGAGGUUAUCUGAUAGUUGUGGCAUCGAGCCGGAUGAAGAAGGCAUGGUUGCUGGACUACGCCUUACCAAAACGGGCUCCAUCACCACCUGUGCCUACGCAGUGGACACGGACGGUCGCACUAUCUUCAACCGGGCGGGGUGGAAGAAGUUCCUUCAUGGAAAGAAUCUUCCGGUAGGUCAGGGCAUCCUACUCACUGUUGCGAAUACCCGUCGCCGUGACUUGAGGAUGAUGAUCACCAUCAACCUCAUUUAGAACUGGCUGGGCCAUGUUUCGAUGUGAAAUGAACUUGGUAUGUUAGCUCUUGUUUUAGAGUACUUGCCGUGUAUUACCGUACCUAUCUAUCUAUCUAUCUAUAUAUAGGUUCAGUAAAUGGGCCAUGUAUCGAUGUGAAAUGAACUUGUUAUGUUUGGGGCUUGCUUUGCUGUUGCCACAUCGGUUAUUUGUGACUUCCUUGAACUUGAAUCUGUCUUGAAAUGUUAUUGGAUGCUUGGUGCUGUUGCUUUAUAGUAUAAAGCUGGGGGCGUUGGGGGACCUUUUUAGUAGGUUUGGUUAAUGGAGUUUAGCUCUUAUUGUACUUAUUGUUUUCUUUUCCAUACAAUUCUGAACCCAAACUACACAGUGCACAACCUUCUGUGAUUAGUUCCUUUGAUAACUAGUACUCCCUCUGUAAACUAACAUAAGAGCGUUUAGAUUACUAAAAUAGUGAUCUAAAUGCUCUUAUAUUAGUUUACGGAGGGAGUAUUGAAGAGCAGCCACAGAGUUCCAUUCACAGUUUACUUGAAUAUUUUUUGAUGAAUAAACAAAAUAGGAAGCUAGCAAAUUUAUUUAACGAGAUAAGCAAACUAUGUACUUGAUUACAUAAGCAAACUUGUUCAACCCUGACAAACUGGACAUAAACAAACAGGUUCAACUAUGACACACAUGACAUAUACAAGUUGGUUUAACCCAAGAAAAGCAAACUACAAAUUUCAAACAACAAGAUAAAGGACAAGCACAAGCGCAAGCAACACGAAGGCAAAUUUUGAUGUCUCCUCAUCCCGCAUAGUGGCAGUGGUAGUAGGGGUCCUCUUCCUGCUCUUUUGAAAUUUCCAGACCUCUUUUGAUGUGUUGAUUAUCUUCCACGACUUGUAGGUGGCGUACGCAUCUAUUGCUGCAUACUCGAUGAAGUAAUCUGGCGCUAGGCUGACCCCCCACAGUUUAUGGUCUGCCUGCUUGUCAAUCUUGUUCUCAUGUUGCUGUAGAAUGGGUGGAUGACGCUGUCUGCAACAUCAACCAAGGAGUCAUAUGGUUUUCCAUUGUAUGGAACUCUCCACUUGCGCUGAAUGUCGAUGUGCUUGUUGGGGUUUAUCUCCAAACCAGACAUCUUCAACUUGUCCAUGUCAUUUUUAAUACUGAAACCGGCAAAGGUGAACAACUUCUCCUCCUGUAGGAACUCUUUGAGGCGCUUUGGCCUGCUAGGGGAGAGACAAGUGAUGAAUACAUGGAGUACUAGUGUUUAUUUUCAAGAUUUAAUCAUCUGUUUUUUACGGUUUACAAGUGAAUAAUACAUGGAGUAGAUGCUUAUACAGUAUAAGUCAUGGAUGAAUUUAGUUCAGAAACUAGUACACAAAGUUCUGAAAUUAAAAUCAAGUACACCAUGUUAUUUUUCUUUUUGGAUAUAUAGUUGAGUCAAUGAUCUAUUUGCUUUCUUAGUGAUAGUUUAGUUUUAUUUUGUUGAAUAAAAUAACAUAUACCUCUGCUUCACCAAGUUCUUUAGUUUUUUUGGUGGUGAAAAUAACACCAGACCAAGUUCAGAAACUACUUGACUACAUCAAGUUCAGAAACUAGACUAAUGAAUCAAGAUGAGAAACUACACUGGUACAUCAUGCUCACAAAUUAAUCUUGUGCAACAAUUUCAGAUACUAUUCAAGUGCACCAGGUUCAAAAUAUAUUCUAGUGCAUCUACUUUGAGGAACUGCACUAGUGCAUCCAUUUUCACAAACUACACUAGUACAUCUAGUAUGAAACUAGUCUAAUAAAAUUUUGAGGGAGCAGUAUUGAUGAAUGGAAGAGGGUGAAUGAGUAGGAUUUUUCACCAUUUUGUGGCCGCAGCAAUGUGGUACACGAGGCAGAGACCUUCCACGCAGAACUACAGAACUGCUGCCAUCUGCGGAGGUUCAUCAUCUUUGGUAAACUCCACAUCAACACCGAUGAUGUGGGGAUACGAGCCGCAUGCGCUCCUCCUGAUCCAAAAGAUCAUCUCGUCGGCCUUGUCUGGUUCGCUGGUGCAGAUGACCUCCGUCGUCUCCUUGCCGUGGAGCUCAACCCCUUUGAGGGUUACGGUGUACUCGCGCUUCUAACCGAGAACGUGAACGACGUCGAGGUUGCCGCUCUGGUCGGACGUCUGGCCACAAUGACGCUUGGCAGAUGCUUCCUCCGCCAUUGCCCUCCUCCUGCGACUGUGGGCUUCGAAGAGAGAUGUUUGUGGGUUGUUUGUAGAAGAGAUGGAAGCGGCAAUGGUGGUUCUCGGAAUGACGCAGUGAUGUAGUCGAUUUGGGGCUUUUUCACGCUUGGGAUGGGGACGUGGGGGAGGUGGUUUGUGUGUAGAACGUGGGGGUGGUGGUGGUGGGGCGCAGUUGCAAUCCGACGUGGCAACCGCGCUCUGUGCACUGCUGGGUGCGCGUGCAUCUGAGUUUAGUCCCACCACGGGCCUGCAUCCUGGCCCAUAUCACUGGGUUUGUUGUCGUAUGUGGGCCGUGGUGUGCGAAAUAUCAUGUUAGGUAGGUGGGCUUUUUUUCUAUAAAAUCUUUUUUUGCCUAUGUGACAUGUUGACUUAUACUAAAAUAACACUUCCUUUUUUUAGGUACACAUGUCUUAUGUGAAAAGUUUAAGUUUGAUAACAAUUAAAAACAUUUAAAACCUUGCCACAUUGGCUUUCUUGGACAUGUGUAAAAAGUUUAAGUUUGAAAACAAUUGAAAAACAUGUAAAACCUUGCAUCAUUGAAUUUUAAUUUUAAAAUAAAUUUGAAAUAUUGCAGUUAAUUUGUAGACCAUCUCUAAAUCAAACCAAAUUUGUUUUACAUUGUCACAUACAUGUUACAAACAUUGUUAUUUACAGAUCAUGUGUGCAAAAACUGAGGUGAUUUAGAUGUGGUCGAAAAAAGGUGAUUUUUUUUCACCACCUCCAUAUCACCUAAAAUUUAUUCUACAUGCUCAAAUAGAUGAGCCAAACAUGUCUAUGAAAGAAAUUUGAAAAAAGCGUAUCCUACAAUGCCCGCUUAAGGUGUAGACCGUUGUUUUGAUCAGUCAGUCUACAAGGCAGAAUAAAUUCAAAACAAAUUAAAAAAUUAUAAAACAUUGAAAACCUAGCUAUGUUUGUGCAACAUAUCAAGUGUGCAAAAUUAGAUAUGAUUUAGAGGAGGUCAAAAAAAAUCACGCUAAAACACGAGGGGCCAUUUGGUCUCAUUUAAGCCAGUUUUUGUAUAAAAUAUGAUUUUUUCCACCACCUCCAAAUCACCACAAAUUUGUUCUACAUGCUUAAAUAGAUGUGCCUAGCAUGUCUAUGAGAUAAAUUUGGAAAAAAUGUAUUCUACGAUGCCCGCUUAAGGUGUAGACCGUUGUUUUGAUCAGUCAGUCUACAGGACAGAAUAAAUUCAAAAAAAAUUAAACAAUUAUAAAACCUUGAAAACCUAGCUAUGUUUUUGCAACAUAUCAAGUGUGCAAAAUUAUAGGUGAUUUAGAGAAGAUCAAAAAAUCAUGCUUAAACACGAGGGACCAUUUGGUCUCACUUAAGCCAAUUUUGGUAGAAAAUGUGAUUUUUUUACACCACCUCCAAAUCACCCCAAAUUUGCUCUAGAUGCUCAAAUAGAUGUGCCAAGCAUGUCUAUGAAAGAAAUUUGGAAAAAAUGUAUCCUACAAUGCCUGCUUAAGGUGUAGACCGAUGUUUUGAUCAGUCAGUCUACAGGGUAAAAUAAAUUAAAAACAAUUAUAAAAUUUUAAAACCUUGAAAACCUAGCUAUGUUUGUGCAACAUAUCAAGUGUGCAAAAUUAUAGGUGAUUUAGAGAAGGUCGAAAAAAUCACGCUUAAACACGAGGGACCAUGUUCUCUCACUUGAGCCAUUUUUUGUAGAAAAUGUGAUUUUUUUUCCACCACCUCCAAAUCACCCCAAAUUUGUUCUAGAUGCUCAAAUAUAUGUGCCAAGCAUGUCUGUGAAAGAAAUUUGAAAAAAACAUGUAUCCUACAAUGCCCGCUUAAGGUGUAGACCGAUGUUUCGAUUAGUUAGUCUACAGGGCAGAAUAAAUUCAAAAAAAAUAAAAAAAUUAUAAAACCUUGAAAACCUAGCUAUGUUUGUGCAACAUAUCAAGUGUGCAAAAUUAGAGGUGAUUUGGAGGAGGUCGAAAAAAAUCACGGUUUAAUUUGUGUGUGGGGGGGGGGGUAGACCUCCCGAGAGCCAUUUACUGGUCAUUUUCGUUCCGUAUAUGUGUAAACAUUCGAAAUUUUACCCAACAUGAAAAGCAAAUUAUGCGUGCAUGCUCUAUGUGGUCAAGGGAUGCGAUGCAGCAAAAUUGGGAUCAUUAGUGCAUGUAUACGCAAGUAGGGUCUCUAAAACGCACUUUUCGGGGAUAGCCUGUCACCACCCCGAGAGCACUAGCUCGGUUUCUCACCUGUAUGAAACCAACCAAAAAUUUCAGGAUGACAAGUCAUGGCCAUGUUAGGGCUACUUGCCAUGUUUCAACCAUCUUCAACAAAUUUUGAAAGUUUCGUCACAUGCGGGAUUUUUUCGGUCAUUAGUACAAUGUGGACCAUUUUCAACAUUUAUUGCAAGUUUUGUCACGUAUGGCAUUUUUCGGGCAUAUGCAACACGAAAAAUCCAUUUUUAAUACUUAAAAACAAGGACAGUAUUUUCUAGAUUUGUUGGGAUAUCAUUGUGAUAUUAUUGAAAUCUCACAUAACUCACGCGGCCCACCCCUCCCUAAAUCCCGCGAUUACAGCGCCUCAUUCUAACCACCCGGCCGUGCUAUCCGCAGCUCCCACGACUGCUGCAAGAUCAUUUCGGAUACGCCGGGCUCACACGGAUUACAGGAGUCGCCGGCCAACGCCCACCGCCAUGAGGGGUCGGACUUCAGUGUUCUUCUCGCUGCUCCCUCCGUUUAUCCUUGCCGCCGUCUACCGCACUAUAGGGGCACUUCUAGUUUGCGACGCACUGUCCGCGGCCAUCAACUCGGCGCCGCCGUCUCCGAGAGAAGGUAUUUCCUGAUCGUAGCUUUUUUUAAUCGUUGUUGGCCGCUCCUUUAGUAGUUGAACCCUCAUAGGUUUUGCACAACUUCACGUGGUUAAGCAAUUGGAUACCCUUGUUAAACUGCGCUUAUUUUAUGCACGACCAACUAGGUUGUGUGCUUAAAGUCAUAAGUGGAUCAUAUGUUAAAUGACCCACUUAAUUUUUUUAAUAUUAGUUGACUGCUAAUUUUUUUUAUACAUCUUUUAAUUAUUGUCUUCAGAUUAAUUGACCCGGUUUUCAUCAUUGCAUACAAGCCAGCAAUGUCAGUUUCAGAUAAAAGUCUUUGAACAGAGAAAAGCCUCGAAGAACUCAAACUAAAAUUUGACAGCAAGACCGUAGGCAAACAAAUGUUUUUGUUAUCAUCACGGUCGCACAGAGCCAUGAACAGCUAUGUUGAGCCCAUUAAAACACAAAUAGGUAGCAUCAAUUGAUACAUGAUCUUGCUCAUGCUCUACUUUUAGCAUCAUUUGAUACAUGUUUAGUUCUUAUCAUAAAGUGGAUAUAUGUACCUUUGGCAAUCAUGAGCAUCCUCUACUUACUGCUAUAACUAAUGCAUCCUCAGUACAAAAAUUGAAUUGGCAAUACGGUUGUAUUGGCAACGAUUUGCAUGCUUUACUUUUGGCAAGAACUAAUGCAUAGUUGAGUUAUAACUGGUCAUAGAUAUGGCUCGAACAUCUAGAGUUAUCAUCAUGGUCACGCGGAGACCCUAAACCAUCACCAGAUAUGUUGAGCCCAUUCAAACACAAAUAGAAGCAGCAAUUGAUACAUGUUAAUGCUCAUGCUCUACUUUUGGUAUAAUUUGAUACAUGUUCAGUUCUUACCAGAAAGUGGAAACAUGCACUUUUGGGAAAUAUGAGCGUCCUCUACUUAUUGCAAUAACUAAUGCUGAUGUAGGUGGCGGGUCGUCCGGGGGCCAGCCGGACUGAUGGAGUUGCUGAACUAAAGCGGCAACUCGAUGCUGCGGAUGCGGACAUCACGCUGGUCAACAGGCGACUUGAUGAGUCGCAAGGUAAGUGUUACUGCGCGGUCACUUGGUAAGGGAGCCAAAGCCAUCUCCUUACAACAUGUGCGUGAAAUGCAGAUAGUGCCGCUGCCGUGGAGAGCCUUCGGGCCGAACUUGAUCGAGCCAAGGAGCAGGCCAGAAGGAGUAAUGCGGCGGCCUCGAAGGCGGCCGAGGAGUUGGCGGCCGAAAGGGUCGCACACUGCCGGAGCAGGGAAGAGAUAGCCGAAAUGGCCGUGAAGUUAAAGGAUGCUACUGACCGCAAUGAGGCUCUUGGGAAGGAGUGCCUAGCGGGGCAAGAAGACCUGCGGAAGGCCACCGCCGAAGCCAAGAAUGCCCGCUCGGCAAUGCGGGCUAUGAAGGAAGAGCUGCGCCAGGCCGGGGAUAUUGUAGCUGGCAAGCCUUUUCUGCUGCGCCGAAGGUUCACGGAUCCAAAAUAUGCUCAGCUGGGCCAACUGUGGUGUCCGGAGGACCCUUAUAUGGACUUAGCAGCGAGUGCGGCGGAUGCCGUUGUGCAUUUUCGAAGCCAGAAGGAUCACAAGAUGGAAGAGCUAUUUUGGUCUCAAUUCCAUAGUCCGGAGCGUUCACUUCCGCUGACCGAUCAUUUGGCUGAGUGGGCUGAGCUAAAUAGGUUGUCCGGGCUUGCUAUGACGGAUAUAGUGACCCAUAUCCGGCCGGAUAGGCCCCAGCCGAAGAGUUACUUUGGCUUAUUGCAGCAAUUUCUUGGGGCGGUGCCGCAUAUCAAGGCGAUGAAGUGGUCGGCCUGCAUAGAGGGUGCGCGGAUGGCGCUCGCCCGUGUGAAGACACAUUGGACAGAGAUGGAUGCCACCGCUGUUGCGACCCCGAGUUCGGAUGAUAACCGGUUACCCGCCGAGCACUAUUUUGGCGAAGUGUUGCGUGGUGCUCGUGUAAUAGAGUCGCAGUGCUCAAAAAAUGUUACGUUCAAAUGAACGUUUGUAAAACGAUAUUUAUGAUGUAAGCGCCUUUUAUACUUGUGCGUGCAAGUAAUAGAAUAUCUCCUAUGCGGCCGUUCAUGUAUACGUGUGUAUAACCUGAAAGAUGGCAGUCGUCGGCUUCAGCCCCCACGCACAAGGUGCGGGGGUGUUCGCAAAAAAUAGCGCAUUUUCACACUUAAUCCGACGUCUCGGUCCUGUAAAGGAGGUGGUAGCGUAGCAAACGAGACAACCGGACUAUAAUGCUUUAUCACUUUCACUUAGCCAUGGAGUUCGAGGGUGGGGCUACGACAUAGCCCCUGGGGGCACCGCGCUCUCCGAAUUCGGGGCGCGUAUGUGCCUGGCCGGGAAACGGCCCUUCGUCAAAGCGGAGGAAUCCUAAACAUUCCCAUAGUCGAUUGAGUGGUUGACCAGUCUCUCGCUGUAUCAUGACAGUCAGUUUUCGGCUUUCUCUACUGAGGUGCUCGCCCAGCCGAACUGGGGCACAAUCGCAGUAGUUCUCCUGGAGCCGCGUUAGCCGAUGAUAUGGAACGUAAGGCAACAAAACACAGGAGCCGGGCAAACCCAACAUUUGACCAAAGACAUGAUUCGGAGCUGAUGCAUAUAAGGCCUAACUCGAGACACCGAACACUCCCGAAGGUGUUCGGUCUUUAUAAUAGUGGGCAAAACAAAGCCCUAAGCCCCUUGUGUCCAGGUACGGGCAGAUUCUUCUGGCGCGGCCGAUGCCAAAACGCCAGUCUCCACUCUGGUUAUAAUGAUAAACUAGGGGAUUAUAGCAACAAGAGACAGUAAGAAAGGUUUACGUAGGGUCUUAGUCUGAAAAGAGUCCUUGCAACGGGUCCCUACUGCACGUCUGCGCCUGUGUCUCCGUUGUGCCGUAUCCUGGACGGGUGUGCAUGCUGUUCAUCUGAAAAAAGAGAAGAACUUGGUUGGAAAAGAAAUCGUGCGAGAAAGUUCAUAAAAAAUUGAAAUAGAGAUUAAGAAAAUUGAGCCUAUGCUAGCUCAUUAUGGCUUAUAUGUGCAAACCCUUGUGAAGGGAUGUGCGGCUAGGUAGCCCCUAGCUUUUUUAUUCCGGACUCGUCCAGCCGUGUCCGGGGUCUCGAGCGACCUUUUAAUGAAAUGAUACCGCGUGGAACGGGCAUCUUAAGCAUAAGAGACGCGUAAUGUGGUAUUGCAUUGAAGCGGAUGCAAGCUUCCCGUCCCAGUGAUGCUUGAUAGCUACUUUUAUAUGGUGCGACAUGAAAGGUUAGCUUUUCUCGUCGGAAGUUGUCAGGUGACCCUGACACAACUUCUAGCAAUAAUGAAACUGUGCACCUAGCGUAAGGGCCUGGCGCCACUCCUUUGAAGGAAGUGCGGCUAUGCCGAAUUGUAGUAGGGUCUAUCCCAACUUGCGGAUUGUGUCCGGAAAUAGCAGGUUCAAGUCCCUGCCGCCGUCCAUCAAAACCUGCGUUAAUUGCAGUCCGUCUAUUAUGCGAUCCAAUAUCAGGGCAGUCUAUCCUAUGUUCCGGAUACUUCUGGACUAAUCCAGCUGGUCGAAAGUGAUUGGUUUUGACGUCCAAUCUCGGUCCACUGGGGUGGACCGUGCGACACUUGUCUUAGCGAGUGCCGUGUUGGCUUUCCGUACUAUCACGUGAAGCGAGUUUACUGUUUUGACUUCUUGUGGGAAAGUCUUUUGACUUCCGGUGCUCUGCUGGUGGGGUUCGUCAUCGUCCUCGCUUGGCGCAUCGAGCCCCUUGUGUCCGGCGUUGAGUCUGCUGGACUGUUUAAAAACCCAACAAUUUCGGUUGGUAUGGUUUGCAGGCCUUCCGGAGGUACUGUGGAUUUGACAUAUCCGAUCUAAAAUUUUGUUUAAAUUUGAUAGCUCGUCUUUGUUCUCCUUAAGAGGCGUGUUGUAUUGUUUGGCCGCGAGCUUUUGAAUCCGGCGUUGACCGCCGUGCCCUUUGGGCUUUUUUCUUUAUUCCGGCGCUGGUCUUUCCUGCGCCGUGACUGUCCGUUUCCAUCUCUGAUCUCGGAUGUAUUCGGGUCGCUGGUGCUGCAUCUUGCUAGCCAGCUGUCUUCUCCUGCGCAAAAGCGAGUCAUGAGGCUUGUUAGUGCGGCCAUUGUUCUUGGCUUCUCUUGGCCGAGGUGUCUGGCGAGCCAUUUGUCUCGGGCGUUGUGUUUAAAAGCUGCUAGGGCUUCUGCGUCCGGACAGUUGACUAUUUGGUUCUUUUUGGUAAGGAACCUGUUCCAGAAUUUGCGCGCUGACUCUCCGGGCUGUUGGGUUAUAUGACUCAAAUCGUCUGCAUCCGGAGGGCGGACAUAAGUCCCUUGAAAAUUUGCUCUAAACGCGUCCUCAAGCUCUUCCCAACUUCCAACAGUAUUUUCUGGGAGGCUUUUGAGCCAAUGCCGAGCUAGCCCUUUGAGCUUGAGGGGUAGGUAUUUUAUGGCGUGGAGAUCAUCUCCUCUAGCCAUGUGUAUGUGUAGUAUAUAAUCUUCUAUGCAGACUCCGGGGUCUGUUGUGCCGUCGUAUGCCUCUAUGUUUAUGGGUUUGAACCCUGCUGGAAAUUCAUGAUCCAGCACCUCAUCAGUAAAACAUAGCGGGUGUGCGGCGCCCCUGUAUUUGGGUGUGCCGCUGUCUUCGAACACUUGUCGUGUUGUGUUAGUUCCUGGGGUCCUCUUUUUUUGGCCCGUAGAUGGACCUAGUUGGGCCGUCUGUUUUUCCAGGAUUAUAAUUCGGCUUGUGUGCAGCCCCGCUUGUCGCUUUGGGCCUGUCAUCUGGCCGUCUAACCGGCUAGGCGGCCUCUUUAUUUUUUGACUGUGAAGGCUCUAUGGCUUCCUCGUCAAAUUCUGGCAGCAACUUGCGCUUCGGGUAGCUCUUAGUUUGAUGGCCAUUGCCAUAUUUGUCUGCGGUCUUGAAUACUUUGCUCCACUUCAUUCUGAGCGUGUCUUCUGCUGUUUUGAGCUUCCGUUUCGCCUUCUUCAAACUUCUUGCAGUGGCGACGAGUUUUUUGUGUAUGUUCUUAUGCUCCGGUGUUGGCUCCGGACUGUUGAUUGCUCCGUGAAGGGGUUGAUUAUCCGGCUCGUCCUGUUCGUCGUCCGCUGGUUUGCCCUGCUCUAUCGCUGGGUCGUUAGGAAGGCUGCUUUGAUCGAGGCGGGACUUAGGGCGGCGUCUACGUCGCUGUUUUGGUUCUUUAUCGGCGAGAUUAUCCUCUGCCGCAUCCUGUUGUUCCUCGUUAUCGCUUCCCUUUGGGGUGUCCACCAUGUAUAUGUCAUAUGACGGGGUGGUCUUCCAGUGUCCUGUAGGCACUGGUUCUUGGUAGUCUCCGGCAUCGUCGUCCAUACCGUCGAUGUCUUCGGAGUCAUAGUUGAGUACGUCGGUUAAAUCGUCGACGGUGGCUACGAAGUGGGUGGUGGGUGGGUUCUGAAUUUCUUCGUCGUCCGCGUCCCAACCAUCCUGGCCAUAGUUCGGCCAGGGCUCUCCGGAUAGCGAGAGAUGCUUUAGUGAAUUUAUAAUAUCGCUGAAGGGCGAGUGCUGAAAGAUGUCCGCAGCGGUAAAUUCCAUGAUCGGUGCCCAAUCGGAUUUGACUGGUAGGGGCGCAGGAGGUUCGGAGUCCGGCAGGGAGUCUGGCACCUCGGAGUCAUGAGCUUUAUGCGGGAUAAGGUAAGUGUUCGGCUCCAUCGCCGUAGGAGUUGCGGCUCCCGAGGCGGUGUCCAGCCAUCCGUCCUCGAUCCGAGCGAUCGGCUCCGAACUAUGAGUCGGAGCGGACUCGUGUGCGGCCUCCAAGGUGUUGUCCGGCGGCAGAGUUAGGUCAUGCCCCUCGUGACAGCGCGGCACGCUCGGCUGUGGCUCAGAUCCAUCGAAGAUCAAGUCCCCGCGGAUAUCGGCCAUGAAGUUUAGGCUUCCAAACCUGACCUGACGGCCAGGGGUGUAGCUUUCGAUCUGCUCCAGAUGGCCAAGCGAGUUGGCCCGCAGUGCGAAGCCGCCGAAUACGAAGAUCUGUCCGGGGAGAAAAGUCUCACCUAGGACUGCGUCGUUGUUGAUUGAAGAGGCCAUCAAGCCUAUCGGUGACAACACAGAGGAACCCUCAAUGAAAGCACCAAUGUCGGUGUCAAAACCGGCAGAUCUCGGGUAGGAGGUCCCGAACUGUGCGUCUAGGCGGAUGGUAACAGGAGACAAGGGACACGAUGUUUUACCCAGGUUCGGGCCCUCUUAAUGGAGGUAAAACCCUACGUCCUGCUCGAUUGAUAUUGAUAUUGUGGAUGUUUACAAGAGUGAAUCUACCACGAGAUCAAGGAGGCUAAACCCUAGAAGCUAGCCUAUGGUAUGAUUGUAAGGGUUGUUCUCAUAGUCCUACGGACUAGAGCCAUCCGGUUUAUAUAGACACCGGAGAGGGCUAGGGUUACAUAGAGUCGGUUACAAUGGUAGGAGAUCUACAUAUCCGUAUCGCCAAGCUUGCCUUCCACGCCAAGGAAAGUCCCAUCCGGACACGGGGAGAAUUCUUCAAUCUUGUAUCUUCAUAGUCUUGGAGUCCGGUCGAUGAUGAUAGUCCGGCUAAUGAUAGUUCGGCUGAUGAUGGUAGUCCGGCUAUCCGGACACCCCCUAAUCCAGGACUCCCUCACUUAGCAUCUACCAUUGUAUAAUGCCUAACAUGCAUCAGAAAAAUAGUACUAAUAACAACUUAGACAACUUAAGCAGGUUAGCAGCAAACACUUAGAUAAACGGCAGAUUAACCACCGCACACCAUAAGUUCACGCCCACCAUAGACCAUAGGACAUAAGUUCUUACACACCAUAGACAAUAAGUUUUAGAGUCGACCAGCAAAUACCGAUAACAUAAAAGGACACGGCGGUCCUGGGGCAGCAACAGCAGUCUAGCAGCACAUCACUUAUCUCCCAUGUUUAGCGGCGGCGCGGCGGGAUGUAGUAGGGCUCAUUGACUUUGACAAUCUUUAAAGCGCCCGUAGGCCGCAUGUUUGGCCAGAGUACUGGCCUUUUGCUUCCUACUGUAGGAGUUGCCAGUGGUGACGGCAUGUUGCAUCAAGCCAUCAAUGCCGCCCUUGAUCGCCUUGCCAUAGAAGGGGCAGCCAAGCUUGCCAUAGAAACGGUACUUGAAUUUUCCAGCAAUCAGCUGCCUCAUGAUGUAGUGGCUCUUGCUGUGCCUGUUGUCCAUGUCAUACCCCACAUCAUCGUCAUCCUCCUGUGAAUUAGUACACAAAGAAGAACUCAGUUAAUCUAUUCUGCUACAUUGCUCUUAAUUAGAAUGUGUGAAAAGUACAUACGUGUAACAUGACAAAUAUCUAUUUGCUGGAAAUAAGGCGUAUAUGCACAUACAUAAUUGACCAAAAUAAUUUGACAUGCAUAAAUAUGGACGGUGGAAUAGUUGCAUUGAUAGAUUAGUGCACAAGAAGUACAUAAUUAACACAUGAAAGAAUUCAUGAUGUGGCUUGGUUAAAUGAUACUUGAUACUUGUUACAGGUGUAAUUCUGAUUGGAAUCAGAAAAAAAGGCUUCAUUAUACUCCUCCAUGUUACACACAGGGGGGUAUUCUUCUAUCUACUGGAAUCAAGAAACCAUUAUUCUUUCUGAGAGCAGCAAUACUAAUUCUCCAACAUUGUUAGCCCCUGAUAAGUUUUAGAAGGAAACUGAUAAAGGAGCUAUGGGCUACUAUCUUUAUCCCUUAACUUAUGACUCUGAUGAUACCGGUGUGGAAAAUACUUUGGAGGAACUUAACUUGGAAAAGGAAAUUUUGUCAUGCAAAACAAAGUGUUUUUUUGUCUAUUUAUUGGAAUCAAAAAUUGAAUUCUAGUUUUACAAAUAUAUGCUAAAAAAUAUUCAUUCCAGUGGUCUAAAAAAAGAUUCAUAAAUUGAAUUCUAGUUUUAGAAAUACAAGUUGAGUAUUUAGGGCAUGUUGUCUAAAAAACAUUCAUUCCAGUGGUCAGAUGCUGAAAUUGAGACCUUCACAACAUUGAAGAAUUGUCUGGUCACUGCUCUUGUUAUGGCUUUGCCUUAUUUGACCCUACCAUUUACUUUUUAAAUAGAUGCAUCAGGUGAAGGUAUUGGUUCUGUCCCCAUGCAACAAGGCAGACCAAUUGCUAGAAAAGGAAAUGUUGUCAUGCAAAACAGGGGUUCUCAAAGAAAUAAUCAAGUGGUCAGAACAUGAUUCUUACCAAUUAAAUCUAAAUGUAGAUGCAUCAUAUGAUAGUUAAGAAGGAGAUGAGUCGACGGGUGGUGUUUUAAGAGAUCAGUAUGGCAACUUUGUGUCAAUCCAGUAAAUUACCAUUAUAUUCCAAAUGCAUCAUUUGCCUGCUUGAUGGAUUCGGUGGCAAUGAAAGAAGGCCUAUCUUUGGUAGCACCUGUAGGCUAUCAUCAAAUUAUUGUAGAAUGGGAUUGCUUACAAGUUGUUCAAGCUUUUACUCGAGGUAACACAUGGUGGAACGAAGGAUCACGUAUUAUUGCUGAUAGUUUUGAUCUAGUUCUGGAGAUAGGAACUGCGCAUUUUCUCACUGUCCUCGGGAAGCCAAUGGUGUCGCACAUGAGAUCGCUAGAAAUAGCUAUGAGAAUCAUCUAUCUUGUAUUUGGGUUGAUUACGCCACUUCUAUCAUUCAUGUAUCCCUUGUGAACGAUGUAAGUUUGCUUAAUCAAUAAAGCAUGCCGUGAUGGAAUCAGAUAAUGAAUCUCUGUUUUAGCUAUACUAGUGGGUUUUUUCUUCUGUCUAUUCGAAUCAGAAAAUGAAUCAGAUUCUAAAACUGCCAUCCAACAAGAAAAUAUAUGCUAGAUCCCUAGCUACAAUCCUACAUGUACGCAAACAUUAUAGCUGGGCCAGUACAUGAGUAGAAAUACCUCAUCAAUACGUGAAGAAAAUGAUUCAGAUUCAAAAACCACCAUUCAAUAUGCAAGAAAAUCUAUGCUAGAUCCUUUCAACUAGCACACCCAUAUGAAAUUGAUGCUCAUGUACUUAACAAAAAAACCAAUGCCAUGAAAAAACAGGGUACUUACAGGAAAUAUAAAUCUAAUAAAAUCAGAUUAGUACCUCAGAUAGCUCGUCGAUGACGUCCUCGUUGUAGUCGCUGCCCUUCCUGGGAUCCACAGCCAUCUCGAACUCUAUUUGCUCCUCGUCGUUCCCCUCGUAGAACUCCUCCUCGAUUUUGUCAUAGAGCUCGCGCUUCAGCCUCGCCUUCUGCUUGUCCAGAUCUUCAUCGACCUUCUCCUGCAUAGGCUCACCGUCGGGUAGCUCGCCGGCUGGGAUGAUACCGGGAGGAGGCACAGCAGUUGCUGCACCGCCUCCAUCGCCGCUACGGCGGACUCAACCGCUGCAACUGCGGCGGCAGCCAUGACAGCAGACUGCUCUCCACCGAUGGUUGCCUCCGGCUCGUCCAUCGCAUCUUCACGGCCGCGCUUCAUCGGCGGUCGACGAGAGGACGAGGGACGUGUUGGAAGGGAGGAGAGGUGUGGAGUGGUGAGGAAGGGAAGAGGGUUUGGGAGAGGACGAGGUGGUAUGGCUGGAGUGGGAGAGGACGAGGGUUUUCUACCCGAUUUGUGGAAGAAAAUGAAUGCGGCUGCCUCUUGGAGUUAUCGAGGGGUCGAGGGGGGUGAUUUGUCUCACCUACCAGGGCCUUCCACAGUGAGGACGCGUGGGGUUUGCCCCGCGCCAUGCACCUCGUAUGCGGUUUGCCCCGCGCCGCCCUUCAACUGCUGACACGUGGACACCAGCAGUGGUUACACAUGAUAGAUAUGGUAAAUGAAUUUCUUAAAUCUGAGGGCAUGUAAUUUGUAUCAAAAUGCAUCAUCAACUUAGCGGUAACACCCUCACGAUCACAUACUAAUGCCCUUGGUUCGAAACUCCGUCGUUCAGUUUAGUUCCCUCUUUUUUGCCUAUGUGGUUUUUACAUGUGGAUCCCACAUGUCAUUCACAUACACGGAGAACACGUACAAACAAACUUGCCGGACAUGAUGUAAAUGGGCCCAAAAAAUUUCUACUUCUUUGUAUCAUUCUUGUAUGGAUUUGUAUGGAUUUUCUAGUACGAUUAAGUGCUUAAGAUACUUCUCGGAGGUGAUGCGACAAGCGCACGUUGUCGAUCCACUGGGGUGGCCAUGCCCACAACAAGGAAAAAUUUGGUGUCAUUCUUAACAUGGCCAAAAAUUCACCUCCUUCACCGGCGGCCGUUCGGAUAGGAGGUAAGGGUCUGUGUGGAAGGACGGUUUUUUCUCGACAUGCUUCAAAUGGACCUAUAUUCUUUCUACACCCUUGUACCAACAUGAGAAGCAUCCAUGACUAGUUCCAUUGAUUUUUGAUGUUUUUAUUAUUUUUCUAGGGUUAUCACGAUGAUAAAACCCUAAAAUAUUUCCCACCAGCGCCACCCUUCCCUCUGAUCACUCUGACUAGCAUGUACUUAACUUAGCAUCAAGGCCAUGAAAACAGGAAUCAGAACCGUAUUAGAUUUUGAUCCCACACAUACAAAACAGAUAACACAAAUCACAGAUUGCAGGUACUAUGAUUAUCUGAGUGAACUUCUAAUGCAUAACAACUUCUGGUAUUCAAAUACAUCACAUGAAAUACUAAGACAACUAGAAAUGCAAAACAGCUUCUGUGUUGAGAUUGAGCAAGGGAUUUUUAUUGUGAGGCGCAGCAUCUUCAGCAACCUAUCCAUGAUUCCACCUAUAGCAUAUAAGUAACUGAAAUUUUUAGAUUGAAUACAGUUGGUAUUGGAAAAAUGAUAGUACGGUAAUUUGAAGAUGCCAAGGAAAUCUGUCGCAACAACUGUAGGAGUAUACAAAUUUGAAUACAAAGUUCAUAGAAGUCAAUGUUGAAUUAAUAAGACCUUUACAAGAUGCAAAAUCACUGCUGUGAUGAGAGUAAACAGCAUGUAGGCCAUAGCACAUGCAAGAAGCACUUACAGGAAGUGAAGCAAAACAUUGUACAGCACGGCAACAUGAGUAAGCCAACAUCCCUACUAAAAUUAUUUCACUGCUUAUGUCUAGCUUUUUUUCUUGAAUCAUUAGGAAGCCCUAAAUAUUUUGAUGCAAGAUCACCGACAGGGCACUAUUGAAAUAUUUCAAUGUCUACAUCUCUCUACUGAAAGUGCGUUACUGAAAUAUUUCAGUGGCUACGUGUGUGUGUACUGAAACAACACCACUGAAAUAUUUCAGUUGCUACAUGCGUGUACUGCAACAGCACCAUUGAAAUAUUUUAGUUGGUACUUGUGUGUACUGAAAGUGAACCGCUGAAAUAUUUCAGUGGAUACGUGCGUGUACUGAAAGUGCACUACCAAAAUAUUUCAGCGGCUACUUGCUUGUAUUGAAACAACACCCCAGAAAUAUUUCAGUGGCUACGCGCGUGUCCUGAAACUACUACACUGAAAUAUUUCAGGGGUUGCGUGCGUGUACAGAAACUACAGUAUUGAAUUAUUUCAGGGGUUGCGUGCGUGUACUGAAACUGCAGUACUGAAAUAUUUCAGUGUCUACCCGUGUGUACUGAAAUUGCAUUGCACUACUGAAAUAUUUCAGUGUGUACCCGUGUAUCUGCAGUUGCACUACUCAAAUCUUUCAGUGUGAACCGGUUAGUAGUGAAAUAUUUCAUUGCCUACAACUAUCUACUGAACUUGCAGUAUUGAAAUAUUUCAGUGUCAACCCAAAGUCUAUCACUCUAAAACUGUGUACUGAACUUGUCUGGAGGCACUUCUUGCAGCCUCGAUGGUGCAAGUUCAAUUUACACAGAUUGCAUCACGUAAUUUGAACACAACUCUUGAGGUGACAGAAAAAAAUUCCUAUCAUGGAUACCACUCCAGCACAUCAAAACAUAGCAAUGAUGGAGAAUCGGAGUAUAGAUCUGAAGCCGAAAAAUGACUAAGUGAGGAAGAACAAGUUUCACAUUAGAAUUUUAGAUCUACCGCAUGACAGGAAAAGGAAAAUAUUUAGACCUAAAGGUUGGUGCUUGAGCAGUUCAUGAAGUUCUAGAUCGGGUUUUUAUACACAAAAGAGAUGAUCUGAUGGCAAAAGAAGGAUUAUCAUUACUACCGCAUAAGAGUAUAUCACGUUUGGAGUCUAUCCUAUAGGCCUUAAUGAAGAACAGGGGAAGAACACCAUGAAGCUUCGAGGAGCCCAUGCGAAACCUAAACAGAUCUAUGGAGGAAAGGAAGAAGAACUCACCAAAAACUGUUGAACAGUGGAGAGGCACCGCGAUUUUCUGGUACGGGCAGGGUGAUGCAGCGGCCAAGGUCGGGGCAUGAUACGUCUCCAAUGUAUCUAUAAUUUUUUAUCAUUCCAUGCUACUAUAUUAUCAACUUUGGAUGUUCUAUAUCCAUGAUUAUGCUAUUUUAUAUUAUUUUUGGGACUAACCUAUUAACCUAGAGCCCAGUGCCAGUUCCUAUUUUUUCCAUGUUUUUAACCUUUUUCAGAUAGGAAUAUCAGACGAAGUCCAAACGGAAUAAAACCUUCACUAUGAUUUUUUAUGGAAAAUAUCAAAAAUACCAGAAAGAAAAGAUACCAGAGGGGAGUCUUGAGGAGAUCACAAGCCAGGUAGGCGUGCCUGGUGGGCUUGUGACCCCCUCGUGGGUCCCUCCAACUUGUUCUCGACGUCAUCUGGUCUUAUAAAUACAGAAACCUCCAGAAAAAAACCUAGAUCGGGAGUUCCGCCGCCGCAAGCCUCUGUAGCCACCAAAAACCAAUCGGGAGCCCUUUCUGGCACCCUGCCGGAGGGGGAACCCAUCUCCGGUGUCCAUAUUCAUCAUCCCUACAAUUUCCAUGACGAGGAGGGGAGUAGUUCUCCCUCGGGGCUGAGGGUAUGUACCAGUAGCUAUGUGUUUGAUCUCUCUCUCUCUCUCUCAUGUUCUUGAGAUGUAAUGAUCUUGAUGUAUCGCGGGCUUUGCUACUAUAGUUGGAUCUUAUGAUGUUCUUCCCCCUCUCCCUUCUUGUAAUGAAUUGAGUUUUCCCUUUGAAGUUAUCUUAUCAGAUUGAGUCUUUAAGAACACUUGAUGUAUGUCUUGCACGUGUCUAUCUGUGGUGACAAUGGGAUAUUCAUGUGAGUACUUGAUGUAUGUUUUGGUGAUCAACUUGCGGGUUUCGUGACAUUGGGAACCUAUGCAUAGGGGUUGGCGCAUGUUUGACUCUCCGGUAGAAACUUUGGGACACUCUUUGAAGUUCUAUGUGUUGGUUGAAUAGAUGAUUCUGAGAUUGUGUGAUGCAUAUCGUAUAAUCAUGCCCACGGAUACUUGAGGUGACAAUGGAGUAUCUAGGUGACAUUAUGGUCUUGGUUGAUAUGUGUUUUAGGGUGUUAUUCUAGUACGAACUCUAUGAUAGAUUGAACGGAAAGAAUAGCUUCGUGUUAUUUUACUACGGACUCUUAAAUAGAUCGAUCAGAAAGAAUAACGUUGUGGUGGUUUCGUACCCGACAAUAAUCUCUUUGUUUGUUCUCCGCUAUUAGUGGCUUUGGAGUGACUCUUUAUUGCACCUUGAGGGCUAGUUGUAUGAUCCAAUUAUGUUAUCAUUGUUGAGAGAACUUCCACUAGUGAAAGUAUGAACCCUAGGCCUUGUUUACACACAUUGCAAUACCGUUCGUGCUCACUUUCAUUGUUAUUUACCUUGCUGUUUUUAUUAUUUCAGAUUACAAAAACCUAUAUCUACUAUCCAUAUUGCACUUGUAUCACCAUAUCUUCGCCGAACUAGUGCACCUAUACAACUUACCAUUGUAUUGGGUGUGUUGGGUACACAAGAGACUCUUUGUUAUUUGGUUGCAAGGUUGCUUGAGAGAGACCAUCUUCAUCCUACGCCUCCCACGGAUUGAUAAACCUUAGGUCACCCACUUGAGGGAAAAUUUCUACUGUCCUACAAACCUCUGCACUUGGAGGCCCAACAACGUCUACAAGAGAAGGUUGCGUAGUAGACAUCAGGGCAAAGGUGAAGGUUGAUACGUCUCCAACGUAUCUAUAAUUUUUGAUUGCUCCAUGCUACUUUAUCUACUGUUUUGGACUAUAUUGGGCUUUAUUUUUCACUUUUAUGUUAUUUUUGCCUAUUUCAGUGUUUCGAAGAAACAAAAUAUCAAACGGAGGCCAAACGGAAUGAAACCUUCGGAAACGUGAUUUUCUAGCCGAACGUGAUCCAGGAGACUUGGACCCUACUCCAAGAAGUAACAGAGGCGGUCACGAGGGUGGGGGCGCCCCCUCCCCAGGGCGCACCCCCCGGCCUCGUGGGCCCCCUGUUGCUCCACCGACAUACUCCUUCCUCCUAUAUAUACCUACGUACCCCCAAACGAUCAGAACAUUAGCCAAAAACCUAAUUCCACCGCCGCAACUUUCUGUAUCCACGAGAUCCCAUCUUGGGGCCUGUUCCGGAGCUACGAGGGGGCAUCCACCAUGGAGGGCUUCUACAUCAACACCAUAGCCCCUCCGAUGAAGUGUGAGUAGUUUACUUCAGACCUUCGGGUCCAUAGCUAGUAGCUAGAUGGCUUCUUCUCUCUUUUUGGAUCUCAAUACAAUGUUCUCCCCCUCUCUCGUGGAAAUCUAUUUGAUGUAAUCUUCUUUUCGCGGUGUGUUUGUUGAGACCGAUGAAUUGUGGGUUUAUGAUCCAGCUUAUCUAUGAAUAAUAUUUGAAUCUUCUCUGGAUUCUUUUAUGUAUGAUUGAGUUAUCUUUGCAAGUCUCUUCGAAUUAUCCGUUUGGUUUGGCCAACUAUAUUGGUAGUUCUUGCAAUGGGAGAAGUGCUUAGCUUUGGGUUCAAUCUUGCGGUGUCCUUUCCCAGUGAUAGAAGGGGCAGCAAGGCACGUAUUGUAUUGUUUCCAUCGAGGAUAACAAGAUGGGGUUUUUAUCAUAUUGCAUGAAUUUAUCCCUCUACAUCAUGUCAUCUUGCUUAAGGCAUUACUCUGUCUUUAACUUAAUACUCUAGAUGCAUGCUGGAUAGCGGUCGAUGAGUGGAGUAAUAGUAGUAGAUGCAGAAUCGUUUUGGUCUACUUGUCUUGGAUGAUGCCUAUAUACAUGAUCAUACCUAGAUAUACUCAUAACUAUGCUCAAUUCUGUCAAUUGCUCAACAGUAAUUUGUUCACCCACCGUAGAAUAUCUAUGCUCUUGAGAGAAGCCACUAGUGAAACCUAUGGCCCCCAGGUCUAUUCUCAUCAUAUAAAUCUCCAUUACUAUAAUACUUGCUUUGUUUUUACUUUGCCUUUUACUUUUCACUUUGCACCUAUAUACCAAAAAUACCAAAAAUAUUAUUUAUCAUCUCUAUCAGAUCUCACUCUCGUAAGUGACCGUGAAGGGAUUUGACAGCCCCUAAUCGCGUUGGUUGCGAGGAGCUAUCGUUUUGUGUAGGUACGAGGGACUUGUGCGUGGCCUCCUACUGGAUUGAUACCUUGGUUCUCAAAAACUGAGGGAAAUACUUACGCUACUUUGCUACAUCAUCCUCUCCUCUUCGGGGAAAUCCAAAGCAGUGCUCAAGAGGUAGCAAGAAGAGUUUCUGGCACCGUUACCGGGGAGGCUCAUGCAAGAGCAAGUCAACCAUACCAAGUACCCAUCACAAUCCCUAUCUCUCGCAUUACAUUAUUUGCCAUUUGCCUCUCGUUUUCCUCUCCCCCACUUCACCCUUGUUGUUUUAUUCGCCCUCUCUUUCCCAAUCUCCUCCUCUUUUUCCCGCUUGCCUUUUUGUUUGCUCGUGUGUUAGUUUGCUUGCUUGUCGUCCUGACUAGUCUCAUAUCUUCUCCAUUAUCUCCAGAGAAUGAAGUUCUAAAUUUUAAACAAAGGGAGGGAGAAAAUCUAAAAGACUCUUGGUAUAGAAUUUGCAAUGCUCAAAAUAGAUCUACCAGGAAGCAAUCUACUUCAGUUCUUCUUCGUAAUACGUAGGUGCUAAUCCUUGGUAUAGAUAUAUCCUUGAUACCAUUACCGGAGGGAAUUUCUUGGGUAGCCAUACUUUUGAUUCUUAUAAUGCUUUAAUAGAUUUAUUUGGCUCACCACCUCUUUUGAUUAAUGGAACUAUGUUAACUUUGGAGCAUGUUAUGCAAAGACUUGAAAUUAUUGAGAAUAAAGUUGCUACCAUUGAAUCAAUUGAAAAUCUUGAUAAAAAGAUCCACAAUCAAAUUACCCAAUAUGGAUCUAAGGUAGGAAUGAAUUUGAAAAAUAUUAAAGAAAAAGAACCCAUAGUUAAUGAGAAAAUAAAUCUAGAUUCCACAAGAAUCCAUAAACUUGAGGGUAUCAUUACCAACUUGGGAACCGCUUUUUCUUCCGUACAAAACACUCCAAGUUAGUCUACUAAAAAUACUAAGCUUAUUUAUGUUCCUAAGAAUAAGGGUGAAUCAUCUAGUAAGGAAUCUGCGGAUCUUAAAUCUAUAAGUGUUCAUCCCAAUCUUUUUGCCAUCAUUAAGGAACCAUUUGCUAUGAAUGAAUUUUUUGAUCUUUUGCCUGAGAAUUCGACAAUUACUAGAAAGAAAUAAAAUUCUAAAGGAGGUAGAUGCCUCAUUGAAGAAUUGCCUACCAAAGAUGGCAAUACCUAGAUCUAUCCUUGCUUUUAUGCCUAGCUAGGGGCGUUAAACGAUAGCGCUUGUUGGGAGGCAACCCAAUUUUAUUUUUAAUUUUUAGUUUUUGCUUCUGUUUAGGAAUAAAUAAUCCAUCUAGCCUAUAUUUAGAUGUGUUUUUAUGUUUUAAUUAGUGUUUUUGCCAAGUAGAACCUAUAGGAUAACCUACGAUGAUAGUUGAUUUGAUUCUGCUGAAAAACAGAAACUUUGCGCGCACGAAUAUAAUUUUGUUAAAUCACAGAAACAUGCUUUUGCGUUGAUUAUUUUUUCUGCUGUUCAAUAAACAAAUUGUACAGGACUUCCUAUUUUGGUAGGAUUGUUAGAGUUCUAGAAGUUUGCGUUAGGUACAGAUUACUACAGACUGUUCUGUUUUUGACAGAUUCUGUUUUGCGUGUGUUGUUUGCUUAUUUUGAUGAAUCUAUGGCUAGUAAAAUAGUUUAUGAUCCAUAGAGAAGUUGGAAUACAGUAGGUUUAACACCAAUAUAAAUAAGGAAUGAGUUCAUUACAGUACCUUAAAGUAGUCUUUUGUUUUCUUUCUCUAACGGAGGUCACGAGAUUUCUAUUGAGUUUUGUGUUGUGAAGUUUUCAAGUUUUGGGUGAAUUCUGUUGAUGGAUUAUGGAAAAAGGAGUGGCAAGAGCCUAAGCUUGGGGAUGCUCAUGGCACCCCCAAGAUAAUACAAGGACACCAAAAAGUCAAAGCUUGGGGAUGCCCCGGAAGGCAUCCCCUCUUUCGUCUACUUCCAUCGGUAAUUUACUUGGAGCUAUAUUUUUAUUCACCACAUGAUAUGUGUUUUGCUUGGAGCGUCUUGUAUUAUUUGCGUCUUUUGCUUGUUAGUUUACCACAAUCAUCCUUGCUGUACACACCUUUUGAGAGAGCCAUACAUGAAUUGGAAUUUGCUAGAAUACUCUAUGUGCUUCACUUAUAUCUUUUGAGCUUGAUGGUUUUGCUCAUAGUGCUUCACUUAUAUCUUUUGAGCGUGAUAAUUUUUGCUCUAGUGCAUCACUUAGAUAUUUUAGAGCACGGUGGUGGAUUUGUUUUAAAGAAACUAUUGAUCUCUCAUGCUUCACUUAGAUUAUUUUGAGAGUCGUUAAUAGCAUGGUAAUUUGCUUAAUAUUAAUAUAUUUGGUAUUCAAGAUAUGUGAAACUUUCUUUUGAGUGCGUUGAAUACUAAGAUAAGUUUGGUGCUUGAUAAUUGUUUUGAGAUAUGGAGGUGAUAAUAUCAAAGUCGUGCUAGUUGAGUAAUUGUGAAUUUGAGAAAUGCUUGUGUUGAAGUUUGCAAGUCCCGUAGCAUGCACGUAUGGUUAAAGUUGUGUAACAAAUUUGAAACAUGAAGUGUACCUGGCUUGUGCAUCCUUAUGAGUGGCGGUCGGGGACGAGUGAUGGUCUUUUCCUACCAAUCUAUCCCCCUAGGAGCAUGCGCAUAGUACUUGAUUUUUGAUGACUUCUAAAUUUUUGCAAUGAGUAUAUGAGUUCUUUUGACUAAUGUUGAGUCCAUGGAUUAUACGCACUUUUACCUUUCCGCCUUUGCUAGCCUCUUCGGUACCAUGCAUUGCCCUUUCUCACCUUGAGAGUUGGUGCAAACUUCGCCGGUGCAUCCAAACCCCGUGAUAUGAUACACUCUAUCACACAUAAACCUCCUUAUAUCUUCCUCAAAACAGCCACCAUACCUAUCUAUCAUGGCAUUUCCAUAGCCAUUCCGAGAUAUAUUGCCAUGCAACUUUCAUCAUCAUAUACAUGACAUACAUUACUUUUGUCAUAUUGCCAUUGCAUGAUCAUGUAGUUGACAUCGUAUUUGUGGCAAAGCCACCAUGCAUUAUUUUUCAUACAUGUCACUCUUGAUUCAUUGCACCAUCCCGGUACACCGCCGGAGGCAUUCAUAUAGAGUCAUAUCUUGUUCUAGUUUCGAGUUGUAAUCCUUAUGUUGUAAUCAAUAGAAGUGUGAUGAUCAUCAUUAUUAGAGCAUUGUCCCAAAAAAAAGAAAAAAAGAAAAAAAAAGAAAGGCCAAAAAGAAAAAAGAAAAAGGAAAGGCCAAAAAAAAGAGAAAAAAAGAAAAAAAAGAGAAAAUAAAUAAAAAGGGGCAAUGCUACUAUCUCUUUUUCCACACUUGUGCUUCAAAGUAGCACCUUGUUCUUCAUGUAGUGAGUCUCAUAUAUUGUGCUUCAAAGUAGCACCUUGUUCUUCAUGUAUUGAGUCUCAUAAGAUGUCUUUUUAUACUAGUGGGAAUUUUUCAUUAUAGAACUUGGCUUGUAUAUUCCUACAAUGGCCUUCCUCAAAUGCCCUAGGUCUUCAUGAGCAGGCGAGUUGGAUGCACACCCACUAGUUUUCUUUUGUUGAGCAUUCAUAGCUCUAGUGCAUACGUUGCAUGGCAAUCCCUACUCCUCAUGUUGACAUCAAUUGAUGGGCAUCUCCAUAGCCCAUUGAUUAUUAUCCUCGUCAAUGUGAGACUUUCUCCUUUUUUUUGUCUUCCCCACACAAUCCCCAUCAUCAUAUUCUAUUCCACCCAUAGUGCUAUAUCCAUGGCUCACGCUCAUGUAUUGCGUGAAGGUUGAAAAAGUUUGAGAUUAUUUAAGUAUGAAACAAUUGCUUGGCUUGUCAUCGGGGGUAUAGAAGUUGGAAACAUCUUUGUGUGACGAAAAUGAAGCAUAGCCUAACUAUAUGAUUUUGUAGGGAUGAACUUUCUUUUGCCAUGCUAUUUUGAGAAGACAUGAUUGCUUUGAUUAGUAUGCUUGAAGUAUUAUUAUUUUUAUGUCGAUAUGAACUUUUGUCUUGAAUCUUUCAGAUCUGAAUAUUCAUGCCACAAUUAAGAAGAUUUACAUUGAAAUUAUGCCAAAGUAUCACUCCGCAUAAAAAAUGCUCUUUUUAUCAUUUACCUACUCGAGGACGAGCAGGAAUUAAGCUUGGGGAUGCCUGAUACGUCUCCAACGUAUCUAUAAUUUUUGAUUGCUCCAUGCUACUUUAUCUACUGUUUUGGACUAUAUUGGGCUUUAUUUUCCACUUUUAUGUUAUUUUUGGGACUAACCUAUUAACCGGAGGCCCAGCCCAGAAUUGUUUUUUUUUCUAUUUCAGUGUUUCAAAGAAACGGAAUAUCAAACGGAGUCCAAACAGAAGGAAACCUUCGGAAACAUGAUUUUCUCACCGAACGUGAUCCAGGAGACUUGGACCAUACUCCAAGAAGUAACAGAGGCGGUCACGAGGGUGGGGGGCGCGCCCCCUGCCUCGUGGGCCCCCUGUUGCUCCACCGAUGUACUCCUUCCUCCUAUAUAUACCUACGUACCCCCAAACGAUCAAAACAGGAGCCAAAAACCUAAUUCCACCACCGCAACUUUCUGUAUCCAUGAGAUCCCAUCUUGGGGCCUGUUCCAGAGCUCCGCCGGAGGGGGCAUCCACCACAGAGGGCUUCUAUAUCAACACCAUAGCCCCUCCGAUGAAGUGUGGGUAGUUUAAUUCAGACCUUCGGGUCCAUAGCUAGUAGCUAGAUGGCUUCUUCUCUCUUUUUGGAUCUCAAUACAAUGUUCUCCCCCUCUCUCGUGGAGAUCUAUUCGAUGUAAUCUUCUUUUUGCGGUGUGUUUGUUGAGACCGAUGAAUUGUGGGUUUAUGAUCCAGCUAUCUAUGAAUAAUAUUUGAAUCUUCUCUGAAUUCUUUUAUGUAUGAUUGAGUUAUCUUUGCAAGUCUCUUUGAAUUAUCCGUUUGGUUUGGCCAACUAGAUUGGUAGUUCUUGCAAUGGGAGAAGUGCUUAGCUUUAGGUUCAAUCUUGCGGUGUCCUUUUCCAAGUGACAGAAGGGGCAGCAAGGCACGUAUUGUAUUGUUGCCAUCGAGGAUAACAAGAUGUGGUUUUUAUCAUAUUGCAUGAAUUUAUCCCUCUACAUCAUGUCAUCUUGCUUAAGGCGUUACUCUGUUUUUAACUUAAUACUCUAGAUGCAUGCUGGAUAGCGGUCGAUGAGUGGAGUAAUAGUAGUAGAUGCAGAAUCGUUUCGGUCUACUUGUCUUGGACGUGAUGCCUAUAUACAUGAUCAUACCUAGAUAUACUCAUAACUAUGCUCAAUUCUGUCAAUUGCUCAACAGUAAUUUGUUCACCCACCAUAGAAUAUCUAUGCUCUUGAGAGAAUCCACUAGUGAAACCUAUGGCCCCCGGGUCUAUUCUCAUCAUAUCAAUCUCCAUUACUUUAAUACUUGCUUUGUUUUUACUUUGCCUUUCACUUUUCACUUUGCAUCUAUAUACCAAAAAUACCAAAAAUAUUAUUUAUCAUCUCUAUCAGAUCUCACUCUCGUAAGUGAUCGUGAAGGGAUUGACAACCCCUAAUCGCGUUGGUUGCGAGGAGCUAUCAUUUUGUGUAGGUACGAGGGACUUGUGCGUGGCCUCCAACUGGAUUGAUACCUUGGUUCUCAAAAACCGAGGGAAAUACUUAUGCUACUUUGCUGCAUCAUCCUCUCCUCUUCGGGGAAAUCCAGCGCAGUGCUCAAGAGGUAGCAAAGGUCGACGGCGGUGGCAGCGCUCGAGUGCUAAGGCAACGUGAGGUGGAAGACAGACGAAGAGGCAAGGGGAGAAAAGGAAAGGGACCCUCGGCCCUAUUUAUAAGACGAAGAGAUAAGUGACAGGCGCAGGAAUCGAGGAGCCCAAAAAAUGGAUAUGUCCCAGACCCGUCUCCUCAAUUUUUGGAGGCUCAUUAAUAAAAGUAAGGUAUAUACAGUUUUUUUAAUGAACAGGUGAUGUCAUGGCGAUUUAUUAUAAUCCUGGAAGAUGACGUCAUGGCGGUUUAUUAUAAUCCUGGAAGAUGACGUCAUGGCGGAUUACAAGGUUUACUCGAAGGUACUAAAGAAGAAGUUUUUCUAAAGUGUUGAAGAUUGACAUGAACAGGUUCAAAUCAAUCUGGGGCCUAAUGUUGGGGAUAUAACUACUGAGUAUAAACCGCCCAGGAGGGGUCGGGUUAUACCUGUAAUGAGUUAUUCAUAUUGAAGCCCAUGAAGAUAAGGUGUAUGACGCUUUAAUAUAAGAGAUCUAAAAGCCCAGGGCCCAAAGGCGGAUUAGGGCCCAUAGACAUAAACCGCCAUAAGGUGUGUAACUUGUGUUGUAAGAUAGGAAAGAGUAGAAACCGAGCCGCACACGUUUAUGAGCCGGUCGGGAUUCUAUAAACCGCAGGGCCUCAAGCUGUGUAUAUAAAGGGAUGACCCGGUGGCAGUUCAAGGACAAGAAACAACAACUCGAGAGCCAGGCAAAGCGUAUUCGCUCCCUGGUCAUCGAAACCAUAGCAAUCCCAUCAUAACUGGAGUAGGCUUUACCUUCACCGUAAGGGGACGAACCAGUAUAAUUCCUUGCUUCCUUUGUCAGCUUUAACCCCUUUAAGUUCACUAUGUUGCAAUGGCUCCACGACUAAGUCCUCACACUGGGACAUCUGCCGUGACAAUCCCACGACAAGCGGGGAAAUAUUUAGCAGAGAAAUAAUAAAUCAUAUCCUGGGGACUACGCACACAACCAGGAUCAAGAGAAUUAAACCAUGUUUUAGCAUCACCCUUUAAUGAGAACGGGAAUAACUUAAGGAUAAAGUAAUAGUGAGUUUUCUCAUCAUUAGUGAAUAGGGUGGCUAUAUCAUUUAAUUUAGUAAGAUGUGUCACAACAGUUUCAGAUUCAUAGCCAUAGAAAGGAUCAGAAUCAACCAAAGUAAUUAACUGAGGAUCGACAGAGAAAUCAUAAUCCUUAUCGGAAAUAAAGAUAGGUGAAGUAGCAAAAGCAAGGUCAUAUUUCAUUCUAGCAUUCAAAGACUUUUCUUUAAGCUUAGCUAAUAAUUUCUUAAGAUCAGAUCUAUCAUUGCAAUCUAAGAAGUCUCUAGCAGUUUCUUCAUCCAUAACAUAACCCUCAGGCAUAAUGGGCAAUUCAUAUCUAGGGGAGAAUCUUCAUCAUCACUUUCAUCAAUAUUAUCAGUUUCAGUAAUUUCAUUCUCUCUAACCCUAGCAAGUUGUUCAUCAAGAAAUUCACCUAAUGACAUAGUAUUAUCAAGCAUAGAAGUAGUUUCAUCAUAAGUAUCAUGCAAAGUAGAAGUGGCAUCAUCAAUAACAUGCGACAUAUCAGAAUGAAUAGCAGGAGUAGGUGUCGCAACUUUACUCAAAACAGAAGGUGAAUCAAGUGCUGAGCUAGAUGGCAGUUCCUUACCUCCACUCAUAGUUGAGGGAAAAUCUUGGUUCUUUUAUCUUUCAAGUUCUUCAUAGUGAUCAGCAGAUAUAAAUCCCAAGUGACUCAAAGAAUAGAGCUAUGCUCCCUGGCAACAGCGCCAGAAAAUAGUCUUGAUAACCCACAAGUAUAGGGGAUCACAACAGUUCUCGAGGGUAGAGUAUUCAACCCAAAUUUAUUGAUUCAACACAAGGGGAGCCAAAGAAUAUUAUCAAGUAUUAGCAGCUGAGUUGUCAAUUCAACCACACCUGGAAACUUAAUAUCUGCAGCAAAGUAUUUAGUAGCAAAGUAAUAUGAUAGUAGCAGCAACGGUGGCAAAAGUGACGGUAGCAGUUUUGUAGUGAUUGUAACAGUGGCAACGGAAAAGUAACUAAGCAAAGAUCAAUAUAUGAAAAGCUCAUAGGCAAUUGAUCAGUGAUGGAUAAUUAUGUCGGAUGCGAUUCCUCAUGCAAUAGUUAUAACAUAGGGUGACACAGAACUAGCUCCAGUUCAUCAAUAUAAUGUUGGCAGGUAUUCAGAUAUAGUCAUACGUGCUUAUGGAAAAGAAAAUGCAUGACAUCUUUUGUCCUACCCUCCCGUGGCAAUGGGGUCCUAUUGGAAACUAAGGGAUAUUAAGGCCUCCUUUUAAUAGAGUACCGGGAAUACAUCAACACCUCAAACUACGGUCAUCACCGGUAAGUAUCCCGAUUAUUGUCACUUCGGGGUUAACGGAUCAUAACACAUAAUAGGUGACUAUAGACUUGCAAGAUAGGAUCAAGAACUCAAAUAUAUUCAUGAAAACAUAAUAGGUUCAGAUCUGAAAUCAUGGCACUCGGGCCCUAGUGACAAGCAUUAAGCAUAGCAAAGUCAUAGCAACAUCAAUCUCGGAACAUAAUGGAUACUAGGGAUCAAACCCUAACAAAACUAACUCGAUUACAUGAUAAAUCUCAUCCAACCCAUUACCAUCCAGCAAGCCUACAAUGGAAUUACUCACGCACGUCGGUGAGCAUCUUUAAACCUCGCCUCGGCAACUUGCAAUACACGUCACGAAGCUUCAAAAGUAUAUCACCUCAGCGCAGGAAGGGACGUUCAUUCCCGACAGAGAAAAGGACGAGCUGAUUGAGGCCCUAGGGAAUGCUGAGCACCCUGGACGAACACGAGGCACUCCAGGCUCCGUUCUAUGGAAGUUUGGGUUUCCCGAUGCAGGCGGUUACAAAAGCCGGGAGAGAAAGAGGAAAGAGGAGCUGAGCGACAUGUAGAAGCUCAAUGCAAGACUACAAAAGCUAGAGGAAGCUGAGAGCAAGCGAGCUGCCGACCAACCAUCUCAGCGGCACGAAGCUACCCCAUAAACUACCCCGCCAUCUCAGCGGAGAAGCAGCAUGGCUUCCACGGAGUCCGUUCAUCCUGACUUCAUGUCUCCUAGCUACCCCGUGGAUACUAUCACGAAGGCUCAACAUUGCGAGCUUAUGACGAAAUGCCGGAACCUCACUUUCAAGGCGUCUACAAGCGAAGGGUAGAAUUGGCUGGUUCAUGCUCUGAGGAGUACAUGUCUAUGGCAGAAGGAGUACAUCAAGCUUCCAAACUGGACGCCUCUGCUUCCUGCUCCUCCUCCGGCGAGUCAGGGCACUCCGCCUCCUCCUCCUCCGGCGAGUGAUCAGGGCACUCCACCUCCUUCUCCGGCUCCUCCGACACGUGAGGGCACUCCGCCUCCUCCUUCGCAUACUACGGCGCGUCGGAGCAGUCCGCCUCCUCCUCAGCCUCGUCGGCAAUGGCGGAAGACAAACGCCGUCGCUCUGGCUCCUUCGGUGCGUCAGAUUUCUCCGCCUCAUCGGCAACGACGGAAGAGAGACGCCGCCGCUCCGGCGGCUAGCAGUAUAAGCAGAGGCGGGAGCCAAUUCAGAUACGGUCCAUCUCUCAAGCCUCUGGAAAGUUACCAUAUGAGAGGACCGAGCAGGAAAAUGAGGACAUAUGUCGUGCCCAACUAAGGGACCAUUUUGCAAAGAAAACUCCACCUCUGAAGGAGAAGGUAGAUCCGGUGAAAGUGAAGCGCACUAUCAAUGCCCUGAAGCGACCACCACUGCCUCCACCGGAUUCCAACUAUGGCCGCAUAAUUACUAAGACACAUGCUAAAGCGCAGCAGUCGGGAAGUACUUCCAGUGCUGCAAGAGCGAAAAAAUGAGGAAGUGGGAAAACAAUUCCUCAGCUCGGCGAACAGGAGAAGCAAUCGUGCCCCCNNNNNNNNNNNNNNNNNNNNNNNNNNNNNNNNNNNNNNNNNNNNNNNNNNNNNNNNNNNNNNNNNNNNNNNNNNNNNNNNNNNNNNNNNNNNNNNNNNNNNNNNNNNNNNNNNNNNNNNNNNNNNNNNNNNNNNNNNNNNNNNNNNNNNNNNNNNNNNNNNNNNNNNNNNNNNNNNNNNNNNNNNNNNNNNNNNNNNNNNNNNNNNNNNNNNNNNNNNNNNNNNNNNNNNNNNNNNNNNCUAAUCAUCCGAUGCUACUGCCCGAUACCACUCUUGAUGAUUACCUGCCCAAUGAUGUACAGUUUGAAACGGCUGAGGUAGUAGACGUCUUUAGAUACGAGCAUGGGAAGCCUCUCGUCAAACCUGAUCAUCCUCAUCUAACAACGAUGAUGCAAAAAUUGCAUGACUGGUACAUGGAAACCUACAGGAAGUCUGGGAAAGACAUUUGUUAGUCAGAAUUAAAAAAGAGCAUGACUUCCUUGGAAUCGACCUGCUGCCUGCUGAAUUUGUGGAGUUAUUUCAAUUAUACAAUCACAAGGCCCUCGACAAACAACUCAUGACUUGCUACUGUCUGUAAGUAUUACUUCUAUAAUUAAGUCUCUAGCUCAGCUCAUUCAUUGCAUGUAUAUAUAAUUAUCCUCACUAUAUUAUGCAGAUUGAAGAUGGUCGAAUGCAAAAAAAUAGGAAUCUUCGACGUUGGGUUCAUUAGCCCAAAUACCGUAAAUGAAUGGUCGGUACGAAAGGUGGCUGAAGAUACCGAGAACAACUUACUACAAACGUUCCUUACACAUCAAAACAAAAGGGAAAUACUCUUUCCUUACAACUUCAAGUGAGUGUUACUGUCUUCUGCAUAUUCGGUUCCGCUUACUCGUGGUUAAGUAAUGUAAUUGAUGAGUUAUGCGUGCGCAGCUUCCACUAUAUUCUGCUAUCCAUUAACCUUGACGGGGCAUUACUAAUUGUCUUAGACUCGCUCCGUAAAGAUCCCAAGUAUUAUGCGGACACGACUGCAAUGCUCCAAAAGUAAGUUCAAUCAAUACCGGGACCAUAUCGGCAACUUUUAUUCAUUUCCUGAUAUCAAGUAAUCAUUUUCUUUGCCUGCCAGGGUUUGGAAAACGUUCACCGCUAAGGUUCCGGGUCUGAAGAAGGAGUUGCAAUUUACACACACCAAAGUAAGUAGUACAAGCUAGUUUCGCGCAUCUCUCAUUGAUUCUAGUUUAAUCAAUAUCAUUAUCAUGCUUGCUUAUCAGUUUGAUUGAACUCUAUUCUCGUAAAGUGCUUGUUGCAGGCACCCAACACUCAUUUAUGUGGAUACUACGUAUGCGAGUUCAUUCGCUACUAUACCUCUGAACGGGCCUCCUAUGAGAAACAAUUUGAAGUACGUAAACAAUAUUCACAAUUUUAUUUUAUAUAUUACCAUCAGUUGUGUUGAGUUUCAUUCAUAUAUAUGUAUUGACCCCUUCUUUAAAUUAGAUCUGGCAGCUGCGGGAUGAACUCCUACCACAUGAUCGCAUACGAGCAAUUCAAGAGGAAUUGGCGGGAUUCUUUCUUGACCACGUCAUACCUGAACAAGGAGAAUACCAUGUGAAAUUGAAAUUGUUGUAAGGGAUGUUAUAUAUUGUACAUAUGUAGCAGCGUCGGAUAGAUAUACGAAAACUUGUUAUUCGACCAAGCACGAAGAAAGAUAUGUCACUUCUCUCUAUAUAUGUUCAUGACGAUCUUGUGUAAUUAAUGGUUUCCUUUAGUUGCUUACUAGCUAGCGUCGAGUUCUCUCUAUAUGUGUAGUAGCUAGAGUCAACCAAGCACGGAAAAAGAGAGGUCACUUCUCUCUAUUAGCUCGGUAACACAAUACGAAACCCCUAAAUUAACCCUCCAAAACCCCAACCCCCCCCCUCCCCCCCGUCCAAAAAAAAACAAAACCCCCAGUGACUGCGAGCUGCUGACGCGUGGCCGCCUUUUGGUCCUGGUUGGUGUUACCAACCGGNNNNNNNNNNNNNNNNNNNNNNNNNNNNNNNNNNNNNNNNNNNNNNNNNNNNNNNNNNNNNNNNNNNNNNNNNNNNNNNNNNNNNNNNNNNNNNNNNNNNNNNNNNNNNNNNNNNNNNNNNNNNNNNNNNNNNNNNNNNNNNNNNNNNCCCCAGCGACCGCGAGCUGCUGACGCGUGGCCGCCUUUUGGUCCUGGUUGGUGUUACCAACCGGGACUAAAGGUCCUCCCUCCCCCGCCCCAGGCAGCGCCACGUGGAGGGCCUUUGGUCCCGGUUCGUAAGCAAACCGGGACUAAAGGUUUUGGGUAUUAGUCCCGACCCUUUAGUCCCGGUUCGAGAACCGGGACAAAUGGCCCUCUGGAACCGGGACAAAUGGCCCUUUUUGUACUAGUGACUUCUCAUAGAAGAUACUUACAGAUAGACAUAAUCUCCUAUUUCGAAAAUUAAUUCUCUUCUUCGAUUAUCUGCAUAGCUCUUCUGACGAGUUUGUGCCACUCUCAAGUUCUCUCUAAUGAACCUGACUUGUUCCUCGGCAUUCCUGAGCACAUCUGGUCCAAAGACUUAACUUUCACCCGUUUGAUUCCAGAACAACGGUGUUCUACACUUACGCCCAUACAAUGCUUCAAACGGUGCCAUCUUUAGACUAUUCUGGUGAUUGUUGUUGUAAGAGAACUCCGCAUACGGUAAACUUUUAUCCCAACUAGUACCAUACUGCAAUGCACAAGCUCUCAACAUAUCUUCAAGAAUCUGAUUGAGCCUUUCUGUCUGUCCAUCAGUCUGAGGAUGAUAUGUUGUACUGAAAUUCAACUUCGUUACCAAUGAUUUAUGCACUUUCUGCCAAAAGAUGGACGUGAACUGCGGACCUCUAUCAGACACAAUCUUCUUAGGAACUCCAUGCUGACAUACUAUUCUUUCCAUGUAUAGCUCUGCCAAUCUUUCCCCGCUAUAAGUAGUCUUGACAGGCAAAAAGUGAGCGACUUUAGUGAGACGAUCCACUAUUACCCAUAUAGAAUCAUAACCUUGCUGAGUGUGUGGUAAUCCCACUAUAAAGUCCAUUCCGACUUCUUCCCAUUUCCACUCAGGAAUCUUCAUUGGUUGCAACAAACUAGCGGGUCUCUGAUGCUUAGUCUUUACCCUCUGACAAGUGUCACAUAUAGCUACAUACUCAGCCACAUCUCUUUUCAAUCCAUACCAGCAGUACUUCUCCUUAAGAUUUAGAUACAUCUUAGUACUUCCAGGAUGGAUAGAAUAGGCUGACUCAUGUGCUUCACGCAAAAUUGUAUCAUGAAUGGCUUUCACCUCAGGCACACAUAUCCUUUUUCCAAACCAUAAGGUUCCAUUCUCAUCUAUUCUGAAGCCAGGUGCUUUACCAAUCACCACAUUCUCAGCUAUCUCCUUUAGCUUUUCAUCUUCUAGCUGACCCUUACGUAUUUCUUGCUCCAAUGUAGGAAUCACUUUUAUCUCCAUAGCACUAGCAACAAUGCCAAGGUUCAGAUGUUGCAACUCCGCAUACAACUCUUCUGCCUCUGGUCUCAACUUAAGAUUGUUGUCAUAUUUCUUCCUAUUGAGAGCAUCAGCUACAACAUUUGCCUUACCUGGAUGAUAAUGUACCUCCCGUUCAUAAUCCUUGAUUAACUCUAGCCAGCGACGUUGUCUUAAAUUCAGACCUGUCUGAGUGAAUAUAUACUUCAAGCUCUUAUGAUCGGUGUAGAUAUCACUCUUGUGACCAAUCAGAUAGUGUCUCCAGAUCUUCAAUGCAUGUAACACAGCUGCUAGCUCCAGAUCAUGAGUAGGAUAAUUUAACUCAUGCUUCCUCAACUGUCUCGAUGCAUGCGUCCGUGGUGGUGACCUCAUGUCCGCUCGCACCGUGUUCGAUGAAACGCCAACGAGGGUCAAAAGCUUCGAACCACAUCGGCAUCGCUCGGAGUAGCAACGGGUACACGCUGGAGUGCUGGAUGUGAUGCUUGGCCAUCUCCAACUCACGAGCGUGUAAGAGAGAAACCAUGAGACAGUAAUGAUUUAAUUUGGUUUUGCAAUGUUUUUAUUUUAAAAAUAGUUGGUUUAUCUUUGUAAAAUAGUUAAUUACAUGAGAAUUAUUGAACAAAAUAGUUUUUAAAGAGCAAUUUGCAUUCAAACAGUCUUCAUUCUUAAUGAAGCUACGAGUUCCCAUUUGCUCUAACCAAACGAUCUUCAAUUUUUGCCACCACAGGAGCCUUGUAUUAGCUCUUGCGGUGCGAGCGGGAGCUCGGAUGUCCGUGCGACGAAGCUGAUCUAUGAAAGUGGCCUUGGUGAUCCUGUGCCCCGGUUGGUAGGUUGGGAGACAGCAAGGAUGCAAACCAGCGCCAACGAUGGGCGAAGAUUGCACGACGGAUGAGCGGCGCUAGAGAUGGAAAGUCUGCUGGAGCAGUUUAGGUGAAAGGAUAAAGAUGUAGUUUUCAUUUUUUUUUUCUAAUAAUGAAAGUCGGACUCAACUUUAUGGAACUGGGCCUUAUGACACGUAGGGCCCAUCUGAAGCUUCUAGAGUUGUUAAUCCUGUGGUUGAGAAUGUGUGUGACAAAGCCUGUGUUUGAGUAUUUACUAUCUAGGGAAGUAUAAACAAUUUACAAUCUCAGUGGACCCAUAAGCCAAUAUCCUUGAAUGUUUUUUUUUCUGUUUGUGUGUAUAUGUCGCAAGUUUUCUUGUUUUAUUUUAGGUUUGGUACUGUAGCUAGGUCUAGAAUAGUUUUUUUUGUUCUUUUUUUAAUUUCAAAAAAAUCGAGGGAUGUCUCAGUUUUUAUUAAAAGAAAGAAAUAUUUGGUCCAAAGUUGAAUGAGCGUGUCAUGCAGGGUUAAAUCACAAGAUAAACGGAUGAAACACAUGAUGCAUUAGUGGAUAAAUCACACGGGUGAUUUGAAGACAAAUUGAAAAACAUGAUGUGUUAGUUAAAUAAAUAAAUAUCAUGAUACAAUUAUAAGUAACCAUGCAAUAAACUAUAUGUCCAAUACUUGCACUCACAGGCAUUUUUGCUACUAUUAAUAAAUUGGUAAAAAUCAGAGAAUGCGAGGCGGAUACCAAACCUAGCCAAAUGGGCCGGCCUGGGUUAAACGGGCCCGAACCCCUCUUGCCCUCGCUCCUAGAAAAGCCGCCCGCCUCCGUCUCUCCCCCGCACUCCAUCGCCUCGCCUCGCCUCGCCGCCGUUCCCCGCAACCCCCUGUCUGUCGACCCAAUUCAUCUCAGGGAUAUCACCCGACGCCUCGUCCUCCUCUCCAGAUCAGAUCUUACGCCCGCCCGCCCGAGGUGAGCACAUGCUUGUACAUCCCGAUCAGCUUGGAGUUCGUUCCGAUUGGUUGGUAGGCGCGGCGCUGGUUCGAGGCCAGCGUGGUCUCCCUCCUCCUCCGGAGUUGCUCGGGCGCGGCGCGGGUUCAUAGGUGUCGGAUCCAGCGCCGUCUGUAUCCUAUUCGUAUGAGGAACCUCGGCUAGGAUAGGAUUUAAUUAGUUGGUUUUUGUAUUAGGGUAACACCACCUAGGGUUCGGUUGAUUAUCCGUAAGAAGGAAUCAAUCUGACGCUUUAGUUAGGGUUUGCUUGGUUGGUUGUGGUCAGAUUUUGGUUUCUCAUGAAUUCUUCAACUGUGCCUGUCGCGAUUUUGGGCGGAAAUUGAUGAUUGAUUUCGGGGGCAAAAUCCGAGGGAUUUUGUGGAUGAAAGAUGGGGAAACUUGGGGAAACCAAGCAAAUCCAUGGAUCAAAAUAAACAAACUUCAUCAUGCCAACAAAUCACAAAAAAAAUUUGGUGGGGAAAUUUCGAAUUAGGACGAAAAACAACAAGAUCAAAGCUAGAAAACGAAUAUUAAUUUGGAUGGAAUUCAUGCUAUGUUGUUCGAUUUCAGUUUAUGCCUGCCAGAAUGUUUUAAUUUUUUGUUUUAUCAACUGUGUUGGAGCGUACUAGAUUUUUUGUUGCAUAUUCAUCUUCUUGCUCUGUUUGGAUAGGUAACAAUUAAUAUUUGGGAUCCUAAAAUAUGUAUGCACUGGCAGCACUUAACCUGCAGCUGCUGAUUAAUGUUGUAGUCAUAUGUGCUGCUUUCCAGCUCUCUUGUUUGGAUAGGUAUUUGGUUAUCGUUUGGGUUUAUUUAUUAUCGUUUGUAAAUGCUGGUUUGGUUUUCUGUGCUCACUAUGCCCUUGCACAUGGGAUGCAAUUUUUUUAUUUCCCUGCUGUUUAGUUUAUUGUUUCCUUUGAUGGUGAGGCAUUAAUUCUGGAGAUAGAUGCAAUUUUCUUGCUCACACAAUAAUACAAUGAAUGAUGGCAUCUCUAUCUACUUUGAACCAAAUUAUAUUAUAUUCCCCCCUCUGUUAAUUAUUUUUCUGUUUUGGGUAUUCAUUCAUUUUGUUUAGUUGCCUAUCAGUAUAAAUACAUGGCUGGAUUGCUUUCACUUCAUAUUAAUAACUAUUCUGUCGCACAAUGCAAAUAUACAUAUGCUGUCCUAACUAAUUAAGUAGAAGCUUGGAUUGGUGCUGUAUGGUCUCUUCCUGACAUUAAAUCCUCCUCUGUUUGUGCUGUCUGUUUCUGCUGCUGCAGUCUUCUUCGCCGCCAAAAGGAAAAGAUGCUCUACAAAAUCCACUCCCAUGCCGAAAUCCAAGCCCUGCAGGCCCGCACCGAUGAGCUGGGCCACUCCAAUGAGCACAUGGAUGUGAAGCUUGUCUCUCUGGAGUCGGUGCGCAUAGCGCGCGAGUCGUAUGCACUCCUCCGCCCGCUGAUCAUGGAGUCGAGGUCCUGGGAAUGCCCGGAGCUGGAUUCCCUCUCGGACGUGGCAGGCUUGUCGCUGGAAAUCCAAAAGCUCGAGCAUGAUGUGUUACCCCAGCUCACGGUUCAGGAGGCUAAGCUGGAACGGGGUGCCCUGGAAGCCCUCCUACUCAUGAAGAGCUCAGCAGCUAAGCUCUUACAUAUGAGUAAGUGCUUGAAGGAAGCCUUGGGCGUAUUGCUUGCCGAGGAUGUCAAAAAGCUGAGCAUAGUGCUAAGCGAUACUGCUGUUCAUGUACUCAAAGGUAAGUUCAACAGUGGCUUGCUUCAGGAGCGUGUCCCGUGGCUGGUCGAGCUGGUCACCGAUGUGUUGGAGACCCCGGUUCGUUUCUGUGAUACUCGUAAGCGUAAGUAUUCUGAUGAGUAGACUUAUCAGCCAGCUCGAGGCUGUUGUGAUAAAUAUUUCUUAGGGGCGUGGCAAACAGUUUAGAAUCAACCCUUUAUGUUUGGAUGUGUUAUUAAUGGAUUUUAAAUAAUAUGUAUCUUGGGUAGUGUUUUCUCAUUCUGUGCUAGUCGGGUACAACUUGCAAUUACUUUCAGUUUUUUUUUUGAGAAAUACAGUCACAUGGAGGUAUUCGCUCUUUUUGGGAAUAUAUGCCAAAAGAAUAUACUCCCUCCGUUCCUAAAUAUUUGCCUUUUUAAGGUUUCAAAUAGACUACCACAUACGGAUGUAUAUAGACAUGUUUUAAAGUGUAGAUUCACUCAUUUUGGUCCGUAUGUAGUCAUUUGUUGAAAUCUCUAGAAAGACAAAUAUUUAGGAACGGAGGGAGUAGUAUCUUAGAAAAGAAAUCCCAAAUAUAAGUCUUUUAAGAGGUUUCACUAAAAGACUACAUACGGAUGAAUAUAGGCAUACUUUAGAACGUGGAUGGAUUCACUCAUUUUGCUCCGUAUAUAGUUUUCUACUAGUGAAAUUUCUUAAAAGACAUAUAUUUAGGAACGGAGGGAUCUGUGAGUGUCCAUGAUUAAAGCUUUGCAAAUACCAUAAACAAAACAUCACCUUGUACAUAUAAAGUGAUGAUUAUUUUUACACUAACCGGUUUGGCAAGUGUUAGAGUUUAAUUAACGUGUGUUAAUUAUGGGGUAAAUCUCUCCUUGUAACUGCCAUCUCUCCCGGAUGCCUCUUCAUCGCAUCCCUUCUCCUUGUAUAAAUGCUUACAAUCAUCUAAUGAAAGGGAUAGAGGAUUCACUUUUCUCUCAACACGUUAUCAGCACGCUCUGGCGAGAGCAGAAGGCCACGAGAGAUUAGGCCAUCCCGGCGGUUACGGAUGUUACUUUCGUCGCCGAUGGCUUACAGGCGAUGCAACCGGAAGCGGUUCCAUUGAGCGCUCGCGGCGAGACAUCUUCCGGUGACGAGGCGAUGGAGCCCAGGUGCCGGCGCUCGACCGCAGCGUCCUCCAGCGCAUGGUUUGGUCUCACCCUCUCCUUCCCCUUCUCCCAGACGCCGUCCACAGUGGCCGCAUAAGCGGCCCUCUCCGGCACGGCCUACCGCGGCGCAUCUGCGACCCCGGCCUGCUACGCAAGGCACGGCGGCGUGGCAAGCGCCUCCCGACCGGAGACUCGACGCCUAUUGCGGGGAACAACCCGGCCUCGACCUCCCGGCGCGCGGAGCCCACAGCGGAUCGCAGAUCCUCGACAGCGGCGCACCCGCAUCUUCUACGUCGAAGACGGGCGAUGGAGGCGAGGCAGCCAGCGCCCGACGCGGCUCCCGGCAUCCACGUGGAGUUCCUGCAGCCACGGUCCUACCCGUGGUGAAGAUGGAGCGGGCUCUCCCUUCAGCUGACUGUGUGCAGCCCGCCCCCGAUGGUCGGCACAGGCCUCCUCCGGCGCGGCGAGGCCCAGAGUGCGAACGGUGUCGUUUCCACCGCCAGACUACGGCGGUGGCGACCCUCGACCUGCGCUCCUUCCUCCGGCCGGCUGGUGCGCGGCUACGCGGAGCGGGACGUCGAGUACGGCCUCGGCCCGGUCCUUCUCGCGUAGCCAUGGCCCUGCCCCUCGGCCUAGGUUGACGCGGACCUCCAUGGCACGCGGCGCGGUGCCCGUGGCGUCGUUCAGCGUACGCCGACGAACUCCGGUGCGAGGCAACUCAGCACCGCGCGCGAGGCGAAGGCAUCCAUGACUGGAUCUCCCGGAAGCGGCGGCGAUGGCUUCUGUGUAAAGCUAACCGAAUCGAUUGAUUCGUGUACUAAUUACAGGCCAACACAGGACAACGAUGGGAACCUUAUCUCUUUGAUGAAGGGUUUUUUUCACAAGUGGCUAUGUAUUUGCAUUGACCAUCAAAUCAGGCCACAGGCUGUGCAUUGGAGACCGUCAGAUAUCUCCAUAUCACAUUUACAAUAUAUGUAAAUGAUGAUUUCAGAUAUACUAUGUGAAAAUGGGACAUGUUCAUCGUAUUUGCUCUCUAUCAAUUCCUUUCAAAUAAUUCAGAUCUUAAGUUGAUGUAAUAUAUUUCCACGUUUACCACGUGUUGAGAUUAAUUACGUUCAUUUGCAAUUGAGAUUUCUCAUCUCUUGCAAAGAUAAAUUCAAUACCUCUGCAGUAUUGUUUCUCCGUUGAGUACGAUGUAUUCCGGAAUAUUUAAAACUAUGAUUGCGAUUGAGAUUAAGUUUUCUCGCACAACAAUAUUGAUUUGCGAUUGAGAAUUUUUUUUCUCGCAAAAUAAUUGCGGUUGAGAUCAAUUUUCUCUUGCAAAAUAUUAAUUCACUUCGCUGAAUUAUCUUGCAAUUUGAUACAAGAUCUCAUUUAAUUUGAGAUCUAUACAAUUCAAGUUUUUCACUUGAACAUCAAGUUUGCAACAUCAUUACUAUUCAUUAUAAUAGUGGUGUAGUUCUGUUGAGUACGAUGUAUUCCGGAAUGUAUGUAUCUCCAUGUUCACUAUAUGUUGAGAUUAAUACGUCUAUUUGCAAUUGAGAUUUUCAAUUUCUUGCAAAUACAUAUGCAAAAUUCAAGGUGAUUUCUUCAAAUUGAUGCUUUUUUUGGGAUCACAAGGUAGUCAUAUGGAUCUACUGCCUACGCAGAUUAUCAAUGACUACUGAUAAAGCCUAUAUUUUGUCGUUUCGACAUUAUGAUUGCUUCACAAAGUGCUCUCCCACCCAUUUUACUAAGUUAUGAAGUAAGGCAUCAUGAGUGAGUAUCUACUGAUUUCAUCAGGUUAUACUCCCUAUGCUGCAGAUCUACUUCAUUUUGGAGAUUAUCUUCAAGAUGUCAUACUUAGCAAUUUGAGAUUGACACUAAUGGUUUCAAGAUAACUUCUUGAAAUACCCAUUGAUUUUGCUAAGUUGAUUACAACAUCAACCACGAUGAUCUUUAAUUUACUGCUGUAAAUUAAUUAUCUUUGGUUUACCCAUAGAGGUAACACAUGGCUAUAGAGUUUGAGGCAUUCACCCUCAAUGGCCACCACUGCCCUAUCUGGGCCAUGGAUAUCAUGAUCGCUCUUGUGUCUCAUGGGAUAAUGUGUGCAAUAGUGUCUUAUAUAUCAUAAGGCAUUAGAUUCAGAUCUCAGCAUCUGCUUAUUCUGAAUCAACAAUUCCUGGAAUACAAUGAACCCCAAGGGCAAAUGUUUGAAUCUUACUUCAACCUUCAAUCCGACAUCACCAGCUGUGACGGAACCCUAUGGGCACAGAGAGUGUGAUGGUUGAAUAUGCCUCAAUCGGCAUGUUUGGAGACUAUGAAUAGUAUCUCAAUCUCCUGAGUGAUCAAUAUAAUUUAUGUCCAUUUACAAUGUUGCAACAUAAGUAUUGUUGUCAUCAUAUAUUGUAUAUCACAAUAUAUUGUAUCAGCACUUUGAUACAAAUACAUUUGUAUGCAUUCUAUAUAUUUGACAGUGAUUUUCAUAUUGAGAAUCUUCAUGUCUAUAUAUAGUUUUCUACGGGAGUCAAUCCGAUGAAAAAUGAUAUGUGCCUUGUGGACAUAUGCACCACAAACUUUAUACUCAGGGAAGCCCAAUGUUUCCACUCUCUUGAGAGAAAGGAGAUAUUUAAAUCGCUAGACGCGAUGAGGUAUUUGUUGGCUCAACUCGAGUCAUAUUUACUAUCCCUGUGGGUACUCGAGUAAUGUCGGGAUGCUUUAUUGCUUCCCAGGUUUAACUCGUACCCUACUAAACUAUGAAGGUAUCCGUCAAAAUAGUUUCCAUAGCGAAACUUAUUAUGACAACAAAGAGAAAUAACUUCUCUUUACCAUAUGCAACGGAUAUGGCAAAUACAUUCUCUGUGUAUCAUCUGGAUUGUACUACACAUACGACACAACCCGUACCACAUGUCGUGUACGUGAUAGUUUUCCAGAGUGUCUUGUACAUGACAUACUUGGCAUACUGGCCUUGGUCAUCGAGACAUUGGGUUGAAACCGAAACUAUCAGCAAUUCCAAUAGUUUACAAUUAUUAUGAUGCCAAAUUCUAACAACAUUUGGAUUUUAUGUGCACUACAAGUGACACAGGGAAGCUAAUUUUAAGGAUCGCACACCUUAAAGUCUACGCUGAACCACUCAGACUCCUUGAAUGCAUCAAGUUGAGGAAACCAUUGGCUCAUUAUCCUGACAUCGAUUUCAAGCAAAUCGAAUGGAUAACAUUGCAACAUUCUCCUUGAGUGCCUUCUCUAUGGCCCUUGGAUUGAAGUUUAGCAAUUUGUCCUAAUGUCUAGACUCCAAAUGGUUUGGUAGAAUCCUAUCCAAAUAGUUAAGCUCAUUACAUUAUCUUUACUUUGGAAUUGCAACUUACCAACUUUACGUUGGAGUCAUGCAGUUUUACACGCUCAUGACAGAACUGCAUAAUAUUAUUCCCCUCUAUCUUUGAUAUGUGGAUAUCUACCAAGUAUUUCCUAUCUGCGGUAAUUCGGUUGCAUACCGAUAUCACCACCCGGCAUACAUCAUUGGCCCCUCAACAUAUAGUUGGGAUCUAUGUGAGGAAUAACUGUAUUUCCGUCAAUACCUCAAGCCCCUCGCAUGGGGAGUUAUUCAAGGCCUGUAUGCUGAUUCAAUGAGGAACAUUUCCAGGCAUUAGGGGGAGAUUUCAAGUACCAUAAAGAAUGCCAGGAAAUUAGUGGAAUGUUCAACACAUUUCUGCCUCAAAUCCACAUACUCAAAGAUCUGAACCAUGCGUUCAGAAGAUUUGCAACACAUUGCAAAUAACCUGCCAGAUUCAUUUACUGACUAUAAAGGUGUCACACAAUCCUACAAUCCUGAAAAAUAUGUCCGAAAGAGUGGAGGUACCAACUAAAACCACUCAACUCCCCGUUCAAAGCAACGGGGGGAGAAGUACGGCAAUAGUACAUCAGGAUUCAGCUUCUCGCAAGCAAGGAUAUCAAGGCCUGUGAAUCAGUAAAUGCAAGUCAACUUCACGUUGACAGACACCUGAUGGGUAGUAUACACCUAGUGGACGGGAAACCUCCACCAACCCAGGUCAUAGUGCACACAAUGACCGGGACAUCGGAAUACCCGACUCAAUCGCAUUGGGAAAUCGCGAGCAGUCACCAUGGGUAACAAUAUUUCCAUCAACUAUAUAUUGAUAUAUAGAUUCUGGAGAAACAUACAACUGGAAGUCUACAAUUGUCGACGUACAUUUCUCAACUAGAUUGCAAAAACCUUUUCAAAUGAUUCAGAUCCAAAGACCAUGGCCAUGGCAAAGUGUGAACAACACUCGGACUGAACUCAAGCAAAGGGUAUAAUCUAGGUAGAAAUGAUCUUGCUCAGUAAUGGCAAGGUAUUCAUAAGCAAUACCUACACCCGUUUUCUUCUGGAAACGGAAUUGAGAACAACAAGGUGGUGAACAGGGAGCAAGUAUUGUAGCACAAGGGUUCACGCAGAUACCCAACUAUUCUCCAGAGGUGGAAUCUCUUUCCGAUAACUUGUAUCAUUGGCAGUACAAAAUCAUCUAUCUCUGCAGUUGAUAGAUGUAGUGAUUACAUAUCCAUGUGGAUCACUAGAUUCAGUGAAUAUGGUUGAUCCCGGAUGGAAUCUCAAUUCUGAAUCGAAAUACAAAAUGCAAACAUGCAUUGUGCAAAUUUAGUAAGUCACCAUACGACUUAUUAUUGUCAGUACAUAUGGUACAACUGACGUAGUGAGAUCCUUAUACACAAGGAUUACUCAUACAAUGAUGAUUAUCCAUGUUUGUGUGUCUGCAAUGACGACACUUGUAAUCAUCUAAAUGGCGGAGUUUAAAAUGAAGGAUUUGGGUAAACCAAAAUACCGCUCGUUACUACAACUUGAGCGCCUUCAUUCAUACAUUAUGGUAUACUAUGUUGUCUAUAUCCAAAAUAUAUUGGAGAAAUUCAUUGUGGACAAAUCUUAUCCAUCCAUAACUCUCAUGGUAGUUCAUUCUCUAGACGUAGAGAAAUAUCUAUUUAGACCAAGAGAUGAUGGAAAUGAGAUAUUGGGACUCAACGUUCCAUAAUGCCAUUGGAUCCACCAAAUAUAAUUGGUUGGUACUCAAGAAUAUCUUUCGAUAUCUCCAAGGCAUCAAACAUCUUGUCCUGGUUUUCAGUUUCACAGGAAUGUGAACACCGAUAUCAUUGGAUACAUCGAUCAGAUCCCCACUAUGUCAGAUCAUAGACAAGCUUAGUGUUCCUACUAGGUGUGGUAGCCCUCUCAUGAAGAGUCUUCGAAACGGACCUUAUGGCUACAUCCACCAACCAUUAUCUCAACGAUAAUGUUUCUUGUGUUGCCCGGAUGCAAACAGGUUACAUAAUAAGUAAUAUCACUAUAUUGCAUAUCUUGCAAGUCAAAUCAGCGACUGAUUUGUUCAGCGAGUCUCUACCAAUUUCUAUGUUUUGGUAUGUGACGACUUUGAAUUUUUGCAAGAAUCAGGGGGAGUAUCUUCCUGAAUUGUUCCUGUUCAAUGCAUCAUAUUAUACUCUUUUUCCCUUCAUGAGUUUACUUUACAGAUUCUCAUAAAGGUUUUUAAUGAGGUAAUAUCAACAUGAGAUCAUAUGUCAUACUUUCUGUUUUCCCCACCGGGGUUUUUGGGAAAGUAUAUACGACAUAUUUAUUGUCCUCUGAACUCUAUGGGUUUUCUCGUAUUGAGUUAAAAGAGACAAUAACCAUUAUAUGUUGUAUCAUUUUCUCCUUAUUUUUCCCAUUGGGUUUGAAGGAGUUUUGGCAACAUAUCAAACACUAUACUCCUCAUAUUUUUCCCACAGGGUUUUUAGAGGAGCCUCUAAUCAAGAUGAUGAUUCUGGAUGAACAAGUGUAGAUUAGGGGGAGUGUUAGAGUUUAAUUAACAUGUGUUAAUUAUGGGGUAAAUCUCCCCUUGUAACUGCCAUCUCUCCCGAACGGAUGCCUCUUCAUCGCAUCCCUUCUCCUUGUAUAAAUGCUUACAAUCAUCUAAUGAAAGGGAUAGAGGAUUCACUUUUCUCUCAACAUCAAGUAGUACUUCCUCCGUAAAUAAAGAAACAUAAGAGUGUUUGGAUUAUCAUUUCUUUAGAGAGGGAGUAGUAUAUAUAUAGAAUUGAAUUAAUAAUCUCUACUCCUAAAGUAUCAGUUGGUCGUCUCUGUUCAUCGGUUAAUUUUCGUCCCACCAACACUGAUUUUUUUUCGUGCUCCCUCCCACCCAACCCCCGGGACAUCGAACAAAAAAAAGGGCUGGCUUAGCUAUGCCCCCACGAAGUCAAGGGGCCAAACCUCCGAUCGAAACAGAGAGAACCGGAUGAAAGAAAAUCUACGAAAAAAGACCUACGAAAUUAAACCAGCGAAAAAAACGAACCGCACGCAGGUAUACGAGCGAUUCCUCCUUCCUUCGAACCACUCGCAUGCUCGAUCCCUUCGUCGCCGCCGCUCCAUCCCUUCGCCCCCACCGCUCGAUCCCUUCGCCGCCGCCCUCGCACAUCAAAGCCGCCACCGAUAUGCCCUGUCGGAUCUCGCCUCAACCCCGCCGUCUUGUGAUACGGAGUUCACAGCCUCUGCCGCCGAUGUCUUCGCACGCGUUAGGGUUCCUGCGUCGCCGCCACACAGGAGCUCGUCGACCAGCCCAGCGUGCUGCUGCUCCGCGCUCGCUUCCCUCGUCGGUCGCCUUUGGAACCCUCGCUUCGGACUCCGCGCCAAGCCGUCGCCUCUUCGCCGAGAAAGAGGGCUCCCGAUCUCCGCCGUGGUCGACCAUCAGCGCGACGGGCAGAGCAACCAGCCCGUAGGCUCAUCCCCUUCUUGGAUCCACUCCGGCAGCGGCCAUCGUUGGUACGUUCCGCUCGUGAUAUAUUGGUGUAGGAUCAUCCCCUUCUCUUUAUCUAAAAAGGCUAUUCUACAUACGCCGAGGAGAAGAUGCUCACCUUCUCGCCCCUGUUGGAAAUAUGCCCUAGAGGCAAUAAUGAAUUGCUUAUUAUUAUAUUUCCUUGUUCAUGAUAAUCGUUUAUUGUCCAUGCUAUAAUUGUAUUGAUAGGAAACAUAGAUACAUGUGUGGAUACAUAGACAACACCAUGUCCCUAGUAAGCCUCUAGUUGACUAGCUCGUUGAUCAAUAGAUGGUUACGGUUUCCUGACCAUGGACAUUGGAUGUCGUUGAUAACGGGAUCACAUCAUUAGGAGAAUCAUGUGAUGGACAAGACCCAAUCAUAAGCCUAGCACAAAGAUCGUGUAGUUCGUAUGCUAAAGCUUUUCUAAUGUCAAGUAUCAUUUCCUUAGACCAUGAGAUUGUGCAACUCCCGGAUACCGUAGGAAUGCUUUGGAUGUGCCAAACGUCACAACAUAACUGGGUGGCUAUAAAGGUACACUACGGGUAUCUCCGAAAGUGUCUGUUGGGUUGGCACGAAUCGAGACUGGGAUUUGUCACUCCGUGUGACGGAGAGGUAUCUCUGGGCCCACUCGGUAGGACAUCAUCAUAUGCGCAAUGUGACCAAGGAGUUGAUCACGGGAUGAUGUGUUACGAAACAAGUAAAGAGACUUGCCUGUAACGAGAUUGAACAAGGUAUCGGAUACCGACGAUCGAAUCUCGGGCAAGUACAAUACCGCUAGACAAAGGGAAUUGAAUACGGGAUUGAUUAAAUCCUCGACAUCGUGGUUCAUCCGAUGAGAUCAUCGUGUAACAUGUGGGAGCCAACAUGGGUAUCCAGAUCCCGUUGUUGGUUAUUGACCGGAGAACGUCUCGGUCAUGUCUGCAUGAUUCCCGAACCCGUAGGGUCUACAUACUUAAGGUUCGAUGACGCUAGGGUUAUAAAGGAAGUUUGUAUGUGGUUACCGAAUGUUGUUCGGAGUCCCGGAUGAGAUCCCGGAUGUCACGAGGAGUUCCGGAAUGGUCCGGAGGUAAAGAUUUAUAUAUGGGAAGUCCUGUUUUGGUCACCGGAAAAGUUUCGGGUUUUAUCGGUAACGUACCGGGACCACCGGGAGGGUCCUGGGGGUCCACCAAGUGGGGCCACAAGCCCCGAAGGGUUGCAUGGGCCAAGUAUGGGAGGGGACCAGCCCCAGGUGGGCUGGUGCGCCCCCCACAAGGGCCCAAGGCACCUAAGGAGAGGAGAGGGGGCAAACCCUAAGGGCAGAUGGGCCUUAGGGCCCAUACCUGGUGCGCCUCCCUCUCCCCCUCCACCUGGCCGCCACCCAGAUGGGAUUGGGGCUGGCCGCCGCCCCUAGGGUGGAACCCUAGAGGGGGCACAGCCCCCUCCCUCUCCCCUAUAUAUAGAUGAGGUCUUUGGGGCUGCCAACACAAGAGUUUUGACCUCUCCCUGGCGCAGCCCUGCAUCUCUCUUUCCUACUCUCCCGCGGUGCUUGGCGAAGCCCUGCAGGAUUGCCACGCUCCUCCUCCACCACCAGGCCGUUGUGCUGCUGUUGGAUGGACUCUUCCUCAACCUCUCCCUCUCUCCUUGCUGGAUCAAGGCGUGGGAGACGUCACCGGGCUGUACGUGUGUUGAACGCGGAGGUGCCGUCCGUUCGGCACUAGGAUCUCAGGUGAUUUGGAUCACGACGAGUACGACUCCUUCAAUCCCGUUCUCUUGAACGCUUCCGCUUAGCGAUCUACAAGGGUAUGUAGAUGCACUCUCCUUCCCCUCGUUGCUGGUUUCUCCAUAGAUAGAUCUUGGUGACACGUAGGAAAAUUUUGAAUUUCUGCUAUGUUCCCCAACAGUGGCAUCAUGAGCUAGGUCUAUUGCGUAGAUUCUUUGCACGAGUAGAACACAAAGUAGUUGUGGGCGUUGAUUUUGUUCAAUAUGCUUACCGUUACUAGUCCAAUCUUGAUUCGGCAGCAUUGUGGGAUGAAGCAGCCCGGACCGACCUUACACGUACACUUACGUGAGACAGGUUCCACCGACUGACAUGCACUAGUUGCAUAAGGUGGCUAGCGGGUGCCAGUCUCUCCCACUUUAGUCGGAUCGGAUUCGAUGAAAAGGGUCCUUAUGAAGGGUAAAUAGCAAUUGACAUAUCACGUUGUGGUUUUGCGUAGGUAAGAACCGUUCUUGCUAGAAACCCACAGCAGCCACGUAAAACAUGCAAACAACAAUUAGAGGACGUCUAACUUGUUUUUGCAGGGUAUGCCAUGUGAUGUGAUAUGGCCAAAAGGAUGUGAUGAAUGAUAUAUGUGAUGUAUGAGAUUGAUCAUGUUCUUGUAAUAGGAAUCACGACUUGCAUGUUGAUGAGUAUGACAACCGGCAGGAGCCAUAGGAGUUGUCUUAAUUUAUUUAUGACCUGCGUGUCAACAUAAACGUCAUGUAAUUACUUUACUUUAUUGCUAACCGUUAGCUAUAGUAGUAGAAGUAAUAGUUGGCGAGACAACUUCAUGAAGACACGAUGAUGGAGAUCAUGGUGUCAUGCCGGUGACGAUGAUGAUCAUGGAGCCCCGAAGAUGGAGAUCAAAAGAAGCAAAGUGAUGAUGGCCAUAUCAUGUCACUAUUUGAUUGCAUGUGAUGUUUAUCAUGUUUUUGCAUCUUAUUUGCUUAGAACGACGGUAGUAAAUAAGAUGAUCCCUCAUUAAACUUUCGAGAAAGUGUUCCCCCUAACUGUGCACCGUUGCGAAAGUUCGUCGUUUCAAAGCACCAUGUGAUGAUCGGGUGUGAUAGAUUCUAACGUUCACAUACAACGGGUGUAAGACAGAUUUACACACGCGAAACACUUAGGUUGACUUGACGAGCCUAGCAUGUACAGACAUGGCCUCGGAACACAAAAGACCGAAAGGUCGAGCAUGAGUCGUAUGGUAGAUACGAUCAACAUGAAGAUGUUCACCGAUGAUGACUAGUCCGUCUCAUGUGAUGAUCGGACACGGCCUAGUUGACUCGGAUCACGUAAUCACUUAGAUGACUAGAGGGAUGUCUAUCUGAGUGGGAGUUCAUAAGAUGAACUUAAUUAUCCUGAACAUAGUCAAAAGGACUUCGCAAAUUAUGUCAUAGCUCGCGCUUCAGUUCUACUGUUUAGAUACGUUCCUAGAGAAAAGAUAGUUGAAAGUUGAUAGUAGCAAUUAUACGGACUAGGUUCGUUAACUGAGGAUUGUCCUCGUUGCUUCGUAGAAGGCUCAUGUCCUUAAUGCACCGCUCAGUGUGCUGAACCUUGAACAUCGUCUGUGGGUGUUGCGAACAUCUAACAUACAUGUUUUGAUAACUACGUGAUAGUUCAGUUAAACGGUUUAGAGUUGAGGCACCAUAGACGAUUUCGAAACGUCGCGGAACAUAUGAGAUGUUUCGAGGGCUGAAAUUGGGAUUUCAGGCUCGUGCCCACGUCAAGAGGUAUAACACCUCCGACGAGUUUCUUAGCGUACAAACUAAGGGAGAAAAGCUCAAUCGUUGAGCUUGUGCUCAGAUUGUCUGAGUACCACAAUCACUUGGAUCGAGUGGGAGUUAAUCUUCCAGAUGAGAUAGUGAUGUUUUUCCAAAGACAUUAUCACCAAGCUGCUAGAGCUUCGUGAUGAACUAUAACAUAUCAGGGAUAGACAUGAUGAUCCUUGAAAUAUUCGCGAUGUUUGACACCGCGAAAGUAGAAAUCAAGAAGGAGCAUCAAUUGUUGAUGGUUAGUGAAACCACUAGUUUCAAGAAGGGCAAGGGCAAGAAGGGAUACUUCAUGAAACGGCAAAUCAGCUGCUGCUCUAGUGGAGAAACCCAAGGUUGAACCCAAACCCGAGACUAAGUGCUUCUGUAAUAAGAGGAACAGCCACUUGAGCAGAAUUACCCUAGAUACUUGGUAGAUGAGAAGGCUGUCGAUAGAAGUAUAUUGGAUAUACAUUAUGUUAAUGUGUACUUUACUAGUACUCCUAGUAGCACCAGGAUAUUAGAUACCGGUUCGGUUGCUAAGUGUUAGUAACUCGAAACAAAAGGCUACGGAAGAAACGGAGACUGGCUAAAAGGUGAGAUGACGAUAUGUGUUGGAAGUAUUUCCAAGGUUGAUCAAAUAUCGUACGCUCCCUCUACCAUCGAGAUUGGUAUUAAAACCUAAAUAAUUGUUAUUUUGUGUUUGUGUUGAGCAUAGACAUGAUUGGAUUAUGUCUAUCACAAUACGGGUAUUCAUUUAAGGAGAAUAAUUGUUACUCUGUUUAUUUGAAUAAUACCAUCCCAAUCGUAGUGAUACACAUUUUCAUGCCAAAGGUAUAAGAUAGUAAUGAUAGUACCACACAAUUGUGGCACUGCAAUUUUAGUCACAAUGGUAUAAAAUGCAUGAAGAAGCUCCAUGUUGAUGGAUCUUUGGACUCGCUUGAUUUUGAAUCACUUGAGACAUGCAAAUCAUACCACAUGAGCAAGAUGACUGAAAGGCCUCGUUUUCAGUAAGAUGGAACAAGAAAGCAACUUGUUGGAAGUAAUACAUCUUGAUGUGUGCAGUCCAAUGAGUGCUGAGGCAUGUAGUGAAUAUCGUUAUAUUCUUACUUCACAGAUGAUUUAAGUAGAUACUGAGUAUAUUUACUUGAUGAAACACAAGUCUGAAUUAUUGAAUGGUUCAAGUAAUUUCAGAGUGAAGUUGAAGAUCUUCGUGACAAGAGGAUAAAAUGUCUAUGAUAUGAUCAUAGAAAUGAAUAUCUGAGUUACGAGUUUGGCACACAAUUAAGACAUUGUGGAAAUUGUUUCACAACUAAUACCGCCUGGAACACCAUAGUGUGAUGGUGUGUCCGAACAUCAUAGUUGCACCCUAUUGGAUAUGGUGCGUACCAUGAUGUCUCUUAUCGAAUUACCACCAUCGUUCAUGGGUUAGGCAUUAGAGACAACCGCACUCACUUUAAUAGGGCACCACGUAAUUCUGCUGAGACGAAACCGUUUGAACUAUGGUUUGGAGAAACCUGAGUUAUCGUUUCUUAAAAGUUUGGGGCUGCGACGCCUAUGUGAAAAAGUUUCAGGUUGAUAAGCUCGAACCCAAAGCGGAUAAAAUGCAUCUUCAUAGGACACCAAAAACGGUUGGGUAUACCUCCUAAUUCAGAUCCGAAAGCAAUAGGGAUUGUUUCUAGAAUCGGGUCCUUUCUCGAGGAAAAGUUUCUCUCGAAAGAAUUGGGUGGGAGGAUGGUGGAGACUUGAUGAGGUUAUUGAACCGUCACUUCAACUAGUGUAUAGCAGGGCACAAAGAGUUGUUCCUGUGGCACCUACACCAAUUGAAGUAGAAGCUUAUGAUAUUGAUCAUGAGACUUCGGAUCAAGUCACUCCCAAACCUCGUAGGAUGACAAGGAUGCGUGCUAAUUUAGAGUGGUACGUAAUCCUGUCAUGGAAGUCAUGCUGCUAGACAACAAUGAACCUACGAGCUAUGGAGAAGCGAUGGUGGGCCCGGAUUCCGAUAAAUGGCUCGAGGCCAUAAAAUCCGAGAGAGGAUCCAUGUAUGAAAACAAAGUGUAGACUUUGGCAGAACGACUCGAUGGUCGUAAGGCUGUUGAGUACAGAUGGAUUUUAAAAGGAAGACAGACAAUGAUGGUAAGUGUUACCAUUGAGAAAGCUCGACUUGUCAUUAAUAUGUUUCCCGACAAGUUCAAGGAGUUGACUGCGAUGAGACUUUCUCACACGUAGCGAUGCUAAAAGUCUGUUGGAAUUAUGUUAGCAGUUACUGCAUUGUUUAUGAAAUCUUGCAGAUACGAUGUCAAAAUAUUGUUUCCUUGAUGAUUUUCUUGAGGAAAGGUUGUAUGUGAUACAACCAGAAGGUUUUGGCAGUCCUGAAAAUGCUAACAAGUAUGCAAAGCUCCAGCAAUCCUUCUAAGGACUGGAGUAAGCAUCUCGGAGUUGGAAUGUACGCUUUGAUGAGAUGAUCAAAGCUUUUGGGUUUAUACAAAGUUUAUGAGAAACUUGUAUUUCCAAAGAAGUGAGUGGGAGCACUAUAGAAUUUAUGAUGAGUAUAUGUUGUUGACAUAUUGUUGAUCGGAAAUGAUAUAGAAUUUCUGGAAAGCAUGCAGAGUUGUUUGAAAAGUGUUUUCAAUGAAAAACUGGAUUAGGCUACUUGAACAUUGAGCAUCAGGAUCUAUAAGGAUAGAUCAAAAACCGCUUAAUGGUACUUUCAAAUGAGCACAUACCUUGACAUGAUCUUGAAGGUGUUCAAGAUGGGUCAGCCAAAGAAGGAGUUCUUGCCUGAGUUGUAAGGUAUGAAGUUAAGACUUAAAGCUCGACCACAGCAGGAGAAAGAGGAUGGACGAAGGUCGUCCCCUAUGCUAUUGUCAUAGACUCUAUACGGUAUGCCAUGCUGAGUACCGCACCUGAUGUGUGCCUUGCCACAUGUCUGGCAAGAGGGUACAAAGGUGAUCUAGGAGUAGAUCACCAGAUAGCGGUCAAAAUUAUCCUUAGAGUAAUAAGGAUAUGUUUCUCGGUUAUGGAGGUGAUAAAGAGUUCGACGUAAAGAGUUACAUCGAUGCAAGCUUAACACCUAUCCGGAUAGCUCCGAGUAGAGAUACCGGAUACGUAUAAUGGAGCAACAGUUUGGAAUAGCUCCAAGUAGAACAGUUAUUUCAAAUGGCUCCAAAUAUAGCGUAGAGAUUUGCGAGGUACAUACGGAUCUGAAUGUUGCAGACCCGUUGACUAAAACCUCUCUCACAAGCAACAUGAUCAAACCUAGAACUCAUUGAGUGCUAAUCACAUAGUGAUGUGAACUAGAUUAUUGACUCUAGUAAACUCUUUGUAUGUUGGUCACAUGGCGAUGUGACCUGUGAGUGUUAAUCACAUGGAGAUGUGAACUAGAUUAUUAACUCUAGUGCAAGUGGGAGACUGUUGGAAAUAUGCCCUAGAGGCAAUAAUAAAUUGGUUAUUAUUAUAUUUCCUUGUUCAUGAUAAUCAUUUAUUAUCCAUGCUAUAAUUGUAUUGAUAGGAAACACAGAUACAUGUGUGGAUACAUAGACAACACCAUGGCCCUAGUAAGCCUCUUGUUGACUAGCUCGUUAAUCAAUAGAUGGUUACAGUUUCCUGACCAUGGACAUUGGAUGUCGUUGAUAACGGGAUCACAUCAUUAGGAGAAUCAUGUGAUGGACAAGACCCAAUCAUAAGGCUAGCACAAAGAUCGUGUAGUUCGUAUGCUAAAGCUUUUCUCAUGUCAAGUAUCAUUUCCUUAGACCAUGAGAUCGUACAACUCCCGGAUACCGUAGGAAUGCUUUGGGUGUGCCAAACGUCACAACGUAACUGGGUGGCUAUAAAGGUACACUACGGGUAUCUCCGAAAGUGUCUGUUGGGUUGGCACGAAUCGAGACUGGGAUUUGUCACUCCGUGUGAUGGAGAGGUAUCUCUGGGCCCACUCGGUAGGACAUCAUCAUAUGCACAAUGUGACCAAGGAGUUGAUCACGGGAUGAUGUGUUACGAAACAAGUAAAGAGACUUGCCGGUAACGAGAUUGAACAAGGUAUCAGAUACCGACGAUCGAAUCUCGGGAAAGUACAAUACCGCUAGACAAAGGGAAUUGAAUACGGGAUUGAUUAAAUCCUCGACAUCGUGGUUCAUCCGAUGAGAUCAUCGUGGAACAUGUGGGAGCCAACAUGGGUAUCCAGAUCCCACUGUUGGUUAUUGACCGGAGAACGUCUCGGUCAUGUCUGCAUGAUUCCCGAACCCGUAGGGUAUACACACUUAAGGUUCGAUGACGCUAGGGUUAUAAAGGAAGUUUGUAUGUGGUUACCGAAUGUUGUUCGGAGUCCCGGAUGAGAUCUCGGACGUCACGAGGAGUUCCGGAAUGGUCCGGAGGUAAAGAUUUAUAUAUGGGAAGUCCUGUUCUGGUCACCGGAAAAGUUUCGACUUUUAUCGGUAACGUACCGGGACCACCGGGAGGGUCCCGGGGGUCCAUCAAGUGGGGCCACAAGCCCCGAAGGGUUGCAUGGGCCAAGUAUGGGAGGGGACCAGCCCCAGGUGGGCUGGUGCGCCCCCCCACAAGGGCCCAAGGCGCCUAAGGAGAGGAGAGGGGGCAAACCCUAAGGGCAGAUGGGCCUUAGGGCCCAUACCUGGUGCGCCUCCCUCUCCCCCUCCACCUGGCCGCCACCCAGAUGGGAUUGGGGCUGGCCACCGCCCCUAGGGUGGAACCCUAGAGGGGGCGCAGCCCCCUCCCUCUCCCCUAUAUAUAGUUGAGGUCUUUGGGGCUGCCAACACAAGAGUUUUGACCUCUCCCUGGCGCAGCCCUGCAUCUCUCUUUCCUCCUCUCCCGCGGUGCUUGACGAAGCCCUGCAGGAUUGCCACGCUCCUCCACCACCACCACGCCGUCGUGCUGCUGUUGGAUGGACUCUUCCUCAACCUCUCCCUCUCUCCUUGCUGGAUCAAGGCGUGGGAGACGUCACCGGGCUGUACGUGUGUUGAACGUGGAGGUGCCGUCCGUUCGGCACUAGGAUCUCAGGUGAUUUGGAUCACGACGAGUACGACUCCUUCAACCCCGUUCUCUUGAACGCUUCCGCUUAGCGAUCUACAAGGGUAUGUAGAUGCACUCUCCUUCCCCUCGUUGCUGGUUUCUCCAUAGAUAGAUCUUGGUGACACGUAGGAAAAUUUUGAAUUUCUGCUAUGUUCCCCAACAGCCCCUCCCCCUACCGUGAUGUACGUGGAUGAAUCCGACGGCAACAAGGACGACCUCGUAGGAUCCAGCCACGGUUGUGCGGAAUUUCACGGGGAUGAAUCUACCCGGCCUCUCGUCCUAUCUGCCGCCGGUAGAGGCAUCCAUGUCUGAUGGUGUGAAUUUUGGCUGGUUCCAUGAGCACUUCGUUCCCUGCCGUGUAGUCUUCGUUGAUUCGGAAAGAUGGUGGUUGUCUGUUUAGCCAUUUCAAUCUGCUAUUGAUCAUGCUCAUUCUUGUUAUAUUCAGUUAUAUUGGAAACACCAUCUGAUUCAGUUAUAUUCUUGAUCAUGCUCAUCCUCAUCCUUAUUCAAAUAAGAAUACUUCUGUUUGGAGAGCUCGGGCGUCAGCUGUGUGGAAGCACCAGCUGAUUUGUAACUGGUCGGAAGGUGAGCUUCUCAUACUCGCUGCCGUCGAAGCACGACACCUCGCCGCCACUUAUGUUGCGUGUUGUUGUGCUGUAGGUCCUUGGGGUUGGGUGUGGCAACUCGCGACUCGAAGACAUUUCGUGCAUGUGCUCCCCUGCGCUUGGUGACCAAUACAUCUACUCCGUCGUGAACAUGUGCUUCGUGUCAUACAGGUCGCCGCCAAGGGUGAGCUCGUGCAGCGGUACAGGUAUAGAUGUGCAUCCCAUAAGGGCAGCUACAUUUUCUUUCAUAAAGUUAUUUGUGUGAGUGCCCUGCAUAUUGAAGUAAACUGGAUCGGCUAAUCUUGAGUUCCUCCACCAAGUUAUAUUACUUCGACAAGAAAAAGUGCAGAAAGACCAUAUAAAGUACUCUGGUGACUCUCUCAAUUGAACUAGAAUUUUUUUAGAUGCGUGAAACAUGCACAACGAUUUGCUCUAUUGAGUCUAUGUAUGUUGAACUAGCACUCGAAUUAUAGCUCAUGCCGGUAUACUAAUUUUCUCUUUCUCAUAUCAGCUCUCCUUCUUUUUGUCCAUUUUUCUUCACUACUACCUGAAGGAAACUGUACUGGAUAGCAGCCUAUCAUAUAUAGUUACAUGUACCGAGUGAUUUAGCUUCAUUUUAAUGAUACUGUCAACAACUAACUACUGCUGCGACAUAUUUGAUGCAACCUGUAAAAUAUUUUUUGUUUAAUUUCAGCAUAUCAUUUAUAUACUGAAGUCUCUUCUGGACAUGUUGUCUAAUUGCGUCAUGUAUGUUAGAUAUUUGUUCUAUAAUACUUGCCAUUGACUAUUUUUCUUUUAUUUAGGUUAUGUGCAUUAUUGAUCAGCCAAUCUUGAGAGAGAGAUGGGUUGGCGUGAAUGGGAAGAAAACUACAUUGAAUGGACAAGAAGUAUGCCCUCAACUUUUUCAUGGUAUGUCUUACUUAUUGUUCUUGUGAUUUUUCCAUCAGUUUCACUUUACAUUUCUUCUUUGCUUUUUCAUGGCAUCGGGAUGCCCACUGCCGACGGCGCUGCGUUGCUACCAAAGGGGCACCCUGCCGCGGCCAGGGACUCGCUGCCGUCGAAGCACGACACCUUGCCGUCACGUAUGUUGGGUGUUGUGGUGCUGCAGGUCCUUGGGGUUGGGUGCGGCAACUCGAGACUCGAAGACGAUCUUCUGCGGUAGGGCGUCGCCGGCGGCGGUGGCACCUGUAUAGACCGUCUCGGUGUGACAGAAGAGUUCGGAGUUCACUCCGAGAAAGAAUUGCUUUGCAUGUACAUUUGCUGAAAGACUGAUGUGCUGAACUUUCGAUGAUUUCGAUUGGUCUCUAACAUAACCUUUCCUCUUUUUGUUGAUAUGUCCAAAAGAGAUCCUUAUUUCACCUUUUGUUUAUAGGUAUUCAACUUGAGGAAUUUCAUACUUUUGGAGUGGAGCUAUCAAAUAUAUGUGUGCUCGAUGUUGGUGUUUUAAUCCGGAUCUCUCGCUGAAGGUGCUCGAUGUUGGUGUUUGAAUACUGCUACCGUACUUCAAGGUCUGUAGCAGCUCUUACAAUGGAUUCUUUUUAAUGAUAGUACAAUUUAUUUUUGUUUCGAUUUGGUAUUGUUGUUUUGUUCACUUAACCCAGUCUGUAGCAGCAGCUUUUCAUGUCGUUUCCUCGCCAACAAAUGUCAUAAUUUAUCACAUACGUGUGCAAAUGGUUUUUUGGCUAUAGUAUGAGUAUAUGGUUCAGAGAAGUUCGGUCAGAUGCAAAGCAUGCUUAGCAUCUCAUAGUCGUAGGCUAUUCCUUUUAAAAUUGAAGCCAUCCAGGUUUUCAAUUAUGGAGAUGAUUUGGAAACUCAGCAUAGAAAAUUAUUUACUCUAAUGCAAAUUACACAUAUUAAGGCCUUUAUUCUUUUAUAUUAAGGUCUCCAGUGCAAGCAUUAGCCCAUCUUUAGCUGCUCAUAAGCAGUAUCAGUGAUAUAUAUAUAUAUAUAAGUACACUCUUGCUAAGAUUAAUCUUUGAUAUAUAUAAUUCAUUGCCUGGAUAUAGUUUGCUUUGAAUGUUUUUUUGCUCUUUAGUCUAUGAAGAAUUGCAAGGAGGAGGAUAAUAGAGCAGCAACCAGAGCUGACAAUUGGCCUGUAAAUGCUGCAAAGUUCUCCUAAAGGUGUGAUGUUGGUGGUGAUUUUCUUAUCCGGGGAUAUGGAUGUGGCGGGUCUGUGGGCACCAUGCUGACGCGGAGAAGGAGGUGCAGGUAGCGGGGGCGCUUGAGGUGAGGUGGCUGCAGGGUCGCUCGAGAAGAAUAGGCUCAUCAGCAACACCUGGAUGCCUUCGUCAUCAGCAAUGUGGACAAGGUGCAAAAGGGAUAUCGCCCUUACCUCUUAUUCAGUCUGGAAAAUUAUGCAAUGUUUGGUUUGGUAGAUUUAACAGUCGCUGGUUCGGAAAUUUGUUACCUAUAGAAGUAUAGGAAUAACAUGACUAAUAUUUAUUGAAUUUAUAGAGUUAUUGUUUUUUUCUACAAAGUCAGUUGUUAAAUUAGGAAGAACAUCGUCUAAAAUCUUGACAACAUAAAGGAGCAUAGAGUUAAUAGAUUAUGAAAUCCUGUAGUGCAUCAGAUGCACCCUUCACUAAUUUUUGAACACAUUUAUAUUAUCCAGGUUCCGACCUCAUUCGUUGUGAUGUUUGUCUUUUUUAUGUGGGCGAGGAAAACAUUUUUAGGAGUGAUACUCCCAAACUUUGAUUUCUUGGUUGUCGAAUCAUGGUGCUGAUUAGAUUUUACUUAACCUUAAUUAAUCUAUUUAUAUUGUGGCUUUGUCUUUUAGCUCAUCUUUUAGUUUCUCUUCUCCACUUAACACAAGAUUUUAUUGUAGGCUACCAAGUACAAUUAUACCACUUAUACUCUUUCUAUCUGAUUAUGCAAAGCUUGAUCUAUACUCAUUGAACUUUGUUAGAUAGUAGGCCCUCCUAUUAGUGUGCCUAAAUAUAAUUGUUUCUCUGUGUUUAUAGUAUCUUAGUCCAGUAGAAUGAAUGUUCUCGAGUAAUUAGAGGUAUUUGGAUCAAGUGAAUGUCUGAAUACCACUAAAAUCGAAAUCAUAAUGCUUAUCAUUGGUCAGCACCACCACCUACUCUGAAUCUCUGAUCAGAAUAGUACGAACUAUUAAAUUGGGAACUUAAUGCUUAUCAUUGUUGAUGUACAUAUGUACAACUAACAAUGUUUGUGCUGCAACCAGCUUACUUUAUUCCUUGCUGAAAUUUAUCUUGACUUAUUUCACAUCAGAUAGUUCUGAACCUAGAUGAUCUCAAUUAAGGUCAUUGAAAUUUGUUAAAUUAUUUUUAUCCACUCUUCUGAACGAGCGUAUACUAUGAUCUGAUUUGUAUAUCAUAUUACUGAGGCAGCGCUGGGCCAUGCUGUGGUGAGAACAUACGAGAGAUAAUUGGGGUGUGUGGCUGAUUGCUUCAUAUGCUGCUAAUGAUAUAUGUAGACUGCUGAUUGCUCCUGAUAUACAGUGUCGAUUGCAGCUGAUAGUAGGAUUGUACUCAAUUUGAUAGGUAAAGUGGGAUGGCGGGAUUGUAUAGUGCUCAUAAGCCAGUCCGGGCAUUGUCCUUCCUCGAAUGAAUAUGAGACUACUCCUCAUAUGUUAAUCAGUUGCUCCUCCCUAGCUUUGGUUUGGUCUGAACUUCAAAGUUUUCAUCCACUCAAUGUUGAUUCAGUCAAAGAUCUCUUGGAAAAAUUAUUUCGACAAGAUUCACUCUAUAAUGUUGUUAUCAUUGUCCUCUGGAAUAUAUGGAAGUGCAAAAACUCCAAGGUCUCCCGGGAUGUUUUUGAGGAAUUGCACAUUACUGCUAGCAAGAUUGCUGAUGAUUGAUACCAUGGUCCAACAGGUAUUCACAUGAAAUUAAUAAAUGGCACCUUACGGAUUGGAGUACUCUACUGUAUCACCUAUCUGGGAGAUUUUAAUUUUUUCCUUCUAUUAUUUCUCUUAAUCCCUGUGCACUCAUCGGACUUUGUAUAGUUCUCAGUUUUAUGAAGUGGUUCAGGCUGGCGUAAGCCGCCAUAGUCCCAGUAAAAAAAAGGCUACAAGCUUCGCUUCGGCCUUUUGGAACUGAAUAUUAUGUAGUUUUAUUGAGAUUAUUGAUAGUGCUUCUCUACUAUCAAAGAAGGUAAUAGUCUCUUAUGUGUUUCUUUUUGUCCAUUUGAAUGCACUCCAUUUUUUAGUGUAUUAAUUAACAUCAAACCUCCCAUUCUUUCUAGAGUGCUGAUGUAUUAUUAUUUUCAGCUUAACACAUUUAACUUCCUAUAGAUUUCAUGGUUUAUGCAGAUUAACCGAGCUAAGAUUUUUUGUGAAGCUAAAGCUGGUGUUAAGAUGAACGCCGCUAUGUAUAUAUUUGAAACAGUUAGAUACAUGCUUGACAGACUAUAUAGGGGUGAUCAAAACCAUGCAAAGCAUUAUGGGACAAGUUUCUCUACCUUAAAUAAGUGUUCAUUCUCUCGUGUUUACUAUUCGUUUAAGGGUCAUCAACCCGUGUAUUUAUUUUCAUUGAGCAAGUUUUACAUUUUUCUUCAGUGGUGUUCAUUGUGCAGUUCUAGAUUUUUAAGAGAGUAGAGUUUAUUGAUUUAUUACAUGGAGAGACCAGUAGUGUCGUAGUGGUCUUGACAUAAUUACUAACAUUUUCUACUAGAAAAAGUUUAAUUGCACUAAAUACAAAUUAGAACAUGCAUAGACAUUUAUCUUCUUUCUACAGAAUGGUUAGUGUAAACGUACUUUAAGUUGUACAUGAUUCUGUAUCUGACCAUUUUAUCUCAUAUGUUGAUGUGGUUGCAGAUAUGAACUUCAAAUUAUCCUGCAAUGUAUUGACUGCUCGGAGCUAACUUGACUACGCCAGUUUUCUUUUAUGGCUCAAAGUAGUUAGUGUCCCCCCUUAUUAUGAGAGAGGUACUACUUCAAACAUCUCUUCUUAAUGUUUUAUGUCAUGGCAUACAGUAUGAGGGAGUGUUAGUUGGCUUGACUUUCGUGGCACUCAUUGAUAACCUUUCAGUUUAGGAGUUUUUGUGGCCUCUUAAUCCAUGAGAGUAUGCUCAUGUUGAAGAAGUUAGUCAUAAUGAGGGGCACCAUAAAUGUUUGUUAUCUGGCACAAAUUCCUAAUGAAUAUCACAUGUGAACCUUUUACUGUUGUGUUAUUCAAAUUUCAUUGUACUAUUCAUACAGUAAAAUAUGAGUGCCAUGUCAGAAUAUGGUUCUCGAUCUGAAAGAUCAUAUUCAAAAUUACAGGUUCUAUGGCAGUGCACUGGUAGAAAAAGAGGCUUCCGUCCAGCCCCAUUAGUCGCGAAACUGUAGGAACCGCGACCAAUGAAGUCUUUAGUCGCGGUUCGACAGACGAACCGCGACCAAAUGCCUGGGCCCAGGGCGCUCGGUGGCCAGCUGGUGCACGUGAGGGGCUUUAGUCGCGGUUGGCCAGGCCAACCGCGACUAAAGCUCCUCCCCUAUAUAUACCAGUUCAGCACACUCACUUAGCCAUUUGGUGCCACUUCUCUUCGCAAGCUUCACAAGGGGGUGUAGGUUUGCUUUUGGUUCCUCUUAUGCACACAAGGUGUUUGAUGAAAUGCCCCAAGAGCGUGAAACAAACAUGAUAUGAAGUGUUGGAGCCACACUUGAGGUUCCUCAUUUAUUUUUUCCUCCUCGAUCGCGGUUAGCAACUUGAACCUUUCAUGCAUGUGUGUCAUUGAUAAAAUAUGCAUGUGUGUUGUUCAUUGUUUAAUUUCUAUUGUUUAUAGCUAGUUAGUUUAACAAAUGCAUGAUGGUUAAUUAUAUAUUUUAUAUUAUAAUAAUGCAGAUGAAUCGGCAAUGGAUGUACGGUAACCGACUCUCCCGCGAGUUCACUACGGGUUUGAAAGAUUUCCUCGUAGUGGCUAAUGCGAACAAGCAGAAGGGUUUUGUUAUCUGUCCAUGUGUUGACUGUAAGAAUCAGAAGGGUUACUCUUCCUCAAGAGAAGUUCACUUGCACCUGCUUCGGCACGGUUUCAUGCCAAGCUAUAAUUGUUGGACCAAGCAUGGAGAAAGAGGGGUUAUAAUGGAAGAAGAUGAAGAAGGGGAUGAUUUCAUCGAUGAAAGCUAUCUUGCUCAUUUCGGUGAUACUUUCAUGGAGGAUGCUGAAGGUGAAGGGGAAGGUGAAGGUGAAGAAGAGGCACGUGAUGAGACCGUUGAUGAUCUUGGUCGGACCAUUGCUGAUGCACGGAGACGCUGCAAAACUGAAAAGGAGAGGGAGAAUUUGGAUCGCAUGUUAGAGGAUCACAGAAAGUCGUUGUACCCCGGAUGCGAUGAUGGUCUGAAAAAGCUGGGCUGCACACUGGAUUUGCUGAAAUGGAAGGCACAGGCAGGUGUAGCUGACUCGGCAUUUGAAAACUUGCUGAAAAUAUUGAAGAAUAUGUUUCCAAAGAAUAACGAGUUGCCCACCAGUACGUACGAAGCAAAGAAGGUUGUCUGCCCUCUAGGUUUAGAGGUUCUGAAGAUACAUGCAUGCAUCAACGACUGCAUCCUCUACCGCGGUGAAUACGAGAAUUUGAAUGAAUGCCCGGUAUGCACUACAUUGCGUUAUAAGAUCAGAGGCGAUGACCCUGGUGACGAUGUUGAGGGCGAGAAACCCAGGAAGAGGGUUCCCGCCAAGGUGAUGUGGUAUGCUCCUAUAAUACCACGGUUGAAACGUCUGUUCAGGAACAAAGAGCAUGCCAAGUUGUUGCGAUGGCACAAAGAGGACCGUAAGUCGGACGGGGAGUUGAGACACACCGCAGAUGGAACGCAAUGGAGAAAGAUCGACAGAGAGUUCAAAGAUUUUGCAGCUGACGCAAGGAACAUAAGAUUUGGUCUAAGUACAGAUGGCAUGAAUCCUUUUGGCGAGCAGAGCUCCAGCCAUAGCACCUGGCCCGUGACUCUAUGCAUCUACAACCUUCCUCCUUGGUUGUGCAUGAAGCGAAAGUUCAUUAUGAUGCCAGUGCUCAUCCAAGGUCCGAAGCAACCCGGCAACGACAUCGAUGUGUACCUAAGGCCAUUAGUUGAUGAACUUUUACAGCUGUGGGGCAGACCUGGUGUCCGUGUGUGGGAUGAGCACAAAGAAGAGGAAUUUGUCCUACGAGCGUUGCUUUUCGUAACCAUCAACGAUUGGCCUGCUCUUAGUAACCUUUCGGGACUGUCAAAUAAGGGAUACAAUGCAUGCACGCACUGCUUACAUGAGACUGAAAGUGUACAUUUUCCAAAUUGUAAGAAGAACGUGUACCUUGGGCAUCGUCGAUUUCUUCUGAAAAUUCAUCCAGUAAGAAAGAAAGGCAAGCAUUACAACGGCAAGGCAGAUCACCGGCCGAAGCCUGCGGAACGCACUGGUGAUGAGGUAUUUGAUAUGGUCAAGGAUUUGAAAGUCAUCUUUGGAAAGGGUCCUGGCGGACAAUCAGUUCCGAAGGGAGCUGACGGGCACGCAGCCAUGUGGAAGAAGAAAUCUAUAUUCUGGGAGCUAGAAUAUUGGAAAGUCCUAGAAGUCCGCUCUGCAAUCGACGUGAUGCACGUUACGAAGAAUAUUUGCGUGAACCUCCUAAGCUUUUUGGGCGUGUAUGGAAAGACAAAUGAUACAAAGGAAGCACGGCAGGACCAGCAACGUUUGAAAGACCCUGAUGACCGGCAUCCGGAAUGGUUUCAAGGUCGUGCCAGCUACGCUCUGACCAAAGAAGAGAAGGUCAUCUUUUUUGAAUGCCUGAGCAGUAUGAAGGUCCCGUCUGGAUUCUCGUCCAAUAUAAAGGGAAUAAUAAACAUGGCGGAGAAAAAGUUCCAAAACCUGAAGUCUCACGACUGCCACGUGAUUAUGACGCAAUUGCUUCCGAUUGCUUUGAGGGGGCUCCUGCCGGAAAAUGUUCGAGUAGCCAUUGUGAAGCUAUGUGCAUUCCUCAAUGCAAUCUCUCAGAAGGUAAUCAAUCCAGAAGUUCUACCACGGUUACAGAACGAUGUGAUCCAAUGUCUUGUCAGUUUCGAGUUGGUGUUCCCGCCAUCCUUCUUCAAUAUUAUGAUGCACCUCCUGGUUCACCUAGUCGAAGAGAUUUUCAUUCUCGGUCCUGUAUUUCUACACAAUAUGUUCCCCUUCGAGAGGUUCAUGGGAGUAUUAAAGAAAUAUGUUCGUAACCGUGCUAGGCCAGAAGGAAGCAUCGCCAAGGGCUAUGGAAAUGAGGAGGUAAUUGAGUUUUGUGUUGACUUUGUUCCUGACCUUAAGCCGAUUGGUCUUCCUCGAUCGCGGCAUGAGGGGAGACUAAGUGGAAAAGGCACGAUCGGAAGAAAAUCAACGAUAUGUAUGGACGUCCAUUCUCUGACUGAAGCACACCACACUGUACUGACCAAUUCCAUCUUGGUGGCUCCGUACUUUGAGAAACACAAGAAUAUUUUACGCUCGGACAACCCGGGGAAGCCUGAAUCCUGGAUUAGGAAGGCCCACAUGGAGACUUUCGGCAGUUGGUUGAGAAAACAUUUAAUGAAUGACAAUGAUGUUGUAGAUCAGCUGUACAUGUUGGCCAAGACACCAUCUUCGACUAUAAUGACUUUCCAAGGGUACGAGAUAAAUGGGAAUACAUUUUACACGAUCUCCCAAGAUAAAAAGAGCACCAACCAAAACAGUGGUGUCCGCUUUGAUGCAGCAACCGAGAAUGGGCAAAAGGUCACAUAUUAUGGUUACAUAGAGGAGAUAUGGGAACUUGACUAUGGACCCUCCUUUAAGGUCCCUUUGUUCCGGUGCAAAUGGUUCAAGCUAACAGGAGGUGGGGUAAAGGUGGACCAGCAAUACGGAAUGACAAUGGUGGAUUUCAAUAAUCUUGGUUACCUUGACGAACCAUUCGUCCUAGCGAAAGAUGUCGCUCAGGUUUUCUAUGUGAAGGACAUGAGUAGCAAACCGAGGAAACGGAAAGAUAAGAAAACGAUCAGUACAUCAUGCGAUGAUCCAAAGCGCCACAUUGUUCUUUCAGGGAAAAGAAACAUCGUGGGAGUGGAGGACAAGACAGACAUGUCAGAAGAUUAUAAUAUGUUUGCUGAAAUUCCGCCCUUCAAAGUGAACACCGACCCAAGCAUUAAGUUAAAUGAUGAGGAUGCUCCAUGGAUACGGCACAAUCGUAAGCAAGAAGGGACACAAGGGAAGAAAUGAUGUGUAAUAAUUUAUUACCCGUGAUGUGUUUGGUGUCCAUUUUCGAAUGAUUCGAGAUACCACUGAUGAUACAUGAAAUUUGGAGUGAUUUAGUCAUACUCCUGCCUAGGCGUAUAAUAUGCAUACUCGUAGUCUUCAUAGCCGCCGUCGUCGUCGUUCCUGUCGUCGCCUUCUAAGUUGCCGCCGUCGUCAUCGCUGCUGUCGUCGCUGUCGUCGGGCGGCGCUCGUGGCUCGAACUGAGGGUAGCGCAGGCGGGGGAUAUCGCCGGCCGUGAUGUAGUCCAUGACGCUCUGCAGAGUCCGGCCGUACCACCAUAGCCGACGGCCGGCCUCGUGGAAGUUCCCAGGAGGCAGACCGUCCUCCUCAUACCUGGCGAGCGCCCUCUCACGCCGAUUAAUGAAGAAGGCGUCCCAAGUAUGCUGGUUAUCGGGAUGCCAGCGGGGAUUCAUCCGCUGCUCCGGCGUGAGGUCGAGGUAGUAGUGGUUCGUGAUGGCCGCCCGGCACGCAGUACCCUGAGGGACGGGAGGGACCGGCACGCCGCCGGCGCUUAGGCUCCAGCCGGUGGGGACGCGGUAGCCCGGUGGACAAGGGUAGUUCGAGGCGCAAAGCUCCUCCACCUGCUGGUAGGUUAGAGUGGGUGCGGUGGAAGCCAUGAGAGAGUGAUGAGAGAUUGUAGAGAUGUGAUAAUGCUGGCCAAGACGGGCUACAUAUAUGUAGUGAGAAAUGGCGGGAAAAAUGGGAGCGGGAAGACAGGAGGCGGGAAGAAAGUGGCGGGAAGAAAGAGGCGGGAAGACAAGGAAGAAAUGGCGGGAAGAAGAUAAUAUUUGUGUUUUUAACAUAUUGAAUUGAAUUAGUUCUAUUUUUCUGAAUUUUUUGAUAUAUUAUUUGUAUUUUUAACAUAUUGAAUUGAAUUACUUUUAUNNNNNNNNNNCGCCGUCGCCCUCGCCCUCAACGCCGCCCGCCGCCGCCCGCCGCGCUGUCAGGCGACGACUCCGGCGCCUCGGCCGGGUAAUUAUCCUCAAGCGCCGUCUCCUCCAGGCCCCGUGCCGCGCGGCCCAUGGCGGCGCACGAGAGCAGCAGCACGGCCAAGAGAAGAAGCGCGGUGCAGCGGGCCUUCUCCGGUGAAGUGCCGCCACGGGAGAGGCUCACCGGAGCUCUCUCCGGCACCCGCCUACGGGUCCCAUCUGUCAUACACAUGAACACACUGCUGGGUGCACUUCCGUGUACCCAUAGCAGUUUCUGUAUUUAAUAAUUUGAAUUAAAUUAAAUCAGGAUAUUAGAAAAUGAACCAAAACUUUGAAAAUUAAUAGAAAAUAAACCGUAACUCGGAUGGGAAAACUCUGUACAUGAAAGUUGCUCAGAACGACGAGACGAAUCCGGAUACGCAGCCCGUUCGUCCAUCACGCAUCCCUAGCAUAGCGAACACGCAACUUUCCCCCUCCGACCCAUCUGUCUGAAAACGCGAAACACCGGGAAUACUUUCCCGGAUGUUUCCCCCCUUCACCGGUACCACCUCGUACCGCGUUAUGGUACACCUAGCAAAUAAAAAACUUGCCAUGAUGAAUUACUAAAAUUUGCCAUGAUCUAUCAAAUAAUUUUGACAUGAUUCAUAAGUAAAAAAAGAAAUAUGUCAUCAGUUAUUUUAACAAUGCAUGGUCACUGGCUCAAAUUUGGCAUGAACUAUAAACUAAAACUAUCAUGGUGAAUUACUUAAAUUUGCCAUGAUACAUGUACUAAAAUUUGCCAUGGUUCAUACAAAAAUGUGUAAACCCUCUCCCACCCCUUCCUCGCCCCCUUCUUUUGCCACCGCCCUUUCGCCACCGCCACCGCCACCGCCACCGCCCCCCUUCUUCACUUAAUUAAUUUGUUUUUACUACAUGUUUUCAGGACUGACAUAAUGGCGGACGAUAGAGCUGACCCGAUUAUGGACAACUAUGAUCCGGACGGUGAAGCACAUAUGUUCGGCAUCAUAAACGGCGAUAUUCUAUAUGUGCCGACCGGACAAGAAGAAGAUGAUAUCUCUUCUUAUCUGAACCUUGACGGUGAAGAUGAAGGGCGCCGUCAGCAAGAUGAUGCCGAACAAACGUCGAUAAACGACGAUCUUCAAAUGGAAGUAGCAACCACCUCCGGCGCCGAGGUAUAUAUAUACAUUGAGCCUCUGGUGAUACAAACUAACUGAUUUGAAUAAAUAUGUGUGUACUAACGUGCGCGACUCUCUUUCUUAUUUUAGCCCUCGGCCGGAUCGUCGAAACAAUCGAGUACAUCGUCAAAGCGUGGCGCAACCAAGACGAUGAAACAAGGAGAAACAUGCACCAUCGAGGUUGUCGACAGUGCAACCGGCAGGCCGCUGGAGCCCCGCAAGAACGCCACCAAGUUUGUCAACCAAUGCGGAGCCGUUGUUAGAGACAACGUCUCGAUCACCGUCCAGGAGUGGAAUAAGCCAAAGAAGGCACGAAUUGCUGGUUUCACUUUUGUCGAUAAGAGAACAAAAAAAGAUUGCUUCAAGAAGCUUAUGGAACAUUUCAUUCUACCUCCGGAAUACAACAAAUUCGAUGAGGAGGGUAACAAGAUUGAGGAAAACAAGGAGAGGAUGAGGCUAGUCAAACAGUUCGCUCUUCAUAAGAUGGCCGACGCAUUCCGGAAAUUCAAGCAAAAUCUAGCCCGUGACUUUGUCAAGCAGAACAAGACUCCGGAUUUCAAAGGACAAUAUGAGAAACUGAAACAUGAUUGGCCAGAAUUUGUGAAGCAAAAGAAAUCGGAGCAGUUCAUUCAAAUAUCAAAAAAAAUAAGGAAAAUGCGGCUAAGAAGGAGUACAAUCAUAUUAUGGGGCCAGGAGGGUAUCGCCUUUGGGUGCCUAGGUUGGAGAAGAUGGAGAACGAGCUGAGGGCGCGAGGAAUCCGUCCAGGUACGGAGGGAUGGGACCCAAGGGCCAAAAGCUGGUGGUACGGGCAUGGGGGAACGCUGAACCCGAAGACAGGGGAGUGUGUUUACCGGGGCAAAAUAAUUAAACCCACCCAAGCCCUUAUUGACGCAAUGAGGGAUGCUCAAGAGGGGAAGAUCAAGUUCAACAGAGAGAACGACGCGCUGACAAAAGCCCUCGGGAAUCCUGAACACGGAGGACGUGUACGAGGCAUGGGGCACAUUCCGUGGAAAAUAGGGUUCCCCCAGAACGAUGACCCGUACGGUUACAGAAGCCGUAAGAGAAAGAUGGAUCGGGAAGCAGAUGUUGUGGCGCGGUUGGCAUCGGAAAUGGAUGUGAUGAAGAAAACCGUGAGUGUACUAGUAGCCGAAAGAGAUGCAGCUCGGGCGCAGCAUGAAGAUCAUCUAGCGGAUCUCGGAAGCCAGCAGCGGAGAAGCAGCGUGGCUUCCUCGGAGGCCCCACCGGCUGGUGCAGAUGCACCGACGAUCGAAAUUACUGCACCGGAGCCUCUGGUGGUCGAAAUUACUGCAUCGGAGCCUCCUCGCUACCCCGUGGACGAUAUAAAGGAGAUGAAAGAAUGUCAUCUGUAUUAUCCUAUCGGGAACAUGUCCAUGAAGGUAGCCAUCGGCAGUGCUUUACCAUGUUUACCUGGAGCACUCCACCACAACAACCCCAUUCAAGAUGGCUAUGCUCGUGUCACGGUGGAGGACAUAGUCCAAGGGUUUGAGGACCUGGAGAUUGACAUUGCUACACCUGAAGGGGAGAAAAGACUUGGAGAUGUCAAGCGCCAUUUCAUUCUAUGGCAAAAGAAGUUUAUCAAGUUUCCAGGCGAGGCGCCAAGGACAACAAGUCCACCCCCCUACGGUGGUGGUGGUGGCGGUGGUGGUGGUGGUGGUGGUGGUGGCGGUUCACCUACACCUCCGUCACGUCAGUCGACGCCCCUCAGUCCACAACGUCCGGCGGGUGAUCAGACGCCGCCCCCCAGUCCUCGUCCGGCGGGUGAUCAGACGCCGCCCCCAGUCCUCGUCCGGUGGGUGAUCAGCCGACGCCCCCCAGUCCACAACGUCCGGCGGGUGAUCAGACGCCGCCCCCCAGUCCUCGUCCAGCGGGUGAUCAGACGCCGCCCCCCAAUCCACCUCCGGCAAAGAAGCAGAAGCAGUCCUGGAUUAUUAACCCGGACCCUUAUGUACCUAAGACCACAAAGGUACCGGAGCCAUCACUGAAGCCUCUCCCCACAAGGCCUUGGGAACGUAGUGCCGAGGAAACUGCCGCGGCCGCGGCUGCUGAUCAUGACAAAUGGAAGGCGGACUGCAAGAAGAAAAGAGAGCCCGAGCCCAAGCCAGUAUUUUCUGAUGAGCAAAAGAAGUGGGCUAAGUCAUUUUUGAGCACACCGUCCCAAGCCGCGAAGAAUCUGCCUGACGACUAUGCACGUGAACUUCGUAGGCAGGCACUCAUGUUGAAGGAGAAGAAAGAGCGGGCGGAGAACCAGGAGAACAAAGCCUUGGAGGAGGCCGAGAAAACGGAAUUAGAAAGUAAAAAAGCGGGAAACGAGUUGCCCAGCUCGGGGAACAAAGUAAACAAUCGAUUGCCCCGCUUAUAGUGAAAGCCGCCGGUCCGGAUGACCCCGAUAUCAUAGUAGCUGCGGCAGCACAUGGAUUGACUGUAACGAGUGCCAGAGAACAAGUGGCCAACUUAGGUAUUACUCUUCGUGAACUGUUAGGCCUUGAUGAGGCGCCAGUGAAGGAGGUAGUAAUUACAUAUGUGAAGAAUGGGCCUCUCGUCGAGCCUGCGCAGGAAAAGGAUCUACCUCCACAAAUGAAAGGUCUGCUGAAAUGGUACAAGGGUUACAUAAAAAAUAAAAACGCCAAAGAAUAUAUUUAUGCGGAAGUUAGAUAUGAGCAUCACUUCAAACAUUACUAUGUACAAAUUCUUCUGAGUGAAUUGUUCCAGCUUUUCAAUCUGCGCGAGCUCGACAAAUCUAUCAUCAGUUGCUACGUUCUGUAAGUGAUUUAUUUCUACCCCAUCUCGUUCAUAUUGCCUGCACUAUAUAUAUGUCCUAACUAUAUUGUUGUGUCCGCUAUUAUACAUGCAGAAUGAAGAUUAAGGAAUGCAGAGUAAGGAACAUCCAUGAUGUUGGGUUCAUUGACCCACACAUCGUUAAUGGAUAUGUGUUGGAGCAUCACCCCGCCGACAUGGAGGCAGACCUGUGGCAGUUUCUUACAAAGCAGGAACUCAAAAGUGAUAUUCUAUUUCCUUACCAUUUUGGGUGAGUGUUUCUGUCUUGAGCACAUUCUCUUUUGUUUACUCCAUGCAUGGUAUGUGGCUGGCUAAUCGAUGAGUUAUGCAUGACGUACUGUGCAUGUAUCGUGUCCGCAGGUUUCACUGGAUUCUGCUAGUAAUUAAAGUUGACACCUCAGAAUGUCUCGUCCACGACUCUCUGAAUAUGGAUCCAAAGCUUUGGGGCGGCAUGAGAAGAAUGCUGCAGAAGUAAUUAUUUUCAUUCAUUUGCGCUCUAUAUCGAUCGGCCUAUUUCGUUCAUUUCCUAAUAUCAAGUAACUAAUAACUCUCUUGUUCAUUUAAUUUUCUUUGCCUCGUAGGGUUUGGAGACGGUUCGUAGAUACAAAGGUCGGUGAAUUCAAAAAAGAGCUAGAAUUCAAAAGGUCAAAGGCUAAGAAUGCUGGGGAUAUUCAGCCAGCGGGGACCAAUCUAUGUGGAUACUAUGUCUGUGAGAUGAUCCGGAGAUACACCUCUGAGCGGGUUCCGAGUGAUACCAAUGCUCAGAGGAAUAACCUCCGGAUGAUGCUUAGUCCAGAAGCUCGCUUCCGACCACUUCAAGAGGAACUAGCUGGAUGGUUCAGCAGGGAAGUCCUCCAUUCUAAAGGAGAACACCAUUACGAGGACGUAGAACUUUAUAUGCAUUAAAUUAUGUAUGGAAACUUGUUCAAAAUUGUAUAUGGUCAUCCGAUGAUAUUGAAUAUAUAUUGUAUAUUCCUCUUGAAUUCUUUUUGGUUCUAAUUUCAAAUUUGUUUGAAAUUGUACAUUCAUAUGCAUGUAUGUAGUACCGUAGAAUAUGUGAAACUCCUUCAAAAUUAAAAUAAAGCACAAAAGAAAUAAAACAAUACAAAUUAAACAGAAAACAGGUUUAGGGGGGGGGGCUAAAACCCUAAACCUGUGGCGGCCUUUAGUCGCGGUUGGCCAGAAGAACCGCGACUAAAGGUCCUCCGCCCCGACGGCCGCCUGGCGCCCACGUGGACGGGCCUUUAGUCGCGGUUCUUAAGCAACCGCGACUAAAGUGGGGGUCCUUUAGUCGCGCCUAUUUGGUCGCGGUUGCGCAACCGCUACUAAUGGCAGUUGCGAACCGCGACCAAAGGCCCUUUUUCCACUAGUGGUGGAGUAAUGUUCGUAAAUUAUAUAUUGCUUUCAAGUUUGGAGCUGGAAUAAUAUAUGUGCUGCAUUUAGUUAUAGUCUUAUAGAUAUACAUGAACAUCCAUUGUAUAUUUCUUGCAAGACAUGGUAACUACUAUUAUUUUGAUUGUUUCCGUGAACUAUUUUGACCUUGAUUAAGAAGUAGAAAGUUUUUAGCCUCGUAGGUUGUUUGAUCUACUAUAUCAAGUGGCACUUGGCUUCUCAUGGCUCUCCUCGCAUUUGCCAAAACAAAAUUAGUACACACUACCUAGAGCUCUGGAAAUUAGAACUGAAAAAUGGUCCUGCGGUUUAUUAGCUGAUAUAAAUCAUGCACAAUCCUCUACAUUUAAAAAUAAACCGGACACAAAGCAGUAUACUUUUUUCCGAGUACUACCUUGAGAGAGCCAAGGGGUUCUGCAUUUUAUAAAGAAGAAGAAAGUUGCCCGGUUCCAUACAUGCUUAUCUGAGAAAUAUAUCUUAUCUAUCUAGUGGAAACCAGGCAAAAACCUACAGAUACAAAAGGCACAAAGUCCCCCACCGGUCGUGACCGAACUACUGUUUUUGGAAAUAUAAAAUGAGCUAGAUUACUAACAUUGAUGUAAUGCUUGUAUGUCAACCUAUUCCUUUAUCGGUUCAAUUACAGAGUUUUGUUAUUAUGUGAAUGGAGUAAUGGAGAGCUAAGAAAAAACAAGGUAACAGUUAGUGUUACUCUUGCGAGGUAGUUUCAAUCAUAUCAUUGUUUGCUUUCCCUUUUCUCCUGCCUAGGUAUGUACAAUUAUUCCAACCCAGGUUUCUUUCAAGAAGGAUAUGGGUAUGUGUUUGAGGAAUGUCUACAUGAUAAAACACACCUUCAAGUUUGGUGAUAGUUAUGCUAUCAAACUUACAAUGGGGGUCUUAAUUUGUAUUUUUAAUAGAGCACUGGGUUCAUUGGUGAGACUUGUGAGGAUGUGCCUAGGCUAAAGAUGGCUCCUAUGUCGGUACCAAGUGGCAUGUGUUUAAAUGGAGUAUCCUUGUCAGGAGAGCUGAUUUCUGAAAUAUGGUACUUUAUGGGUGCAAGGAUUCACCAUGUUGCGGUCUUCGUCAGCGAAGUGGACUCCUAGGAAUUAGUCAAGGCCGCUAUGUUGUUUUAAGCUGAUAUUCUAUUGUACUUGUAUUUUUUUUGCUUAUCUAGUUGUUUGCCAUGCAGUUCUCGUUGUUGGUGGGGACAUUUGUUGUCUAAGAUCGACCUCAAAUAUCUGGUGGCACUAUAGCAUGGCUUUUGAUAUUCUAAUGUAUAUCUCUUACAAAAUAUUUCAAGAGCCCGUGGCAACGCACGGGCAUUAUACUAGUGUAAGUAAGGAUGGAGAUGAAGAUGGUGUGGCGACAAGGAUAUAACAAAACGCCUGGUUCCUUCAGCCAAAAGUUGGCAACGUUCCUUGUUACACACGCUCCGCCCAACAAACGCUCCAAAAGCCAAAAUACAAUUCCUCAAACAACGGCCAAAGACUACUUCCCCACAUGGAAAAGAAAUACGCACAUGGCGUUACAAUGUUGGCUACUCAUGUCUGAGUUCCUAAACCCUUGCAAAACAGAAAGAAAGGUUGUUUGCUAAACAAAAGAAAGGCCAACACAAUCCUAUCCAAACACUCCACAUUUUUACUAUGUGGCAAAAAUAUGCAACUUUUUUUUGUUUUUAGGUACAUGCCAUUUAAAAAAAACACAAUUUUUUUAUGUUCACACGCCAAGGUAUUUUGUACACAUGGCAAAAUUUUCCGAAGAAGAAAAAUCUCACGACCCCAUGGAUAAUUCAUAACUUUUUGUCUUUCAAGCAGGGCAAUUUUAAGUCAUUUUGUAAUGCUAUUGUGGCAAACGAUGGGAUCUUUAAUCAAUUUUCAUGGCGAAUUUGGGAUUCUUUUCCCUACUUUUUCACAUGGCAAUUUUAUUAUGAUUAAAAUGGAGAUCUUAUUAUUCAAAACAUGGCAGCUUUACUAUUAAGAGCAUGGCAAUUUAAGUAUGAUAGAAUCUCCUCCCCUGCUCGGUCUACCCCACAUGCAUGGCGUAUAACAUCCUCUAGCCCCAAUUGCCGCCAAACCUCUUUAGCCUUAUGGCAUCGAAAUAGUACAUGAAACACAUCUUCUGCUCCUUGUUUACAUGUAGGACACGUCGGCCGGACUGGGAUGUGUCUAUUAGCAAGAACCACAUUGCAUGGCAGUGUUCCGUGUAAGGUUCUCAGAAGAAAAUUUUUAACUUUCGCCGGACAAUUCAGUUUCCAAACCUUUUCCCAUGUUGGGUUAGCACUAGUGGCUCCCAAACCAUCUGUCCUCUGCAAUUUACGACCAUGCUGAAAGUACCAUAGAGCAUGGUAGGCCGAUUUCACUGUAAAAAUUCCAUGUUUAUUCAAACUUCAUGCUACAAAGUCACUCAUAUCAUGUGUAGGUAGUGGUAAAGCAAGGACCCGUUCCACAUCAAUCGGCCAGAAGGUUUGCUCCACAAGUGGCACAUCCCAGUGACCUGUAGCUGGAUCAAUUAAAUCACUCACCUUUGAUAGUAACUGGUUACCUCUUGGGGUAAUAAUCAUUCUGGAUGGUGAGUUAGGAAUCCACGCAUCCCUCCAAACAUUUAUUUUUUCACCAUCCCCUACUCUCCAAAUGUAUCCAUGUUUCUGGGUAUUCACCCCUUGCAUAAUGCUUUGCCAAGUGUAGGAGGAAUUCUUUUUCAGCUUAAUUAAUUUACCAGCACAAGAAGCGGGGAGUGAAAAACUUCCAUGACUUGAUGUCCACUUGCUGCUGGUACCUUUGGUGGGAGAGGAGAAAGCUUGUGCACAAUGAGCCGGUACAAGAUGCGAAGAGAGUUGCGCAAGCGGUAUGUGCUUUAGCUGCUAACUAUGCUAUUGCAUGUGACCCAAAGGCCUCGUUAAAGAGGGGAGGUUGGUGCAAACCCCCUAGUGGAUAUGUCAAGUUAAAUGUUGAUGCGGCCUUUGAUUGGGAUUUGCUUCAGGGGGCGAUGGGAGCAGUCAUCCAGAUGAUAGAGGACAUAUGGUUGUAGCUGGAAACAAGCUCAUUGAUUCAUGUUAUGAUGUACUAACUGUUGAGGCAAUGGCUUUGAAGUUUGGGUUGAAUAUGGCGCUCACAGCUGGGUGCAAUAGACUGAUUGUCAACUCGAAUAAUCUGGAACUCAUGGAAAUAAUGAAUAAGGAUGGCCAAUAUGCUGGAGAUGCCGCGGCCAUUGUCGAUGAUUGUUAUCAUCUGGCUUGCGAAUUUAGCUCUAUUGUCUUCGAAUUUUGCCCCAGAGAGUCGAAUGGGGUUGCACAUGAACUAGCUAGGAUUGCUAGAAGUUCGCUUUGUAAUGAGUGGUUAGAUAAUGCUCCUUCUGAGCUUCUUCACCUCUACUUAAAGAUGUAAGUCUGAUCACGAAUGAAUAAAGAGGAAGUAAAGUUGUCAAAAAAAAAGAGCAUGACAAUUUUAUUUUUAAUGGCAUGUCAUUCUUACCUCUUUUUUUUUGAGAAAAGCAUGUCAUCUUUACUAUGUCCUUCUCGCCUGCUGUAUGAAGUAGGCGGACCCUAGAUGGGCUUUCCCAAUAUUGGUUCCUGGGACAGGGUUCAUGCAGAGUUUUUUUUUCCUGGGCCAAUUUUCAUCUUUUUGUUUGGUUUUCUGUCUUAUGUGUUUCUUUAUGGAUUUUAUUUCUUUCUCAAUACAUGUCCAUUUUUCUAAAUACACACUGUAAAAAUUUACACAUCUUGAACAUUUUUUAUUAAUUGGCAUAAACCUAUUUUUGGAGUGUGUGAGCAUUUUUUAAUUGUCAUGUACAUUUUUCUGAAAGGCAGUAUUUAUUUUGUUGAAUUACGUGAGCAUUCUUUCCACAUUGUAUGACAUUUUCUAAUAAUCUCACGUAUAUUUUUUGAAACACGCGAACAUAUUUUUGAAUGCUAUAAACAUUUUUUAUAUCAUGCUGCAUUUGGUCUAUAUUAGUUUAAACUAAGUCAGUGACAAUUAAUAUGGAUCAUAGAGAGUACAAUUUUGUACAUGAUGUUUAUACUUUUAUAUUUCACUUUCAACAUUUUUUAUUUGUUAAACUCUAUUGUGUUUUUGGAAUAAGUGUAUUUAGAAUAUAUUUUUUUAAAUGUAAAUAAAAUGGAGCGAAUGAAGAAGCAGAGAAGAAAAACGAAGGCCGGCCAAAUGUAUGGCGUUCCCUGCCUCAUACCUGCAAAUCAAGCUAAGCAGCGGGUGAUAAUUUUUUACACAAUGUUUAUAGUUUUCUAUUUCACUUUGAACAUUUCAAAAUUUUAAGGAAAUUAUUAUUUUUAAAUAAAUGUUUUUAGUUUUUUUAAUAAAAAGGUGAAAAAAAGGAAAUUGAGCGAAUGAAGAAGCAGAGAAGAAAAACGCCCUUUCUUUCAUCAACUGAACUGCGUGCGUGCAUGGAAGGGCUAUCAUCUGCACUUAAGAGGAGUGACUUACCUAUCAUUGUGGAGAUGGACUCUAUUCUUGCAGUCAAACUGAUCCAAUCGAGGGAUUUGGACAAAUCUAUUUAUGCUUGGAUAGUUAAGGUGAUCAAGUAUGUUUUGGGGAUUCGUGGUUCUUGUAUUACUCAUGUAAAUCGCUCUUAAAAUAAAGUUAGCGACUGCUUAGCUAGAUUUGCUAAAUUAGAAGGACAAAGCAUGACUUGGGUUGGUUCUGGUCCAGAUGUUGCUGUUGAGCCAGCUAUUGCUCAAUGUAUGGACACCAUGAGUUGAGUAAUGCAAAAAAAAAAAAAAAGUUUGCGCAGAAUUAUUUUCGACCUGCCUCAUAUCUCUACUCUUAAUGGACGACUUGGUGAAUAGUCUUCAUGGUUUAUUUUCGCUGUUUUUUUUUGUCAUCCUCCCACCUCACGGUUUCAAAAAAACCAACCAAAACCAGAGGCCCGUCCCACGAAACGAAACCCAAUUUGCCCCCGUACCAUCACUCCUCCCUCUCCCUCUACCUCCCUUGUCUAGGGUUCCCCGCCACCACUGCGGCAUCCGCCGCCGAAUCCUAGGUCGCCGCACACCGUCGCCGCCGCCGCGAAUCCCCAGGGACGCCGCACGCCACCGCCGUCGCGAAUCACCAGAGACGCUGCACGCUGCCGCCGCGGAUCCCCAAGGGCGUGGUCGCAUUGUACUAGACAAAGUGUGGUCGCCGUCGUCCUCUCCUCGUCCGACCUUGACCUCAUCCCUUCGACUCCGGUGACUCCUCUGUGGCCCGGGCGGCCCUGGCCGACGCCGUCACAGCCAACGCCGGCCUCACCUCUGCGGCCUCACGCACUGCCGCCGCCGAGGAGCCGGCCUGAUAGGUUUGAACCAUCCCUUGAUCCCUCGAGUAUUCUGCGUCCCUUGAUGGCUCGAUUCCUUGUCUUCUCCAUCUAUCAAUCCCUCGCAUCCUUGCAUGCUACGAAGAGAAUGGUUCCCUUUCUACAGGGUCUGGUGUGAAAGAGUUGGAGCAAGGAGGACGUGUGCGGCCACUUCGCGCUUCGGCGAGAUCCUCAAGGUUGUCAUCGCAGACAAGGGCACUGGAAGAUCCAAGGGCGGCGGAUUCGUGAGUACCGCCCAAACAAUUCUCUCCUCCCCUCAUCAUCGAUUGAUCUUCCUGUAGUUAAUUUUCUUGCUUAAUUCAGCCCCGUUAGUUGAUGCUAUGCCUGGAUGGAUGCUUGGCAUGUUACGUUCCAGGAAGCGGAGGCGGCCAUUAGGGCGUGCUUGGGUCCGUACCCGGUGAUUGACGGCCGGAGGGCCAACUGCAACCUCGCCUGCCUCGAGGUCCAAGGCGCCACAACGAAAACGCCCGCCUCGAUACUCAGCUUCAAGGGAUGUGUCCUGCCACGGGUAGUGCCAUCACACCGGCACAAUGAACUCCCGUGCAACCCAGCAUCCGCAUUGAGACAUCUUUCUUGGCGCUGCCAUUGCUGCCGUACUCUGACAGUCCAUGCAUUGACGCAUCGAUUCAGAAGGUGAGCCCCAGCGACGGCUCCGGAAGAAGGGAUUGGCUGCAGCUGAUUUGGGAGGCCCAGUCGGGGAGAGCAGGGAGGAGGAGCAUCGAUGAUAUUCCUCCCGUCCCAUAGCCAAAGGGAGUGUCAGCGCACCCAGCGGCGGCACAUCUUGCGGCAGCAAUUGACGUAUCGUACCAGGCGGCUGUGUAGCUGGUGAAGUGGUGAGUGCAAAGUGUUUGUGCUAAUGAUUGAGCGGAGUUAUCUUAUGAUUGUCAUAUCACACUAUUUACGAGUAGUAAUGCUUAACUCCGUUGCCUUAGCGUGUGAUUGUGUCAUGUCCGUGACAAUACUAAUGCUCAAUGUUGUUGCCCGAGAGGCCCUUUUUGUAGUUAUCAUAAACGAGUAGGCAGCAUGUAAGAGCACCCACAGUGCUUAGAUGUAUGCUCAUUGCCCUUAAGCAGUGCGUUCUUGUCAACUCACAAGAUUGUACUAUUGUAUUUUGUAGGUACAUCUGAAGAUUCAUCUGCAGUUAGGUAGAAAAUGAUUCAUGUUUUACAUCCAAAAGUUAUACAUUUUUCAGGCUGUAAGCACCUUUAAAGUUAUUCAUGCAUACUUUUUUCAGGCUGUAAACUGCACCCUUAUAGUUAUUCAUGCCUUUUCUUUUAUAUAGUCGUGAUACUUAGAAUACUUAUAUAUUGUCAGUUAUAGGUAAUAUGUUCCAUCAAACAGGAGUUUACUCAGUAUUCAAUAAGAUAUUUUAUUUUUAAUAGUUAUAAGAGGAGACCUGCAUGAAAAACAAGAGUGCAGUUGGUUCAAUCAAAUAGAACUGCAGGUUGAUGGGGGUGGUUUAAUAAAAAGAAAAAGAUGAAAUAGAUUGGUGUUUAUUUAUUCUCUGCGGAAAAUUUUGGGCUCUUUUGUUAUGCUUGCAACUUUGUUUUGGAAUAGGGUAGUUAAAGUGUACUUUUCUUAUGGAAGGCAUGAAAAAGCAUGCGUAGCUAAUUACAACUCAGAAACAAAUGUCUUUGUUUCAAAAAUGACAAUGACGGAAUAAAUUGUUUCAAAAAAUAACUACAAAAAUCUAAAAAUCUAAACAUAGUGAUCAGAUGAACACGGUGGCCACUGAUGAUGUUGGAAUUAGGAUAAGUAGCGAGAUGGGUGGGAGGGCAUGUUGAAGUAGAGAACAUGGACUUGCGGGGAGGAGGGGUGCUUACUUGAGCCAAUUUAUUAGAUUAAGGGUGUGCAUGACUUUUUCCAUAUGCACGAAUUAUUAGUUAGUGAGAAUUAAGCGCCAUGCAUUCUUGGUUUGAUUGUUAUUCGUCGACCAUGAGCAAGAAUCUGUCAAUUAAUUAGAUGCUUUAAUUAACUUAUAUGUAAUGGCAGGGUGUCCAUGUUGAACGGAAACGCCUAUGGUUGCCCUUCAAGCACUAACAAAUUGGAAAUUCCAAGCCCUGCUGAGAUUACGAGCAGAGUGGAAAGGGAAUCAACACCAUCACGCCAAAACAUUGAAGGUGAAUAAGUGGACCACUAUCUAAGUAAAUAGACGAACCAUAUUUUGUUAGAACUAAGCAGUUGCUGCUAAUAUAAUCCUCUCCAGCAAGAUCAGUUUCGGACAAUAUAAUUUGCUAUUCACUUUCUAUGUGUUUAAGCAUGCUCAAACUCAAUACAAAUGAACAUAAUUCUUUUUUUUAGGUCAUUGCAUGACAAAUAAGAAUACUUACAUCACUGAAUUUCUGAUGUUUUUCUGUCGGAAGUUAGUUCAGUUAGGCACUUCUAAUUGCUUAAGCUCGAUUUCACUCAAGUUUGAUAUAAUCUGCAGGAGCAAUCCAAGAGCUAAAAACUACAGUGAUCUCACUAUUCACCAAGUAUUGUUAUUUUCUCUACCUACGUCCUAAUCAGGUGUGUCACCUUGUGUUGACUUUGCCUACUGAAUUAUAACGAGUCUUGAACUUUGUUAUCUGAUUUUCCUUAUCCUACUUCUUAGCUUUUCAUGCUAUUCUGCGCGCUGUGCAUAAUGUGCAUUUCUUGUUAUUUGCUAAUGUGUACUGGACAAGCGCGGCAGCAAAUUCAUAGUGUGCAUUUCUUGUUAUUUGCCAAUGGUUGUACUGGACAAAGCAUGGUCUUUUGUCCAAACACAUCCCUUAUGUUAUGUCCAAAAUUAGGUUGUUAGUCCUUUUUAGUGGGGUGCACUUAUAUCUCAAUUUUUCCUCCAGUUGUUUAUUACAUAUUGUGAUAUUGGUACAAAGGCUGCCACAAAAGACGAGCAUGUCUGGAUCAGCAAUAUGUCAGGUGNNNNNNNNNNNNNNNNNNNNNNNNNNNNNNNNNNNNNNNNNNNNNNNNNNNNNNNNNNNNNNNNNNNNNNNNNNNNNNNNNNNNNNNNNNNNNNNNNNNNNNNNNNNNNNNNNNNNNNNNNNNNNNNNNNNNNNNNNNNNNNNNNNNNNNNNNNNNNNNNNNNNNNNNNNNNNNNNNNNNNNNNNNNNNNNNNNNNNNNNNNNNNNNNNNNNNNNNNNNNNNNNNNNNNNNNNNNNNNNNNNNNNNNNNNNNNNNNNNNNNNNNNNNNNNNNNNNNNNNNNNNNNNNNNNNNNNNNNNNNNNNNNNNNNNNNNNNNNNNNNNNUAAAACACAUAGACUGUUUUUAUUUUACUAAAAUGUCUACUGCCGACGCAUGUUUGAACUGAAAUGUAUUCUGUUAACAAUUUAUGCUUUACCUUAAUUUCUGCUUUGUGUGCAGGCCCUAGCAGAGCUUGAACCUUCUUCAGCAAAUAAGGGUCACUGAGUUCUUAUAGUCAGUCACUGGACCACAAUGGUUGAUAUCCUUCAAUGGACACUGGAAGUAAUAUGAGCUACAGAUAUGCGUCUCAAUGGGGGGUUAUUUCUUUCCUCAACAAGUUACAGUACAGUAGCAAAGGUAAAGUGAACACACAACUUGAUUGUAUGGUUCUUAGAAUGUCACUGUACUCAGAGGCAGAGGACGAAAAAAAAUUAAGGUGUGGCGAAAUCUUAGGAAAAUAUUUUUUUUGAUGCAAAUUGAAAUAGUCAAUACAAAGUACAAACGAAAAACCAAAUACAAUGAAAAUGUAGACAUGUUUCAAUAGAAAAACAACCUAAAACAUACCAAUAAUCAAGUUUUCAAUGGCGUCUAGAAGACCUAGGUAAUGGCAAUGACCUACCCUCCUUCUGAAAAUCUUCCUUAAUUUUACUAUCAAUACUUUUGAAGAUCUCUCGCUCAAUAUAACAAACCAUCAAGUCACUUGAUCUUCAUGAGUGACAUGUGCCCAAACAUUGACACUUUAGCGGGUGCUUGGAUUCGAUUUCGAGCUGCUGCCACUACCAUUACUUCAAAAUACUUUGUCAAAUAUGCAAUCCAUAACAUCAAUUUGUAACUCAAUUCUGAUUGGUUUCAAGCUGCUGUUAUGCUACAAAUUUUCAUAGACAUGAGCAAUCUACCGCUUCCACCCCAUUCCUUUGGAUUUGCUGGUCCCUUCCCCUCCUUUUCCAUCUUAUGGCCAGAACUGCACCGGACUGGAGCCGCCGCCGUCAGCUGCCCCGUCGUCGGUCACCCGCCUGUUCAUCAGCCCAAUUUUCAUUACAUUUAUUACAAAAACUAAACUUUGCUAGCUCAUGAGCUACUGAAUUAGCAUCACGAAAACAGUGUGAAAAGAUGACCUUCCCUAUCACUAGUAGAAAACGGAGCUUUAAAACCGGUUUGUAAGGGCCUUUAGUGCCGGUUAUGGAACCGGCACUAAAGUGUGGGCACUAAAGGCCCCCCCCUAGUACCGGUUCGGCAUGAACCGGCGCUAAAGUGCCACCACGUGGCGUGAGCUCGCGCCCUGGUAUGGGGGACCUUUGGUACCGGUUGGUGUUACCAACCGGUACUAAAGGUUUUUUUUGAAUUUUUUUUUUGAAAAUUUCGGAAAAAAAUUUUGAUUUUUUUUUUGAUUUUUAAUUUUUCUGAAUUAUUUGAUGAUUUAGUCUCUAAUCACCUCUCUUAACUGCUCAAGUGUGGAUCACUCAUUCCAAAUCAUCUAACUGUUGGGGAACGUAGUAAUUUCAAAAAAAAAAUCCUACGCACACGCAAGAUCAUGGUGAUGGCAUAGCAACGAGAGGGGAGAGUGUAUGUCCACGUACCCUCGUAGACCGUAAGCGGAAGCGUUAGCACAACGCGGUUGAUGUAGUCGUACGUCUUCACGAUCCGACCGAUCCAAGCACCGAACGUACGGAGCCUCCGAGUUCAGCACACGUUCAGCUCGAUGACGUCCCUCGAACUCCGAUCCAGCCGAGUGUCGAGGGAGAGUUCCGUCAGCACGACGGCGUGGUGACGAUCUUGAUGUUCUACCAGCGCAGGGCUUCGCCUAAGCUUCGCGACGAUAUGACCGAGGUGGAAUAUGGUGGAAGGGGGCACCGCACACGGCUAAGGAACGAUCCGUAGAUCAACUUGUGUGUCUAUGGGGUGCCCCCCGCCCCCGUAUAUAAAGGAGCCAGGGGGGAGGAGGCCACCGGCCUAGGGGGCGCGCCAAGGGGGGAGUCCUACUCCCACCGGGAGUAGGACUCCCCUUUUCCAAGUUGGAGUAGGAGAGAAGGAGGAAAGAGGGGAGGAGGAGAAGGAAAAGGGGGGGCGCCGCCCCCUUUCCCUUGUCCUAUUCGGACUAGGAGGGGGAGGGGCGCGCGGCCCCCCUCCUUGCUCCUUCCUCUUCUCCCUCUUGGCCCAUGUAGGCCCAUUAACCUCCCCGGGGGGUUCCGGUAACCUCCCGGUACUCCGGUAAAAUGCCGUUUUCACCCGGAACCAUUCCGAUGUCCAAAUAUAGGCUUCCAAUAUAUCAAUCUUUAUGUCUCGACCAUUCCGAGACUCCUCGUCAUGUCCGUGAUCACAUCCGGGACUCCGAACAAACUUCGGUACAUCAAAACUUAUAAACUCAUAAUAAAACUGUCUGUUAGAGUCAGAUCCUCCGACGGAGCCGCAUAGUAAUGAACAACGUGGAGUGCAAGUCAAGCAGCUACCAAAUAGAUAGUUUCCAUCUCUGUUGGUCUAUUCGUAUUGUAUACAAACUCUGUAAUUUUUGGAUGCAUAUAUAUACGAGGAGGCUGUACCGUGGCUGGCAUUGAGCCGCCCGGUGUAUUCCAAUUUACGUGGUAUCAGGCCACAUCGUUCCUCUCCUGUCAAGACUCGAUCUCAAAACCUAAUCGCCGCCGCCGUUGCCGUUGCCACCAUCGUCGCUUCCCACAGCCUCCUUCUUCUCUGCCACCAUGAACGCUGACGACCUCAAGAAGCUUGAAGAGGAGCUCAAGCAACGCGAGUCCAUCAUCAGAACUCGCGAGGAAGAACUCCGGUGUCUUGCCGAGGAGCGCGGCAAGAUAGUUCUCGCAUCCACCCCUGCACCUGUUCCUGCACCGUCCUCCUAUGCUGCUUCAAUCAAGACAUAUGUUCCCAUCACUCUUGAUCUUCAGGAUUCCAACUACGCCAAAUGGCGUGAGCUUUUUCUCGUGGUCCUUGGGCGCUACGGCCUCUCCAGCCACGUCGGCGGCGGCGGCGCCGCCGACGCCACCCCCUCCGACACGUCGCCUACCUUGGAUUGGGGACGCGAUGACUACACGGUGCUCUCCUGGAUCUACGGUUCGGUCUCCAUCGAGCUCUUCGGCAUCAUCAUGGCUCCCGGCUCCACGGCGCGGCAAGUCUGGGACUCCAUUGCCAACCUCUUCCACGACAAUAAGAAAAGCCGCGCCUUAGCCCUCGAUGCCGAGUUCCGCAACACUCCACAAGGGGACAUGUCUAUUCAUGACUACUGCGCCAAACUCAAGUCUCUUGCCGACGCUCUCGGUGAUGUCGGCCAAAAUAUCACCGACGAGACGCUCGUCCUCACAGUGCUCCGCGGCCUCAAUGAACAAUUCAGUCAUCUUCGGUCUUUUCUACUGUUCCAGGUGCCGUUCCCAUCCUUCCUGCAGACACGUUCCGCUCUCGUCCUCGAGGAGACGCAGAAAAAGACGGACGCCAAGAACGCGGCGGCAACCGCACUCUGGGCAAGCAGCAACAGCAUCCUCCCUCAUGCUGGCGGGGAGCGUGCUCCUUCUUCUAGCCGCGGCACUGGCUACAACAACAGCGACUCACGCAACGCCGCCACACACUCCACCACGCCCUACCCCAACCCUGGCCGCGGCAGUGGAAAUGGCGGACGCCGCGGACGUGGAGGCGGCCGCGGACGAGGCCGCGACAAUCCUUGGAUGUUCAACCCAUGGACCGGCCUCCCGACUCGGGCUCAACAACAACAACAACAUCCUCCCACUGCACCGUGGCAGCCCCGCUGGCGUGCUCGCAGCGCCGGCGUCCUUGGUCCUCACCCCGGUGCAGCUCCUUUCCAGGCGUACACUGCAUAUGGUCAGCAACACACCAACAACGGUGGCAUGAUGCCGUCACCAUCUACAAGCUAUCCAGGAGGUCACCAGCAACUUGAUCCAGCCUUGCUGAACGCACUUCAGAACAUGCAGCUUCCUGGCAAUCAAGAGUGGUACAUGGACUCUGGAGCAUCAUCCCAUAUGGCAUCCGAUCAUGGUAUUCUCUCCUCCUCCCAACCCUCCUCUGCUCACACCGUCACUGUUGGUAACGGUGCCUCCCUUCCCAUCUCUCACAUCGGCACACACACCCUGCCCUCUCUUUCGAAACAUUUAUAUCUUAACAAUGUUCUUGUCGUUCCACAUAUCAUCAAAAAUCUUCUUUCCGUUCGCAAACUUACCACUGAUAAUUUUGUUUCGAUAGAAUUUGACCCUUGGGGUUUUUCUGUGAAGGCACUUCCCACAAGGAUCGAGAUUCUUCGAUGCAAUAGCUCCGGACCACUCUACCCAGUAUGUCGUCCCACGCCCGCCGAAGCACAUGUCAUCACCACCACCCUCGACCUUUGGCAUCGCCGACUUGGACACCCCGGUCAUCACACCAUGAAGCGUCUUCAAAGUUCUUGCCAUAUCUCCUACAAUAAAAUCAUGCCAUCCAUUUGUCAUGCUUGUCAGCUUGGGCGACAUGUUAGAUUACCCUUUUAUCCAUCUGUUUCUUAUAUUAGCAAACCUUUUGCAUUAUUACACUGUGAUCUUUGGACUUCUCCCGUACCCAGUACAUCUGGCUUUGCCUAUUAUCUUAUAAUUGUCGAUGAUUUCACUCAUUAUUUUUGGACUUUCCCACUGCGCAAGAAAUCUGAUGUCUAUGCAACACUUCUCACCUUUCAUGCUUACGCUCGCACUCAAUUUAAUCUAUCUAUUUUAGCUUUCCAAUGCGACAAUGGACGAGAGUUUGACAAUACAAAAAUAGAUACUUUCUGUGCCUCUCACGGUAUUCUCCUUCGCUUCUCCUGUCCAUACACCUCUCAACAAAACGGCAAGGCUGAAUGAGCUAUUCGCACCACCAACAAUGUCAUACGUACCCUUCUGGUCCAAGCUUCUCUCCCCCCAUCCUUCUGGGCCGAAGCACUACACACUGCCACCUUUCUUAUAAACAUUAGACCGACGUCGUCUACCAAAUUUCUCACACCAUAUGCAACUCUUCUUGGUUCGUCACCCCCAUAUGACUCACUUCGUGUGUUUGGUUGCCUCUGUUACCCUAACACUACAUCCACAUCUUCCAACAAACUAUCUCCACGCUCCACAAAAUGCAUCUUUCUUGGGUACCCGACACGCCAUAGAGGUUAUCGGUGUCUUGAUUUAACCACACGACGGAUCAUCAUCUCUCGUCAUGUGGUUUUUGACGAGUCCUCCUUCCCCUAUGCACCCGCCCCCAUUCCUAAUCCACCACGUUGUACAGAAAUUUUCGACCCACCUGAACCAAUCCAUCCGCUUGUUCCCCCUGCCAUGCAUGCAUCCCCUCCACCUGCGCCAGCUAUGCAUGCGCCUGCUAUGCAUGUGCCCAACACCCCGCCACCAACGCCUCAUUCUUCUGGCUCGUCUUCGACCCCGCCUACUAGCACCCCGCUCGCUUCUCCACCACCGGGCUCUUCCUCUACUCACGGGGUGCAGCCUAGCCCACCUGUGCAAUCCACCCCACCUGGCUCGCCAUCCCCUAACCCCAUACCACCGCCCGCUCCACUACAUCGUACACGCUCCACUACUGGCCGGCUUCCUCCACCCAUCGACCGCCUUAACCUCUCUGCUAUUGCUUCUUCUCCACUCCCACACAACUAUCUUAUGGCAUUACGCGAUCCCAACUGGCGUCAAGCCAUGCAAGAAGAGUUUGAUGCUCUCAUCCUAAAUAAAACAUGGACUCUUGUUCCUGCUCCUCCCGGUGCAAAUGUUGUGAGUGGUAAAUGGAUUUUUCGCCAUAAAUAUCAUGCCGACGGCUCUCUCGCUCGUCACAAGGCUCGUUGGGUAGUCCGUGGUUUUACGCAACAACCAGGAAUUGACUUUGAUGAAACCUUCAGUCCUGUUGUUAAACCUGCCACUAUUCGCAUUGUUCUCUCUCUUGCUAUCUCUCAAUCUUGGCCCAUACACCAGCUUGAUGUAAAAAAUGCCUUCCUCCAUGGCCAUCUUGAUGAAGUUGUCUAUAGUCAACAACCCUCUGGCUUUGUUGAUCCACGUCACCCCACUUAUGUGUGUCGUCUUCUUAAAUCUCUAUAUGGUUUAAAACAAGCUCCCCGCGCAUGGUUUCAGCGGUUUGCCACCUUUGCGCGCUCCAUUGGGUUCGUUGAAUCCAAAUCCGAUGCCUCUCUUUUCAUUUUUCACCAGGGCACCAACUUAGCAUAUCUCCUUCUUUAUGUCGAUGACAUCAUUCUUACUGCCUCCACCCCAUCUACUCUUGCUACUAUCACACAUGCCAUGGCACGUGAAUUUGCUAUGAAGGAUCUUGGCCCCCUACAUCACUUCCUUGGCAUUUCUGUUACACGUACUUCUAGCAGCCUCCACCUCUCUCAACGAAACUACAUUCUUGACAUCUUGAAUCGUGCAGGCAUGCGUGAUUGUCAUCCCGUCCCUACACCUAUUGAUACCAAAGCAAAACUCUCCUCCACAUCUGGGUCCCCUGUUUCCGAUCCUUCUCAGUAUCGUAGCUUAGCUGGCGCACUACAAUAUGCUACACUCACUCGUCCCGACACUGCUUACGCCGUGCAACAAGUAUGUCUCCAUAUGCACGAUCCACGAGAACCCCAUUUCUCUCUCAUAAAAUGCAUUCUCCGCUAUCUUCAUGGCACUCUCGACCUUGGUCUUUCUCUGCAUCGCACUUCUUCUCACUCUCUCAUUGCCUACUCGGAUGCCGACUGGGCUGGUUACCCGGACACACGACGCUCUACGUCUGGAUUUUGCAUGUACCUCGGUGAUAAUCUCAUUUCUUGGUCCGCACAACGACAAACGACCGUCUCCCGCUCUAGUGCCGAGGCAGAGUACAGGGCAGUAGCUGCGGCUGUUUCAGAGUCAUGUUGGGUUCGGCAGCUCCUACAGGAACUUCGACGGCCGAUCUCGACUGCCACAAUUGUCUACUGUGAUAAUGUCAGUGCCGUCUACUUGUCUGCCAACCCCGUUCAGCAUCGACGGACCAAGCAUAUUGAGCUGGAUAUUCACUUUGUUCGGGAGAAGGUCGCCCUAGGAGACGUGCGCGUUUUACAUGUACCCUCGUCCUCGCAGUUCGCGGACAUUUUCACGAAGGGUUUGCCUACUACUCUUUUUCAAGAGUUUCGCUCCAGUCUUCAGGUCGAGAGCUCUCCCGGUUCAGACUGCGGGGGCGUGUUAGAGUCAGAUCCUCCGACGGAGCCGCAUAGUAAUGAACAACGUGGAGUGCAAGUCAAGCAGCUACCAAAUAGAUAGUUUCCAUCUCUGUUGGUCUAUUCGUAUUGUAUACAAACUCUGUAAUUUCUGGAUGCAUAUAUAUACGAGGAGGCUGUACCAUGGCUGGCAUUGAGCCGCCCGGUGUAUUCCAAUUUACACUGUCAUCAAAAACGUUAAGCGUGCGGACCCUACGGGUUCGAGAACUAUGUAGACAUGACCUAAAACCAUUCUCGGUCAAUAACCAAUAGCGUGACCUGGAUGCCCAUAUUGGUUCCUACAUAUUCUACGAAGAUCUUUAUCGGUCAAACCGCAUAACAACAUACUUUGUUCCCUUUGUCAUCGGUAUGUUACUUGCCCGAGAUUUGAUCGUCGGUAUCCAAUACCUAGUUCAAUCUCGUUACCGGCAAGUCUCUUUACUCAUUUCGUAAUAUGUCAUCUCAUAACUAACUCAUUAGUUACAUGCUUGCAAGGCUUAGGUGAUGAGUAUUACCAAGAGGGCCCAGAGAUACCUCUCCGACAAUCGGAGUGACAAAUCCUAAUCUCGAAUUAUGCCAACCCAACAUGUACCUUCGGAAACACCUGUAGAGCACCUUUAUAAUCACCCAGUUACGUUGUGACGUUUGGUAGCACACAAAGUGUUCUUCCGGUAAACGGGAGUUGCACAAUCUCAUAGUUGCAGGAACUUUGUAUAAGUCAUGAAGAAAGCAAUAGCAGUAUACUAAACGAUCAAGUGCUAGGCUAACAAAAUGGGUCAUGUCAAUCACAUCAUUCUCCUAAUGAUGUGAUCCCACUAAUCAAAUGACAACACAUGUCUAUGGUCAGGAAACAUAACCAUCUUUGAUUAAUGAGCUAGUCAAGUAGAGGCAUACUAGUGACUAUAGUUUUGUCUAUGUAUUCACAUAUGUAUCAUGUUUCCAGUUAAUACAAUUCUAGCAUGAAUAAUAAACAUUUAUCAUGAUAUGAGGAAAUAAAUAAUAACUUUAUUAUUGCCUCUAGGGCAUAUACCACUUGCACUAGAGUCAAUAAUCUAGAUUACAUAGUAAUGAUUCUAACACCCAUGGAGUCUUGGUGCUGAUCAUGUUUUGCUCGUGAGAGAGGCUUAGUCAACGGGUCCGCAACAUUCAGAUCCGUAUGUAUCUUGCAAAUCUCUAUGUCUCCCACUUGGACUUGGUUCCGAAUGGAAUUGAAGCGUCUCUUGAUGUGCUUGGUCCUCUUGUGAAAUCUGGAUUCCUUUGCCAAAGCAAUUGCACCAGUAUUGUCACAGAAGAUCUUCAUUGGUCCCGAUGCACUAGGUAUGACACCUAGAUCGGAAAUGAACUCCUUCAUCCAGACUCCUUCAUUUGCUGCUUCAGAAGCAGCUAUGUACUCCGCUUCACAUGUAGAUCCCGCCACGACGCUUUGUUUAGAACUGCACCAACUUACAGCUCCAUCGUUUAAUAUAAACACGUAUCCGGUUUGCGAUUUAGAAUCGUCCGGAUCAGUGUCAAAGCUUGCAUCGACGUAACCAUUUACGACUAGCUCUUUGUCACCUCCAUAUACGAGAAACAUAUCCUUAGUCCUUUUCAGGUAUUUCAGGAUGUUCUUGACCGCUGUCCAGUGAUCCACUCCUGGAUUACUUUGGUACCUUCCUGCCAAGCUUAUUGCUAAGCAUACGUCAGGUCUGGUACACAGCAUUGCAUACAUGAUAGAGCCUAUGGCUGAAGCAUAGGGAACAUUUUUCAUUUUCUCUCUAUCUUCUGCUGUGGUCGGGCAUUGAGUUUGACUCAACUUCACACCUUGUAGCACAGGUAAGAAUCCUUUCUUUGCCUGAUCCAUUUUGAACUUUUUCAAAAUCUUGUCAAGGUAUGUGCUUUGUGAAAGUCCUAUUAAGCGUCUUGAUCUAUCUCUAUAGAUCUUGAUGCCCAAUAUGUAAGCAGCUUCACCGAGGUCUUUCAUUGAAAAACUUUUAUUCAAGUAUCCCUUUAUGCUAUCCAGAAAUUCUAUAUCAUUUCCAAUUAAUAAUAUGUCAUCAACAUAUAAAACUAGAAAUGCUACAGAGCUCCCACUCACUUUCUUGUAAAUACAGGCUUCUCCAAAAGUCUGUAUAAAACCAUAUGCUUUGAUCACACUGUCAAAGUGUUUAUUCCAACUCCGAGAUGCUUGCACCAGUCCAUAAAUGGAACGCUGGAGCUUGCACACUUUGUCAGCACCUUUUGGAUCAACAAAACCUUCCGGCUGCAUCAUAUACAACUCUUCUUCUAGAAAUCCAUUCAAGAAUGCAGUCUUGACAUCCAUUUGCCAAAUUUCAUAAUCAUGAAAUGCAGCAAUAACCAACAUGAUUCGGACAGACUUAAGCAUCGCUACGGGUGAGAAAGUCUCAUCGUAGUCAACCCCUUGAACUUGUCAAAAACCUUUCGCAACAAGUCGAGCUUUAUAGACAGUAACAUUACCAUCAGCGUCAGUCUUCUUAAAAAUCCAUUUAUUCUCAAUGGCUUGCCGAUCAUCGGGCAAGUCAACCAAAGUCCAUACUUUGUUUUCAUACAUGGAUCCCAUCUCAGAUUUCAUGGCCUCUAGCCAUUUUGCGGAAUCUGGGCUCAUCAUCGCUUCCUCAUAGUUCGUAGGUUCAUCAUGGUCAAGUAACAUGACUUCCAGAAUAGGAUUACCGUACCACUCUGGUGCGGAUCUUACUCUGGUAGACCUACGAGGUUCAGCAGAAACUUGAUCUGAAGUUUCAUGAUCAAUAUCAUUAGCUUCCUCACUAGUUGGUGUAGUUGUCACGGGAACCGGUUCUCGUGAUGAACUACCUUCCAACAAGGGAGUAGAUACAGUUAUCUCAUCAAGUUCUACUUUCCUCCCACUCACUUCUUUCGAGAGAAAUUCCUUCUCUAGAAAGGAUCCAUUCUUAGCAAUGAAUGUCUUGCCUUCGGAUCUGUGAUAGAAGGUGUACCCAACAGUCUCUUUUGGGUAUCCUAUGAAGACACAUUUCUCCGAUUUGGGUUCGAGCUUAUCUGGUUGAAGUUUCUUCACAUAAGCAUCGCAGCCCCAAACUUUAAGAAACGACAACUUCGGUUUCUUGCCAAACCACAGUUCAUAAGGCGUCGUCUCAACGGAUUUUGAUGGUGCCCUAUUUAACGUGAAUGCGGCCGUCUCUAAAGCAUAACCCCAAAAUGAUAGUGGUAAAUCGGUAAGAGACAUCAUAGAUCGCACCAUAUCAAGUAAAGUACGAUUACGACGUUCGAACACACCAUUUCGUUGUGGUGUUCCAGGUGGCGUGAGUUGCGAAACUAUUCCGCAUUGUUUCAAAUGUAAACCAAACUCGUAACUCAAAUAUUCUCCUCCAUGAUCAGAUCGUAGAAACUUUAUUUUCUUGUUACGAUGAUUUUCUACUUCACUCUGAAAUUCUUUGAACUUUUCAAAUGUUUCAGACUUGUGCUUCAUUAAGUAGAUAUACCCAUAUCUGCUCAAAUCAUCUGUGAAGGUGAGAAAAUAACGAUAUCCGCCACGAGCCUCAACAUUCAUUGGACCACAUACAUCUGUAUGUAUGAUCUCCAACAAAUCUGUUGCUCUCUCCAUAGUUCCGGAGAACGGUGUUUUAGUCAUCUUGCCCGUGAGGCACGGUUCGCAAGUACCAAGUGAUUCAUAAUCAAGUGAUUCCAGAAGUCCAUCAGUAUGGAGUUUCUUCAUGCGUUUUACACCGAUAUGACCUAAACGGCAGUGCCACAAAUAAGUUGCACUAUCAUUAUCAACUCUGCAUCUUUUGGCUUCAACAUUAUGAAUAUGUGUAUCACUACUAUCGAGAUUCAAUAAAAAUAGACCACUCUUCAAGGGCGCAUGACCAUAAAAGAUAUUACUCAUAUAAAUAGAACAACCAUUAUUCUCUGAUUUAAAUGAAUAACCAUCUCGCAUCAAACAAGAUCCAGAUAUAAUGUUCAUGCUCAACGCAGGCACCAAAUAACAAUUAUUCAGGUCUAAAACUAAUCCCGAUGGUAGAUGUAGAGGUAGCGUGCCGACCGCGAUCACAUCGACUUUGGAACCGUUUCCCACGCGCAUCGUCACCUCGUCCUUGGCCAGUGCUCGCUUAUUCCGCAGUCCCUGUUUCGAGUUGCAAAUAUUAGCAACAGAACCAGGUUCAAAUACCCAGCUGCUACUACGAGCUCUAGUUAGGUACACAUCAAUAACAUGUAUAUCACAUAUACCUUUGUUCACUUUGCCAUCCUUCUUAUCCGCCAAAUACUUGGGGCAGUUCAGCUUCCAGUGGCCAGUCUGCUUGCAGUAGAAGCACUUAGUUUCAGGCUUAGGUCCAGACUUGGGUUUCUUCUCUUGAGCAGCAACUUGCUUGCCGUUCUUUUUGAAGUUCCCCUUCUUCUUCCCUUUGCCCUUCUUCUUGAAACUAGUGGUCUUGUUGACCAUCAACACUUGAUGCUCCUUCUUGAUUUCUACCUCCGCGGCUUCAGCAUCGCGAAGAGCUCGGGAAUAGUCUUGUUCAUCCCUUGCAUAUUAUAGUUCAUCACGAAGCUCUUGUAGCUUGGUGGCAGUGAUUGAAGAAUUCUGUCAAUGACACUAUCAUCAGGAAGAUUAACUCCCAGUUGAAUCAAGUGAUUGUUAUACCCAGACAUUUUGAGUAUAUGUUCACUGACAGAACUAUUCUCCUCCAUCUUGCAGCUAUAGAACUUAUUGGAGACUUCAUAUCUCUCAAUCCGGGCAUUUGCUUGAAAUAUUAACUUCAACUCCUGGAACAUCUCAUAUACUCCAUGACGUUCAAAACGUCGUUGAAGACCCGGUUCUAAGCCGUAAAGCAUGGCACACUGAACUAUAGAGUAGUCAUCAGCUUUGCUCUGCCAGACGUUCUUAACGUCGUCAGUUGCAUCAGCAGCAGGCCUGGCACCCAGCGGUGCUUCCAGGAUGUAACUCUUCUGUGCAGCAAUGAGGAUAAUCCUUAGGUUACGGACCCAGUCCGUGUAAUUGCUACCAUCAUUUUUCAACUUUGCUUUCUCAAGGAACGCAUUAAAAUUCAACGGAACAACAGCACGAGCCAUCUAUCUACAAACAAACAUAGACAAGCAAGAUACUAUCAGGUACUAAGUUCAUGAUAAAUUUAAGUUCAAUUAAUCAUAUUACUUAAGAACUCCCACUUAGACAGACAUCUCUCUAGUCAUCUAAGUGAUCACGUGAUCCAAAUCAACUAAACCAUAACUGAUCAUCACGUGAUAUGGAGUAGUUUUCAAUGGUGAACAUCAUUAUGUUGAUCAUAUCUACUAUAUGAUUCAUGAUCGACCUUUUGGUCUCCGUGUUUCGAGGCCAUAUCUGCAUAUGCUAGGCUCGUCAAGUUUAACCUGAGUAUUCUGCGUGUGCAAAACUGGCUUGCACCCGUUGUAGAUGGACAUAGAGCUUAUCACACCCGAUCAUCACAUGGUGUCUCGGCACGACGAACUUUGGCAACGGUGCAUACUCAGGGAGAACACUACUUGAUAAUUUUAGUGAGAGAUCAUCUUAAAAUGCUACCGUCAAUCAAAUCAAGAUAAGAUGCAUAAAGGAUAAACAUCACAUGCAAUCAAUAUAAGUGAUAUGAUAUGACCAUCAUCAUCUUGUGCUUGUGAUCUCCAUCUCCGAAGCACCGUCGUGAUCACCAUCGUCACCGGCGCGACAUCUUGAUCUCCAUCGUAGCAUCGUUGUUGUUUACGCCAUCUAUUGCUUCUACGACUAUCGCUACCGCUUAGUGAUAAAGUAAAGCAAUUACAGGGCGUUUGCAUUUCAUACAAUAAAGCGACAACCAUAUGGCUCCUGCCAGUUGCCGAUAACUUCGGUUACAAAACAUGAUCAUCUCAUACAAUAAAAUAUAUCAUCACGUCUUGACCAUAUCACAUCACAACAUGCCCUGCAAAAACAAGUUAGACGUCCUCUACUUUGUUGUUGCAAAUUUUACGUGGCUGCUACGGGCUUAGCAAGAACCGUUCUUACCUACGCAUCAAAACCACAACGAUAGUUUGUCAAAUAGACUCCGUUUUAACCUUCGCAAGGACCGGGCGUAGCCACACUCGAUUCAGCUAAAGUGAGAGAGACAGACACCCGCCAGUCACCUUUAAGCACGAGUGCUCGUAACGGUGAAAUCAGUCUCGCGUAAGCGUACGCGUAAUGUCGGUCCGGGCCGCUUCAUCUCACAAUACCGCUGAACCAAAGUAUGACAUGCUGGUAGGCAGUAUGACUUAUAUCGUCCACAACUCACUUGUGUUCUACUCGUGCAUAUAACAUCAACGCAUAAAACCUAGGCUUUGAUACCACUGUUGGGGAACGUAGUAAUUUCAAAAAAAAAUCCUACGCACACGCAAGAUCAUGGUGAUGGCAUAGCAACGAGAGGGGAGAGUGUAUGUCCACGUACCCUCGUAGACCGUAAGCGGAAGCGUUAGCACAACGCGGUUGAUGUAGUCGUACGUCUUCACGAUCCGACCGAUCCAAGCACCGAACGUACGGAGCCUCCGAGUUCAGCACACGUUCAGCUCGAUGAUGUCCCUCGAACUCCGAUCCAGCCGAGUGUCGAGGGAGAGUUCCGUCAGCACGACGGCGUGGUGACGAUCUUGAUGUUCUACCGGCGCAGGGCUUCGCCUAAGCUUCGCGACGAUAUGACCGAGGUGGAAUAUGGUGGAAGGGGGCACCGCACACGGCUAAGGAACGAUCCGUAGAUCAACUUGUGUGUCUAUGGGCUGCCCCCCGCCCCCGUAUAUAAAGGAGCCAGGGGGGAGGAGGCCGCCGGCCUAGGGGGCGCGCCAAGGGGGGGAGUCCUACUCCCACCGGGAGUAGGACUCCCCUUUUCCAAGUUGGAGUAGGAGAGAAGGAGGAAAGAGGGGAGGAGGAGAAGGAAAAGGGGGGGCGCCGCCCCCUUUCCCUUGUCCUAUUCGGACUAGGAGGGGGAGGGGCGCGCGGCCCCCUCCUUGCUCCUUCCUCUUCUCCCUCUUGGCCCAUGUAGGCCCAUUAACCUCCCGGGGGGUUCCGGUAACCUCCCGGUACUCCGGUAAAAUGCCGUUUUCACCCGGAACCAUUCCGAUGUCCAAAUAUAGGCUUCCAAUAUAUCGAUCUUUAUGUCUCGACCAUUCCGAGACUCCUCGUCAUGUCCGUGAUCACAUCCGGGACUCCGAACAAACUUCGGUACAUCAAAACUUAUAAACUCAUAAUAAAACUGUCAUCGAAAACGUUUAGCGUGCGGACCCUACGGGUUCGAGAACUAUGUAGACAUGACCUAAAACCAUUCUCGGUCGAUAACCAAUAGCGUGACCUGGAUGCCCAUAUUGGUUCCUACAUAUUCUACGAAGAUCUUUAUCGGUCAAACCGCAUAACAACAUACUUUGUUCCCUUUGUCAUUGGUAUGUUACUUGCCCGAGAUUUGAUCGUCGGUAUCCAAUACCUAGUUCAAUCUCGUUACCGGCAAGUCUCUUUACUCGUUCCGUAAUACGUCAUCUCAUAACUAACUCAUUAGUUACAUGCUUGCAAGGCUUAGGUGAUGAGUAUUACCGAGAGGGCCCAGAGAUACCUCUCCGACAAUCGGAGUGACAAAUCCUAAUCUCGAAUUAUGCCAACCCAACAUGUACCUUCGGAAACACCUGUAGAGCACCUUUAUAAUCACUCAGUUACGUUGUGACGUUUGGUAGCACACAAAGUGUUCUUCCGGUAAACGGGAGUUGCACAAUCUCAUAGUUGCAGGAACUUUGUAUAAGUCAUGAAGAAAGCAAUAGCAGUAUAUUAAAUGAUCAAGUGCUAGGCUAACAAAAUGGGUCAUGUCAAUCACAUCAUUCUCCUAAUGAUGUGAUCCCACUAAUCAAAUGACAACACAUGUCUAUGGUCAGGAAACAUAACCAUCUUUGAUUAAUGAGCUAGUCAAGUAGAGGCAUACUAGUGACUAUAGUUUUGUCUAUGUAUUCACACAUGUAUCAUGUUUCUGGUUAAUACAAUUGUAGCAUGAAUAAUAAACAUUUAUCAUGAUAUGAGGAAAUAAAUAAUAACUUUAUUAUUGCCCCUAGGGCAUAUUUCCUUCACUAACUUCUCGACCGGUCAUCCAUCCCUCUCACUACUCCAGCCCGAGCACGCUUAACUUUCAGGUUCUAUUCUCCUUCGUUUCCGAGUCUGCACUUGUUGUUUUCCUGACAAUAGUAAGAUGUCAAUCCUAUUAACCCUCAGGAGUUUAGCUUGAGCAUGAAGUCACACAUUUCACCGUUUGAGUUUGAAACUAUUAUUCUAAAAAAACAGUAAUUAUUUAGUAACGCUAAUAUUUCUUGAAUAAGUUUGACCAUAGUUUGACCAUAGUUUGACCAGAUUUGACCAAAAUUCAAAAAAUUGAAAUAAUUAUUUAGUAACACUAAUAUUCUUUGAAUAAUUAAGUAGUAACACUAAUAUUUCUUGAAUAAGUAGUUUGACCAUAGUUUGACCAAAGUUUGACCAGAUUUGACCAAAAUUCAAAAAAACUGAGAUACUUAUUUAGUAACACUAAUAUUAUUACGUAAUUAUUUAGUAACACUCUAUAUUUCUUGAAUCAGUUGUUUGACCGGUUUGACAAGAUUUAACCAAAAUUCAAAAAAACAUAAAUUAGAGCAUAUCUUUUUUUCCUUUUACAAUUUUGUCAUUUCAAAAAUUGUCCUAAACCCUAAACCCGGGACUUAAAACAUCGGAAUCUCUAUGCUAAAUAGUAAAAACUAAGGGUUUAAACCAUAAAACCUAACCCCAAACUCUGAAAUCUAAACCCUAGCACUAAACGCUAAAAACGUCUAAAAACGUCCAAAACGCCCAAAAACUCUAUUUUCCCUUUGGAAUUUUGUGAUUUUCAAAAAUUGUCGAAACGGAAAACUGGCUAGCCAAUCGAGCAGUUACCAGUUAACGAUUUCCUCAACAAUGGUUGUAAGAGAACUCCGCAUACGGUAGACUUUUAUCCCAACUAGUACCAUACUGCAAUGCACAAGCUCUCAACAUAUCUUCAAGAAUUUGAUUGAGCCUUUCUGUCUGUCCAUCAGUCUGAGCAUGAUAUGUUGUACUGAAAUUCAACUUCGUUCCCAAAGAUUUAUGCACUUUCUGCCAAAAGAUGGACGUGAACUGCGUACCUCUAUCAGACACAAUCUUCUUAGGAACUCCAUGCUGACAUACUAUUCUUUCCAUGUAUAGCUCUGCCAAUCUUGCCCCGCUAUAAGUAGUCUUGACAGGCAAAAAGUGAGCGACUUUAGUGAGACGAUCCACUAUUACCCAUAUAGAAUCAUAACCUUGUUGAGUGUGUGGUAAUCCCACUAUAAAGUCCAUUCCGACUUCUUCCCAUUUCCACUCAGGAAUCUUCAUUGGUUGCAACAAACUAGCGGGUCUCUGAUGCUCAGUCUUUACCCUCUGACAAGUGUCACAUAUAGCUACAUACUCAGCCACAUCUCUUUUCAAUCCAUACCAGCAGUAAUUCUCCUUAAGAUUUAGAUACAUCUUAGUACUUCCAGGAUGGAUAGAAUAGGCCAACUCAUGUGCUUCACGCAAAAUUGUAUCAUGAAUGGCUUUCACCUCAGGCACACAUAUCCUUUUCACAAAACAUAAGGUUCCAUUCUCAUCUAUUAUGAAGCCAGGUGCUUUACCAAUCACCACAUUCUCAGCUAUCUCCUUUAGCUUUUCAUCUUCUAGCCAACCCUUACGUAUUUCUUGCUCCAACGUAGGAAUCACUUUUAUCUCCAUAGCACUAGCAACAAUACCAAGAUUCAGAUGUUGCAACUCCGCAUACAACUCUUCUGCCUCUGGUCUCAACUUACGAUUGUUGUCAUAUUUCUUCCUACUAAGAGCAUCAGCUACAACAUUCGCCUUACCUGGAUGAUAAUGUACCUCCGGUUCAUAAUCCUUGAUUAACUCUAGCCCGCGAAGUUGUCUUAAAUUCAAACAUGUCUGAGUGAAUAUAUACUUCAAGCUCUUAUGAUCGGUGUAGAUAUCACUCUUGUGACCAAUCAGAUAGUGUCUCCAGAUCUUCAAUGCAUGCACCGCAGCUGCUAGCUCCAGAUCACGAGUAGGAUAAUUUAACUCAUGCUUCCUCAACUGUCUCGAUGCAUGCGUCGGUGGUGGUGACCUCAUGUCCGCUUGCACCGUGUUCGAUGAAACGCCAACGAGGGUCAAAAGCUUCAAACCGCAUCGGCAUCGCUCGGGUACACGCUGGAGUGCUGGAUGUGAUGCUUGGCCAUCUCCAACUCACGAGCGUGUAAGAGAGAAAUCAUGAGACAGUAAUGAUUUACUUUGGUUUUGCAAUGUUUUUAUUUUAAAAAUAGUUGGUUUAUCUUUGUAAAAUAGUUAUUUACAUGAGAAUUAUUGAACAAAAUAGUUUUUAAAGAGCAAUUUGCAUUCAAGCAGUCUUCAUUCUUAACGAAGCUACGAGUUCACAUUUGCUCUAACCAAAAGGUCUUCAGUUUUUGCCACCACAGGAGCCUUGUAUUAGCUCUUGCGGUGCGAACGGGAGCUCGGAUGUCCGUGCGACUAAGCUGAUCUAUGAAAGUGGCCUUGGUGAUCCUGUGCCCCGGUUGGUAGGUUGGGAGACAGCAGGGAUGCAAACCAGCGCCAACGAUGGGCGAAGAUUGCACGACGGAUGAGCGGCGCUAGAGAUGGAAAAUCUGCUGGAGCAGUUUAGGUGAAAGGAUAAAGAUGUAGUUUUCAUUUUUUUUUCUAAUAAUGAAAGUCAGACUCACUGUAAAGAUCGACGUGGGCUUAACUUUAUGGAACUGGGCCUUAUGACACGUAGGGCCCAUCUGAAGCUUCUAGAGGUGUUAAUCCUGUGGUUGAGAAUGUGUGUGACAAAGCCUGUGUUUGAAGGCAAGAAUCGCAGGGGUGAUUGGGAAGAACACUAAACAGGACAAUUUACAGUACAACAUGAGCAUCUCCAUUAAAAGGCAGCACUUUUCUUUAUCCAAUGUUAGUACUUAGCUAAAGUGAUGAUAACUUUUACUAUGUAUAGAUUGAUAACUUGAUUAAUUCAUGCAGUAUAACAUUCUUGUAGACUGAAAAAUGUACCUUUUUUGCAAUGCAUCUUCCAUUGUAUGAGAGAAUGAUUUUUGUGGUUAAUAAAGGUUCCUCUCUCCUUUAUUUUGUCUUUAUUUUUACAUGGUAGAACAGAAAAUCCGUGUUUAGUGUAGCAAGGGAAUGGGGUAUUUUUUUGGGUACUCUGUUUUGUUGCAUGAAGCUGGUAACAAAAACUACGGGGGGCUGGUAAUUUUUGCACUUAGUUGAUUGGUAACUCACUGCAAUAGGCAAAAUUAUGUUUUCUAGUGGUGAAAGGAUGGUAAUUUUUGCACAGAUUGGGAGGGGGGUCUGGUGGGCGUGGGGUAAGUCUUUGUAUUAAGCAGAAUUUUUUUGGAGAUCUUUGGAUGAGUCUUUGAUUCUUACCAGGGUGAGGUGAUGUUGCCUGGUGAUUUCCUCGCCGUAUCCCUGGUAAUUUCCAGCGCUCCCCUGAUGGAUCUGCUCUUGUUUGAUCCAGAUCUAGAGGAGGGGUAGGUCUUUGCUGUUGAUUUUGAGCAGCUNNNNNNNNNNNNNNNNNNNNNNNNNNNNNNNNNNNNNNNNNNNNNNNNNNNNNNNNNNNNNNNNNNNNNNNNNNNNNNNNNNNNNNNNNNNNNNNNNNNNNNNNNNNNNNNNNNNNNNNNNNNNNNNNNNNNNNNNNNNNNNNNNNNNNNNNNNNNNNNNNNNNNNNNNNNNNNNNNNNNNNNGAGGGUAUACUUGCGUGGAAGGUAGGGGGGGGGGGAAGUUGCGAUCUGGAAAUUGCUGUCGUGGGGGGAUGGCAUUUUCUGUUGGGCCUUGUACAGCGAUUGGCCUUGUUAGCUAACAGGGUGGUCGGCCUGUUUAGCUGGCGGGGUGGCGGGUGAUCGACAGGUAAGGUAAGUUUUCUAUCGGGCACACUGUUGCCAAAUAUCGCUGUCCAUAAACUAUAUGUCCAAUACUUGCACUCACGGGCAUUUUUGCUACUAUUAAUAAAUUGGUAAAAAUCAGAGAAUGCGAGGCCUGGCCAAAUGGGCCGGCCCGGCCUGGGUUAAACGGGCCCGAACCCCUCUUGCCCUCUCUCCUAUAAAAGCUGUGCUUUUACCCCCGCACUCCAUCGCCUCGCCGCCGUUCCCCGCAACACCCUGUCGACCCAAUCUCACAUCCUCCUCUCGCCCGCCCGAGGUGAGCACUUGUAGUUCCUCUGGAUUGGUUGGUAGGCGCUGGUUCGUAGGUCUCGGAUCCAGCCAGCGUGGUCUCCCUCCGCGUGCAUCCGGAGUUUCUCGUUCCGAUUGUGGUUGGUAGGCGCGGCGCGGCGCGGGUUCAUAGGUGUCGGAUCCAGCGCCGUCUGUAUCCUAUUCGUAUGUGGAACCUCGGCUAGGAUAGGAUUUAAUUAGUUAGGUUUUGUAUUAGGGUAACACCACCUAGGGUUCGAUUGAUUAUCCGUAACAAGGAAUCAAUCUGACGUUUUAGUUAGGGUUUGCUUGGUUGGUUGUGGUCAGAUUUUGGUUUCUCAUGAAUUCUUCAACUGUGCCUGUCGCGAUUUUGGGCGGAAAUUGAUGAUUGAUUUCGGGGGCAAAAUCCGAGGUAAUUUGUGGAUGAAAGAUGGGGAAACUUGGGGAAACCAAGCAAAUCCAUGGAUCAAAAUCAACAAAACUUCAUCAUGCCAACAAAUCACAAAAAAAAUUUGGUGGGGAAAUUUCGAAUUAGGACGAAAAACAACAAGAUCAAAGCUAGAAAACGAAUAUUAAUUUGGAUGGAAUUCAUGCUAUGUUGUUCGAUUUCAGUUUAUGCCUGCCAGAAUGUUUAAUUUUUUGUUUUAUCAACUGUGUUUGAGCGUACUAGAUUUUUUGUUGCAUAUUCAUCUUCUUGCUCUGUUUGGAUAGGUAACAAUUAAUAUUUGGGAUCCUAAAAUAUUUAUGCACUGGCAGCACUUAACCUGCAGCUGCUGAUUAAUGUUGUAUUCAUAUGUGCUGCUUUCCAGCUCUCUUGUUUCGAUAGGUAUUUGGUUAUCGUUUGGGUCUAUUUAUUAUCGUUUGUAAAUGCUGGUUUGGUUUUCUGUGCUCACUAUCCCCUUGCACAUGGGAUGCAAUUUUUUUAUUUCCCUGCUGUUUAGUUUAUUGUUUCCUUUGAUGGUAAAGAGGCAUUAAUUCUGGAGAUAGAUGCAAUUUUCUUGCUCACAAUAAUACAAUGAAUGAUGGCAUCUCUAUCUACUUUAACCAAAUUAUAUCAUAUUCCCCCCUCUGUUAAUUAUUUUUCUGUUUUGGGUAUUCAUUCAUUUUGUUUAGUUGCCUAUCAGUAUAAAUACAUGGCUGCAUUGCUUUCACUUCAUAUUAAUAACUAUUCUGUCGCACAAUGCAAAUAUACAUAUGCUGUCCUAACUAAUUAAGUAGAAGCUUGGAUUGGUGCUGUAUGGUCUCUUCCUGACAUUAAAUCCUCCUCUGUUUGUGCUGUCUGUUUCUGCUGCUGCAGUCUUCUUCGCCGCCAAAAGGAAAUGAUGCUCUACAAAAUCCGCUCCCAUGCCCAAAUCCAAGACCUGCAGGCCCGCUCCGAUGAGCUGGGCCUCUCCAAUAAGUCCAUGCUUGUGAGUCUUGUCUCUCUGGAGUCGGUGCGCAUAGCGUGGGAGUCGUAUGCGCUCCUCCGCCCGCUGAUCAAGGAGUCGUGGAUUUGGGUAUGCCCGCAGCUGGAAAUCCUCUCGGACGUGGCAGGCUUGUCGCUGGAAAUCCAAAAGCUCGAGCAUGAUGUGUUACCCCAGCUCAAGCUUCAGGAGGCUAAGCUGGAAAGGGGCGCCCUGGAAGCCCUCCUACUCAUGAAGAACUCAGCUGUUGCGCUCUUACAUUUGAGGAAGUGCUUUAAGGAAGACUUGGGCGUAUUGCUUGCCAAGGAGGAUCUGGUCUCAGCCAAAGUCAAAAGGCUGAGCAAAAUGCUAAAGUAUAUUGCUGUCCGGUUGCUUCAGGAGCGUGAAUGCAACAUUGUCGGGCUUCAGGAGCGUGUCCGGUUGCUGGUCCAGCUGGUCACCGAGGUGUUGAACACCCCGGUUCAUUUCGAUGAUUCUGAUGAGUCUUCUGAUGAGUCUUCUGAUGAGUAGACUUAUCAGCCAGCUCGAGACUGUUGUGAUGAGUGUUUCUUAGGGGCGUGGCAAACAGUUUAGAAUCGAAUGUUGCGAUGUAUUUCUUGUAACCUCCUUUAUGUUUGGAUGUGUUAUUAAUGGAUUUUAAAUUUUAUGUAUUUUGGGUAGUGUUUUCUCAUUCUGUGCUAGUAGGUACAGUCACAUGGAGGUAUUCGCUCUUUUUGGGGAAUAUAUGCCAAAAGAAUAUACUCCCUCCGUUCUUAAAUAUUUGUCUUUCUAGAGAUUU